AAAUGGAUAAUCCAGAGAAUGUGGGCCAUAUGGUAGGGAAGGAGUUUGGGAUGUUCUUUGCUCAUGCCACGGCCUUUGUCCUCCUAUUCUUACAGUGUGGAACUCCAGAGUAGUAAGUUUUUUCUUCACAUUUGUUCAAAUUUGGCAAAGAAAGUGCAUAGAAAAUAAUCAAAAUUUCUUCUGAAUAUAGUAUCGAUCAGCCUCAUCAGAGAUACGAAGAGGCAAUGGAUAGUUAACUGCAGAGUAAGUACCUUGUACACACUUGUAUUUUCCGACCAGUGAAGCUUGAUGUUAUGGUCUAAUGCCAUUUUUUACACUUGUACAUGUGAACAUAAAUCACAUAUGUAUUUUACAUCAUGGAUUUAUAUUCUUGUCAUUCAAUCUGCUAGAGCCAAUUUUUAGUUGCGAAACAGGCCUGAGAUAAUGUCCUAUUUUAUGUGAGUUUGAAUAGGGAACAUGAAGUUGACUAGCACACAAUUACUAGAGUUUAAAGUGUAUUGUCAGGUCUAUGCUUCUCUCGGUGUUAGUUUUUUUGUUAGCUAAAGCUUGCCAUUCUGAUGGAACUUUGUAGGGCACAUAUAUUUUGAGUAAAUUACUUGAAUUACAGACUCAAUGUACAUACUAUACCUCACUUACCACUACGAGCUACUAUUUAGGGAGAAUUUGUGUUGCUAAAAUUCCACGUGUAAAGACAUGUUUCGUAGAUCUACAUGUCUAGAUUCUAUUUGUUUUUAAAAAGUGCAGUUUUAUGUUGCACUUCUUUAUUGAAUCCAGGCAUGCGUAGCAAUACCCCGAAAGUCUUAAAUCUGCAGCUAUGUGGAAUUGGCUCUUAAUUUCGUAGCUCUGUAAUUUUUGUACUUAAACAAGUACUCCCUCCUUAAACUAAUAUAAGAGCAUUUAGAUUACUACUUUAGUGAUCUAAACACACUUAUAUUAGUUUACAGAGGGAGUAGUUUGGUAAUGCUUUGUACUUUGGGGAUGGGGACACAUUUCACAUGAUACAUGUAGGGAUCCAAGUUACGGCCCCGCUAGAACCUGCUUUAUUUCCUUCCAUCACGCUAAUCCUUUGUUAAGAAAGUUUGAUCUUAACAUUUGCCUUUUAGGCUCUGUUUUAGGGUGUUCUCCUUUUUGGGAAUAUGCAAACUGGGCUGCCCAAGCAGUUUGGGUAUAGAUGGGACCUUGGAAAGGGUGAUUCAAUGUUUUGGGAGGAUAAAUGGAUAACUGACUAUCCUUUAUGCACCACUUAUUUGAAUCUUUAUAAUAUCUGUAAUGAGAAGAACCAUUCAACUUGUCUAUGAUGAACAAUUUCUCUUUGGAUAAUGGUUUCUGCUGUUGGUUCACAUUUCUCUUUGGAUAAUGAUCCCCCCAGGAGGAUGUUGCAUUCUGCUGGGGUGUAUACUGUGCAAUUUAUUUAGAAGAAAUAGUUUGGCUUGUCGUUUAUAACCCAUCUGCUCUACAGGUCAUGCUGUUUUCUCCCAUUGCCGAGGCACAGCUGAGAGGAGUUUCAAUGUUCCAAUGCUGGCAAGAUUUAAGUUGAAGGCUGCGGCUACGAGCUUGUGGGCUGAUUCGCAAUGCGUUCCAGUUUGAUCAAAUUCUCCAAAAGUUGCACUGAUGAGCCAAUGCAUUGCUGAGUGAAUCUUUUUGUAAUUUUCUGUUGCUUAGGUCUACUUACUGAAUCAGUGAAUCUUAUUGAUUCAUGUUUCUCAUGACUUCCUUGUAAAAAAUUAACAUACUAUAGCAUCUUACCGGAUCUUUUUUUAUCAAUUGGCGUGUACUGUUUUGUACUGCCUCCUUUUGGAAAUAUUUGUCGGAUAAAUGGAUGUAUCUAUAGGUAUUUCAGUUCUAGAUACAUCCAUUUUUAUUCAUUUCCCGGACAAGUAUUUUCGGAUGGAGGGAGUAUUAUGUUUGAGUUUUGGAAUGGUAGUGUUUUCUUCAAGUAGGAAACUGAUAGCUCCUACUCCCUCUGUCUGAAAAAGCUUGUCCCAAGCUUGUUUCUCAAAUGGAUGUAUCUAGAACUAACUUGGUGCUAGAUACAUCAAUUUGAGGGACAAGUUUUUUCUGACGAAGGGAGUAAUAAGGAUUUCAAUUGCAAAAUAGCAGUUUAGACUGAGUUUGGUUGCUGCAUUCGUUUAAGAUCAUUAUGCUGCGUUUGGAUGUUUGUAUUUGGGCUUGGAAAUGUGAUUUGGUUUUGGUAGGGGUUUAAUUCAGAUGAUCGAAUGUGCUUUGUGGUAGAGCCUGGUAACCGAGUAAAAUGCAGGUAUGGUAUACAUAUCACGUAUGCCACGUCGGCCAAGGGCCCACAGUCAGACGACUUGGUCAUCACUGGAAGAGGGUGAGAUAACGAAGUUGUUUCCUACCCUAGCCGCCACCACCAGCCAAGCGACUAGGGAGGCGAUCUCUUUCCUCCUAUCUCCACCGGCCAGGGCGCUGGUCCCCUCUCCCUUCGACCGCUGCUCCGGCGGGAGGGGGGACCCGUUCCUCCGCUUUUUAAAUAUAUUUAGUAUGCUAUGUCGACACUUCUCACUACACCACUUUUUCUGUGAGGUGCUCGGGCACUUUGGCCUGGAAUUUUAUGAGACCAUGUUCAUCAUCUAUUAUUUCAGUAAAAUUAGCUGAUUUGUCUGUGCACUCGAUUGCCCAGCCCAAGGCCUAAGCAAACAACACAGGUCCUUUAUCUAUGAAACUGCCGUCAUGGCCACGUUCUCCUUGGCGAAAUGGCCUAUCCACCAAUGACGCUCAUCGUUUGGGACCCCAUAGUGAAAUCUAUGAGUACCAGGUCAACUGAUCAGUAAUUUCAGUGAAAGAUGGCAGUCACAAGACUUCUUUCGACAUAAUAUGUUGAUCAGCCAAGUGGAUCGUUCAUUACUAAGUGAUGGAGUUCCAGAAUGAUUAUGGGCCGAGCAGGUCGUUCAAUCCUAAUACCGUGAUGGAAUUCUCAAAAGCGGAAAACCCGAGAGUAACCGCUCAUCUGAAGAAGCCUCGAUCUCCUCAAAAUUAUGAUAGUCUACUUGAAGUGACCUAACCAUUGGCGAAAGACUCUGUUCUGAAGGUUUUGACCUUGUGCCUUGGCUCGUUUACUCCUUCCUUCGCCUCGGUGUGGCUUUAAAUAUAUUAAAAAAAUAAAACAUGCUAUGUCGACACUUCUCACUGCACCGCUUUUUCUUUGUUCUAACUUUAGCUCGGAACCAGCCGUCGUUGGCGAGCUUGCUAAAGCUAUCGAGGAGGGGGAGGGCGUUGAUAUGAAAUAUAAUUAGUCUUCGAGCAGGACCGAACAAGGUGUCCCCUUGUGAGCUGCUCUAGUAUCUCCAAAAAAACUAAAUGCAGGAAAAUAGACCCAGUUGGUAUUACUUUCUCAAGCAGGUGCAAAUUUGCUACAUCUUGUAGGCGCAAUCUUCAGGCCAUCGUCGGAACAUCAACAAGCGGUACUCCGGUAGGGGGUGAGGGUACAUCCCGAGAGGAACGAAUCCCCCCUUGAGCUGGUGGAGAGGAGCGUACUGCCGGGUUGCAGAUGCAGCGGUUGAACGUCUCGGAGCAGGGGUGGUAGAAGAGGAGGAGGCCGUCGCAGGAGGCCUCAGUUUCCAAGCAGUGAUUACAGAUGAACGAACCCUCUAGUCGCGCCACGGACUAGAACCGGUCGGCCGGGGCGACCCCUGCACGGUGGUCGAAUGGGACAAUGUCUAGGAACCAACCGCUGUUGGUGAGUUUGCUGAAAGCUAUCGAGGUAAUGGUCGCUCUCGACUUUGUUCUUCGGAACAAUGGAGCGAGUUAAUAACUUAUUGGAAAUAAUACAUACCGAUGUAUGCGGUCCGAUGAGUGUUGAAGCACGUGGCGGGUAUCGUUAUUUUCUGAUCUUCACAGAUGAUUUGAGUAGCUAUGGGUAUAUCUACUUAAUGAAAUACAAGUCUGAAACAUUUGAAAAGUUUAAAGAAUUUCAGAGUGAAGUGGAGAAUCAUCAUAGAAAGAAAAUAAAGUUUCUACGAUCUGAUCACGGAGGCGAAUAUUUGAGUUACGAGUUUGGCCUUCAUUUAAAAUAAUUUGAAAUUGUUUCACAACUCACGCCACCUGGAACACCACAACAUAAUGGUGUGUCCUAACAUCGUAACCGCACUUUAUCAGAUAUGAUGCGAUCUAUGAUGUCUCUUACCGAUUUACCACUAUCGUUUGGGGGUUAUGCAUUAGAGACAGCCGCAUUAGGUUUUGGAUUUGUAGGUCGUGGUGUGUCGUUGGGGUGGUGGGGCCAGCGCUCGGAUGAAUAAAUCUGCUUCAACUCCACUCCCACACCAGUGAUGCCUUUUAUGACGGUGUCUCGGAGUUGAUGGCAUCGUGUCUCUGCCGAUCCCUCAUAUCGUCAGCAUCUGGGUUCAUGGAUGGUGUUGGUGAGGCGGCGGCGACUCCAUCAGGUGUGUCUCUCCUUUUGCUCUAUCCUUGUUGCUGUGGCGUUGUCUCCGACGUCAUGGUGGAGCAGAGAGGUUUUGUCAUUCAGGAGUACGCGCAGGCGGUUGUCUACGCAAGUGACAGCUGGAAGAUGGAGUAUCUUGUGCUGGGUCUGUGGUUGAAGGUUGAGAGUUCUAUUUUCCUCCUCCGAUGUCGUCGUCAUGCGGGGGUGUCAGUUCUGAAGUACGAUGACGUGUCCGGGGACAUGUUGCCCCGUCUGGUUCUUUCAACGGCUAUGAUUUUGCUUCUGGCAAACUACUUUGGAGGUCCGCAAAGCUGUUGAUCAACGAAGGAGUCGCGUCGAGCUUGGGUGAAGAGGUGAUCUGUCUUUUACCCUUUGGUGGUCGCUUCGGCGGUGUCGAAGGAGAGGGACAAACGCUUGUACUUAGCAUAUGAUUUUCCUAUCUUUUCAGUCAUUGUUGGUGUUUACAUGCCAUGCAACUUGAUCUUUAUUCUAUAUAUAAAUUAGACAUGUAUUACCAUAAAAAAAAGACAACUUGCUCAUCCCCUGGUCAAAUCGCAGUCGCUAUCCCCAAUCAUCACGGCGUCAAUGUUGCAGAUAGUUCGAUCUCCGGCGAACCUCCCAUCACCGUUGGCAUCCUAACCGUGCCUCCCCCUUCUGUUACCGGCGGUGGCUCGCGCCGCGGCUUGCUGGGGCAAGCUUUCCGCAUGAGGCGUGACGGCGGGGAGAGCCCUGACGGCUCCCGGAGGCGGGCCACGUGCGUUCCACUUCCAUGGAUGAGCAGAUGGUCGUGCGGGCACGUCCUCCUGGCGACGGCUGUCAGAGACUGUAGCGAUGCUGUGACGCCCGCUGCUCUACUGACCGCCAUGGAGGUAAAGUGCAGCUUCCUGCCGUCGGAUGUUUAAGGUUGCAAUGCUAUUCUGAAUUUGAAGGGUUGUGUCUGUCGACCAUUGCUAUGCAGGGUUAUGAUAUGGAUUUGUUAUGAAACGAAAUUUCUUUGUGUACUGCAAGUAAUUGGUGGAGUUCUGAGACCGCUUUUGUUGUGAGAGUGCUUGUGCUGUGUAGUAUAACCGUAUCCUUUUGCUGAAUCAUGAACUGAGAGUACUUGUCUUGUGUAUGGCUCUCUCCAUUGCACAUAUUUAUUUGAGUAUGACUGUGCAUUUUUGCUGAAUGAAAAUAAACAGUUUGAGACUACUUUUGCACAUACUUUUGCACAGUUUAUGACAUGGCUGAGCUGAGAGUUCUUGUGCAUGAAAAGAUAUCAAUACAUGUGCAAGAAUAUUGCAAUUGAGACUGAACUGAACUUGUGCAUUUGUAAUAUCAGCGCAACAGUACUUGUGCUCAAAUGAUCUGAAUUUGACCAAAUCUGCAUGAACCACAACACAUCUGAACUGAAGAUAAUAGAAGUUCAUAUAUAUGACUGAAUCCGCAUCAAACAGAACAUUGUUUAACUGAAUUUGCCUGAACCGCACCACACAUGUAGGUCCUGGAUAGUACAUAAGCCAUAAUUUAGGAAAUAAAAGAGAGAUCCAACAGCUUGAUCAUAAGCAGAACACAGCCAUUACAAGCUCUGUAGGUGAUCAUAAGCAAAAGACAGAAACACUAGUAGUUCAUUAACAAAAGACUGAAGCACGUGCAUUUUACUCCUGGAAACCUCACCCAAUACAGAGCCGAGGCGAAAUCCACGCGGCCAGCCGAGGUCGACGCCUCUCCUCUGCCCGCAGGAGAGAUUCUAUCUGUUUGACCGGUCGUCAUCAUGUUCUUCUAGCUAAUCUGGCUGCCUUCCUAGUUAAAUGUUGUAUCUUCUGAUUCUUCUAUGCUAUCCGAUGUGCCAUUGGAUUGAUCUCCAAGAAGGUAACAUCACUAGUUUGGACUUUGGAGGCCAUCAAGAUUCCCCCUAUGCAUUGCCACCUCUGCGUUCACCCACUCUAGAUCCACUGACGAUCUCAAAAGAAGAAGAAAAUGCGACGCGAAUUUUUAGGACAUGCGGCCACGCGAGGUCGUUAUCUCGUGCGUCGGCAGCGCGUCGCGAUCGGCAGCUAAUAUAGCAACUCCUCCCCACUAGCAAAUACGGCACAGUGUUUUAUUUGUUCUUAGCCGGGAUACGCCCGCUAUACGCUCUCAUUUAUGGGCCAGUAUGCAUUUACUUUUGUACAAAUACAGCGUUGUCCGUUAGCUAGUCGACACGCUGGGACACCCGUUCGGUGGUGUGGUCAUAAACGCCCUGACGUCGGGUCCACCAUCAUUUAGCAAGCGGGCGAGCCGUCUCCGACCAGUAGCACUGUAGAUCUUCUUGAAGCUGCGCACUGGAGGAGGCGCAAAGGGGGGGGGAGACGGCAUGGCUUCAGCAGAAACAGAGAAAUCCAGGUAAUCCCCGGCAAGAUCCAUAUGAAUACCCUUGUUUUCUCAGCAUCAUAGUACUAGACGAACUGUAAUCGACCCCCCUGUCUUCCAUAGCAUGCCGCUGAUUAUGGGGGAAAGCAACGGAUCUGUGUGCUCGCGAUUAUCGUGGGUGAGUGCUAGUUACCCCGAUUCUGCUGUUUUUGGCGUCGAUUCGGAGAGGCUGAGCAUGCUGCGAGAGGUUACCGAGGACGACCCCAGUGGCAGAUUUGCGGAUUUGAUGGAUUCUGUUGACGUUAGGUCAGAAACAGGCAAUGUGGAUCUAGAUGACAAUAGGGCUUUGAGGAUGGAGAAUAGAUAUACGGCUCUUGAUGACAAAGUUGGAUGGGUUACAAGGUAACUAGUUCCUGCCACAAGUUAUCGUUUUCCUUCACGCCUCUUUAGAUAAAUCAUACAUGGGCUCACUUUCCUUGCCGUGUUCAGGAACAGGAAGGUGGCAAUGCCAGACGAGAGAGCAACAAGUGCUGAAAGGGUGACAGCCCUGGAAACAACACUCACAGGAUUUGCCGAAAGAAAAACAGACACGAUGGUGACACCAUCGGUUGGGCUGACUUUUGACUCUAUAAUCGAGGCCUGCGAUUUUUACAAUCUUUAUUCCUGGGAGACAGGGUUCGGCAUCAGAUAUGCAAAGAGCAGAACCAAUGUCAAAGGAACGAGAUGCAUGCAGGAGUUUGUGUGCUGCUGCUCGGUGAGUAACCACAGUAUCAUGCUGAUUCUUGCUUCAUGUUCAGAAAGGUCGGAUAGGUCACUUACCAGCUUUUGUUUUUUUGAUAAAAUCAGGGCAAGCCAAAAGAGGCGAACUCAACAUCAUCACGGUGUCAAUGCCAAGCCAUGAUAAGACUCUUGCGUAUAGAUGACGAUGGCUGGUACAUCAACGAAUUCAGGUCCAGCCACAAUCACUCGAUGUUGAACACAUGUGCUGAGAAACUCCACUUCCCUUCACAUAGGCAUAUUGACAAAUAUACGAGAGCUAGUAUCUCAGCUUAGAGAGAAUAAUGUGAACCUGAGCAAAGUUUACAACAUUCUUGCAACUUUAUUUGGAAGGGUAGAAAACGUUCCGUUCACCAAAAGAUGCUUGAGGACACUAUGUGGGAAGCUGAGUAGGGAGCAGGCGGACGAUGAUGUACAGAAGACUAUGGCCAUCUUUUCAGAAUUGAAAGUCCAAGACGGCGAGUUUACUUACAAUGUGCAGGUAGACGAUGAAAGUAGGAUACGCACUCUCAUGUGGACAAAUGGGCGUAGCGAAAAACAAUAUCAUCACUUUGGCGAUGUGGUCACAUUCGACACAACAUACAAGACCAAUCUAUACGAUAUGCCAUUCGGAAUUUUUGUUGGCAUGAACAACCACUUCCAGAGUGUGUUGUAUGCUGGUGUGCUCAUGCGAGAUGAGGCGGUCGACACUUUCAAAUGGAUUUUUGAUGAGUUUGUGAAGAUGAUGGGAGGGAAAAGACCAGUUACAAUUUUGACAGGUAAAAUGAAAUGCAUCUGUGUUAUUCCCUUUUAGUUGCGUGAAGAUCUAUGAUUGACUUGUAUGUCGUGUUGUGUAGACCAAGCCAGGGCGAUGGAAGUCGCUAUUGAGGAAAUAUAUCCAGAUGCAACACACAGAUGGUGCAAGUGGCACAUCCUGAAGAAGGCCAAAGAGAGCCUGGGGUCUAAUUACACAAAGAAGUCUGAUUUCAGGGCAGAAUUCCACAAGUUGGUCCACGAGAUGCUCACCAUCGAGGAGUUUGAUGACGGGUGGGCAGCGUUGCUUGAGAAGUACUCACUGACUAAGAACACGUACCUGACGCAAAUUUACGAAACAAGGCAGAAAUGGGCCAAACCAUACUUUGCAGGAAAAUUCUGUGCCAGGCAAACCAGUACUCGAAGGAGUGACAGCGCAAAUCACAUGUUGAAACAAUAUGUUCCCCCUUCUUGCUCAAUGAAUCUUUUUGUCAAGCAAUAUAACAAGCUGCAGUUUGACCGUGAACAAGAAGAAGGGUUCCAGGAGAAACGAACCAGGCUGGUAUGACAAAUUCCACAUAAUGUCCUCCCGACAACCAAAAACUCGUGGGGCAUUUAACGACAUAUAUUUUCUCUCUUGUUGUUUUACUGCAGAGUGGAGCUGUCUUGAAGGUCAACACCCCACUAGAAGUGCACGCUAGCAAGAUUUACACCAGGAAGAUGUUUGAGAUUUUUGGAGGAAUAUUGUAUGAAUCCGGAAGCUAUGAUGUAGAAGAGAUCAUACCAAAGCAGAAAUACAUGGUGACCCACGUCAAGGCUGAAAAGCGAGAGAAAUGGUUCAAAUGCCGAUAUGAGGUCAAUGUGUUUGAUAAUCUGGGGUAUUUCUCGUGCAUAUGCGGCCUAUUCGAGCACAUGGGUAUGGGCUGCUGUCACUCGCUGCAGGUUAGCAAGGUGGCAAUUCUACACCUAGGGAUUUCAUCUCACCUCCAAUAUCUGAAUAAGCGGGAAACUGACUACCUAGGUUGUUUUAUCAUGCAUAUGUAGCUCCCCUGCUGCUUGGGCGAUGCACCUUCUGAUAUUAUAUGUUCUUCACAGGUCAUGAAUGUGCUCCGGCUUAGGGAGAUUCCCCACAGGCACAUCUUGAAGAGGUGGAGCAUACAUGGCAGAGAUAAUUUGCCGGAUCAUCUCAAACAUUACCAACAGGACAUGGGCCCGCUGGACGCACCCACUUAUAGUGCUUUGUACAUCACUGCCCUGGAGGUGGUUAAAAUGGGCGACAGAAACCUAGAAGCAUACAAAUUCAUGUUGGAUGGAUUGGUGGAUCUUAGGGAGAGAGGAGCUGAGAUUAGCGCACCAAAUGAUGGCCUAGGCAUCGUUGAGCAGCAGGUCUCGAACAAUGGAGUUGCGGGUGGUUGCAGCAAGAAAACCAAGACUUGUAAGGCGGCAUGCUCUGUAAGAAGUGUUGAAGGGAAUCACAUAACGGCCAUAGGAGAAACAUAGGUGUCGGUUCAUCCACCAGCAAACCAAGGCGAGGGGGCACCGACGUCCAAAGACAUGGCAUCAAAAGGAUCCUGUCCAAAUGCAGAUAGCUACAAUUCAGACUUUUCUGAGGCUGCAUCCAGGUUUACUGUCAAUCUGGAUGAGAGUCUGCUUGCACCAGAAAGGAAAAAGAAACGUGGCCGGCCAACAACAAGCAGGGACAAGGCUCCAUAUGAGAAGGGAAGCAACAAAAGAUCAAGGUUUUGUUCGAUCUGUAGGGGCAAAGGCCACAAGUCAAGCACCUGCCCCGACCGUGGUGACGCCCCUAGAAAAGAAAGGAAAGUGGGCACAUGCAGCAAGUGUGGAGUGCCUGGGCAUAGGAAAACAACAUGCAGCAAGCCGCUCUUGUCCUCGAUGGCCGGUGUUCCUCCAUCUCAUUAGUUUUUCCAAAAUAUUUGUCUGAACUUCUCGUCCCCUGUAUUUGGCUGUUGUAUUAAUAAAAGUUCUCGAAUGUUGUUGACUUCAAAAUGCAUCUCGGUAGGUGCCAUGUUUUUCUGUACAGUCACCCAUCAUCCAACUGGAGCACAUUGUUUUGCCACAAGGUUGGUUGUGUCCAUGCGUGUCUGGCUAGAGCACGUCUGUAACCUGGUGCACCAUGGGUAAAUUUGAAAAUGGCGUUUAAGCCCGCGUCAGGUCGCGGAGGUAAAUGAAGCAUUCAAGCUUACAGCUAUGUGGGGUCUGCAGAUUUCAAAAUUCAAACAUAUCCGCCCGCGCCUAGAGAGGGGGCUAUAUAAACACCUCGUGCAUGUGCUAGAUGGGCACAGCAAGCAUCAUGUCGAGCUCGUCUUCAGCUGGCUCGUACUCAGGAGGCAGCACAGAAACAAUUCAGGUGCUCGUUCGCCUCUUCUUUGUUUCUUUCAGCGCGCACGUUUUGUUCCCCCUCCUCAUGCAUUAUGUUUUUUAUGUAUACAGCGCGAGGUGCGUGCAGUACGUACAGAAGGGCAGUUGGGGAGACAAGGUGUUGCUCAACCUCAGAACGAUGUAAGCUUUUUCCGAUGGUUGCAUUCUCAAUGAACACGAUGCUGGCUUUCAUGGAGUCUUACAGUUGGGAUGCACAAACUCUAUGAUUUCAAGGUAGCGUGUGUGCGGCAGAUAUCGGAGGUGAGAAUGAAGAAUGCGUGGCAGCCAAUGCAUCCCUGGAUGCAAAAGUUUAUGAUUUAACAGAAGGGUCGGGCGAGAACGACCCUCAUGAGUCUGCAGAGCUGGCGCAAGAGAUAAAACCCGAACCUGCUGGGGAUCGACUAUUUCACGCUGUAGUAUACAGGUGGGCGUGGGCUUCAUGGGAAGACGACGACGAGGUCGAUAGCAUUGCAUGUAAAAGGCCCAAACUGUAUUGAUGCCCAAUGGGCCAGCUGUGGUAACCGGUUCGCGUGUGCCCAGGUGUAUGACGCUUGUACGACUCAUGAAUAAAAAUUGUCCGACGGCGCAAAAAUUCUUUUCUUGCCUAUGGUUUUAUGAACACAGCGAAUGCAUCGUACAGGCCUACCGUCUGAUCCUAGGAUUUAGGGUUUGAAAAAAAAUGUAAACAGGCUGUCUGUAUAUCCGUUGGGUGUGUGUAAAAGACGGUGUGAUAUUGCAAAAGGCAAAAAAAUAAAAACUGCAUUAUAGACAACACACAAAAAGUUGGAAAUGAAAUGGCGUCGUUCGUUAAAUAAAAGUUGUAAUGAAUGGCGUCGGUUCGUUUUAAAAAAAAGUCGGAAUGAAUAGCGCCGUUAUGUUUGUAGCUUUCAACAUAAAAGAAAACCUAAUUUGAAAGAUCUAUUAAUUCUGGGGGAAAGACAAACCUUGGUGACGCACGUUAGGCGUAAAUUAGCCAGGGCGAGUUUUUCGCAAAGAAGAAAUGACUACACCCACCUUUUGCGUUGGUUUCGAAAAGGAAGGGGAGAACCUAAAUCGAAUAAUCCAGAUGUUGCUCUUCAACGAAUCGACAAGAAAAUUCCGCGUAGGAGUGGGUGCACGUCAAGAUAGAAAAGGAGAACAUAAUUUGAACUGUCCAUUCCUUCUGGGAAAAAGCCGAUCCAUGGUCACCCACGUGAAGCAGAAAAAAUGCGCUGGUGAGAUUUUCCGAAACACGAACAAAUGUGUGUUCCCACACAUGACUUGCACUCGUGAAAAACCUAAAGUCGAAUAGUUCAUUUGUCGCUCUUCAGCGAAUCCACAAUAAGUUCUAUUGGGCACAAAACAGCCGCGUAGGAGUGGGUGUAUUCUAACCACAUGCAAUUCUCGGAGGCUCGAAGGCGACAUUUUCAGUUCUCGGUGUAAAAAAAGAAAGCCCGAGCCUACCACAAUGUUUACGAGAGGGCUUGUCCUUUUUUUCGGACAAUAGGUUUGAAUCUAAAAUGCCCGCAUGUUUUAUGAAUGCUAGCGUGGGGCAUUUUAUUUGAUACGGCAGUUGACACAACCGCCACCCGCGAGAGUGUCGACGGCCGAUCAUCAGACACGAAUCUCAGCGGGACAAGAAAUCGAUGAUACGACCGGGGCACAUACACCACCACCCUCCGCNNNNNNNNNNNNNNNNNNNNNNNNNNNNNNNNNNNNNNNNNNNNNNNNNNNNNNNNNNNNNNNNNNNNNNNNNNNNNNNNNNNNNNNNNNNNNNNNNNNNNNNNNNNNNNNNNNNNNNNNNNNNNNNNNNNNNNNNNNNNNNNNNNNNNNNNNNNNNNNNNNNNNNNNNNNNNNNNNNNNNNNNNNNNNNNNNNNNNNNNNNNNNNNNNNNNNNNNNNNNNNNNNNNNNNNNNNNNNNNNNNNNNNNNNNNNNNNNNNNNNNNNNNNNNNNNNNNNNNNNNNNNNNNNNNNNNNNNNNNNNNNNNNNNNNNNNNNNNNNNNNNNNNNNNNNNNNNNNNNNNNNNNNNNNNNNNNNNNNNNNNNNNNNNNNNNNNNNNNNNNNNNNNNNNNNNNNNNNNNNNNNNNNNNNNNNNNNNAAGAAAUAGGAAACUAAAUGUUGGUGCAUAAAAUGAAUAACCCCAACUUUCUACUCUCUCAUACAUCUUCACGGGUCGGAAACCAACUGAAGAUUACCAAUGACAUGGACCCAGAAUGUCCAAUAUAAAUAAAAAAAUUGUGCCUCCCCGAAGGAAAGGUUAGUCAAAAUGUGAACAGUGGUGUGCUAUGGGGGGUGGGUGGGUGGGUGAUCUUGCGCUAGGAUUGCGUGACCUGCAUCCAUCAUCACAACAGUGGCUCUGGUUUUACAAAAAUGAGCGGGGGUACGGGUUUUGAUGGGUGGCCAUGCUUCCUCCGGUUCGCUGUGUCUUGGGCUGCCUAGCAAUUUAGUCCCCGGUUGUCAUCUUGCGCUUGAUCGUGCGAUGGGUGGUUUGCAUACAUAAAGAGGCGUCGACCUGUAUAGUGCUGUGAGAAUUGAUUAGGGCGAUUUACUCCGUAAUUCUUUUUUUUCAUAUGGAUUGGUGUGAACGAUUUUCAAACUCGCCGCAGCGGUGCUCAAUGCGUGCAUGUGUGACCGGAUCACGUGUGGCCGCGUGUGUAGUGGCCCUGGACAGCCGGCUACAUGCUUGCAAAAGGUUCUUUGUACCGAGCAUGUAGUUUAGUUUAAUACAUAGACAUGGUAUGCUAGGAGAUCCCGGCCGGAUAGAGGACGUACCGCGCCUUGAAGCCAUGCUCAGCCAGCGAGCAUAGGCCAUCAUCGCGCUUUGCCGCCCUGGCAGUCCGAUUUGACGCGAGUAGACAGAGCUGUUUAGUCAGGCAUUACUCUUCUGUACUCUCUACCCCCUCCCCUCCGCGUGCAUAAGAAAGAGCUUGCCCGAGGGGGAGUCGUCUGAGGGAAGCCAUUCAUCUAUCCAAGAACCAGAGCACUCUACCACUGCGAGAGCUCUGCUUCUGGAGCGAGCGCGUCGCCGGAGCGGCGGCCAACUGCGAGGUGAGAAAAAAUCCUUUGCUAGAUGUAAUACUUUCUCGCAUUUGCUUGGAUGUAUACUGAUGGGGCGCUCUUGUUUCUUGUUCCCUGUUCUCUUUUGCUCUCCUAUCCUUUGUUUCGUUUAGAUGUCCGGGUCUAGCUGUCCACGUUGUAGCAAGGUUUAUGAGUCUAGGAAGAAAGCCGCGCAGCCAAAAUGCACAGUAGACAGUAGUUUCGCUCCCAAAGAUGUGUACGAAGCGGCUGUUCUUUUUACUGAUGAACAGAGAGAUGCUGUAAGGGAGAUUGGUCUCGGGGGGAUGCUAGCUAUAGGCAACAUAACCCAUGUGGAUCGGGAGAACUGCUGGAGUUUAUUCCUAGAUGUAGACCUUGAGCGUGGUGCACUCAAGAUAGAUGAUGGCGUUUACGUCACAUUCAACGAGGUUGACAUCCACAACAUCUUAGGAAUUGCACUAGGCGGAGAUAUAGAAAUAAAAAAGAGAGAUGUUGCACCUUCAACGGCACAGCUAGCGCAGAUCAGAGAGUACCUAGGGUUGCACCCGUCGAGCUUUUACAUAACUGUCGGUGACAUUAGAUGGGCGUUGAAGAAACCAUGCCAGACCACCCUGUCUGAAGAGGACAAGAUCAGGAUCCAGGUCGGUUUUGCCAUGCUUUGCAUGGCAACUUGUUUUAGUCCUAGGGAGAGGAGGCACACUGUCCCAACGGAGGCAUAUGCUAUUUGCAUGGAGCCGGCUAACCUGCACAGGGUGAACUGGGGAAGAUACGUUCAUUCUGAGCUCAUCGGCGCAGCCCAGGCGGCCCAUGCAAUACACAGUGAAGGGAAGAGGCCGCAGCUGUACGGGUGCCCGCUAGUGUUGCAGGUGAGGUGCCUGUUUCCAUCGUGCGUAGGAAUUUGAAUUAAUAUUAUGUUUGUUCAGGGCUUGAACUAAAUUGAGUCGGUUUGCUUCCGUGGCAGGCAUUGUAUUUCGACUUGGUCGACACUUCUGCAUCUGUCCAGCCUGACCCGCUUGUGCGCCCCAGAAUAAAGUUCUACACUGCCUCCAACUUGUCAAAACUGAUACUCAAAGAUACAGCCAUAGGCAGCAUUCCGAAGAGAUACGGUGUGAUGAAGGUGAUCAUUGGCCUUCAUCCCAUGUUUCUUUUUUUGUGCACACCACCCUUGUUCUGACCCAUGCAUGCAUGCAACAGGCCAGGCGUAUGACGGAUCAAAGCUUGCCAUGGAACAGAGAAAAUGUCAGGAGACAAAUCCAGGAGGUGAUUUCAUUAAACCCAUUCUUUUUAGCCACCUACAGAAGUGGUGCGCACUAACCAUUGUGUUUGGUUUCAGGCAAAAGCUUUCAUAGAUCGCUCACUGAAAGAGCACGCGCUGGCUAGUGCUGAGCGCAAUACUUUGUUCUUUCGCAACUUAACUGCACUUAAAGAACAUGCACAGAGAGAUUGAAAGGCACCUUGCUAACGAGAGGGUGAUGAAAAUGCGGGACAUGCAAGCUUUGCUCAAGUACGUGGAUGGGUUGGGCCUGGGUGAUUCAGUAAACGAGCUUAAAAACCAAGUGAUUGUAGUCGCUGCGCAAUCAGGUAACCAGGACAACGCACGUACUCUGUAUCUACCGUUGCAUUAAUUCAGUGUCUGUUCAUUUUUGGCAAAAAACAAAUGAUUGUUGGUUUUAAUGCGCAGGUGCGUACCAGGGGGUGCUUCCGGGGAAGGAUGCAGUGGAGCACAAGCAGGAGAGCCUGACGAAAUGAUCCCCACGGCAGGCGUCCUUCGUCCUGGUAAGUUUUCCUCUUGCAGUGUGAUAGAUGCGGUAGAUGUUACCAAUUUAUUGAUGCCUGCUGAACAAGGAGUACGCGAUGCAGUUGCCGUCCGUCCAGUGCCAGUUGCUCCCGCGAGCUCUGCCCAUGGCCACAUUGAGCAUGCCGAGACAGGUGAGACCCAGCAUUUAUGCAUAUACCAACAACGCUGAUGCUUACUUCAGUGAAUUAAAUGAGAAACUGGUGGCUUCCCCUCCAGGUCCGUUCCUUUUGCUGCCUGGGCAGCCACGCAACACCCACCACCCCGGUUCCGUUCUGCCGGGUGUGCCAAUAUUCAUGUCCAUGGGGUCUUUUGGCCAGUUGUAUCUAGAUGGUGGAUUAGAGAAUGUGGUGCAGCCUGUCCGGUGUGGCCAGCAUGAUGCAGGGGCUGGGCGGCCGAUUGGUGAAAAUAUGGGCUUCGUGCAACUGGGGAAGAGGAAAGAAAGGGAAGUGGAGGAUAGCAACGAGAUCAUUGUUUACCAGGGUAGACGUAAGUGGUUCCUGUGAAUGGAAUUUACUUAUGUCAGGAUACUAAAUUUGUAGUCACAGAUGAACGACGCUUGUCAAUGCAGGUGCAGCUGUUCAUGAGUUAAACUUGCUGGCAAGGUUUGGUGAGGAGGGAGAUGGGAGGAAGAUCGUUAUCUCCACGGAGAAUGGUGUCUCACCAUUCCGCAUCCCGGAGUUCAAUUACGAAUUCGUGUCGCCUCUAGUCGCCCACGCCGCUUGGGUACAAAUACAACAGUUAGCCCUAGAUGUAUUGAACAGGUACUGUUGGUCCCAGUGCGUUUUGAGAAAACACUGAAUUUAUCGCAUGUUGUCUGUUCAGCAGCUAGCGUUAUAUCUAACUGAUCGCAUCCCCGCCUUUUUGCAGUGUCUGGGUCGAUCAAUAGGGUCCGCCUCAUGUGAAAAUGACUGGCUAUGAAAUUUAUGAAAACUUUUGUCAGACACUGGAUGACAAGGGUUUCGAAGUCGCAAACAUGAUGAUGAGGGAACAAGAUGCAAGGUGGUACGAUCCUUCAGACAGGGCGCGUUUCCGUCACCCAAUGCCGCCUUACUUUGCGGUACGUAAUUCGAAUCGGCGAUGUUUAGUUCAAUGAUCCAUACAUGAUUAUCGUGGCCUGAGCGUCUUGUUCCUUGUUUCGUGCAGUCCCGGAUCAUGGAGGUGGGCGACGGUUUCUUGAGCGAUCCUUACAUAAAAAACUUGUUUGUUGGGGAGCACCUGGGAUAUGAUGUGGAGACAUGCCGCCUGGUAAUCCCCAGCUGAUCCGUAGAUCGUUAGUUCAUAACCAUGUUUUAGCAUGUUACGUGACAGCUGCAUGGAUGUGCUUUUUUCAGAUAACCGUGCCGUUCAAGGACGAGGGAGGUUUCUAUGUGCUCUAUGUUUUUGACAUGCUGAAGAAAAUUGCUCGCGUGAUGGAUCCGAGACGUACCCAGUGGAACCUUCUAGAGCUGGAGAGGCAACACGCACGGGUCCUCGACAGGAUGCUCUAUGGGCUGUGCAAGUGCAUUGACAAGUUUUUCAAAGGGUGGCAUGUCCGAGAAGAUGAAUUCAAAAGGGCGGCUCACCGCCUGAUGCAUGAGCCAUCGAACAGGUAUGCGCCCCCCAUCCAUCCGCUUUGAUGUUUGAUCUGCAGCUUAGAAUAUCAAAUUUACGUAUAACUUGUGCUCGGAUGCAGCGAUGACACUCCGUUCUACACUCUACACUACACUAUGUGCUUUGAUGGGGAGUUCAUGACAGAAGGGAUGUGGGCGGUGCGUGCAUUGUCCUAGCAACUAUUUAUUCUCGGAGUGAUGAACUCUUUCUGAAUAUUUGUUUGGUUUGUGUUGUCAGGACAAGAUGCUGCGGUUCAAGCAGAAGCUCAUGAUGCUGGUGCUUACUAUGCCAAGAAACAACGCCCUGCCUCCAGCCAUCGUGUUAAACCCACCUGCCUGAAGCCUCUAAGGUUGUCAAUUGUUCGGACUCCAAAAAUGACUGUUGGAUCUACUUUGUAAUAUGAACUCCAAAUAUUAUUUGUAUAAUUAGAACUACCCAUGCCAAGGGCUUUAGUCGUCAGUGCACUCAUCUUCGUUGUGGAAGGCGCCUAUCGGGCGCAAAGUUCUGUAUCUUCAACUUGUAGACCUGAACACCGAAUAUUAUAUGUAUAAUUAAUUUUAUGUCAUGUCGUUGGAAGCAUCGGGAUGAAAGCGUGUGUUUGGUUUGUUUCUUUGAAUAUGUUUUAGACAAAGCCGUGUGACCGCGUCUUCUUUUGGGUUAUUGGGCGGUUUAGCUUCAAAGCUUUUUUCCUUGGAAGAACAUCCACUCAAACACCAAUCAUCAACGGGAGUGGCACUCGUUUUAAUAGAAACAGGAACGGUUUAUGCAAGAGACCAUGCAAUUAGUUAGAAAACCAGAUAUUUCGGUGUAUGUUUUGGGGCUCAUUUGUUGUUUGAGAAGUUAAAAAAUCCUCUUUGGUUCAAUUCGUGUACGGCCAAACCGGUUUAUGUAGAAACCGCUCAUCCGGUUCAUCGACGGGAGUGAAGCUCAUCUUGAUAUAAACGGAAACGGUUUACGUAGAAAACCACGCGAUUAGUUAGAAAACCGAUGAAUUCGAUGUAUGUUUUCUUUCUCUCUUCACUGCUAUCAUGGUGUCGGAGGUGUCGCGAAGAAAAAAUGUUUGGUUUUCUCUUUGCUUAUGUUUUAGAUAAAGGCGUGAAACGUGUGACCGCACCAAGGGGUUAAGUCAUCAGUGCACUCAUCUUCAUGGUGGAAUGCACCUAUCGGGCGGGAGUUCUGUUUCUUCAACUUGUAUAAUUAAUUUUAUGGUGUAAGACAAGUGCCGGUCAUUUGUAAAACUACGGUGUAUGACGAAUGCCCCAUGUUUGGUUUUUAAUACUUUUAGAAAUCCUCUUUGGAUUGUUUUCUUGUAAACAUCAUGAGGCAUGUCCCACCAUUUUUGUGUGUACCUAUAGACUAGAGCUAUGUUGUACGCAAAAUGCCCCUCUUUUGAAUUUGGAGAUUUAAAAAAAAUCAUCUGUUGUUUGAGUUCUUGGAUUCCAAGAAGCUAUUCUCUAUGGAAGAACAUCCAUUCAAAUACCAAAUAAUGUUGCGGGAAAAAAAUGUAUGGUGUAUGACAAGUGGCCCUCGUUUUGUUUUUUUGGAAAAUGAGAAAAUCCUCAUUGUGUCAGUUCGAGUACGGCCAACACCCAAUCUUGGGGGAUUGGGUGGUUUAGCUUGGAAGCUAUUCUCCUUGUAAGAAAAUCCACUCGAACACCAAUAAAAAUUGCAGUGGAAAAAGCUAUGGUGUAUGACAAGUGCCCCUCAUUUGUUGUUUGAAAACUUUGAAGAAGCCUCUUUGGUUUAAUUUGUGUACGGCCAACACCCAAACCCACCGAAACACCAAUUUAUAUUACGUUGGAAAAUGUUAUGGGGCUCAUUUGUUGUUUGAAAAGUUAAAUAAGUCUCUUUGGUUCAAUUCGUGUACGGCCAAACCGAAUCAUCGACGGGAGUGAAGCUCAUCUUGAUAUAAACGGAAACGGUAUACGUAGAAAACCACGCAAUUAGUUAGAACACCGAUGAAUUCGAUGUAUGUUUUCUUUCUCUCUUCACCGCUAUCAUGGUGUCGGAGGGUCGCGAAGAAAAAAUGUUUGGUUUUCUCUUUGCUUAUGUUUUAGAUAAAGGUGUGACCGCGCCAAGGGGUUAAGUCAUCAGUGCACUCAUCUUCGUGGUGGAAUGCACCUAUCGAGCGGGAGUUCUGUUUCUUCAACUUGUAGAAUUGAACACAAAAGUUUAUCUGUAUAAUUAAUUUUAUGAUGUAAGACAAGUGCCGCUCAUUUGUAAACUACGAUGCGACCAUGCGAAUAGUUAGAAAACUGGUUAACCAUGUAUGUUUUCUUUCUCUCUUGAAAGCUAUCAUGCUGUUGGAAGCGUCGCAAGAGAAAAAGUGUUUCGUUUCUUGCAUUCCUAAAACUUAGAAUGUGACACCACGAAGCAGGCAAUUUUUCCAAAUGCCCCUCAUUGGGGUUUGGAAAUCUUCAAAAAAUCUUCUCUUGCUUGGGGUCUUGAAGACAUUACCGGGCACGUCCCAUGUUUGCAUUCCGAAGAGAAUGCUUAGUAUGUGAUUUGUGUAUGAAGACAUGUAUGAACAACAUCGUAAUUUUGGUUUGGGUUUUGCCGUCACAGAAAACGUCGUCACCUUUUUUGUUGAACUAGCGGAGAUUGUUUCCUGGUCUCGGGCAAGAGAGCUAUCGACCACGAUGUGGACCGGAAACAAUGGUGCUGCCUCCUCCUCGUCGUGCGUGCGUCGGAAAAGUCAGCCAGCUAACUGCAUGUGGACGCCACCGUUUCCGUGCGGCAGAGAUAUUCUGAGGCGCACGUGAAUCGAGUUUUAUUGCUCAGCAGUGCAACAGUACUGGCGCGACGGGAGGCGACUGUGCUAUACGUCUGGGGUAGCUUGUAGCUUUGCAGGUAGCUAGCGCGCGUGUUCGAAACCCAUGGCGUUUAUACUUUGAUCGAUCGAAGCCCACAGUCUUUGAUUAUAUAUUACACUCACCGACUCAUUACACGCAUUAGAGGGCGAGUGAUUAUUAUAUAUUACAAUAAUCGGUCCUGGUUGCCAUUACACGCAUUACAGUCAUAGAUAUUUGUUUACAGCCCCCGAAACGGGCUUGGUUGGCCACUAGACACAUUACACGUACUAGGGUGCAAGCUCUGUGUUUAUUUUAUAUGGAAGGGCAGCCAGCACGCGAAACUUAGAGCUCUUGGGCGGGCCAUGAGGUGAUUAGGUUGGUGAUGCUAUCCGGCAGGGGGGACAUGUUGCCCUUCAUUUCAACGAGCUCGGUCAGAAUCUCCUGUCGCUCUCCUACGAUUGAUCCCUGCGUGGUUACGAAAUGCAUCGUUAGAUUGUCAACUAGCCAGUCCACCGGUCGCAAAUCCAAAAUGCAUGCAAAUCGAAAAACGCACAUGUGACAUAUCCGCAAAAACCUGGUUGCCAUCGAAGUGUUUUGCCACGUGGACAAUCCAAAUCCCGGUGUCCUUCCUGCGAUCGGAUUAGUAAUUUAACAAUGGAUUGUGCGUAAAACCGUUUACGAGAAAGAUAACUUACUGCUUGACUGUGGUAGGCGAAGUGACAUGGAAGAUUUUCUCCCAUCUAAUGCAAUCCACGUGCCAGUUGUUGAACAGCUUGUAAAUCGUGGUGAAUAGCGCCACGUGGAGCUUGUCGGCGACGGCUUCCAGGAGGUCCGUGCGACGCUGUGUGGUGCAGCUCCCGUAUGACGGAUCAAAAAUAUUAAUAUUCUUGCGCUGCAUAUCCCAGUUGUACAGGCACCAUCCAAAGUCGAAAAUGGUUGGCAGGAAAAACUGCAAAUGUCAAAGAAAAUGGAGUGGUAAGCAGCACGGUCUGUAUUUUUCGCAUAUCGUUAAACGGGGUGGGUUAUUGACGCAUACCAUUCUGCACUCCGCGAUGUUGUGUGUCAAAUGCGGCCCAAUGAACUGUGCCGAUGCAGGAACAAGUGUCCAGAUUUCUUCUCCAGCCAAAGCGGCAGUCUAAGAUAGAAGGUUGUCAAAUUCUAAGCAGAAAAAUGAGAGCGCUGUUGGUGAUAAGGUGUUAUUCAUAAUUUAGAUACUGACUGAUAUAUCUGGCUCUAGGAAUAAACAAAAACAAGGCUGGUUGUUCACGUAAAGUGACUCGCCAUCAAUCUGAUCUUGAUGUCGGAAUAUAAGAGAACAUACUUCGUGGUCUAAUGGGUCCUUUCCUAAAUCUGGGUCAAUAGUGGGCUUGGGGUGAUGGAGAUGUACCUUGGUGUGGCAUGAGUUACAAAAGGCCUACGGACAAAAAGUGUUAGUUCGUGCGUGAAGAACAUUACUGGUUUUGGUACGAGGAUUGACGAACUGGGUUGCAUGUACCUUUCGAUUUCUUCAAUUGAGAUGCUCUUCAGGAAUCCGUCGAUGGCUUUCCAUACAGGGACUUGAAAACUUGGACGGCAUUUGCCAUCAAUCCAGUGCGACACGGUGAACCCCGCGUGCGCCCGCUCUUGCUUCGGUGGCAAUUCAGAUGAAGCCUGGCCGAACAGGACCGCGUCGGCUGGGUGCGCUGCAUCUCCGUCCAGACGAGGCCGAUGACGUGAACUUCUGACCAGAAGAGCUUUACCCUAUGAAAAAAUGAAACAAAAGGGUUUAUUCGUCUAGCCGGUGGGGGAAUAAUUAGGCACGAGUGCAAGUAAUGGACGUACCAUCGGAUUCGGUCAUUUCUAGCUUGCGACGGUAGAUGUUCAUGCACUGCGGAGAACCCGAGGGGGCAGGUGUGGUGAUGAUGCAUGGUACCGAUCGGAGGCUGCAGCAUAUGCACCCCUCGCCGAGCUCACUAACUAGCGAGUUGAGAAACUGAGUGUUCUCCUGUAUUAAGUCAGUCUUGAGGGUGUUUGCAAUCCUAAAAGUGGUGGUGUUGUGCCGCUUCAUCAGCAUCCCAACACUCGAACUUGCCUGGGGCAGACCAGUCAAGCCUUAUUUAUCGAAGUCGGAUAAUGUGGCGUGCCCGAUGAAAUAGAUGCGCGCAUGCAGCAAAAAAAUGAUCGUUGAUUACAAAAUGAUUGGCAUACCAGUUUCGGGUAAUUAUUCUUUAGAUACAUACAGAAGUCGCCUCCGGUCGGCAUGCGUGGGAAAAGAGGAGCUGGUGUGAUUGGAGUGGGUGACGCUCCAUGCGGCACUUGGGGCAGCCUGAACGAGAUCGGCUGCGGAUUAGCGAUGGUGUGGGUCCCGUGUGGCCUAGCUGGCGCCCGUACUCUGUUGCAUGGUAGGCCGGGCAGCAUGGGAGCCGCGCGGCCAACUGGAUCUGGUGAGGUGUCCCACGCACUCCUGGUAUAGCACACCUGAUCAGCCUCGCGGAUCUGUACAGUUGAUAUAAUUGCGGUUGAAGGAUCAGCACGUGGGUUCGUAAAAUCAAAACGUGGUUUUUAGAGGUGAAUAAUAAAAAUCGGAAAUUCAAGAACAGGACCAUUGCGCCGGAGAAGUCUGUACUGCCUUUCCCCCCAACGCUGCACUGUAAAAGCAUACGCCUGAACUGCAUGUCGUCGAACAUAGCUAUUCGAGGGAAUGUAGUGUGCAGUAGGUUGAAAAUCCCGAGAUCAAGGUUGUCUAGGUAAAAGACCUAUUUACAUAAAAUAAAAUGUUAAACGUGCGUAUGGGCACAAUUGAUUCUAGCGGUAGAAAUCCUGAAACUAACCUGCAAGAAUAAAUGGCAGGCGUGGAGAUACGUGACAGGCCGUCCUGCCUUGAGAUCUGCUUUUACUCUUGAACAUGCAACCAUCAACUCUUCUAUCACGUACUCGCACCAAUCAAACUCGCUAACGUGGUCAAUCUGGACGAGUGCCCCCCAGUAAUGCGUGUUUGUGUGAUCGUGGGUCGUCGACGGGGCAAGCAAAUGCCCCAUUACGAAAAUGACAAAUGCCAUUUUGAAACUGUCUAUCUCGAGUUUAGAACUUGACUCGUCUAUUGGUCUAACUAGUAUUUUCUCGACAGCAGAUAAUAGGUUUUUACCGCUCGAGUUUAUACUUAGCACAUCACGCACGUGGUUUGUCUCGGCGAUCGACGCUUUCUGUAUAUGUACGCGGCCAGACGGUACUCCAAAAACUUUGAACACGUCCGCUGCCCUGAAGGACAUUUGUCUGCCAGGACGGAUGUAAAUAGUUCUAGACAGCUCAUCAACUCUAGCCAUGAUCCAUAUACUUAAUCUCAGGCUAAUCCUUGGCAAAUGUGGCACCUCCAGUAUGCCUUCAAAACCCAUCUCCUCGACAAGAGAUUGUUUGAAGUCAUCAAAGGAAUCAAGCNNNNNNNNNNNNNNNNNNNNNNNNNNNNNNNNNNNNNNNNNNNNNNNNNNNNNNNNNNNNNNNNNNNNNNNNNNNNNNNNNNNNNNNNNNNNNNNNNNNNNNNNNNNNNNNNNNNNNNNNNNNNNNNNNNNNNNNNNNNNNNNNNNNNNNNNNNNNNNNNNNNNNNNNNNNNNNNNNNNNNNNNNNNNNNNNNNNNNNNNNNNNNNNNNNNNNNNNNNNNNNNNNNCUUCGUGCCCUGGGGGUGCAUGGGUUCAUCCAUCUGCAUACACAAGCACACAUGCGCGGACAAGGGGGAUUGAUUACACCUUCACGAGUACAGAAUGAAAGAAAGGAGCAACGAGAAGAAGAUGCUUACCUUACCGUUACCGGUGUCCGGCGACGGCCACAACACGGCGACGGCGGUGGUGUUUACAAAGACGGUGAAUCACGUGUUUGUGGCUGUGUGCUACCAGAUGAAGGAACCGUGUGGUGUGUGGGUCGAGGCUCGGGCCGCGGGAGCUCAAUUUAUAGAGCACGCGUGCCCUGGCGUCUUCUGCUCCAUUGCAGGCCAUUGUAAUUGGAGCAAUCAAUUAAUCAUGGGUGUGGCAUUGAUGGGGCGCAUCGCCUUCUCUUAUUGGUGCAUUCAAGUGCAUGGCGGACGACGACUGGGCGAUGACUCAUGACUCCACUCUCUCUUACAAAAAAUACGUGUUUGCAUCUGUUUCUUGAUUAGAGACAGUCUAAUUACGACGGCGGGGGGUACAUAAUUAAUUGCACUUAGCAGCUCCCGCCCUUGCAUGGGCAAGCUGGACAUACUAACUGAUACAUGCAGAUCACUAGAGAUACUGUAACAUACGAAAAGGAAACGGCAUUCCCUACGCAGAGGGGAUACAGCCCAUGUGUGACUACGACAUUGCCCUGUUCAUGGCCAUGGCAAUGCGGUGGGUACAUCAAACUCCACUGAGCGGCAUGUGACGCCCCCGAUUUAAUCGUACACUAAUCAUGCACGCAAACGUGUACGAUCAAGAUCAGGGACUCACGGGAAGAUAUCACAACACAACUCUAAAACAUAAAUAAGUCAUACAAGCAUCAUAAUACAAGCCAGGGGCCUCGAGGGCUCGAAUACAAGUGCUCGAUCAUAGACGAGUCAGCGGAAGCAACAAUAUCUGAGUACAGACAUAAGUUAAACAAGUUGCCAUAAGAUGGCUAGCACAAACUGGGAUACAGAUCGAAAGAGGCGCAGGCCUCCUGCCUGGGAUCCUCCUAAACUACUCCUGGUCGUCGUCAGCGGGCUGCACGUAGUAGUAGGCACCUCCGGUGUAGUAGGGGUCGUCGUCGACGGUGGCGUCUGGCUCCUGGACUCCAGCAUCUGGUUGCGACAAACAGAAAGAAAGAAAAGGGGGAAAAGGGGGGGGAGAAAGCAACCGUGAGUACUCAUCCAAAGUACUCGCAAGCAAGGAACUAAACUACAAAUGCAUGGGUAUAUGUGUAAGGAGGCCAUAUCAGUGGACUGAACUGCAGAAUGCCAGAAUAAGAGGGGGAUAGCUAGUCCUAUCGAAGACUACGCUUCUGGCAGCCUCCGUCUUGCAGCAUGUAGAAGAGAGUAGAUUGAAGUCCUCCAAAUAGCAUCUCCAAGUAGCAUCUCCAGUUGCAUCGCAUAGCAUAAUCCUACCCGGCAAUCCUCUCCUCGUCGCCCUGAGGAAAAGCGAUCACCGGGUUGUCUGUGGAACUUGGAAGGGUGUGUUUUAUUAAGUAUCCGGUUCUAGUUGUCAUAAGGUCAAGGUACAACUCCAAGUCGUCCUGUUACCGAAGAUCACGGCUAUUCGAAUAGAUUAACUUCCUUGCAGGGGUGCACCACAUAACCCAACACGCUCGAUCCCAUUUGGCCGGAUACACUUUCCUGGGUCAUGCCCGGCCGCGGAAGAUCAACACGUCGCAGCCCCACCUAGGCAAAACAGAGAGGCCAGCACGCCGGUCUAAACCUAAGCGCGCAGGGGUCUGGGCCCAUCGCCCUGAGCACACCUGCACGUUGCGUGGGCGGCCGAAAGCAGACCUAGCCUAGUGGCGUUCCAGUCCAAUUCGGCGCGCGCCGCUCCGUCGCUGACGUCUGAAGUGCUUCGGCUGAUACCACGACGUCGGGAUACCCAUAACUACUCCCACAUAGAUGGUUAGUGCGUAUAGGCUCGUAGCCAGACUCAGAUCAAAUACCAAGAUCUCGUUAAGCGUGUUAAGUAUCCGCGAACGCCGAACAGGGCCAGGCCCACCUGUCUCCUAGGUGGUCUCAACCUGCCCUGCCGCUCCGCCACAAAGUAAUAGUCGGGGGCCGUCGGGAACCCAGGCCCACCUCUACCGGGAUGGAGCCACCUGCCCCUUCAGCCCCCAUCUCCGAACAGUAUCACAGGUAAUGUAACUGUGUAAAGUAUAUCGUAUAUGCCCGUGAUCACCUCCCGAAGUGAUCACGGCCCAGUAGUAUAGCAUGGCAGACGGACAAGAGUGUAGGGCCACUGAUGGAACACUAGCAUCCUAUACUAAGCAGUAGGAUAGCAGGUAAUGGUAACAACAGUAGUAGCAAGGACAGGCUAUGCAUCAGGAUAGGAAUAACGGAAAGCAGUAACAUGCUACACUACUCUAAUGCAAGCAGUAUAGAGAAAAGAGUAGGCGAUAUCUGGUGAUCAAGGGGGGGGGCUUGCCUGGUUGCUCAGACAAGGAGGGGUCGUCGGUGACGUAGUCGACCACAGGGGCAUCAGCAUAGGUCUCGGAGUCUACCGGAAAGGAGUAACGGAGGGGGAACACAAUAAAUAACAGAGCAAUCAAAUGUAACACAAAGCAAGACGCGGCAAUAUGCGGUGCUAGGGGUGACCUAACAUAGGGAUAGGCGAUACCGGUGAAGGGGGAAACAUCCGGGAAAAUAUCCCCGGGGUUCCGUGUUUUCGGGCAGAGGAGACGGAGGGGGAAAGUUGCGAGUUUGAUAUGUUAGGGGUGUGUGGCGGACGAACGGGUUGCGUAUCCGGAAUCGUCUCGUCAUUCUGAGCAACUUUCAUGUUGAAAAUAUUUUAAUCCGAGUUACGGAUUAAAAGAUAUGAUUUUCUAAAGAUUUUAUUAAUUUCUGGAAUUUAUUUAAUUAUUUAAUUAAUUCGGAAAAUAGAUUUAUGACGUCAGCAUGACGUCAUGCUGACAUCAGCAGUCAACGGGGGUUGACUGGGUCAAACUGACGCGUGGGUCCAAUGGGACCCACCUGUCAUGCUAUGUUAGGUUAAUUAGGAUUUAGUUAAACUAAUUACUGUUUAGUUAGACUAACAGGUUAAUUAGAUUAAUUAAGCAGGAUUAAUUAACUUAAUUAAUUUAGUUAAUUAAUUAAUUAACUAUUUAUAUAUAUAUAUAUUUAAUUCUUUUUCUUUUUCAUCAUUUUUUUUAAAAUGUUCUGGGGGGCGUGGGCCCCCCCGNNNNNNNNNNNNNNNNNNNNNNNNNNNNNNNNNNNNNNNNNNNNNNNNNNNNNNNNNNNNNNNNNNNNNNNNNNNNNNNNNNNNNNNNNNNNNNNNNNNNNNNNNNNNNNNNNNNNNNNNNNNNNNNNNNNNNNNNNNNNNNNNNNNNNNNNNNNNNNNNNNNNNNNNNNNNNNNNNNNNNNNNNNNNNNNNNNNNNNNNNNNNNNNNNNNNNNNNNNNNNNNNNNNNNNNNNNNNNNNNNNNNNNNNNNNNNNNNNNNNNNNNNNNNNNNNNNNNNNNNNNNNNNNNNNNNNNNNNNNNNNNNNNNNNNNNNNNNNNNNNNNNNNNNNNNNNNNNNNNNNNNNNNNNNNNNNNNNNNNNNNNNNNNNNNNNNNNNNNNNNNNNNNNNNNNNNNNNNNNNNNNNNNNNNNNNNNNNNNNNNNNNNNNNNNNNNNNNNNNNNNNNNNNNNNNNNNNNNNNNNNNNNNNNNNNNNNNNNNNNNNNNNNNNNNNNNNNNNNNNNNNNNNNNNNNNNNNNNNNNNNNNNNNNNNNNNNNNNNNNNNNNNNNNNNNNNNNNNNNNNNNNNNNNNNNNNNNNNNNNNNNNNNNNNNNNNNNNNNNNNNNNNNNNNNNNNNNNNNNNNNNNNNNNNNNNNNNNNNNNNNNNNNNNNNNNNNNNNNNNNNNNNNNNNNNNNNNNNNNNNNNNNNNNNNNNNNNNNNNNNNNNNNNNNNNNNNNNNNNNNNNNNNNNNNNNNNNNNNNNNNNNNNNNNNNNNNNNNNNNNNNNNNNNNNNNNNNNNNNNNNNNNNNNNNNNNNNNNNNNNNNNNNNNNNNNNNNNNNNNNNNNNNNNNNNNNNNNNNNNNNNNNNNNNNNNNNNNNNNNNNNNNNNNNNNNNNNNNNNNNNNNNNNNNNNNNNNNNNNNNNNNNNNNNNNNNNNNNNNNNNNNNNNNNNNNNNNNNNNNNNNNNNNNNNNNNNNNNNNNNNNNNNNNNNNNNNNNNNNNNNNNNNNNNNNNNNNNNNNNNNNNNNNNNNNNNNNNNNNNNNNNNNNNNNNNNNNNNNNNNNNNNNNNNNNNNNNNNNNNNNNNNNNNNNNNNNNNNNNNNNNNNNNNNNNNNNNNNNNNNNNNNNNNNNNNNNNNNNNNNNNNNNNNNNNNNNNNNNNNNNNNNNNNNNNNNNNNNNGAUGGGGUUCGUUCCCCCGAUCCGAUCUGGAUCGGGGAGGAGGGGGGGAGAGCGAGUGGUGGGGGGCGAGUGGGGAGAGUGGAGUGGCGGACCGGCUAGGGUUCCGAUCGGGGUGGGGGUUAAGGGGAGGCCGGCUGGGCCAGGUGGGCCGGCCUGGCCGGUGAGCUGGGCCGUCUGGCCCAGUUGGCCAGGGGGCCUUUUUUUUCUUUUAGUUUUGUUUUGUCUUUUGCUUUUGUAUUUUUUUUAUUUCUUUUCCUAUUCUGUUUUAUUUAAUUUAGAACAUUUAGGUAUUUUAUAAAAAUGGGUUUGUUGCACCAUAAUUAACUUUGUAAUAUUUGACAACCACCGAACAUUUUAGUUUUAAUUUUUGAAAACUUUUAUUGUUACCAUUAAUUUGAAUUUGAAUUUCGAACGGUUCCGAAUUGUUGCGAGGAUAGCAACAGUAACCGAGGUGUCAUGGCAUGAUUAGCGUGGGAUUACUGUAGCAUGAUUAUCCGGGCGUUACACGGCAGCAAGACGAAGGCAUGUAUGAGUACGACACUACGUACGCAGGACAGGGUGGUGCUUCAGAACUUGAGGAGGAAGAUAGUGACCAUGACCACCAAAUUCGCGAGGCACAGCAUCAAUAUGUUCUUCAGGAAUGCAUGGUUCUGCUCGAGCAGCGCGACGUGGCGAUGAACCGACGCGUGCGAAAUCAGAUGUCCCCACCGCUGGCUUAAGUACUGUAUGUACUUGUUCUCCCACUUCCAAAACUCGCACCCUCCAUGCUGCAGAAUGAACAAGAAUCAGCAUGCCCUGGAGAACAUGAGCUGCGUGGAUAUGAAAAAACUUACCCCAUGCCGUUCGCACUUGUAGAAGUGCCUCCCUAGGUUUAGUUCUGUCCCGGAGACAAACCACGUGACGUAGCCGGCGUUGCAUUCGGGGCAACGGAUGAGUGGGAGUGGCGGCAUCUGGUUGCUCGUGUGAUGAGAUGGCGGUGGUGUCGCACUGCUAUGGGACAUGGACGAACACAUGCUUUGCAAGCCCAGAUAAUCUGAGAAUAUUGGAGAAUGGGAGGAGCUUGGAAUGGCCAUCCAAAGCAAGGAAGGAUGGCGUUUAAAUAGCCAGCGAGGAGCGUCGCCCAGCUAGCCGUUGUGACUAAACGGUGACCAACGCGAUCUCCCUCACAUGCCUGAUGCGGGUAGCCGUUGUCACUGCCGGGCAGUAAAUGUGGUCGCUGCCUUCCGUUUCAGCUAGCCGUUGUCACUACCAGAUGCCAUGUGGGCCUUCAUUGAUGCGCAGAGAUUAAUACGAGAGCUAUACGAGAUGGGAUACGCUGCCCAGUGGCCUUUAUACGCGAACGUCGUAUUGGAGUUAGCACGAAUCGCGUGGGGACUACCGGUGCGGAUAACGACCUCGCGUGGCCGCAUGUGCACACGCGAUUUAUCGGUUAUUAUGUGGCAUGUUCAAUACGUUUGCCUUUAGCAAUCUCUAUAACAUGUCUUAUUACUAUAACGACAUUGUUUUGCGAUCGAGAUUAAGUUUUCUUGCACAACAAUAUUGAUUUGCGAUUGAGAAAUAUAUUUUUUUCUCGCAAAACAAUCUCAUUGCGAAUGAGAUUAAUUUUCUCUCGCAAAAUAUUAAUUCACCCUGCUGAAUUAUCUUGCAACUUGAUACAAUAACAUCUCAUUAAAUUUGAGGUGUAUAUAAUUCAAGUUUUUUCACUUGAACAUCAAGUUUGCAACAUCAUUACUAUUCAUUUAUAAUAGUGGUGUAUUUCUGUUGAGUACGAUGUAUUCCGGAAUGUAUGUAUCUCCAUGUUCGCUACAUGUCGAGAUUAAUAUGUCUAUUUGUAAUUGAGAUUUUCAAUUUCUUGCAAAUACAUAUGCAAAAUUCUUAGUGAUUUCUUCAAAUUGAUGUAUUGGGAUCCCGAGGUAGUGUGUAGAUCUACUGCUUUGCAGAUUAUCACCACUACUGUUUAAGCCUACAUUUUGUCAAAUUUGACAUUAUGAUUGCACAACAUUGUGCACUCCCAUGCAUUUUACUAAGUCAUGACAUAAGGCAUUAGGAGUGAGUAUCUACUAAUUUCAUCAGAUUAUACUCCCUAGUGCUGCGAGAUCUACUUCAUUUUGGAGAUUAUCUUCAAGGUGUCAUGCUUAGCAAUUUGAGAUUCACAUUAAUGGUUUCAAGAUAACUUCUUGAAAUAUCCAUUAAUUUUACAAUAUUACCAUGAUGGUCUUCAAUUUACUAAUUGUAAAUUAACUAUCUCUGGUAACCGAUGGCUAGAGAAUUUGAGGCAUUCGCCCUCAAUCGCCACCACUACCCUACCUGGGCAUGGACAUCAUGAUCACUCUUGUGUCUUGUGGAAUAGUGUGUGCAAUCCAAGACCACAUGAUUAACCUCUGGUCGGAAUCACACCGCUAACAGAAAAAUAUUGUCUUAUACAUCAUAAGGCAUUAUAUCGAUUCAGAUCUCUGCAUCUGGUUAUUCUGUAUCAGCAAUUCCUAGGACACAAUAGACCUCAAGGGCAAAGGUUUGGAGCUCACUUCAACCUUCAACCCGACAUCACCAGCAGUGACGGGACCCUAUGGGCACGGAGAAUAUGAUGGUUGAAUAUGACUCAACUAACAUGUUUGAAGACUUCGUCUAGUCUCUCAAUCUCCUGAGUGGUCAACAUAAUUUAUGUCCAUUUAUGAUGUUCUAAUAAGAACAUAAGUAUUGUUGUCAUCAUAUAUUGUAUAUCACAAUAUAUUGUAUCAGCACUUUGUUACAAAUAUAUUUGUAUGUAUUCUAUAUAUCUGACAGUGAUUUUCAUAUUGAGAAUCUUCAUGUCUAUAUAUAGAUUUCUAGGGAGUCAAUCCGAUGAAAAAUGAUAUGUGCCUUGUGGACAUAUGCACCACAAACUCUAUACUCAGGGAAGUCUAAUGUAUUUUAAAAUCGCUAGACGCGAUGAGGUAUUUGUUGGCUCAACUCGAGUCAUAUUUACUAUCCCUGUGGGUGCCCGAGUAACAUCGGGAUGCUUUAUUGCUUCCCAAGUUUAACUCGUACCCUACUAAACUAUAGAGGUAUCCGUCAAAAUAGUUUCCAUAGCGAAACUUAUGAUGACAACAAAGAGAAAUAUCUUCUCUUUACCAUAUGCAACGGAUAUGGCAAGCACAUUCUCUAUGUAUCAUCGGCAUUGCACUACACAUACUACAAAACCCGUAGCACAUGUUGCGUACGAGAUAGUUUUCCAGAGUGUCUUUUGCAUGACAAACUUGGCAUUCCUGCUUUGGUCAUCAUUGACAUUGGGUUGAAACCGAAACUAUCAACAAUUCCACUUGUUUAUGAUUGUUAUGAUGCUAAAUUCUAAUAACAUUUGGAUUUUAUGUGCACUACAAGUGACACAGGGAAGCUAAUUUUAAGGCUCGCACACCUUAAAGUCUACGCUGAACCACUCAGACUCCUUGAAUGCAUCAAGUCGAGGUAAGUGGCUCUUCCCAGCCAUUGAGUAGACUAUUCAGGUAUCCAUGGUUCUAAAAGACAUAUCUACAUGAUGGUCUUAAGUGUGUGCUUUAUUCACACGAAACCAUUGGCCAUUAUCCUGACAUUGAUUUCAAGCAAAUUGAAUGGAUAACAUUGCAGAAUUCUCCUUGAGGGCCAUCUCUAUGGCUUUUGGAUUGAAAUUUAGCAAUUUGUCCUAAUGUCUAGACUCAAAAUGGUUUGGUAGAAUCCUAUCCAAAGAGUUAAGCUCAUUGCAUUAUAUUUACUUUGGAAUUGCAACUUACCAACUUUACGUUGGAGUCAUGCAGUUUUACACGCUCAUGAUAGAACUGCAUAAUAUUAUUCCCCACUAUCUUUGAUAUGUGGAUAUCUACCAAGUAUUUCCUAUCUGCGGUAAUUCGGUUGCAUACCGAUAUCACCACCCGGCAUACAUCAUUGGCCCCUCAACAUAUAGUUGGGAUCUAUGUGAGGAAUAACUGUAUUUCCGUCAAUACCUCAAGCCCCUCACAUGGGGAGUUAUUCAAGGCUAGUAUGUUGAUUCAAUGAGGAACAUUUCCAGGCAUUAGGGGGAGAUUUCAAGUACCAUAAAGAAUGCCAGGAAAUUAGUGGAAUGUUCAACACAUUUUCUGCCUCAAAUCCACAUACUCAAAGAUCUGAACCAUGCAUUCAGAAGAUUUGCAUCACAUUGCAAAUAACCUGCUAGAUUCAUUUACUGACUAUAAAGGUGUCACACAAUCCUAUAAUCCUGCAAAAAUAUGCCUGAAAGAGUGAUGGUACCAACAAAAUUCACUCCACUCCCUGUUCAUAGCAACAAAGGGAGAUGUAUGGCAGAAGUACAUCAGGAUUCAGCUUCCCGCAAGCAAGGAUAUCAAGGCCUGUGAAUCAGUAAAUGCAAGUCAACUUCACGUUGAGAGACACCUAAUGGGUAGUAUACACCCAAUGGACGGGAAACCUCCACCAACCCAGGUCAUAGUGCACACAAUGACCAGGACAUCGGAAUACCCGACUCGAUCGCAUUGGGAAAUCGCGAUCAGUCACCAUGGGUAACGAUAUUUCCAUCAAGUCUAUAUUGAUAUAUAGAUUCUGGAGAAUCAUAUAACCGGAAGUCUACAAUUGUCGACAUAUAUUUCUCAACUAGAUUGCAAAAACCUUUCAAACGAUUCAGAUCUAAAGACCAUGGCCAUGGCAAAGUGUGAACAACACUCGGACUGAACUCAAGCAAAGGGUAUAAUCUAGGUAGAAAUGAUCUUGCUCAAUAAUGGGAAGGUAUUCAUAAGCAAUACCUACACCAGUUUUCUUCUGGAAACGGAAUUGAGAACAAUGAGGUGGUGAAACAUAGAGCAAGUAUUGUAGCAUAAGGGUUCACGCAGAUACCCAACUAUUCUCCACAGGUGGAAUCUCUUUCCGAUAACUUAUAUCAUUGGCAGUACACAAUCAUCUAUCUCUGCAGUUGAUAGAUGUAGUGAUUACAUAUCCAUGUGCAUCACUAGAUUCAGACAUAUAUGAUUGAUUCCCGAUGGAAUCUCAAUUCUGAAUCGAAAUACAAAAUGCAACAUACAUUGUGUAAAAUCAGUAAGUCACCAUACGACUUAUCGUUGUCGGUACAUUUGGUACAACCGACUUAGUGAGUUCCUUUCCACAAGGAUUACUCCUACGAUGAUGAUUACCCAUGUUUGUGUGUCUGCAAUGACGACACAUGUAAUCAUCUAAAUGACGGAGUUUAAAAUGAAGGAUCUGGGUAAACCAAAACACUGCUCGUUACUACAACUUGAGCACCUUCAUUCAUACAUUAUGGUACACCAUGUUGUCUAUAUCCAAAACAUAUUGGAGAAACUCAUUAUGGACAAAUCUUAUCCAUCCAUAACUCUCAUGGUAAUUCAUUCUCUAGAUGUAGAGAAAGAUCUAUUUAGACCAAGAGAUGAUGGAAAUGAGAUAUUGGGACUCAAUGUUCCAUAAUGCCAUUGGAUUCACGAAACACAAUUGGUUGGUACUCAAGAAUAUCUUUCGAUAUCUCCAAGGCAUCAAACAUCUUGUCCUGGUUUUCAGUUUCACAGGAAUGUGAACUCCAAUAUCAUUGGAUACAUCGAUCAGAUCCCACUAUGUCGGAUCGUAGACAAGCUUAGUGUUCCUAUUAGGUGUGGUAGCCAUCUCAUGGAGAGUCUUUGAAACAGACCUCAUGGCUACAUCCAUCAACCAUUAUCUCAAGAUAAUGUUUCUUGUGUUGUCCGGAUGCAAACAGGUUACUAAUAAGCAAUAUCUUUAUAUUGCAUAUCUUGCAAGUCGAAUCAUGCAACUGAUUUGUUCACCAAGUCUCUACCAACUUUUACAUUCCAGAAACAUGUUCAUGGAAUUGGUAUCUGACGGCUUUGGAAUUUGCAAGAAUCAGGGGGAGUAUCUUCCUGAAUUGUUCCUGUUCAAUGCAUCAUAUUAUACUCUUUUUCCCUUCAUGAGUUUACUAUACAGGUUCUCAUAAAGGUUUUUAAUGAGGUAAUAUCAACAUGAGAUCAUAUGUCAUACUUUCUGUUUUCCCCACCGGGUUUUUUGGGAAAGUAUAUACGACAUAUUUAUUGUUCUCUAAACUCUAUGAGUUUUCUCGUAUUGAGUUAAAAGAGACAAUAACCAUUAUAUGUUGCAUCAUUUUCUCCUUAUUUUUCCCACUGGGUUUGAAGGAGUUUAGCAACAUAUCAAAUAGUAUACUCCUCACAUUUUUCCCACAUGGUUUUUGGAGGAGACUUUUUCAAGAUGAUGAUAUUACAUGGACAAGUGUAGAUUAGGGGGAGUGUUAAAGCUUAAUUAACUUGUGUUAAUUAUGGGGGAAUCUCCCCUUGUACCAACCACAGCCAGUUUGCGUUGGCAACUGUCGCGUCGGUUCCUGACAUCUCUCCCGAAUGGAUGCCUCUUCGAUGCAUCGCUUCUGCCUGUAUAAAUACCUACAAUCAUCUAAUGAAAGGACACUCAUUCACUUUUACAUUUGUGCCGAGGCUCUCUCGAUUGUUCUCUUGUUUCCCUUUCAACACUCACAUCUAAAAGAAUUCAGAUAUUGCCCCUCUCUCACGGGGGUGAGGAGUACAAGUGGGUCUACCUUAAAAUCUACUGUUGCAGAAAAAAAUGUACAUCCGAAGACUCCGGGAACCAAGUCCAAAUAAUCGAUCAAAGGAGAAAAAAAGUGCACAAAUACAAUGUUCGGAAACUUCAACACCCCCACACUAACAACAUCAUCGCACACACACCAGGGAAGCUGGUGUGUGGUCAAUCUCAGGCGCUUGUUCGUGGUUAACCUCGAACAUUGGUCCGGCCUUCGGGUUUCAUUCAGGAUACUCCGAGCCCCUCACCGAGAGACUCUGGACACAGGGUCAGAGAAACCCUCAGACACUACGGAGUCCUACUACACAUAUGAAGACUCCUAGUUCCACACAUCCAAUAUAAAUCCGAUUAUGUUGUACGUUUUGGUCUGACUUUUGUGGCGACAAAAGGAUAAAGUUGAGCAAUGAGCGCCUCCCUUUUCUUUCGGCAUCCAUUGUAAUUAGUGUGGCUACCCCAUGACUCAAGGUGAUUACACAACAUCACAAAAACAUAGGAAAGUUAAAAUAUAUUUUUGGAAAGCCACUGCCUAAAUUCCUUUUACUUUUCGAGGGGGGAGGGGGCGUCAAUGCCCUGGAACAUUUGGCACUGAAACAUGUUCAUACACUUAGCGCGCACACACACAUUAGUGAAUUAAUUGUUGGAUGUUAAUUAUAAGAAUCCAUUUAGAGACCUAGAUGUCCAUUCAAGACUAUAACUACAAUCGCAUGUGCUAUAGAAAAUGCGGUAUUAAUGAGAAUUAAUACACAAUACCCUCCUCCAACUACAAACCACUCUUUUUUGUCCUUAAGCUAUGAAAGUGACCAAAUCGGUUCCUAAACUAUUCGGGUGGCUCAUCUUAUCCUUCUGCCCAUGUGGCGGUAAACGUAGCCUACCAACUGGGUAGAUGAAGGUCUUAGCACAUGUUGUGGACUGAAUUUCCUAUUAAUUUGAUCGUGAUUCAUUAACAAACACCUCUUAUAUACAAGGGUAUUUUAGUUUCGUUUUUUGCUUGUGCAAAAUGUUUUGUGAACAUCCCUUGUCACGAAUCAGCAUGCCACGUGUCUAAUCAUAUGAUCAAGUUGAUGAAAAUAUGCCCGUCCAGGGCCUGGCUAGGCCACGGCGGUGGUGUCCAGCGUUCUGCGGGAGCUUCACACGUGGUGGUCGCCUCGGGUUGAUUUCCAAGACUAUGGCGGCGUCAUCCUUCAUCCCUUCGGUGCUGUGGUGGCCACCCUAUGGCAACUGGAGGAUAGAUCUGCGCCGUGGGUUUGGAGGACCGCCUAGAUCCGUUCUUUUUUUUGAGAUGGAACACAGCGAUUCCAUAAAUCACACAGGCACAGCAAGAGAGCUGGCCAGAUACACCAAUACAUCAUCAAGGACACCAUCGGUCCACAGCUGCCUAGCGUCUGUUCACUUAGAGCCUACGGCUGCUAGUGCAUGUGCUAGUUUAUUACAGCCCCUGGGAGCAUACAUAAAUUCAACAGAAUUAAAGUUCAACCGAGCAAAUACGUACUCCUCCUCCUCCUCCUCCACCACCAAAAAAGCUAGGGUGUGUGCCUCUCGCCGGCUCGCCGCAGGUCUGCCUCGUCUCCGGUGGCCCUAGGGCCAUGGAGGCGAGGUGGAUCCUCGUAAGGACCGGCGAGAGGGCUCCGUUGUUAGUCGUUCCUUUCAUAUUUGUUAGGGUUUCUGUCCUGCUCAGGAAGACGAGACGGCGGCGGCUCCCUGAAGAUGGAAUAAAGGUCUCCCCGCCUAGCCCCCGUUCCAGUGGUGCGUCUAGCAUCGUUGGUGGGCGUGUGGAGGUGUGUCUCCAGCGGAUCUAUGCUCGGUGGAUUUGCUCGGAUCUGGUUGUUUUUCGUCUAUGUUCGCGUGUCUUCAGAUUGGAUCCUUUCGAUCUACGUUAUCCUUCAUCGGCGGCGGUUGCUGUUCUGGUGUGCUGGUUCUAUGGGGCCUUAGCACGACGACUUCCCAACUGUCUACUACAACAAGUCGUGCCCGACUCCGGCGAGGGAGGGGCGAUGACAGCGGCGCGCCUUCGGCUCACUUUAGUGCUUGUAGUCAUCGCUAGGUGGUCUACGGACCUAGAUGUAAUUUUUAUUAUUUCUGGUGUUCGUUGUACUGUCAUGAUUGAAGAUGAAUAGAUUGGAAGUUUUUCGCAAAAAAAAAGUUCAACCGAGCAAAAGACCGGAUAUCUUUUAGAAGAACACCUUCAGGAGCCAAGUCAUACUCCGUACUCUGCAAAGCUUUCACCAAAGAUUGGCAAUCAGACUCCACUUGGAUAGCCGUCAUUCCCCAAGAGGAUGCUGCAUGAAUUGCUUCCCAAGCAGCAGUCGCCUCGGCCUGGAAAGCACUGGCCACACGCUGAAGCUUGCCAGCCCCUGAUCCCCUUAUGUCGCCACUGUUGUCCCUGGCCACGAAUACCCAACCGCCACACCCAGUAGAGACAUUGAACGCCUCGUACACAUUAAUUUUCAUCAAGUCACCAAGCGGUUUCUGCCAGAAACGGUGUUCCUUGGGUUGUGACUGGGAUUUGGGAUUACUGCAUAGUUGUAGUGAUUCAGCAGCCCAGAGCCUAGCGGACACUGCAGUCCUCUCCAUUGUGUCUGAAGACUCCCCAGCGUUAAUUUUAUUGCGGCAGUCCCACCACCUCCACAGCAUACAUGUAACAAGCACCUGUUGAUCUUCAGGUAGAUCCAGCACUGCUUGUAUAACUUCCUUUGCAUCAGUGCAAGCACACAACUUUUCACGAAUCUCAUCCAGCUCGAGACAACGCCACAGCUUUUUAACCUGUUUGCAUCUCAGGAACAACUGAGCCCCAUCUUCAUCUACCCUUCUACAACAUACACAGAGUGUUUCACAUUUAACCCCUCUCCUUUUCAGAGCUAGCUUCAAAGGUAGACUGUUGUGUGCUAAUCUCCACAUGAACUGUUGGAUCUUUGGUUGGCAGGGGAUGUCCCAAAUUUUCUUCCAUGGGAAACAGAGUUGUUGACCUGAGAUUGACGACGAGGCUGAGGUAGCAUCUCUUGCUUUGACGUACAGUUUGUAUGCAGAUUUUACUAAGAAUUGGCCUUUACUAUCAGGGAACCAUGCAUAGAAAUCUUCAAACUCUUCUCGGAUUGGCGUCGCAAGGAUGACCUUGGCAUCUGCGUCAGCAAAGAUAUUCCUGACCAGCUCCCUAUCCCAGUUUGCGGUUUCUGGAUUAAUGAGUUCACAUACCCGAGUAAGAAGGCACCUUCUUCUUGGCGUGAUGGGAAAUCUCUGGCCCUCCCUAUUCAUCCAUGGAUCCUUCCAGAUAUUGACCUCAGUCCCAUCACCAAUUCUACAUAUUAGGCCCUCCUUUAAUAGAUGCACACCCUUCACGAUACUCCUCCAAGUAUAUGAGAUACCAGGUGCUGGUGCAGCCUCAAGAAUUGGUGUAGAUGGAAAAUAACGUGCUUUAAGAACUUGUGCAUAAAGGGAGGUUGGGUUCUGGAGGAGCCGCCACGCCUGUCUUGCAAGCAUAGCGAUGUUGAACCCAUAUAGAUCUCAGAAUCCAAGGCCCCCAUCCUUCUUCGGCUCUGUCAGAGUCUCCCAACUCAACCAAUGCAUAGUGUUUUGCUUCUCCUGCUUUGCCCACCAAAAUCUGCAUAUCAUGCUCCCCAUCUGCUCGCAUAAGGAUUUAGUGAGGUCAAAACAUGACAUGGCAAAAGUAGGGAUUGCUUGAUCACAAGCUUUAAUUAGGACGUCCUUCCCCAUCUUAGACAACAAUCUCUCAAUCCAACCUUGGAUUCUUUUCCAGAUUCGUUCCUUGAGAUACUGAAAGGUUUUUGCUCUAUCUUGUCCCACAUAAACAGGUAACCCCAAAUACCUUUCGGAUCUAGCCUCCGUAUUGAUAUGUAGCUCAGCCAGGACACUUUGCUUCCUCUCCCUCCUUGUGUUUUUGCUGAACAUGACCGAUGACUUAUCGUAAUUAACAAUUUGUCCCGAGCACACCUCAUACAGAUGUAGUAUACUUUGCAGAUGCCUGGCACUUUCGCUUGUAGCUUUAAUCAGUACCAACGAGUCGUCUGCAAAUAAUAGAUGGUUGAAACUUGGGGCUGCAUUGCAAAUACGUAUACCAGUCAGAGUUCCAUUCACUUCUGCCCUGUUCAGUAAGGAGGAGAACCCCUCCGCGCAAAUGAGAAAGAGGUACGGUGAGAGGGGGUCACCUUGACGGAGGCCGCAUUGGGGCAGCACCACAUCCGUACACUCUCCAUUCACUUUGAAUCUGUAUGACACCGUGGACACACAAAGCAUGAUCCGUUUGACCCAUGUCUCCUCGAAGCCAAGUUUAUACAUCAUCUUUUCCAGAAAAUCCCAUUCCACCCUAUCAUAGGCUUUACUCAUGUCCAACUUCACUGCAGCGAACCCUUCCUUUCCUCUUCUCUUUCUCUGCAUAUAGUGUGUACAUUCAUAAGCAAGCAAAAUAUUAUCCGUGAUCAAUCGGCCCGGAACAAAGGCACUUUGGUUAGGUGAGAUAAUGUCUGGAAGGAUUUGUUUCAACCGAUUUGCAGGUACCUUAGAGACCAACUUAUAAACAACAUUGCAGAGGCUGAUUGGUCUCAAGUCUUUCAUGCAUUCCAGAUUUUGCACCUUAGGAAUCAGCACAACACAAGUCUCAUUCCACCCCUCGGGCAUGGGUCCCCCAUUCAGCACCUCAAGCACUUCUACGACCAGUUUUUCUCCUACAAUGUCCCAGUAUUUUUUGUAGAACACCGAUGGCAUACCAUCGGGUCUAGGGGCCUUCAGGUCACCAAUACUUUGGAGAGCUUCAAACACUUCCUUCUCAGAGAAGGGCUCAUUCAAAACCUCAUUCAUUUGCGGGGUAACACGUGCAUCAACCUGACUCAUCAUCUCCUCCAUUCUUGUUGCCGUGUGGGACGUAAACAGAUUAAGGAAAUAGCUAGUCAUGACUUCCUUCAUGGCCUCCUUCUCCUCCACUACAGUACCAUCUUGUCUCCUCAAUUUCUUAAUGUGGUUUUUCUUCUUUCUAUCCGAUGCUGCUGCAUGGAAAAACUUCGUAUUUCGAUCGCCUCCCUUCAUCCAAUGGACAUGUGCCCGCUGUCUCCAAUAUAACUCCCUCCGAUCCUCGAGCCUCCCCAGUUUAAAUCUAAGUAGUUCCUCCCUCCGAACCUGCUCUGCACUAAUGCUGCUCCUUCGACACUUCUCCAACUCCUUCUUUGUUUUGCUAAUUCUUUUCUCCAAGUCCCCCAAAAUAUUUCUACUCCAGUCCACUAAUUCAACCAUGACUCCUUUAACAGCUGUUGCCACCCCUUUUCCUUCCAACUGCACUCCCUUCUUCCAAGCAUUUUCUACCAUUGCCCUACAGUCCUCUUCCUCCAGCCACUUCGCCUCAAACCUCGGCGUAGAGCUCCGAGUCGCACCUUGCUGUCUCUUAGCUCCUCCUUGUGUGUCAAUGAUGAUUGGUCUGUGGUCCGAGUGUCGAGGAUCUCCGUUAGUGACCUUAAAAGCAGAAAACCGGUUGCACCAUGAUUGUGUAGCCACUGCUCUGUCAAUCCGCUCCUUUAUGUAAUUAACUGCAGCAUGGUUGUGAUUCCGCCAUGUAAAUGCAUCUCCUAUGAAGCCUAAGUCUCCAAGUUCACACGCCUCAAGUGUAGCUUUAAACUUGUCCAUGCAAUUCUGUGAUCUAGGUGCCCCCCCUUCCUUCUCCCAUGGGUGUAAAACCUCAUUGAAGUCUCCUGAGCAAAGCCACGGUUUGUUGUUUUGUACCUUCAGGUUGCUCAUAAGACGCCAAGUUUUAUCCUUAUCAUCAUGUUUCGGCUCCCCAUACAUCCCUGUGAAUCGCCACACAAACUCGUCCUCUUCCGUGAUCUCCGAAUCGAUGUGAUAUCUAGACAUGAAGCCCACCACUCUCAAGUUCACCUCAUUCUUCCAGAAUAAAGCCAAACCUCCACUCUAACCUUCACAGUCCUUAACCAUCAUAUUCGUAAGGCCCAACUUCCACCGCAGCCACUCCAGCCUACUACGUACCAAUUUCGUCUCCGACAAAAAGAGUACGUCGGGGUCCUCCUUCUCCCGGAUAUCCAGGAGUCCUCGAAUUGCCGGGCCAUUCCCCAAACCCCGGCAAUUCCAUGUGAUGAUUCUCAUUUCUGCUCGCAGGACUGACUCGGCAGUCCCGCAUUCAAAAUGGUGUGUACUCCCUCCAUUUCUUGGGUACUUGCUUCGUUCCCUUUGAUUUUCUUCGGUGACCCCUGGCUGUCCACUUCCAUCUCCUCCCCCUCCUCUUUUUUUUUUCUAUUAUUACUCCACAUGUUUUGCCUUCCACACUCUCCCUGGGUUUUCUCUUGAACUUCCCAUUCCUCCCUCUUGGUUCAGCCCUUGGGCUGUUUACAAUAUUUCCUACCCCAUCUUCCUCUUUGUUCCCUGGCACACUGUGGUUUUCAUUCGACCCAUUCCCAACACCCACUAUCACACCACCACCACCCCUUACUGCCGUCUCUGUAAUGUUUUCCAUCCCAGCCAGGCUUGGAUCGUUGGCGUCCCCCUUCCCAAAAUCAAGUUGUUUUUUAUUCUUCUCUCCCACUGCAGUGUCAUUAGCCCCCUUAGCAGUUGGACCAAUCUUAAGUGGACUCGUGACCUCCUCCCCAUCAUCAUUCUUCUUCUUACCCCCAUCGGUUGUGCAAGUUGGUGGUUUCCUCCAUGAUGGUGCAUCACUCCUGCUCUUUCCCUCACUAUUCGACCAACCCUUCUUCCUUCCCGAGCUGCCUCCACUCGCCUCCCUCGGUCCACCCUGGACCAUGUAAUAUGAUUGAGGCUUCUCUGGGGCAUAUUUCAUCCAUCUCCCGAAUUCAGCAGCUUGUCCCCUUUUGAGUUUUGUUUUACAGUCCUUAUCUAAAUGCCCCAGCCUACCACAUGUGUAGCAGAAGUCUGGCAAAAACUCGUACUCAAAACGGCACCAUAUUCUUUCAUCUUCCUUUCUCUUCUUCUUCCUCCCACCCGUUUCGUCUUCCUUUUCCCUCUCUUCCUCCUCCUCCCCUCCCUCCUCCUCCAUUGCCCCAUCAUCCACUGGAUCAAUAUCCAGAAAGAUUCCUCGCAUAAGUGGCUCAGCAAUUCUGAUUCGCACCUUCACUCUCAGGCACUACCCCAACGCCGAGCCAUCCUCACCCGAAUCCACUUCUACCAAUUCCCCUAUCUCAUCUGCUAGAUCCUCCCCCAUUUCCUUACACAUCAUUCCCAAAGGAACAUUAAAAAUACGGACCCAUAUUGGAACUGUUUCAAACACAUAUUCAUCUAGUGUCUUCCUAGGGUCGAAAUCCUCCAUCACCAGAAGCUCCUUGCCGAAGGUCCAUGGCCCGUUCUCGAGCGCCUUUCGUUUCCCUACCUCCUGAUGGAACAUAAACAGAAAUCGGUUCUCCCCCAUCUCCUUGACCUCCAGUCUCUUCAUCGGGCACCACACUCGCCCCAGCGCAAUCGCCAUUCCUUCUGCAUACCCCGGCCUGUCCGAGAUCAGCUUCCCCAUCGCCUUUGGCACACUUCCCUCCCUCGCCGUCGCCCUCUUCCAGCCCACCUUGACUCCCCUCCUCUCUGCCUCGGACAGGUUCAUCUUCUUCAACAUUCCUUCGACUCCCUCCAUGCUACCCCCAACCUCCAAAUGCCCGUGCAUCACCAGAGAAACAAAAAAAACUAGGGAUUUGGUGGAAGUACGACCGUGUGCCCCAGACUCACACGGAAGGCCUCUGGUGGAGAUGGGUUGGGAUCUAUGCGGACGAGAGAGGGAGGUUGGGUCGCUGGCCUCCGAAGCUGCCGAAGGCGGCUGGGACGAGAUGGAUCUGCCGCCGCCGGGUUGGGGGACGAGGAGGCGAACCCUAAGUCGCCACAAGAAGCGCCAGACAGGAGACCAAGUCAUCACACACGGGACGGACGGUUUGGCGCCUAGAUCCGUUCUUGGCGAGCUCUAGUGAGGGCACGAUGUGAGUUAGGCCAACUUCACCUCACGUCCCCAAAUGAACGUCCAGUUUGGCUGGAUUUUGUCUCUUUGGAGCGGCAAUGGGUUCGCUCAUGUCCCCUUCAGCUGGGUCCUGGGCGCGCCUAACGCGCGGCCGCACCCCAAAUCAUGUCCGGAGUGGACGUGAAAAAAAGAAAUGAAAAACUAAAAUAAAGCAAACGUCCAGUUUGGCAUAAUUGACUUAAAAAUAAAUAAAAACGCUGCCCGCGCGCUCCUGCCGUGCCCGUCGAUGCCGUGGCCGUCGCCGUCUUCGGUGGCCGCCGGUGUCGUCGUCAUCGCUGACGAGGUCGACAUAGUCCAGCGGCAUCCAGAGGUGGGACGGCGGUUCAUGGUACUCGGUGGCGGGCCGGAAGGCGGGAGGUGCCUGUACCACCUCCUCCCAUGGCGACGCCUCCUGCUCCGGUGACCGCGGCGGCGUGGGGCACCAGUUCACGCCACCCACGGCGUCGGCCAUCUCCGGAGCCGUGCACGACCAGCUCCACUGCUGGCCCACCAGGCUCGGGUGGAACGCGGCCACCAGCUCCUCCCCCAUCACCUCCUCCGCCCUUACCAUCUGCAGCUCGGGGAAGGCGACGUCGCCGGCCAAAAAGAGAGCCACCGUCUACUCGAGGCCCCGCCAUUGGUGCUCAUCGUGCGUGUUCAUGGAGUCCUCCAUGACACGUUGCAUGAGCUGGGCCUCCUCCUCCACUGUCAUGCGAGGAGGUGGAGGUGGCGAUGGAGAUGGGGAAGGCGACGACGUGGGUGUGAGACCGCGCACCCGCGUACUCCCGCGCACCUCCCGCCGCGGCCGCCGCGGCCCGGACGACGUGCCGGCGAAGUAAGAGGCGCGCCGCACGUCGUGCUCGUCCCUUAGCCACGUGUCCCAGAGAACGGAGUCGGGGGCGUACCUAUCGUCGUAGUAGAGGUCACCGGGGAGGAGGCGGCGGUGGCGCACAAUCUCGUCGUGGCGCGCACGGUCGCCCGUCGGGACCGGUGGGAUCGGGACCUGGUCGGCGGAGAGGUGCCAAUUGUUGGGGAGGUGGACGUCGCUCCACGGGAUCGGCGUCAUCGUCUCCCAAUAGCGCCGGCAUACAUCCGCGUUGAUGUACUGCCGGUUGCGCUCGCCGGCGGCCCUAGGGCCGAUGGUGAAUGGGGCAGGCGCGGGGGCCCGACGCGGUGGUGAUGCGGCCUCCUCUUUCACGGAGCCGCGGCGGCGUCCCGAGGAGGAGCCAGCCUCGCGGUCGUGCUUCCCCUUGCGGCCGUGGUUCCAUAGCCCCAUUGCUGCGCGGCAGCCGGCCGACGAGUUCGAGGACAAGGAGAGGCUAGGGUUUGGGGGUGUCGGGUUUUGAGGAGGCAGCGGGUUGGAAUGGGGAGUGUGGGCGACGACCGGUCCACGGCUUCCUCAUUUAAAAAGGACGGCGGCCGUUCGCCUGGGCGGAUGACAGGUGGGGCCAACCGUGUGUGCGCAUUAAUGUCAAGCGGUGGGAGGUAGGUGGCCGCCUGCCACGCGGCCCCGACGUGGACGAGCGCCGCGUCCAUUUGCUGUCCGCCGCGACCCAAACCCGGCGCAUGUUUGCGCUCGAAAUGAGUCGGCCCGGACACAAAACGGACCAGAUGGGUCCAGGCCGUCGCGCGCUGGGCCGUCCGGUUUGUCCCUUUUACCCCAAACGGACGGGGCCGGACGGGAUAGGGUCGCGCGGCGGAGUUAGUCUUAUGAGGUCGUGAAGGUGGGGCUCAGUGGUAAACGCUUCAGUGGUGGCGUGUGCCUUGCUCUUCCAGUGUCGUCGCAGGCGUGCUUGGGCUGUGGAGGUGCGGGUGGCCUCUGGGCGAGCUAGCCACUUUGUUGACGUGGUGCGAUGGAGAGGCAUCGAGCAGCUUGCUCCUUGUUCGGUUCACGUGGUCUUCCACUGGCAUGUGGCACGUAUCGGUGGUUUAGCCUUCUCCUAAGAGGCUCAUCGAGGUGGAGGGUCUCUGGGCUAUAGGUGAAAGCUUUGGUUGAGAGGGGUGGGUACCGGCGACGAAGGCGUUGAUACGUCUUCAACGUAUUUAUAAAUUUUGAUUGUUCCAUGCUAUUAUAUAUUUGUUUUUGAUGUUUUAUAUGCAUUAUUAUGCUAUUUUAUAUUAUUUUUGAGACUAACCUAUUAACCUAGAGCCCAGUGUCAGCUCCUGUUUUUCCCUUGUUUUAGAGUUUCGCAGAAAAGGAAUAUCAAACGGAGUCCAAAUGGAAUGAAACUUUCGCGAUGAUUUUUCUUGGACCAAAAAACAUCCAGAGAACUUGGUGUACAUGUCAGGGAAGCCAUGAGGCACCCACAAGGACGGAGGGUGCGCCCAGGGGGUAGGGCAUGCCCCCCACCCUUGUGGGCCCCUCGUGACUCUGCCGACCUAUUUCUUCCGCCUAUGUAUUCUCAAAUAUUUCAAAACCUACCAAGAGAGCCACGAAAACACUUGUGCUAGUCUAUUACUAAAAACUGUAACGUUCGUCAUUUACAAAAAUUUCUUAAAAAUGUUCAGAAAUAUAAAAAAGUGUUUAUAUUUUUUCAUAAAAUGCUCACAAACAUAUUAGAAAAUAUUCUCAAAUUUUCAAAAAUUCCAUGUAUUUUUUUAAGAAAUAUAUUUUAAGAAAUAAAUAAAUCUCGUGUUUUCCUGGAAAACCAAAAUAAAAACCCACUGAAAACUAAUAAAACAGAAAAAAACCUCAAAAAAAGGAAAAACAAACUCACUGGAAACAACUCGCUACCGAGCCUUACACUACAUGGGCCGGCCGCCCCGAGCGUUCGAGGUUCUGUUGCGACCGAUCUGUCAAAAAGGUCUGUCUCGCUCCUUCGGUUCUUCCCCUCGCUCAAUCUGUCUCCCUCGUGCCGCCGCCUCGCUAGGGUUCGGCUCCACCGUCGCCGCCGCGCACCGCGACCGCCUGCCGCCGAGCGCCUCGACCGCCUGCCGCCGAGCGCCUCGACCGCCUGCCGCCGCGCACCUCGACCGCCUGCCGCCGCCGCCACCACCGCCAUCCCGGCGCUUCCCACCUUCGGCCUUUUCCACGAUGCUCCGUCUCCGGCCGUCUGCCCUGACUCCCAGGCAGCCAUAGUCCGAGCUCAUCUACCCUGAUUCCCUGACAUCGACCCCCGAGCUUCUUUCCCGUCAAUUCCCAGGGCUAGGCCAUUCGCCGCCUUCCACGAUCCAUAUCUUCAUCGGCACCCUUUCACUUCCGUCAUGGCAAUGCAAGACCAUCCUUCUCCGUGUGGCCACCACCCCCAAAUCCUCUUGGAUAAAAAAUGUUUAGUGGGCGAGUUGAAAAAUUUCACUACCGCAAAAUCCAAGAAUAGCAAAGGGGUUCACUUGGAGGUUUCUUUUGAAGCAGUUGACCCUCCAGCCAUCUCACUGUGCCUGGUCAGCUGCGUUGAUCAGACCGGGGAUCGCUUGACAGCACCGCCUCGUAUACUUGGUGUAACUGGAGGCUUUGUACUGCUGGCUAUCACCUUCUCGGACAGUGUCAACCGUUACUUGUUCAUCGACUAUUUUGUUUACAAAGCAGGGCCCGAUUUCGCCUCUCUUCAUCUUCUUGCAAGGCCAUACCCGUCUUCUUUUUCGCCAAACAUGGCUGCCAUCUUGCCUGUUAGUGAUAACAGUGAAGACUUUGCUGUCAUUUUCCCACAUGUUGAAUAUUUCAGACUUGAGUCUCGCGAACAUUACACACUCCACAUAUAUCGAUCUGACACGAAUGAUUGGCACUCUCAGGUCGCUUGUAUCGCUGAGGAUAAUGAGACAAGGAAUGCCAGGGAUAAGCUAUUGCUUCAUAAUACCAUGAGCUUGGCAUAUGCAGAAAAGGGUAUCAUAGGUUGGAUUGAUCUCUGGUGGGGAAUUCUCUUAUGCAAUGUUUUGGAUAAAAAGCCUACCAUCCGUUUUGUUCCGUUGCCAGUUCCGGAACCGUGUGAUACGUCCGAGUUCCAUUUGAUGUUUGAGAAUCUCACUCCAAGACCACACCGUCAUGUGACGAUAUUCAAUGAUUUGAUCAAGUGUGUUGAGUUAGAUUUUCAUGUGCAAGAUGCUUUCUUCAACAUGAAGCGAGCAAAGGAUUAUGGCUGGAUGGCUAAAACAUGGACUAGAUCAAUUUAUUCAGAUGUUUGGUGUGAUGGCUUGAUGAUUGAUACGUCUGAGAUAUCUUUCACUGACUCAAGUUUGCCGAAUUUGUUGCCUGGGAUGUUUGAUGAGGAAAACAAUUUGACUUGGAAGAAAUUGACUAGUGCUGGUCCUACAUUAAGCUUGCUUGAUGACAAUGUUAUUUACAUUAUGGCGAACGAGAGCAUGUGCCAUCCGACAGCAUAUGUACUUACUGUGGACACCAAAAGUUUGAAGCUCGAGUCUGGUGCGCAGUGUGCUCCUCAAAAGACGGCGUGGUUCGAACCAACAUAUGAACCGUGUGUUCUUUUUAGCUCUUUUGGCACGACUUCAGGUACUUGUCCCUAAUAAAUUUACGGAGUUAACAAAAAAUUGUAAUAACCGGAAAAGCACUAGUUAAUAUGGUAGUCUGAUAACACAUGUAAUUAGUUGCUUUUUUGUUGAUGAAAACAUUACUGUUGCCUUACAUUAUGCUUUGCAUUUUUUUGCAGAGUUGGUUAAAGAAUUUGAAACCAAAGGGACAAUAUUUGAAAUCAAGGAAGGGCCGGUGCUCUCGGUGGUGUCGAAGCGUCUCCGCGUGCUGCGGAAGAAGCAGAAUCGCAUCGCGCAGAUGGAGGAGUCCGUCGCUGCCGGCAAGAUGCUUAACCAGGAGCAGAAGGAGCUCAUGCACUCCAAGCCCGUCAUCGCCGCGCUCAUUGACGAGCUUGAGCGCCUCCGCGUACCACUCUCCACUGCUCUCACCAAGGAGCUCUCCACCGUCCCUGCACCUGCUGCCGGUUCCUCAUCCUUUGGCUCCGAUUUGUCCAUCCAGGACCUCCUCGCGCUCAUCUACUUCGGCUCCCUUUUUUAUGUCAAGUCACCGAACGAGUUCAUCGCCACCAUGGUUGCGCGCAAGAACGAACGGAGCAGCUGCAUCACCCACGGCUACGUAUGGGAUGAUACCGUGGACCUGCUCGUGGAGAACGACCUUGACGCAGUGUCUGCUGUGGCGGCCCUUGCCGCGGCUCGCCCUUCUUCCGCAGAUGGUGUCUCCCACCAUGACGCACUCCAGGCCUGUGCCCAUCAUGCCCGCCUAUGGCUAACCCGUGCUGAUGCGCCGAUCCACCCUGGCUCCUCUGUUACAUGUGAGGGUUGAUAUAGGUUUGUAAUUUGGUUUGAUUUGAGGUGAUUGCUGAUUGAAAUUUGUGGCCUUUUGCUGUAGAUGCUGCGGUGAGGUCCAAGUUAGACAGGAUCAUGGCAUCAGACUACUACACAGCACCUGCAGUUGCUGGGAACCAUGGAGCUGAAGGUCUGCAGGCACAGAUGAGCAUGACCGACUCACCAGAGGCACCAUCACUCAAGGAGACCCUAGCUGCUGAAAAUCACAAGGUGAAAUAGCAAAUUGCACUCCUUAGUAAUUUAAUAGUAUAUGCUUAGCAUGGUGAAGUGAUCAUUGCCCUGAAACUUUGUUCUGAUCUUUGUCAACGAUUGAUCUGCUGUAGUGCACAGUGCUCCUAGUAUUAUUAUUAUCAUCAUUGUUGCUGCUGCUGGUGCUUUUUGUGCUGAUUCAGUAGUAAUGAUCAAUGUGGAUUAUAGCUUUAAUUGGAAAACUGUAAGGUCGAUCCAUUUGGGGUGUAUAUUAUGCUGUUUCAUAUGGAUGUUGUGCGCCGUUGCUUAGAUAUAACAGACAGUGCCUGUGCAUUGGUGUUCUGGAAAAAACGCUGAAAAUAAUAACUUAAAAACUAUGAUCUUUGUAUAAUAUUAUGUGUAGUGCUACCACUAUCUAGGUACAGGAUGGUCUCUAUUCUGAUGGGUCUUCGCAGUUUGCAAACAUAGUAAUUGAGUUUUUGUUGUAUUAAAGAUUAUAAAUAUCACGCGCUNNNNNNNNNNNNNNNNNNNNNNNNNNNNNNNNNNNNNNNNNNNNNNNNNNNNNNNNNNNNNNNNNNNNNNNNNNNNNNNNNNNNNNNNNNNNNNNNNNNNNNNNNNNNNNNNNNNNNNNNNNNNNNNNNNNNNNNNNNNNNNNNNNNNNNNNNNNNNNNNNNNNNNNNNNNNNNNNNNNNNNNNNNNNNNNNNNNNNNNNNNNNNNNNNNNNNNNNNNNNNNNNNNNNNNNNNNNNNNNNNNNNNNNNNNNNNNNNNNNNNNNNNNNNNNNNNNNNNNNNNNNNNNNNNNNNNNNNNNNNNNNNNNNNNNNNNNNNNNNNNNNNNNNNNNNNNNNNNNNNNNNNNNNNNNNNNNNNNNNNNNNNNNNNNNNNNNNNNNNNNNNNNNNNNNNNNNNNNNNNNNNNNNNNNNNNGAAUUCAUCAUAUUGCAGUCAUGCAAUAACAUGAUUGUUUAUUGUACAUUUGUUCCUUUUUUACUUUGUUGGCCAUUACUUAAAAUGCUGGUUGAAAAGAACAGCAAUCCCAAUCCCUGAUAUCAAAACAUUCUGAAAAGGAUACACAUGUAAAUUCUCUUGUAUUUUAUUACGUUUGUAAAUUUAACGGAAAAAGCUGGCAUUUCUGCAGCAUGAGUGGAGAAACCAAGUUUAGCGCUCUGACAAUAUUUGUACCCAUUGUGUAAAACAAGUUUGGAGGCGGCCUCUCUGCAUUGCAGUGUGCAGGGGUAAGGCUUGCCUCGUAUAAUCCUUCCCCAGGCCCCACCUGGCGUAGGAGCUUCUAGCACUGGGUCUCCUUUUUUUCUGUACAAGUUUUGUGCCUCUAAAGAUUACAUUUUAGAGCCCAGAUUUGUUUCUUUUGCUCAGGCGCAAAAAAGUGUUUGUUUUUCCAAGAAAACCUACUGGAAUCUGAAUGGUUCAAACAUUUGCAUGUGUAAUUUUACCUGAAUUUUAGACACUCAGAAUUAUUUAUUUACCGUCCACUGAAGGAGCACAUGCUCCUGGGACCUGGGGACCAUUUUACUCCUAUCUGUCAUUCCUACUUCUUGUUGCUUAUCUACUUUAUGAUUACAAGUCUAGGACUUGUGACCAACAUUACUUUGAUAACACAACUUAAUAGUUGUAUAUUCUUUGGGUCUGGUAAUAUAUGUUCGUUGGCAUCCUAGCUGUGUACUUCGAUAUUAUUGCUAGGUUACUUUUCUGAGUUGCAGAUUCUCUUUCAUAAUUAUAGAUCAUUCGUAAUCUUUGUUAAGUCCCGAGGGAUCUUCUUUGACUUCCAUUUGAGGAAUUCUUAUUAUUUUUAGCCGCAAUCUCCUAGGCGCAUUGCAAUGUUCUAGUUGCAGAAUCUAUAGCCCUAUUGUUCUUGCCAGUUUUGCAGUUCGUUGCGCAAGCUUGAUUGUUGAGAUAGUAUGUAAUUAUUUACUCAGCAUUAAUAUGACAUGGAUAAAGCUCCAGCCUCUAGGGCUCAUCAUAAAAUCACUUGCAAUUUAAAUAUGUAUAGAAGUUAUAGUGUUGCUCUUUUGUGUGUGCUAACACUAAAGGUAGUGUCAUUUUCCUAAAUUGCAAAAUGGGAUUUCUAACCUAAGAGUUCACGUUCACAGUUCUCCAUUCUUUAUAACAACAUUGUGAUAUUUUUAGUAACAAUUUUAUGCUGGCAUCGCUUCUGCAUUGAUUUCCCUAGAUUUAAACCUGUGUGUACGUGUACAGUUCUUUGUGCUUUUAAAACUAAAAAUCAUGGUAUAUUCACUGUAAAUCGUCCAAGCAUCACCUACUGCAUGUUGCCUCAGACAUUAUAUUUAGAAACUGUACAAUGUCCAUCUCCACCUUUUAGUAUUAUGAUUAUUGGAACAAAAGCUAGACAGCACUGUCAUCACCUUACUACACCUUUGGUAAUAUCACAGUUCUUUGGUGUAGAGUACUAUUAAAAUGCACCUACAUACUCCCUCCGUCCGGAAAUACUUGUCAUCAAGAUGAAUAAAAGGGGAUGUAUCUAGAUGUAUUUUAGUUCUAGAUACACCCCUUUUUAUCCAUUUUGAUGACAAGUAUUUCCGGACGGAGGGAGUACAUACCUAUGAUAAAUCACUGAGGUGGGGUACACAUUUGAAAUGAUGCAUUAAUAAUUAAGUAGUUCUCCUGGAUAAAUUGUGCUGUCUUGCAUUUUCCAAACAGCCAAUCAUGAACUUGGGUUAUCGUUUAACUUUUGUGGUGUUUUCCCAUUGUUUUGGGUUGCUGGGAAUUCAAGUACUGUUUUUAUUUUGUGCCAUAUGAUGAGAGACCUUAUCCAACUCACAGCGGUCGUCUGGACACUUAGUGUGUAAUGGUGCAUACAUAUUUCGCUGAUGGCAUUUCAGUUUUUUAUGCAUAAAGGAUUUGAUUUCCCGGAGAGCAUUGUGUUAAUGCAAGUUUUAGAAUAACCCGAACUCCUGAAACUUUUGCCUCGGUCUUCACUGAAGAUUUUUGGCGUUAUUUGCUGGUGGCUGCCCUGUGAGCCAUGCCCAUGCUAGUGUCUUGGUAGUUGGUGUAGAUUGAUAUAGAGAAGAAAAUGUAGGUACAUGUAAUUGUUAUUCUUGAUGAGAGGGUCACAUUUCCUAGAGGACUAUAUGGUUCCUCCUGGUUAGCCGUAGUCUGAUUCCAAACUCAAUGCCCUUAACUUACUCGACUGGACUCCUUGCCUCUGUAGGGUCAGUCGUAUAAUAAGUAAAUAUAUCUCAAGCAGGACAGCAGUUGCACUUUGCUAGGAGGCUAAGCUGCCAGCUAUAGUAUUUUCUUUUCAGGGAUGCCUUUUUUAAUUGCGCUGGAUGCAAAUAAUCAACCACUAUAUCCAGAAAGCAAAAGCACUACUAAUUUUCUGAUACUAGCAUAUGUGAUCAGUCAUGACUAUGAAUGUUCACCUAAAGCACUACCAUGUACGAAGUGUUUUCUGCAGAUGAGAUUAAAACAAGAUAUCUUGCUAGAUUUAUUAUUUUGGUUACUGUGAAGUGUUUCUACUGUUGCUUAGUCGUGUUGGCUUGGUUAUUCAUUUUGUGUUUGUUCUAACACCCAGAAGCUGAGCUAUGAUAGACUGAAAAAUGGUACACAUUUUGUAAUUAUUAGAUGAGUGUUUAUAUUUAAAAUUUACACGGUUUUAAUUGGGGACAUUUUGAGGGGUCAAGUAUUUUGUUUGUUGACCUCUGAAAGUAGAAAUGAUUAAAGCUUAUAUUGAUCUUGUUGGUAUGUUUACUUGUUGACAGGAGGACGAGGAAGAUUCCUCGCAUGCCACAGAAAUCGACAAUGAUCAUCAGUCUAAUGCAGCCGAUGUGCAAAAUGUGGUAAUGACUGGAUGACCUGUGGAGUGUUUUUCUGUGUAUAUAAUAUAUAUCUGGCUGAUACUAACAUGCCAACUUCAGGAUGGUAAAACCCUGGUGAACCCUCGUGUGGAAUAUCGCGUGGCUGAGGCAGAGCAGGAGAAAUUUGAUGUGAAAGAACAAGAUCAGAUGUAUGCCGAGCCAAAAAAGCGACAGUUUCAGCACCCUCGGCAAUCUUGUCAGAAUCAGCGAGGUGGUGAUCGUGGCUGGAGGGGGGCCUACCCUAAUGGCCGCAGCGGGCAUGGAGGCGGCCGUGGCAUGGGCAGCAGACACGAGAAUGGGCGUGGAGGUGGUGGUGGUGGCGGCCGUGGCAUGGGCAGUGGAUACGAGAAUGGGCGUGGAGGUGGUGGUGGUGGUGGUGGCUGUGGCAUGGGCAGCGGAUACGAAAAUGGGUGUGGAGGUGGUGGUGGAUACCAGAAUGACCGGGGUUGUGGUGGCGGAUACCAGAAUGGCCGGGAUGGUNNNNNNNNNNNNNNNNNNNNNNNNNNNNNNNNNNNNNNNNNNNNNNNNNNNNNNNNNNNNNNNNNNNNNNNNNNNNNNNNNNNNNNNNNNNNNNNNNNNNNNNNNNNNNNNNNNNNNNNNNNNNNNNNNNNNNNNNNNNNNNNNNNNNNNNNNNNNNNNNNNNNNNNNNNNNNNNNNNNNNNCGGGUACCAGAAUAGCCGGGGUGGUGGUGGUGGCGGCGGGUACUACAACAACGACGAUGGGUACUACCAGCCGAGGAACUUGAACAACAGGGGCAGGGGCGCAGGGAGGUGGCCACGCGGACACCGAGAGGAUUGAGGCAAUGGCAUAUGUGGAAGUCUGGGAGGUCAGGAGAGGGAAGGGGCAAUGUGAAAGUCUGGGAGCCAUUUUGUUAUUAUAGAACUACGGAGUAUGUAAUAACCUAGCCUGUGGGUAUGUCGCAAUCCAGUCCCUCCCCAUCUGCGAGUUUUUUUGUUGCUCCAAUGAGUGCAUAAUGGUUGGUUGGUAAAUGUGGAAUCUCGUUGAAAGUAGCUUCAGGUCAUACAUGUGUUGCUUCUUUUUCUGGCUGUGUGAGUUGUCAUAUAUUUCCGGUUGGUUUAUUAUUUUUGUUAGAUGUCUUUCUACGUCAUUCCUGUUCAUUUUUCAGUGUUUGUGUUUGUGUUACCUUUGUUUGUUCUGGCCUGUAUCGUAGCUCUUCAAAAAAAGAAAAAAAAUACUGUUUGUUUCGGUGAAUGCUGAUCGAGAUUUUGGCUUUGUCUUUAAUAAUCCUGAUAAGUGUCACCGUAGCCGAUUAUGCAUAGUUGCGGCUAGGUCUUGCAUGUGCAGGAGCGCAACUGAACACAAAAAAAUGUUUUUACGUGAGGUCUACUUGCAUGGUUUGUUUACCAUUGGGAAGAUUCUGGGAGGACUUUGUCAGGCAACUGACCAUUUCCGGUUUCUUGCAAGUUCUCCAGCUACUCCGAUCGAUGUUGGAGAGCUUGCUGGCGGGACGCUUGUCGUCCCUCGCCGAAUGGGCACACAUGGCGGCCGGGACAAAGACGCCAACAGGGGAAUGCCCUAUCCAAUGGUUGCAUGGUGGCCGGCUGAAAAUUGGGUCGGCUGCCGUUGGCUUUUCCUUAUGUAUGCAAUCAAAGGGACAGACUAGUGUUGGCUUUUCCUUAUGCAUGCAAUCAAAGGGACAGACUAGUACUGCUCUUCCAUCGGUAUUGUCUUCAGAGAGAUUAAAAUCUUUGUUAGUUUAAACUUUUUCUUUUUUAAGAUUGUUUUUUGCCCAAGGGGCUGUAAUACUGUAGCUGAUUCUCUAGGAGCGUGUUUGGUUGAUGUAGCCAACAGUAGGUGCAUUGCAUAGCCUUCUCAACUCAGUCUGGCUAUGUAAAUGCAGCCUCAAAUGCAUCAUCUGCAUGUUGUUUGGUUGCCUGCAUGGGCAGAACCACACUGCUGGUGUUCGGUUGCAUGCAUGUUAGUGGACAAACCCAAGGCAUGGUGUUUGGUUGUAUGCAACGUCUGGUGUGUGGUAACCUCUUUGGCUAGUUGGUGAUGUUACCAGCACCACUUCGGCACAACCAUGUAGCACACAUCAUAAGCAGAGCAGAGUAUAAAAAGAGGAUCAACUACUUAAGAGCAUAUUUCUGAUAAGCAGUACCACACUUCAUAACAGUUCUAUGCAUAAACCAUAAACAUAAACAGUUCAAAGCAGAUUCGAUAGUACUUAGGGAGGCCCCGACCCUACUCCUUGGCGGCGAAGGCUUCGUCGUGCUUCCCGCACUUGUUGACGACCUCAAUGCAAUCGUCGUCGAAGAUGGUGACCUUGAGGGUGUCUGGAGUGAGGAGCUUGAACCUCACCAUGUAGCCGAUCUUGAUCUGAUGAACGGCUGCGUAGGUGGCCCAACCCUGAUCCAGGGUCACCCUGCCGUUCAUCAGCUUCACCGUCACCUUCCAGGAGCAGCCGGUGUUGUUCCUGAGCUUGAACUCCGUCGGCACCGCGACGAAGUGCUUGGUGAAGUCCAGGGGCAUGGGGAUGCACUCAAGCUUCGGUGCAAGGAUGACCUUGCAGAAGUGAGUUGGGCCAUCCUCCUGAUGGUAGUGGCCGUAGUUGCGGCGCUUGUUGCUAGGGGGGCUCCUCCAUGCCCUCAUCAUCGCCACCCUCAGGCGUCUUCGGGUCUUCCUCGGCGGUGGGCGGCAGCACAACCUCGUCGGGCAUUAGGUGAAGGGGUUGCUUGCCCUUGUUGUCAACGGUCGGGAGCACCUCCGUGCCCAUCUCAUUGCUCUCCUCGAUCUGCACACAAUUCAUGGAGUCAGGCACAACACAGAUUUCAUGGCUUAUUGAAGAGCAUGUAGUUAAAACGGCAUGACUGUCACUCUUCUCCUCCUCUCCAUCGCCCCUAUAUUUACUCACCCUGCCCACCACUACUUACCCACUCCCUCUCUUCUCUAACUGUCAAUCUUCCUCCUCCCCAUCGCCAUGAGCUCUAGCUCCAGCUCCAAAGCCAACCCCUUCCCUUGGGGUAUUGGCUGGAGGGCCUUCUUCCUCGGGUGGUUGGCUGGUGACCGCACCAAGUUCGAGAACACCAUGGAGGUGUGCUCGAACUUCGGCUCCAUGCCUGACAUGCAGAAGGAAUCUAAUGCAGUAUUCAUGAAGGCCAUUGCAGAAGAGCUGAAGACGUUGAUUCCUGACCCAGCGAAGGGCGCGAUGGCAGUUGACAUCAUGCGCUGGGCCAUGAAUCAGGCCGUCUCCGACGACGGUAAACAGAGGAAGAAGUGGUGCAAGUACAAGAACUACUGGGCUCCUAAUGACCGCCGUGCCGCAGUGUACUGGGAGACGGCUAUCGCGUUGCCGGCGGUCAUCGGUGGGGAGCCUAAGGAGGAAGAAGAAGCGAUGCAGAUGCCAGCAAGGGCGCCGGAGCCAGGCCGUCGUACCAGGCAGAUCGACCUCGACUCCGCCGAGAAUGACGACGAUGACCCGCCGGCCCGCACGGCGAUGAAGAAGAAGAUGAAGGCCAGCAGCUCAACCCACCGCUCCGCACGCCGGUGAUGGCCGCCGCGGUGAGCCGGUGUCCGUUGUGUACCCCCUAUCCCCCAAUCCCCCUUCUGCAUCCGCAUCUACCUCUAUUCCGAUCUUGCAUAUAUGAACUCGUAUGAACUGGUAUGAACUAGUAUGAACUACCCCUAUGCUUAUCUACCUCUAUUCCCCAUUCCCCUCCGCCGUGGAUCGAAUCUAUCACCGGAUCAAACGGGAAAAAGUUUUGCAUGUCGAACAAAGAGAAGUGCUUACCGCCAUUGCCGCGGGCCAACUGCUGAUCCGCUCGUCGGUGAUGCGGUGGUCUUCUUGCUCUGCUCCGAUCCGCCGCCGCCGGUGAGAGUUGGGAGAGUGGGGAAGAGUGGGGAGAGGGAGCGGUGAGGGGCGGUGAGGCUAAUAACUACCGGCGCUUCGGGAAGCAACGUGGCUUCUCGAGUGUGGCCGCGCACGUGCAGCCGUCGCCGCCCACGUGCACCGCUCGGGCAUGGCCUUGGAGAAACUGCCGAUUCGUGCGUUCCCAGGGAGCCAGGCCCAGGAGUGCUUUAAGGUUCGUGUCAUGCGGGCCGAACAGUGAAAGCAGGCAACCAAUCGACCCGUUUUUAUCCCGCGCGAGCCAGGCCGGGCCUCAUGCAGGCUACCAAACACGCCCUAGCUGCUCACGGUGCACGUAUGAGCCAUGCAUCCUCAGCCUUGUGUCCGGAUGGGGCUCCAGACUUUGUUCAUGCGUUAAUUGCCAGCAAUUUGACUGGCCGUUCUGGUUAAUGGAAUAAAGAGUAUUCCGGCUCAAAAAAAUUAAAAAAGCUCCAAAGCGGAAACGCCUCCUCAUCUCGAAUCUUGCUUUUUUUUAAACACAGUACAGACGCAAGUGCUCAUACUAUUAUAACACACACACGUACAUCCUAUCCCUAUGAGCAUCUUUGAGAGAUCGAGCCGGCAUAUCAUGUUGAGAUUUUAUGAAUAAGUCACCGUAGGAUAAGUGCGAGCACCAGGACUUGAACCCUGGUGGGCUGGGGAUACCACUGUCCACAUAACCAUCCAACUACAGGUUGGUUCGUGUCUCGAAUCUUGUUAGAGCAAUCGCUCCUUGUUGUAUGCAUAGGAAUAGCGGAAAUUCAACAUGGGUCAUAUUACCAUAUGGUAUCGUUAUCCGAGCCGUUGGUCCACAUAGGGAUCAGUGAACACAGGCGUAUUGCAUGAUGCAUUUCUUUUUCAUUGCAUCAAUAUUCAAUGCGCCAGUGCUUCUUGCCGGUUGUCCAUUAAUGUUGUGGCCCACAAUGGUGUUCUAACGACGCUACUUUCUACUUUUUCUGGACCGGAGCUUGUGGCACAUGGUCUGCUCCAUACUAAGGCCUACUCCAACGCAUGACCCAAACAGACGUCCGUUUUGUCUGGAUUUCGUCCGUUUGAGGGUGACAAUUGGGUCGUAUCCACCCAAAUUUGAGUUUGCGUCGGCAGGACGCCCAACGAGCGGUCGCAUCUUCGACGCAUCUUGUCCCCGUGCAUGCAAACAUGAGAAACCAAGGAUUUAAGUCGCGGCCACGGUUCGCACUAGUUCACGUCGGCCGGCAACACAGCCAGCGGCCUAUAGUAUCAUGCCGCAACACAGCCAGCCUUUAAAAAGUACAUGUUUCACGCCGGCAACAAAGCCAGCGGCCGACACACCAGCCAGCCUUAAGAAAGGACCGCCAUCGCGGCCAGCGUGGCCGAGGUCUCACCUAGUUCAGGCUGUCACGGGCUAACAUCUCCUUCUGCCGGUUCAUGAACCAAGCCUUCCUCUCUAGUGACAUGUUGUUCUUGUUGACGCUCAUCAACACUAGUGCCAUCUCCUUGGCUUUUGUGCCGGCAUUGGUGGCCUCGAUCUCUAGCUUCUUGAGUUGAGCGGCCUCCUCUAUGUCGAGCUUCCUCUUCUUCACGGCCUCCUCCAUGUCAAGAUUCUUCGUUUGAAGAUCUAGGUAUAUCUUCAUUUGCUCCUCCUUCCCUUUGCACCUGCUCUCCUCCCGCACUUCCUUUUGGCUCAUCAUGUUCUCCGAAUUUCCUUGCAAGGCUAUAGAAGACACAUCACGCUUCUCGUCGGCCUUUGAGCUUGUCUUGCCCCUCGGCCUCUUGAGCACGUCUCCCUCAUCAGCCAUGGCCGCCUUCUCUCCUAUAUUCUUCUUAAGAGCAUUGUAUUGGUCCUUGAACUUGGGGCAAUCUUUGAUGAGCACCCAACAAUGCCCAACAUGAGGAGGGUGUGCGCCUUGGAGACGGUGGACUCCUUGUCGUCAAGGUCGGCCUGGUGCUGCAACACACGCCGCAGGGAACACUUGGCGGCGUACUCGAUGACGGCCUUCUUCUCCGUCAUGACAGUUCGCCGGUUCCUCCUCUUGGCCGAUUCGGCGUCGAGCUUGGCGGCCUCCGCCGACGUGAUCUCCGACCGAAGCUUCUUCACAGGCUUCGUUUUCUUCGCCACGGGGUGGGUGGCCGGUGGUGGGUUGCCGGGAUUCGCCUCAUCGGCCAUGGUGGAUGGAGGAAGGGGGAAGGAUGAGGACGCGGGAUAGUGGAGGGCGAGGCCCGGGAGUGUUUUGGAGGAAAGGGAGGGAAAGUGGCCGCCUGUGCCACCGACGGGCGGGCCAAGAGGACAAGGGCACGCGUCACGCCCAUGCGCGUGCUGUCCGUUUUGCCGCAAACUCGUCUCAAUCUUGGGCCAGGAGUGGGUCGGAAGCGGACAGAAAAUGAACGACAGUCCGUUUACGGUCGCGUGUUGGAGGUCCUGCUUUGUCCAUUUACCCCCAAACGGACACGGACGAGCCAUUUGGGGUCGUGCGUUGGAGUUGGCCUAAGCCAUCGGCCCAAUUUAUACAAGUCAUAUGCCACCGGGCAAUCCUCUAGUCAAUCGUGAUCCCUUCUAAUUCCUAUCAUUUUGGUUAAUUCACUUAAUCUCUUCCCGAUGGGGAUUAUUCAAAUCCAUGCAGUGCGCAUCAAACUGGUGCAUGCAAGCAUACAAGCCCAAUACAGCUGAAAUAUGUCUGCAUGUAAAAUGAAGCAUCCUCAGCAUCAGUUUAUUACAGUACCAUGGAGUUGAAAGCCAAACAAUUUCUUGAUCAGAAAAGGGAAACGUUCCUAGUAAAAAAAGAGGAGAAGCAGGUUUCAUACACAGACAAUAUAUGAGAUGGUCCAGGAGAUGUCCGUGACCUAAGAAAACUGCAAAUUGUUGUUUGCAAGAAAAAUUCAAAUAGCUAAGCAUGGUCGUCAUUACUGCCAGAUGCGCCCCAUUCAUUAAAUAAGAAGGAGGUUUAACAAGGUAUCCAGGCACUGGCCAAAGGCCGGAAAGAAAAAUACAAGCCGUUACUCUCCCGGCAUCAGAAGACCCAAAUGUUUCGACCCUGCUAGGAUCCAUAGCUUCGCCUCGUGCUUGAUUGGUUGGAGAGUGCCAAACGUUGGAGCGGAGCGGCCUCUAAAAACCCGUGCGUUCCUCUCAUCCCAAAUUGCUUUCGAAACGAGCAUAAAGAUAGAAGGCAUCACUUUCUUGUGUGCACUAUGGGCGGAAGCCGAUUCACACCAUCAAUCAUGGAUGCUCGUGUAAGUCGCCCAACCAGAAGUAUCCAAAUCAAUGAGUUGAAGGCAAACUCUAACCAUCUCCCAAACUCUCAAAGUGUAUCUACAUUGGAAGAAAAUGUGCUCGACCGUCCUUGUUCACGCCUACAGAGGGUGCACGGACCACUGUUUGGCCAACCUCGCUUGGCCAAGCAAACGGAUGUCCAUAACCUGUCUUGGAUGGCAAGCCAUGCAAGAAAAUUGNNNNNNNNNNNNNNNNNNNNNNNNNNNNNNNNNNNNNNNNNNNNNNNNNNNNNNNNNNNNNNNNNNNNNNNNNNNNNNNNNNNNNNNNNNNNNNNNNNNNNNNNNNNNNNNNNNNNNNNNNNNNNNNNNNNNNNNNNNNNNNNNNNNNNNNNNNNNNNNNNNNNNNNNNNNNNNNNNNNNNNNNNNNNNNNNNNNNNNNNNNNNNNNNNNNNNNNNNNNNNNNNNNNCAGAACGGGUGAUGGUCAAGUAGUGCACGUUAUAAGCCAAAGACACAGAGUACCUCCUGAAGGAAAUAUGCCCUAGAGGCAAUAAUAAAGUUAUUAUUUAUUUCCUUAUAUCAUGAUAAAUGUUUAUUAUUCAUGCUAGAAUUGUAUUAACCGGAAACAUAAUACAUGUGUGAAUACAUAGACAAACAGAGUGUCACUAGUAUGCCUCUACUUGACUAGCUCAUUGAUCAAAGAUGGUUAAGUUUUCUAGCCAUAGACAUGAGUUGUCAUUUGAUUAAUGGGAUCACAUCAUUAGGAGAAUGAUGUGAUUGACAUGACCCAUUCCGUUAGCUUAGCACCCGAUCGUUUAGUAUGUUGCUAUUGCUUUCUUCAUUACUUAUACAUGUUCCUAUGACUAUGAGAUUAUGCAACUCCCGUUUACCGGAGGAACACUUUGUGUGCUACCAAACGUCACAACGUAACUGGGUGAUUAUAAAGGUGCUCUACAGGUGUCUCCGAAGGUACUUGUUGGGUUGGCGUAUUUCGAGAUUACGAUUUGUCACUCCGAUUGUCGGAGAGGUAUCUCUGGGCCCUCUCGGUAAUGCACAUCACCUAAGCCUUGCAAGCAUUGCAACUAAUGAGUUAGUUGCGGGAUGAUGUAUUACGGAACGAGAAAAGAGACUUGCCUGUAACGAGAUUGAACUAGGUAUUGAGAUACCGACGAUCGAAUCUCGGGCAAGUAACAUACCGAUGACAAAGGGAACAACGUAUGUUGUUAUGCGGUCUGACCGAUAAAGAUCUUCGUAGAAUAUGUAGGAGCCAAUAUGGGCAUCCAGGUCCCGCUAUUGGUUAUUGACAAGAGAGGUGCCUCGGUCAUGUCUACAUAGUUCUCGAACCCGUAGGGUCAGCAUGCUUAACGUUCGUUGACGAUAUAGUACUAUGAGUUAUGUAUGUUGGUGACCGAAUGUUGUUCGGAGUUUUGGAUGAGAUCACAGAUAUGACGAGGAACUCCGGAAUGGUCCGGAAGUAAAGAUUGAUAUGUGGAUAGUAGUGUUUGAUCUCUGGAAGGGUUCCGGAAUACACCGGAAGGGGUUCCGGAUGUUUCCCGAAAUGUUUGGGCACGAGAACACUUUAUCUGGGCCAAAGGGGAAAGCCCACAAGGUUUUUGGAAAGUGCAAAAGGAAGUUUUGCGGAGUCCAGGGGCCAGAUGCCAGGGUCCCUGGCGUCUGGGUCCAGACGCCGGGAACCCUGGCGUCUGGCCCUGGAGUCCGAGAAGGACUCUUGCCUUUCGGGUGAAACCGACUUUGUGGAGGCUUUUACUCCAAGUUUCGACCCCAAGGCUCAACAUAUAAAUAGAGGGGUAGGGCUAGUACCCAAGACACAUCAAGAAACACCAAGCCGUGUGCCGGCAACCCCGUCUCCUCUAGUUUAUCCUCCAUCAUAGUUUUCGUAGUGCUUAGGCGAAGCCCUGCGAAGAUUGUUCUUCACCAACACCAUCACCACACCGUCGUGCUGCCGGAACUCAUCUACUACUUCGCCCCUCUUGCUGGAUCAAGAAGGCGAGGACGUCACCGAGCCGUACGUGUGCAGAACUCGGAGGUGCCGUGCUUUCGAUGCUUGGAUCGGUCGGAUCGUGAAGACGUUCGACUACAUCAUCCGUGUUGAUAUAACGCUUCCGCUUCGGUCUAUGAGGGUACGUAGACAACACUCUCCCCUCUUGUUGCUAUGCAUCACCAUGAUCUUGCAUGUGCGUAGGAAUUUUUUUGAAAUUACUACAUUCCCCAACAGUGGUAUCAGAGCCUAGGUUUUAUGGUUUGAUGUUAUAUGCACGAGUAGAACACAAGUGAGUUGUGGGCGAUAUAAGUCAUACUGCUUACCAGCAUGUCAUACUUUGGUUCGGCAGUAUUGUUGGAUGAAGCGGCCCAGACCGACAUUACGCGUACGCUUACGCGAGACUGGUUCUACCGCUGUGCUUUGCACACAGGUGGCUGGCAGGUGUCAGUUUCUCCAACUUUAGUUGAAUCGAGUGUGGCUACGCCCGGUCCUUGCGAAGGUUAAAACAACACCAACUUGACAAACUAUCGUUGUGGUUUUGAUGCGUAGGUAAGAUUGGUUCUUGCUUAAGCCCGUAGCAGCCACGUAAAACUUGCAACAAACAAAGUAGAGGACGUCUAACUUGUUUUUGCAGGGCAUGUUGUGAUGUGAUAUGGUCAAGGCAUGAUGCUAAAUUUUAUUGUAUGAGAUGAUCAUGUUUUGUAACCGAGUUAUCGGCAACUCGCAGGAGCCAUAUGGUUGUCGUUUUAUUGUAUGCAAUGCAAUCGCCCUGUAAUGCUUUACUUUAUCACUAAGCGGUAGCGAUAGUCGUAGAAGCAUAAGAUUGGCGAGACGACAACGAUGCUACGAUGGAGAUCAAGGCGUCGCGCCGGUGACGAUGGUGAUCAUGACGGUGCUUCGGAGAUGGAGAUCACAAGUACAAGAUGAUGAUGGCCAUAUCAUAUCACUUAUAUUGAUUGCAUGUGAUGUUUAUCUUUUAUGCAUCUUAUCUUGCUUUGAUUGACGGUAGCAUUAUAAGAUGAUCUCUCACUAAAUUUCAAGAUAAAAGUGUUCUCCCUGAGUAUGCACCGUUGCCAAAGUUCGUCGUGCCCAGACACCACGUGAUGAUCGGGUGUGAUAAGCUCUACGUCCAUCUACAACGGGUGCAAGCCAGUUUUUGCACACGCGGAAUACUCAGGUUAAACUUGACGAGCCUAGCAUAUGCAGAUAUGGCCUCGGAACACUGAGACCGAAAGGUCGAGCGUGAAUCAUAUAGUAGAUAUGAUCAACAUAGUGAUGUUCACCAUUGAAAACUACUCCAUUUCACGUGAUGAUCGGUUAUGGUUUAGUUGAUUUGGAUCACGUGAUCACUUAGAAGAUUAGAGGGAUGUCUAUCUAAGUGGGAGUUCUUAAGUAAUAUGAUUAAUUGAACUUGAAUUUAUCAUGAACUUAGUCCCUGAUAGUAUCUUGCUUGUUUAUGUUGAUUGUAGAUAGAUGGCCCGUGCUGUUGUUCCGUUGAAUUUUAAUGCAUUCCUUGAGAAAGCAAAGUUGAAAGAUGAUGGUAGCAAUUACACAGACUGGGUCCGUAACUUGAGGAUUAUCCUCAUUGCUGCAUAGAAAAGUUACGUCCUGGAAGCACCGCUGGGUGCCAGGCCUGCUGCUGAUGCAACUGACGACGUUAAGAACGUCUGGCAGAGCAAAGCUGAUGACUACUUGAUAGUUCAAUGUGCCAUGCUUUACGGCUUAGAACUGGGACUUCAACGACGUUUUGAACGUCAUGGGGCAUAUGAGAUGUUCCAGGAGUUGAAGUUAAUAUUCCAGCAGAAUGCCCGGAUUGAGAGAUAUGAAGUCUCCAAUAAAUUCUAUAGCUGCAAGAUGGAGGAGAAUAGUUCUGUCAGUGAGCAUAUACUCAAGAUGUCUGGGUAUUGUAAUCACUUGAUUCAACUGGGAGUUAAUCUUCCGGAUGAUAGCGUCAUUGACAGAAUUCUCCAAUCACUUCCACCAAGCUACAAGAGCUUCGUGAUGAACUAUAAUAUGCAAGGGAUGGAUAAGACAAUUCCCGAGCUCUUCGCAAUGCUAAAGGCUGCGGAGGUAGAAAUCAAGAAGGAGCAUCAAGUGUUGAUGGCCAACAAGACCACUAGUUUCAAGAAAAAAGGCAAAGGGAAGAAGAAGGGGAACUUCAAGAAGAACAGCAAGCAAGUUGCUGCUCAGGAGAAGAAACCCAAGUCUGGACCUAAGCCUGAAACUGAGUGCUUCUACUGCAAGCAGACUGGUCACUGGAAGCGGAACUGCCCCAAGUAUUUGGCGGAUAAGAAGGAUGGCAAGGUGAACAAAGGUAUAUGUGAUAUACAUGUUAUUGAUGUAUACCUUACUAGAGCUCGCAGUAGCACCUGAGUAUUUGAUACUGGUUCUGUUGCUAAUAUUUGCAACUCGAAACAGGGACUACGGAUUAAGCGAACACUGGCAAAGGACGAGGUGACGAUGCGUGUGGGAAAUGGUUCCAAAGUCGAUGUGAUCGCGGUCGGCACGCUACCUCUACAUCUACCUUCGGGAUUAGUAUUAGACCUAAAUAAUUGUUAUUUGGCGCCAGCGUUGAGCAUGAACAUUAUAUCUGGAUCUUGUUUGAUGCGAGAUGGUUAUUCAUUUAAAUCAGAGAAUAAUGGUUGUUCUAUUUAUAUGAGUAAUAUCUUUUAUGGUCAUGCACCCUUGAAGAGUGGUCUAUUUUUGAUGAAUCUCGAUAGUAGUGAUACACAUAUUCAUAAUGUUGAAGCCAAAAGAUGCAGAGUUGAUAAUGAUAGUGCAACUUAUUUGUGGCACUGCCGUUUAGGUCAUAUCGGUGUAAAGCGCAUGAAGAAACUCCAUACUGAUGGACUUUUGGAACCACUUGAUUAUGAAUCACUUGGUACUUGCGAACCGUGCCUCAUGGGCAAGAUGACUAAAACACCGUUCUCCGGUACUAUGGAGAGAGCAACAAAUUUGUUGGAAAUCAUACAUACAGAUGUAUGUGGUCCGAUGAAUGUUGAGGCUCAUGGCGGAUAUCGUUAUUUUCUCACCUUCACAGAUGAUUUAAGCAGAUAUGGAUAUAUCUACUUAAUGAAACAUAAGUCUGAAGCAUUUGAAAAGUUCAAAGAAUUUCAGAGUGAAGUUGAAAAUCAUCAUAACAAGAAAAUAAAGUUUCUACGAUCUGAUCAUGGAGGAGAAUAUUUGAGUUACGAGUUUGGUCUACAUUUGAAACAAUGCGGAAUAGUUUUGCAACUCAUGCCACCUGGAACACCACAGCGUAAUGGUGUGUCCGAACGUCGUAAUCGUACUUUACUUGAUAUGGUGCGAUCUAUGAUGUCUCUUACAGAUUUACCGCUAUUGUUUUGGGGUUAUGCUUUAGAGACGGCCGCAUUCACGUUAAAUAGGGCACCAUCAAAAUCCGUUGAGACGACGCCUUAUGAACUGUGGUUUGGCAAGAAACCAAAGUUGUUGUUUCUUAAAGUUUGGGGCUGCGAUGCUUAUGUGAAAAGCUUCAACCUGAUAAGCUCGAACCCAAAUCGGAGAAAUGUGUCUUUAUAGGAUACCCAAAGGAGACUGUUGGGUACACCUUCUAUCACAGAUCCGAAGGCAAGACAUUCGUUGCUAAGAAUGGAUCCUUUCUAGAGAAGGAGUUUCUCUUGAAAGAAGUGAGUGGGAGGAAAGUAGAACUUGAUGAGGUAACUGUACAUGCUCCCUUAUUGGAAAGUAGUACAUCACAGAAACCGGUUUCUGUGACACCUACACCAAUUAGUGAGGAAGUUAAUGAUGAUGAUCAUGGAACUUCAGAUCAAGUUACUACUGAACCUCGUAGAUCAAACAGAGUAAGAUCCGCACCAGAGUGGUAUGGUAAUCCUGUUCUAGAAGUCAUGCUACUAGAUCAUGAUGAACCUACGAACUAUGAAGAAGUGAUGGUGAGCCCAGAGUCCGCAAAAUGGCUUGAAGCCAUGAAAUCUGAGAUGGGAUCCAUGUAUGAGAACAAAGUGUGGACUUUGGUUGACUUGCCCGAUGAUCGGCAAGCAAUUGAGAAUAAAUGGAUCUUCAAGAAGAAGACUGACGCUGACGGUAAUGUUACUGUCUACAAAGCUCGACUUGUUGCGAAAGGUUUUCGACAAGUUCAAGGGAUUGACUACGAUGAGACCUUCUCACCCGUAGCGAUGCUUAAGUCUGUCCGAAUCAUGUUAGCGAUUGCCGCAUUUUAUGAUUAUGAAAUUUGGCAGAUGGAUGUUAAAACUGCAUUCUUGAAUGGAUUUCUAGAAGAAGAGUUGAAUAUGAUGCAACCGGAAGGUUUUGUCGAUCCAAAGGGAGCUAACAAAGUGUGCAAGCUCCAGCGAUCCAUUUAUGGACUGGUGCAAGCCUCUCAGAGUUGGAAUAAACGCUUUGAUAGUGUGAUCAAAGCAUUUGGUUUUGUACAUACUUUUGGAGAAGCCUGUAUUUACAAGAAAGUGAGUGGGAGCUAUGUAGCAUUUCUGAUAUUAUAUGUGGAUGACAUAUUACUAAUCGGAAAUGAUAUAGAAUUUCUGGAUAGCAUAAAGGGAUACUUGAAUAAAUGUUUUUCAAUGAAAGACCUCGGUGAAGCUGCUUACAUAUUGGGCAUUAAGAUCUAUAGAGAUAGAUCAAGACGCUUAAUUGGACUUUCACAAAGCACAUACCUUGACAAAGUUUUGAAGAAGUUCAAAAUGGAUCAAGCAAAGAAAGGGUUCUUGCCUGUGUUACAAGGUGUGAAGUUGAGUAAGACUCAAUGCCUGACCACUGCAGAAGAUAGAGAGAAAAUGAAAGAUGUUCCCUAUGCUUCAACCAUAGGCUCUAUCAUGUAUGCAAUGCUGUGUACCAGACCUGAUGUGUGCCUUGCUAUAAGUUUAACAGGGAGGUACCAAAGUAAUCCAGGAGUGGAUCACUGGACAGCGGUCAAGAACAUCCUGAAGUACCUAAAAAGGACUAAGGAUAUGUUUCUCGUAUAUGGAGGGGACAAAGAGCUCAUCGUAAAUGGUUAUGUUGAUGCAAGCUUUGACACUGAUCUGGACGAUUCUAAAUCGCAAACCGGAUACGUGUUUACAUUAAACGGUGGAGCUGUCAGUUGGUGCAGUUCUAAACAAAGCGUCGUGGUGGGAUCUACAUGUGAAGCGGAGUACAUAGCUGCUUCGGAAGCAGCAAAUGAAGGAGUCUGGAUGAAGGAGUUCAUAUCCGAUCUAGUUGUCAUACCUAGUGCAUCGGGUCCAAUGAAAAUCUUUUGUGACAAUACUGGAGCAAUUGCCUUAGCGAAGGAAUCCAGAUUUCACAAGAGAACCAAGCACAUCAAGAGACGCUUCAAUUCCAUCCGGGAUCUAGUCCAGGUGGGAGACAUAGAAAUUUGCAAGAUACAUACGGAUCUGAAUGUUGCAGACCUGUUGACUAAGCCUCUUCCACGAGCAAAACAUGAUCAACACCAAGGCUCCAUGGGUGUUAGAAUCAUUACUGUGUAAUCUAGAUUUUUGACUCUAGUGCAAGUGGGAGACUGAAGGAAAUAUGCCCUAGAGGCAAUAAUAAAGUUAUUAUUUAUUUCCUUAUAUCAUGAUAAAUGUUUAUUAUUCAUGCUAGAAUUGUAUUAACCGGAAACAUAAUACAUGUGUGAAUACAUAGACAAACAGAGUGUCACUAGUAUGCCUCUACUUGGCUAGCUCAUUGAUCAAAGAUGGUUAAGUUUCCUAGCCAUAGACAUGAGUUGUCAUUUGAUUAAUGGGAUCACAUCAUUAGGAGAAUGAUGUGAUUGACAUGACCCAUUCCGUUAGCUUAGCACCCGAUCGUUUAGUAUGUUGCUAUUGCUUUCUUCAUGACUUAUACAUGUUCCUAUGACUAUGAGAUUAUGCAACUCCCGUUUACCGGAGGAACACUUUGUGUGCUACCAAACGUCCCAACAUAACUGGGUGAUUAUAAAGGUGCUCUAUAGGUGUCUCCGAAGGUACUUGUUGGGUUGGCGUAUUUCGAGAUUAGGAUUUGUCACUCCGAUUGUCGGAGAGGUAUCUCUGGGCCCUCUCGGUAACGCACAUCACCUAAGCCUUGCAAGCAUUGCAACUAAUGAGUUAGUUGCGGGAUGAUGUAUUACGGAACGAGAAAAGAGACUUGCCGGUAACGAGAUUGAACUAGGUAUUGAGAUACCGACGAUCGAAUCUCGGGCAAGUAACAUACCGAUAACAAAGGGAACAACGUAUGUUGUUAUGCGGUCUGACCGGUAAAGAUCUGUAACACCCCAAAAAUUUAACCAGGUUUUAGUUAUUAAAAUUUUGCCAAGAGUUUAAGAUUUUUGCCUGCAAGAAUAUAUCUGUUGAUUUCAAAACUUUUCUUUUAAUAUUAAGGAGUUUUUCCCAAGUGGAUCCUUCCAAAACAUAUUGGACUUAUUUUCCCUCUCAUUUAAAAACAUCCCUCAAUCAGUAGUUUUAUUUAUAAAAUUAUUUCACCCUGAGCUUUAUUCAUUAAAUGACUUGUUUUAAAAUUUGGAGCUCUUUUUGAACUACAACAAUUUGAUAUAUUUAUCUAAAAAUCCAACCAAAAUUUGGAGAUGUCAUAUGAUGUUUUUAAAUCACUUUUAUACAAAAAUAUCUUUUAUUCUUGAAAUAUUUUGAGCUCUACACCCAAUUUUCUUCUCUGGUCCAGGGAGCAAUUUUGCACUACAACCCUUUUAAAUAUUUGUUUCUAGCUUACACCAAAAUUUUGGGAUGUCAGUAGGAGCAUACCAUUUCAUUAUAUGCAAAAAUCCAGGGUUGUUCUUUGAAAAUUUUGAGUGAAACAACCUCAUCUUUAUUCUGGCCCAACAUGAUGGUUUGUACAGCAACCACAUUUUUAGUUGCUCCUUUAUCCAUGAUUCCUCUUCCUACUUGUAGUCCUCCAUGUUAAACUCCUAAGUCCAGGAGCAUGCAACCAUUGGCACAUUUUUGGUUCAUGAAAUAAUGCCCUUCACCUCCUGUCCAGAUUUGAAGUUCUGCAAAACUUGCACUAGCAAGUUUAUGCUUUUCACUAACUAACCUCACCAACCUCUUGUGCCUCCAAAGAGACACUGAUCUGGAAGAAUUUGCCCCUCCAAGACCUGCCUAGAUGCCUCUGGCAUUUUAUCAAACACCCUGUGGGCAUGGACAGAUUUGGCAUGAUUGUAAGUUUGUGUUGUGAACUUUCCCAUCUGUCCAAACCAAGUUGUCUAAUAGCUUUCUAUAUGUCUCUAACCUAGGCUUGUGGAUUUGCAUUAGCUUCCUAGCAACUUGGCUCGCCCUGGCAUUUCGUCGAACGAGUGCCGUGCACGCCCAGAGCGCGAGCAGAGCGCGCGUUUUGCACGUGCUCGCGCCGAGCCAACUCACCCCCCCUGGAUAAGUUUCCCCGAGCUCAUCCAAAUCCUCUCCCUCUCGCCACGUCACGCUAGAAGCCCCGACCGCCUCCGCGCCCCCUGCAGCGUAGCCAGCAAGCGGCUUGGCGGCACGCCCGUGGCCGCACCCGCCACCGCCAUGAGCAGCACCGCCCAAACCACCACAGCGCGCCAGCUCGCCUCCUUCGACAGUGGAGUGAUCGUCGUUAGCCCCUGGAGCUAGCCAGCCACCGCCAUGUCGCUCUGCAGCACAGUAAGACGGUCGCCGGCGACCUUAUCCGCGGCUACCGUCGGAACCGACCCCGAGCGCCUAUUUAAGGAGGCCCCGAGCACGUUCCGUUCGCAGGCGGCCUCAGUACACUCCUCCAGUUCCCCCAUGGCAGCCAAUCGACCCGAGGAGGCCGUCUUCCUCAUCUCCGGCAACUCCAGCCGCCGCCGCUGUCUCGACCAUUCCGGCGCCACCAAAGCCUCCCUCUCCCCAUUCUCUUCACCAGGAGCUUCCUCUCCACCUCGUGAAUCCAUCCCCUUGCUCGAUUUCGAUUGGGACUCACUGUGGGAGAAAAACCACUUUGCCCGACGACCACCGUCCGCUGUGAAGCUCGCCGCCGGCAGCUCCGUCCACCCCAGAGACCGUAUCGACCACCGGAAUGACUGUCUCGAUCCCCUGAACCCGCAUAUGGCCUCCAUUUCCCGAACGAUGCCGCCAUUCGCCGGCAAACAUCGUCGGAGCUCCCGCCUCUGUUCGGCCAGAGGAAGGGGAGGGAGGGCGACUGGUCAAACAUGACUAGUGGCCCCCCUGGACCCACUGUCAGUGACCCAGCCCCGCCACCACAUGACUUAAGUGAAGACGUGAAAUCACAAAGUACGUUUCCUCCGCUCCGAAAACGUAUUCUUGUCUGAAACGUUUUCUUUUCUAUUUUUUUAUUUUAAAAACAGAUUUUUGACCACAACUUUGACUGGCUUUAUCUUUUUAAAUAUAACUCCAAAUGAAUUAAUUCUUUUUCCUACCUCUCUCAAAUAUUGUCUAGUUUAUUUUAAGAUUUAUUUGAAAAAAAUUCAGAACAACUUUUUGUGCUGUUUUUAUUUUGUGUGUUAAUUCAUUUAUUUCUAAAUAGGAUUUUUGAAGAGAAGAGAUAUACUUUCAAAAGUUUUGAAGUACACCCUGCCUUACCACACAUUGAAGGCAAGCAUUCUGAACCCCGGCAUAAUAUUUUUGUGUGUUCGAUGACACGUUUAUAACAUCACCUCACUUCGGAGAAACUUGUUAUUUCAUGUGACAUGAUCAUAUGCAUGGGUGCAUGUUAUUGAUUUCCAUGCUGUUGGAAAUGAACACACUUGUGAUGAUAAUCACCCUCAUGUGCCUUGCAUGCAUACCGGCAGGAACCCGGGAAAACCUCAGCCUUGGGUAGGCAUGAGUUUGUCGCCAGUCUCCGUCGGGACGGUUAUGUCUGGUAUGGCAUGGCAAUAUGAUAUGAGCGGUGACUCUGUUGGUUGAAAUAUAUUUGUUAUGCUAAUCAUGCAGGGAAUACUUAAACCUCCUGAGUCGACCGUAGAUCGAGUCUUGUUUCAGUAACCCCCAUACUUGUUUCGUACUACCACUCGUCUCUACAGCAAGUAGAGUACGGUUCAGUAAGUUGUCAACCUCUUUCUAGCACACACCGUACAGAGAGGCCAGGGUGGAAGAUACCGGUUGUAGCUGGUAGGCAGGCCACCUGGUCCGGGGGCAUGGGUGUUUCCGGUUGGGACCGAGAGGGGGGCACCCCUUAGAGCGCGCGGUAUAAAUUUGAUCCCAUGCUACGCGAGGUUGUAGCCUCCCCACUUAGAGUUUGCUUAACAGGUGUCAUGGGUGAUUCCAGACACGUGUGAGAUAGGCUGGUGUGUGCAAGUUAGGUGUGUUUUCAACAAAAAGACCGUAGACGGAAUUAGUCCCGAUGGACUAAAGAAAUCCAUUACUCGUGGGUAAAGAGUACACCCUCUGUAGAGAUUAAACCUAUUCGAAUAGCCGUGUCCAUGGUUAAGGACUACAGUCUGGGAUGGGUCAAGUAUCGGUCUUAGUGUCGGUCUUCGGAGGUGAAACUGUUAACCAGAACUGGAACAACAUGGAUUGUGACUUGUGACUUAUGAUGAUUAUGAUUAUUAUUAUUGUUGACUAACCCGUGAUAUUAUUGUUAUUAUCGAGUAUCUCUGGGAUGGUUCUACCUCCGGAAUAUUCCCUAUGAUUGUUUAUUUUAAAGCCCUUUAUGUGGUGUCGCUCAGACGCCCGACUGUGGCAUUUCUUUUAAAGCCCUUUAUGUGGUGUCGCUCAGACGCCCGACUGUGGCAUUUCUUUUAAAGCCCUUUAUGUGGUGUCGCUCAGACGCCCGACUGUGGCAUUUCUCUUAAAGCCCUUUAUGUGGUGUCGCUCAGACGCCCGACUGUGGCAUUUCUUUUAAAGCCCUUUAUGUGGUGUCGCUCAGACGUCCGACUGUGGCAUUUCUCUUAAAGCCCUUUAUGUGGUGUCGCUCAGACGCCCGACUGUGGCAUUGUUUGUUAUUUCAUACAUUCUAAUACUACUAUGUUAUUGCACUUUUAUAAAUAACUUGCUUGCACGCAUCAGAGUUUUAUUUAUCUUUUGUGACUGACGUCAUGAGCAUAAAAUAUUUUCAGCACAUCAUUGUUAUAUUAUACCUGUGUUCGUAAUGUUUGCGAGUACAUUCAAAGUACUCACUGGCUUGUCCCUGGCUAUUGUCUUGGCCAGAUUUUCUUGCACGGGGAGGAGCGACGCGAUGGCAGCCCGGAACCUAAGAAACGAUGAUAGCAGCCUCGUGAAGAUAGGAGUUAACCUGGUCAGCUGUUCCUGUGGGAAUUAGAGUCCCAUAGACACUGAUGAUCCACAAACCGCUUCCGCCAUCAACCACUAGAAACCAUUUGUUGUACUCACAGGCCAGAAUGGUCUUGCACUACAUAUUUUGUAUUUUGCUUGGAAUUUCUAUAUCAAGUUGGAGCCUCAUCAGCUAACAGUAAUCCUGGGGCUGAUGAGCACGACGGUCUUUUUCUGGAAAUUUAUACCCGGAAAAACCGGUCGUGACAAGAUCUUCAUAGAAUAUGUAGUAGCCAAUAUGGGCAUCCAGGUCCGGCUAUUGGUUAUUGACAAGAGAGGUGCCUCGGUCAUGUAUACAUAGUUCUCGAACCCGUAGGGUCCGCACGCUUAACGUUUGUUGACGAUAUAGUACUAUGAGUUAUGUAUGUUGGUGACCGAAUGUUGUUCGGAGUUUUGGAUGAGAUCACAGAUAUGAUGAGGAACUCCGGAAUGGUCCGGAAGUAAAGAUUGAUAUGUGUAUAGUAGUGUUUGAUCUCUGGAAGGGUUCUGGAAUUCACCGGAAGGGGUUCCGGAUGUUUCCCGAAAUGUUUGGGCACGAGAACACUUUAUCUGGGCCAAAGGGGAAAGCCCACGAGGUUUUUGGAAAGCGCAAAAGGAAGUUUUGCGGAGUCCAGGGGCUAGACGCCAGGGUCCCUGGCGUAUGGGUUCAGACGCCGGGAACCCUGGCAUCUGGCCCUGGAGUCCGAGAAGGACUCUUGCAUUUCGGGUGAAACUGACUUUGUGGAGGCUUUUACUCCAAGUUUCGACCCCAAGGCUCAACAUAUAAAUAGAGGGGUAGGGCUAGCACCCAAGACACAUCAAGAAACACCAAGCCGUGUGCCGGCAACCCCGUCUCCUCUAGUUUAUCCUCCGUCAUAGUUUUCGUAGUGCUUAGGCGAAGCCCUGCGAAGAUUGUUCUUCACCAACACCGUCACCACACCGUCGUGCUGCCGGAACUCAUCUACUACUUCGCCCCUCUUGCUGGAUCGAGAAGGCGAGGACGUCACCGAGCCAUACGUGUGCAGAACUCGGAGGUGCUGUGCUUUCGGUGCUUGGAUCGGUCGGAUCAUGAAGACGUUCGACUACAUCAACUGCGUUGAUAUAACGCUUCCGCUUCGGUCUACAAGGGUACGUAGACAACACCUCUCCCCUCUCGUUGCUAUGCAUCACCAUGAUCUUGCGUGUGCGUAGGAAUUUUUUUGAAAUUACUACGUUCCCCAACACCUCCCACAGGCCGUGUGUAUCCACAAAAUAGUAUCCUCCACGCCCGCUUGUAGCUGCACUCCGCGAAGGAGAAACCAAAGCUCUAGAAUUGCCAAAAAAUUGCCGGAUGCGCUACAAUGGCAGUGAAGUACAUCCUGAGCUGGGUUGCAGGCAGCAGCUAUCAGAAUUCGCUCUCUGACACUCGCUCUGAUAGAGAUGAACACUGGUGUUUGGCGUCGCGUAAAAUCUUGCGAUUUUUCUGACUUUCUCAUUCGCUAUUUUUUCUGGUACAAGGAAGAAACGGUGGCCAGUAGAGAUCCUACCUCGGCGCCAUGAUCUGGCUCAUGCCUGUGCCAUACCACGAGCACCAAGACCGGGUCCUAGCCCUACAUGCACGGCACGCACAACCGCGACACAUGCCUAACUGAAUUUAACUGAAAAAUGGAAAUUAACUACUGCUACCAAUGACUAGAUUAAGUUGUCAACAAAUCACCCCCUAAUCUUGUCAUUGCUGAUUUAUUUCCUAAGAACUCCAGUCAUGCCGAUCCUCCUCCUCAGCUCUUGAAACGCCAGACGUCCAAGUCCCUUUUUCAAAACAUCAGCGAGCUGAUCACUGGUUUGAAUGUAGUCGAUGUCGAUCUUCCCUCCCUCCAUGCACUCCCGGAUGAAGUGGAACCUAAUUUCAAUGUGCUUGCUCCGGUCAUGGAAGACGGGAUUCUUCGACAGAGAGAUCGCUGAUUUGUUGUCGACGAACAGCUUCGACGGCACUGUCUCCUUGUUCAGCAUCUCAUCGAGCAGCCAUGCCAGCCAAAUCCCUUGACACAUAGCUGUGGUGGUUGCAAUGUACUCGGCCUCGCAUGAAGAGAUGGCCACCACUCGUUUCUUUUGCGACUACCAGCUUAUAGGGUUCUCAUCGAGGAAGAAGAUGGUGCCCGUCGUGCUCUUCCGAUCGACGAUGUCCCUGACAUGAUCUGAAUCACUAUACCCUAUUAGCUUCAGCUUGCCCUUCCCGCGCUUGAACGCACAUCCGUGCUCCAGCGUCCCUGCUAUGUAACAAAGCAGGUUCUUCACCGCCGCAUAGUGAUUUGCAGCAGGGGCCUCCAUGAACCUCCUUAGAGCCUACAGCGAAGCUUACUUCUGGCCUUGUGUGGGUCAGAUACCGCAAACCUCCGAUGAUGCUUUGGUAGUACAUGACAUCCACGACAUCCCCGACACCGUCCUUGCUCAGCUUCAAUCUUGCCUGUAUUGGUGUGCUGACUGGGUUGCAGUCUGACAGCCCAGCUCGCUCCAACAAACGCUUGGCAUAUGCCAUCUGGCAGAGCAUGAUCCGAUCACGCUCCCGGUGGAUUUUGAUGCCAAGGUAGAAGCUGAAUUUGCCCAAGUCACUCAUGCAGAACAGCUUGGUCAUUUGCUGCUUGAAGCUUGCGAUCUCCUCCGUGUUCACGCUGGUGAUGAAGAGAUCAUCCACAUACACCCCAACGAGUAGCAGUGAGUUUCCUGUGCCUCGUCAGUACACCGCGUGCUCCGACGGACAACGCUCGAAGCCGAGUGUGCUCAGACUAUCAUCCAGCUUCGUGUUCCACGCCCUUGGAGCUUAGCGCAGACCGUACAUGGCCUUGCGGAGGCGCAACACCUUGUCUUCACGUAUCCCAGCGGCUGCUGCACAUACAGCUCCUCGAGCAGGUCACCAUUCAAGAAUGCUGACUUGAUGUCCAUGUGGUGUAUUUGCCAAUCAUGGUGAGCGACGAGGGUGAUCAACACACGCACCAAGUCCAUCCGCACCACGGGCGUGAACACAUCCUCAAAGUCAAUCCCUUGCCGUUGGACGUAGCCCUUGGCUACCGACCUCGCCUUGAGUUAGUCAUGAGAUCUUGUAUUACAGAACGAGUAAAGAGACUUGUCGGUAACGAGAUUGAACUAGGUAUGGAGAUACCAACGAUCGAAUCUCGGGCAAGUAACAUAUCACCGGACAAAGGGAAUUGCAUACGGGAUUACCCGAAUCCUCGACACCGUGGUUCAACCGAUGAAGAUCUUCGACGAAUAUGUAGGAACCAAUAUGGGCAUCCAGGUCUCGCUACUGGUUAUUGGCCAGAGAGGUGUCUCAGUCAUGACUACAUGAUUCCCGAACCCGCAGGGUCGCACGCUUAACGAUCGUUGACGCAACAGUAGUAUUGGGAUAUUUGAUGAUUGGUAACUGAAAGUUAUAUGGAGUCCCGGAUGAGAUCCCUGAUGUCACGAGGAGUCUUGGAAAUGUCGAGAGGUAAAGAUUUAUAUAUGGAAAGUCGUUUUCGGGAUUCUGGAAAAAGGUGUAGUUUUUCGGUGUUUUAUCGGGAAGCUUUGAGAAGGUUCCGGAGGGGUCCGGAAGUCCACAAGUGGGUCCACCAAGUCCCACAUGCCAGCAUGGGCUGAAAGGGGCUCCUUGGCCUUCAUGGGCCAGGCGCACCAACCCCUAAGAGUCCCAUGUGGCUAAGACAUGUGGAAAGGGACUAGGAGUCCAACUCCUACUAGGAGUAGGACUCCUCCCCCUUGGCGCCCGUCCUACUAGGAGUAGGGCUAGACUCCCAGCCCUCCCACACCUAUAAGUAUAGGGGAGGGGGCGCAGCAAGGCACCUCAACACAUUGGCAUUUGCUACUGCCCCGUCUCUCCCUCCCAGCAUAGUUCUAGUCCACGGUUUUCACUUAGCGAAGUGCUGCCAUUGCUCCACCACCACCAUCUCCACCACGUCAUUGUGUUGGUUGAGAUCCCAUCUACUUCUUCCCUUCUCUUGCUGGAUCAAGGAGGAGGAGAUGUCACCGAGCCGCACGUGUGCUAAACUCGGAGGUGUUGUUCGUUUGGUGCUAGAUCAGUUUGGAUCGUGAUUGGAUCACGAAGAGUACGACUACAUCAACCGCGUUAUAUAAGCUUUCGCUUAACGGUCUACGAUGGUACGUAGACACACUCUCCCCUCUCAUUGCUAUGCUUCUUCUAGAUAGAUCUUGGGUGUUAGUAGGAAUUUGAUUUUCAUGCAACAUUCCCCAUCAGCUUACAGUCAGGAGCAAAACUUUGGCUACUGCUUUUUUUGUCGCCGAGGUGCAAGGUAACUACAACGUCAUACUAGGCCGUGAUUGGGUUCAUGCAACCAAUGCGUGUCGUCUACUAUGCACCAGUUUUUCAUCAAGUGGGUUGAUGAUGAGGCAGAAAUCAUUUAUGUUGAUAACUGAUGCAUCAGUGGAUUGUCAACAUCCUAAUGCUACUUUCUUAACAGGGCGCGUUUUAAACAUGGUUAGUAUUUUAUGUAUACAUAUUCUUAUACAUGUCGGCGUUCUGGGAAUGGGGGUCCCCAGACUUGCCUGCCUGUGGCCUGCGGCGUGGCUCCAUCAGCGGCCCUGUACGGCCCAUCUUCACCAGCAAACACUCAAGACCCUCGCGAGGGGCCAAGCCUCGCGAGGCGGACGAUGCAAGACCUCCUCAGGGGUGGCCUCACUAGGCUGGCUCGCGAGCAGCGGAGAGAUCAAGGCAAGGGGCACCUCAUGAGAUUCCCGUGACGUGAGCCAUGACGACCAAGGCCAGACGGGUGCUAGCGGGCGCAUAGUACUCGUUUCCUCUUUGGUGCUAACGGAGCAGGCGCAGGCGAGGGGUCCCGAGGCAUUAGGCAAAGGUUUCCAUAUCGAUGCAACAAGACCAAGACCAGCAGGACGGCAGGACGGAGGUCAUCGCAGAGCCCACGGCGGCGUCACCACCAGAGGCUUUGGCAGGCGAAGACCAUCUUUUGUCAGGAUAGCUUGUACUAGUUGUCCCCCUUCAAAUUGGCCAUUGUGGGAUCCCUUCCUGCCUGAUAUUUGGGAAGAGGACCCGGGCCUCUAUAAAUAGGACUAGCCACCACCAUAGGAGGCAACUCAUCUGGGAUCGGAUCCAUUCCAUCCUCACACAUGCAAGCUCACCGAGCUCAAGAACACCUCUCCUUAGGAGGCUGUUCUUCCCUUGUACUUGUUCAUCCGUAUCCUACAAGGCAAUCCACCACACCACACUGGAGUAGGGUAUUACACCACAUCGGUGGCCCGAACUAGUAUAAACUCUUAUGUCCCUUGUUCUUCGGGUUCGGCGGGCCGAGCUUUGAGAUUGCGGUGAGAUCGUGAGCUAGGGGGAGAGAGAUCUUCGCGCGCACCCCAGAGUUUGAACCUUAAGGGUUUUUUGCUGGAACCCGUGAUCCGACAUUUGGCACGCCAGGUAGGGUGCGCUGGAGCCUCUCUUCCAUCAGCUGACCCGCCAACACUCUGCGGUUCCAAUAUCCGGCGACCCGAGGACCGACGCUGACAGCUGGGCAGCUUGGCCCGUCAGGGCAGCACCGUCCGCCCAGGAAGACCUCAACUCCGCACUCCAGGCGGCCCGCAUACUGCCGAACACCGCGGGGCGUGGGCGAUGCGGACCGGCAUCUUCCACCCUCACGCCGCGGUGCGCGCGGGCCGCCGCGAGGGCCUCAAGCUACGCAGCGGUGACAUCACCGCACACCCGGCGGGAGCAGGCGAACGUGCGGGCCACGCUCAUCAUGGCACGAGAGCUGUUACGGUGCAGGCUGAUCGAGAGCGGCCGCGAUGCAGUACUAGAACGCGUUGCUGAACUGAUGGACUGUGCUUGCAGGGGCACGCCGCCCUUCUGCUCCUUGUCCACUCCUCAGGUUGUGGCUGAGGCACGUGCAAGGGCCCGGCGAGCUCGUGCACCCCCCGGAGCAAUGGAGGAGCCAGGAGACACCAGCGUGGGCACCGGCGUCGCCUAUCCUACUGCAGCAACUUUGUCAUAGGCCGAGGCAAGCGCUGGUGGCCUACCAUGAAGCCUUGCUGGAGUGCGACCCAAUGGCCGCCAGGGCCUGGAGCCACGGCCAGGAGCUCAAGACGCGCUGCACUCAGGCGGUGGCCCCCCCCGGGGGGGGGGCAGCCGUCGAUGCCUAUGUGCCCCACAUGGUGAACCUGGAGUACAAGCUCGGGGAGGGCCCCAAUACACUCCUUGGGCCGGCAUGGGACGGCGGAACGCUGGAAGCAGGAGUUUUCCACGAGUCGCCUGAAGGCUCCGCCGAUCCCUUCAGCGACGACGGCGGGGUACAUCAGGUAUCGCAGGAGCAGGCGUGCACUAACCAUGGGUUGCAGGUGGACCAGGUCGUGACGGUGGUCGAGGACCCAAGGGCGGCGGUUCUGUCCCCGACCGGAGCAGAGCGCUGGGGGCUGUGCAUGGGGGGCUUGGAGCCACGGCCUCCCGCAUGCCGUGCAGAGCAAGGCGCCGGACGGAGGUAGGUCCUCUACCGGCGGAGCGCUGGGGAGCCCUUCCCCCCGGCAGAGGGCCCAUGGUCACCGGGGGCACCGCUGGCAUCCCCCUUGCCCCUUGGUCUCGUCCUGGUUUUCGGACGCCCCAAUAGUGGUCGGGGGUGGCGCAAGGCGGGGCCCUCUUCAGGCGAUAUGAACUAAGGCUCACGCCUGUGAAGGUCUCCACUCGUGAAACUCUCACGUAAUAAUGAGUGGGGUUGUACACGCCCUGGAGUCUUCGAGUGCCGCCCUUGGGCCUCAGGGGCUCCCGCCCAUGUCCCAGUGGUAGCACUUAGCUCCGCGCUGGUGGAAGACAAGAAGACUAGCUAGGCGCCGGACGCGGCUAUUUGCUUUCCUCUCCCAUUUUCUUUGUAACCUGGUUUGUCACCCUUUCGGCUUGAAUUUGAAGUCUUUCUCGUUGCAAAUAGUGGGGGGAGUUUUCCUUUGAUUUCUGCUGGUUCUAUCGCUUUCUGGUCAUGCACCUCGUUUUUAAGGCUUGCGCCUCAGGCCCUCCGGCUCGGGGGCUGGACGGUCGAUCCCACCAGGCAGGUCUACUCCACCUCGGCAGGACCCCCCUUGGGGCAAGAGUGUAUGCGCUGCAAAAUUGCUGCGUACGCAUCCUACCGCGGUCAGCAGGACGCCCCUGGCCAAGCUCCCCGCAGUAGGGCCGCAUGCUGCUCAGGAGGCUCAGGGCCGCGGACCCCUAGCGGUUUAUCUCAGGAGAAGGGCGUGCCAACUGCCCUGCAACCAACACAAGACCAGGUAGGUCAGGAUGAGUUGCGGUGGCGACCCUGCUUAGGAGCCCACCAACUCGCGGAAGCACGUCCCAAGUUCGGCUUUAAGACGGGAAGAGGAGAGAAGAACACCAACUUAUACACAUAGGGGGAUCUCCCCAUCAAAACACUCUCACACCCCACGGGGCCUUCUCCAAGUCUUUGCAUGCAGGGUGAAAACAGAGGGGUGCGAGCUUAGUCGGACAUGUCGCUCGCAACGUCAUCCGAGUCGCUCUCAUGCGCGCUGCCGGCGCUUUUGCUAGAGUCGUCUUCACCAUCAUCAACCACACCACCUUCGUCCGCCACGACCACGGCCUUGUCGUCUUCGGUAGCGAAGGCUCUGGCCAGAGCAUCCAUGUUAUCAUCCACCCAGCGUGCCAGGUUGUCCCGGAUAACUCCGGGCACGGGGGCGAUGGCAGCGUUGAAGUCAAAGUUGGGAUCGACAUUCUGAAGAUGGCUAAAGACGCGGGAGAACGCGCGUCCAAGGAGGCCCCGGCUCUUUUCCUCGACAAGCUCGUGAGCCCUCUCGGCCCAGUCCUCCAGGCGCGUCACGACAUCUGUGAAGAAGCGAAGAUGGCCGACAUAGUCCUCGGUGUGGGGAUGAGGGGCGUGCUCGUCGCAGAUGGCGCCGAGCGCCAGGUUGGCCCUCGUCCCGAGGUCCUGGAGCAUGGGGCAUGCUCGCGCUGCAACGUUUGUCGGCGGAUCGCCUCCUCCCUGCUCUGCUGCGCGAUGGACUUGGCAACGGUAACCCGCUGCUGAAGCGGGAGCAGCUCAGCUUGGGAGGAGGCCAACUCGGCCUGCACGGAGAUCAAGGCAGCCGCGGCAGCCUUCUCGCGCUGCUCCGCCCCAGCCAACCUCAACCUGAGGGCGGCGGUCCUGCCCUCAGCUUCAGCUUCCGUGAACUUCAGCUUCAGUUCGUACACAUUGGCAAGAUCAGCGCGAGCCUCGGUUGCCCUGCGAUCAACUUCUUCCUGGGUCCUCGCCUCGCGCGCGCUGGCAGCAUCUCCCGCUUGGGCAACUUGACGCUCCCUCGUCUCCAAUCGCUCAAGCUCGAGGCUGCGCUCCGUGGCCUCCAGCAUCAGCGCUUCCUCGCGCCUCAAGAUCUCCUCCUCGUCGGACGGCGCCCCCUUCAUCGAUGCCAAGGCAGCCCUACGUGCCUCCACUUGCUGCUCCAGGGAGGCAUUCAGGGCCUGGAGCUCCUACCAGCGCUUUUCGGCAACCUCGCGGUGGUGAUCUGCCUCCCUGGCCUCCUCCAAGGCUCGGGCGCUGUCCUCGCGCGAGGUUGCGUGGGAUGCUUCGGCCUUCGCGUUGGCGUGCUCGUGCUGGAGGCACCCGAGGUUGAUGGCCACCUUCAGUUGACGCCACUCGUCCACCAGCCGAAGGCCCUCGGUCUCAAGGAGGCGUCAACAUCCACAAGCUCCUCCCCAAGCCGACUCAGCGCACCCAUCGUCUCCCGGAAAAGCUCAUGACGGACAGCGCCCCUCUUGCGCGCCUGCUCGAGCGAACGACCAGGCCCGUCCUCCGCGCCAGAAGUCGCUGAAGAAAUCCGAAGAGGCACGCCUCCCCCCGGCAGGGGGCUGGAGGCCGUCCCCUUUCUAGUCGUCCUUCGAGUCUCAACAGAGGCUUGGAAGGGCGGAGGUUCGUUGCGUGAAGAAGACGCCAGGGCCGAGGUCACCCAGCCGCGGUCAAUAACCAGAGGAGGAGCCCUUGGCACACCUUCAGCACCCCAAGCAGGACCGCAAAGGGGGAAUGGCAAGAACACGGGGUCAAGAUGCUAGGCCGGCGCAUGCACCUCUCCGGCCGACCUUGCACUGAGUGUGGCAGGCCGGCUAGAGGUGCUCAGGAUCAGCAGAGGACUCGAGGUAGGAGAAGGCUGCUUCUCGGGAGAUUUCGCCGCCUUAGCAGAAGGGACCCUGAGGAAUCAUGCUCACGAGGGGAAGUAGCACUCGAGAAACUACAAAGAUAAGGUACUCACUCGUUUAUGGCGAUAUACUUCCUCUGUUUCAAUGGCCGGAAGGCAUCACCGCCGCAGCUUGGAGAUCCCUUCCUCUUCCGGAGUGCGUCACCAGCAAUGAAGGAGCAACUGUGCAGGUCGUGGUGGCCGCCUAGCUAGGCGGAUAUCAAGGCUGCAUGGGGAAGCGAGGAUGCCCAAGUCCCGUCAGUCGCCACGCAUCAAUCAAGGCCGCAUGUAGUUGGGGCCUGCGGCGCUUUGCACUUGCCCCUUGGCUUCGCCUCGAAGCCAAGUCCGAGUGCGCCUUAGGCCCGGGGGCUACUGUCGGUGUUCUGGGAACGGGGGUCCCCAGACUUGCCUGCCUGUGGCCUGCAGCGUGGAUCCACCAGCGGCCCUGUACGGCCCAUCUUCACCAGCAAACGCUCAAGACCCUCGCGAGGGGCCGAGCCUCGCGAGGCAGACAACGCAAGACCUCCUCAGGGGCGGCCUCACUAGGCUGGCUCGCGUGGAGCGGAGAGAUCAAGGCAAGGGGCACCUCGUGAGGUUCCCGUGACGUGAGCCAUGACGACCAAGGCCAGGCGGGCGUAGAGUACUUGUUUCCUCUUUGGUGCUAAAGGAGCAGGCGUAGGCGAGGGGUCCCGAGGCAUCAGGCAAAAGUUUCCAUAUCGGUGCAACGAGACCAAGACCAGCAGGAUGGCAGGACGGAGGUCAUCACGGAGCCCAUGACGGCGUCACCACCAGAGCCUUUGGCAGGCGAAGACCAUCUUUUGUCAGGAUAGCUUGUACUAGCUGGCCCCCUUCAAAUUGGCCGUUGUGGGAUCCCUUCCCGCCUGAUAUUUGGGAAGAGGACCCGGGCCUCUAUAAAUAGGACUAGCCACCACCGUAGGAGGCAACUUGAGGGAGUGCUGGAUUAGGGGGUAUCCGGACAGCCGGACUAUAUCCUUUGGCCGGAUUGUUGGACCAUGAAGAUACAAGAUUGAAGACUUCGUCCCGUGUCCGGAUGGGACUCUCCUUGGUGUGGAAGGCAAGCUUGGCAAUACGGAUAUGUAGAUCUCCUUCCUUGUAACCAACUCUGUGUAACCCUAGCCCCCUCCGGUGUCUAUAUAAACCGGAGGGUUUAGUCCGUAGGACCAAGAACAAUCAUACCAUAGGCUAGCUUCUAGGGUUUAGCCUCUACGAUCUCGUGGUAGAUCAACUCUUGUAAUACUCAUAUCAUCAAGAUCAAUCAAGUAGGAGUAGGGUUUUACCUCCAUCGAGAGGGCCCGAACCUGGGUAAAAACAUCGUGUCCCCCGUCUCCUGUCACCAUCUGCCUAGACGCACAGUUCGGGACCCCAUACCCGAGAUCCGCCGGUUUUGACACCGACAUUGGUGCUUUCAUUGAGAGUUCCUCUGUGUCAUCGUUGUUAGGCUUGAUGGCUCCUUCGAUCAUCGAUAGCGAUGCAGUCCAGGGUGAGACUUUUCUCCUCGGACAGAUUUUUGUUUUCGGCAGCUUCACACUGCGGGCCAACUCGCUUGGCCAUCUGGAGCAGAUCGAGAGUUACGCCCCUGGCCACCAGGUCAGGUUUGGAAGCUUAAACUACACAUCCGACAUCCGCGGAGACUUGAUCUUCGAUGGAUUCGAGCCCCUGCCGAGUGCACCGCACGGUCACGAUGAGCAUGAUUUAGCUCUGCCAUCAGACAGUGUUUAGGAGAUCGCACCGGCAACCGCUCCGACCCUCAAUUUGGAGCCAAUUGUGCCAUCCAUGGACGGGUGGAUAGACCCCGCCAUGGAGGCUGCAUUCUUAGGGGCGAUCGAGCCAAAUACCGACCUUACCCAUCAUGAGAGCCGUGACGCCAAACUGCCGGAUUCUUCCCCGGCCAUGGACUCCGAACCGCCUGCGCCCGUUCCUAUUGAAUCCGACUGGGCGCCGAUCAUGGAGUUCACCUCCACGGAUAUCUUUCAGCACUCGCCCUUCGGCGACGUACUGAACUCAUUAAGGUCUCUCUCCUUGUCAGGAGAGUCCUGGCCGAACUAUGUCCGGCCGGAUUGGGAUGCGGAUGACGAAGAAAUUCGCCGCCCACCCACCACCGACUUAGUAGCCACUAUCGAUGAUUUGACCGACAUGCUCGACUUCGACUCCAAAGACAUUGACAGCAUGGACAACGAUGCAGGAGACGAACAGGAACCACUGCCUACAGGGCACUGGACACCCACUUCAUCUAUGAUGUAUACAUGGUGGACACACCCAAAGAAAACGACGACGAGGAACGGAAGGAUGCAGUGAAGGAUCGUUCCCUCGAGAAGCAGUCCAAGCGGUGGCGUAAGUGCCGCUCCAAAUCCCGCCUCGACAGAAACAACGAUCAUAUAGACCCAGCGAUAGAGCAGGGUGAGCCAGCGGACGACGAACACGGCAUGGAACUGCCGUCCGACCACGGCAACACGGAGAAUCAAACCAAACAACCCGUCCCCGGCGAAGAUAACAGUCCGGAUGACAUCACACUGGACAAGCACCUGGAGCAACAGAAUCUCCAUCAAAGGCUUGUCGCCACUGCGAGGAGUCUGAAAAAGCAGAAGCAAAAGCUCAGGGCUGCACAAGAUACACUCAAAAUUAGAUGGAGUAAAGUACUCAACACCGCAGAAAAGUACGGCGGCAGUCGCCACACAAAGAGCUACCCGAAGCGAAAGCUGCUGCCUGAAUUCGAUGAUGAGGCCUUAGAGCCCCCGCAAUCGAAAAACAAAACAGCCAUCCGGUCGGAUAGACGACCUCGUGGCCAUCAUAGAGCGGCAAAUGACGCCGCACACAAACCAGUGCGCGAUCCACGUGAGGACUCGCAUCAAAAGGCCGACGCAACCAGAUCCAUCUACGGACCAAGAAAGCGCGCCCCAGUGCACAAUGCAACGCAACAAAAAUCCGAACACCACGUUACACCCAAAUACAGGGGUGCCGCACACCCCCUAUGUUUUGCCGAUGAGGUGCUGGACCAUGGAUUUCCAGAGGGAUUCAAACCCGUAAACAUAGAGGCAUAUGACAGAACGACAGACCCUGGGGUAUGGAUUGAGGACUACAUCCUCCAUAUCCACAUGGCUCGAGGAGACGAUCUCCAUGCCAUCAAGUACUUACCCCUCAAGCUCAAAGGGCCAGCUCGACACUGGCUUAAAAGCCUCCCCGAAAACUCCAUUGGAAGUUGGCAAGAGCUCGAGGACGCUUUUCGGGCAAAUUUUCAAGGGACCUAUGUCCGACCACCCCAUGCAGACGAUUUAAGUCAUAUAACUCAACUGCCCGGAGAGUCAGCCCGAAAGCUUUGGAACAUGUUACUCACUAAAAAGAACCAAAUAGUCGACUGUCCGGAUGCCGAAGCCUUAGCAACUUUCAAGCACAGCGUCCGAGACGAAUGGCUGGCCAGACACCUCGGUCAAGAAAAGCCGAGAACAAUGGCAGCCUUAACAAGCCUCAUGACCCGCUUUUGCGCGGGCGAGGACAACUGGUUAGCCCGAAGUAGCACCAGCGACCCAAGCACAUCCGAAGUCAGGGACGGAAAUGGGAAGCCACGACAAAAACAAGUGCCGGAAUAAAGAAGACAGCCCAAAUAGUACGGCGGUAAACGCCGGAUUCAGCAACUCUCGGCAAGGUCAGCGAAAGUUGCCCUCCAAAAGCAACAGAGACGAAUUGUCCAGCCUAAACAAGAUUCUGGACAAACUAUGUCAGAUCCACAGCACCCCCGAUAAACCUGCAAAUCAUACCUAUAGAGAAUGUUGGGUCUUCAAGCAGUCCGGCAAGCUAAACGCCAAACACAAGGGGCUGGAUACACCAAGCGAAGACGAGGAUGAGCCUCGCCAGCAAAGCACUGGGGAACAGAAAAAAUUCCCACCAGAAGUCAAAACAGUAAACGUGUUACACGUGAUGAAGGGGAGAAACAAAGUGGCACGCCCAAAGACACAUGGCCCAUGACCUAUCACCACAGAGUUCAGCCACUGGUCAUCCCAACCGAUCACUUUUGACCGUAGGGAUUACUCGGCAAGUAUCUGGCAGGCAGGAUUGGCUGCCUUGGUGUUAGACCCGAUAAUUGACGGAUACCAUUUCACAGGAGUCCUGACGGACGGCGGCAGUGGUUUAAACCUGAUAUAUCAGGACACAGUCCGCAAAAUGGGGAUAGACCCAACGAAAGUCAGCCAUAGCAAUACUACCUUUAAAGGAGUAACGCGAGGCACAGAAGCUCACUGCACGGGCUCUCUGUCUCUAGAGGUUGUAUUCGGCUUUCCCGACAACUUCCGAAGCGAAAAGCUAACCUUCCAAAUCGCUCUGUUCCAAAGUGGCUAUCAAGCACUACUCGGACGUGAAGCUUUCGCUCGCUUUAACACAAUACCGCAUUACGCUUCUCUCACGCUUAAGAUGCCCGGUCCACGUGGCAUCAUUACAGUAAAUGGAAAAAAUUGAGCGUUCCUUGCGCGCGGAAGAUCGUGCGGCCGCCCUGGCAGCCGCACACUAGACGACCUCACCAACCAGAGUAGAUGACCGGUCGUUAAGACUAUGGACACGGUUAGACGAGUCCGGCGUAGUUACAUAUAAUUGGUACAGGUUUGAUGGCUAUACUCCUAUAACAAUACAAGGGGCUCAACGCGUGUAAACAAGUGACAAUUCGGCUCAACUUUACUCAUCUUGAACUGUACAUGGUUUAUUUAGUAUAACAUACCUUUUGCACGACAACUUUUCAACUAAGUUCCUCUCUUUUGCAGAUGACCAUCAUGCUACACCCGUCCAGGAUACGGCACAACGGAGACACAGGCGCAGACGUGCAGCAGGGACCCGUUCCAAGGCUUCUUUUUAGAUUAAGACCCUGCAUAAACCUUUUUUACUGUCUCUUGUUGAUACACAUCCCCCGGAUUCUCCGUACAACCGAGCAGCAUGCUGACGUUAUUGGCUUGUGGCCACGUCAGAAUAUUGCACGUACCUGGACACUAGGGGCUUAUUACAAAGGGCUUUGUUUAGCCCGGUUUACAUCACAAAAGACCAAUACCUUAGGGAGUGUUCGGCCUCGCGAGUUUGGCCUUAUAUGCAUCAGCUCCGAAUCAUGUCUUUGGUCAAAUGUUGGGUUUGCCCGGCUCCUAUGUUUUGCUGCCUUACGUUCCGCUCUAUCGGCUAAGGCGGCACCAGGAGAACUACUGCGAUUGUGCCCUGGUUCAUCCGGACGAGCACCUCAGUAGAGAAAGCCGAAAACUGAGUGUCAUGAUAUAGCGUGAGACUGGUCAACCACUCGAUGACCUAGCAGAAUCUUCGGGAUUCCUCUGCCUUAACGAAGGGUCGUUUCCCGGCCAGGCAUGUACGCGCCCUAAAUUCGGACGAGCGCAGAGCCACCAGGGGCUAUAUAGUAGCCCCACUGUCGAACUCCUCUGGCUAAGUGAAAGCGUUAAAGCAUUAUAGUCCGAUUGCCUAGUUCUCUGUGCCAUCACCUCCUUAAUGGACCAAGACGUUGGAUCAAGUGUGAACGUGCGUCUUCUGUGAACACCCCCGCAUUAUAUGCGUGGGGGCUGAAGCCGACGACUGCCAUCUUUUAGGUUAUAUACAUAUAUACAUAAAUAGCCGCACAGGAGGUAUUAUAAUUCUUUCAGGCAAAAGUAUAAAAUAGCCUUUACAAUUCAGUAAAACAUCGUUUUUCGGUAGGAAUACAUGUCAUUAGAGCAUAAUAUUCUUCGAGCACUGCGCUUCUAUUGAACGAGCACCCUCAAGAACUUCUCGAAAGUAGUGCUCGGCAGGUACUCGGCUCUCGUCUGAAUCUUGGGCGGCAAUGGCGGUGGCCUCCAUCUCUGCCCAGUAUGUCUUGACACGGGCAAGGGCCAUCCGCGCACCCUCUAUGCACGCCGACCUCUUCAUCGCGUUGAUGCGUGGCACUGCACCAAGGAACUGUUGCACCAAACUAAACUAACUGUUCGGCUUUGGCCCUUCCGGCCAUAGAUGAUCCACAACAGACCUCAUGGCAAGUACGGACAAUCUAUUAAGCUCGGCCCAUUCGGCCAACCGAUCAGUCAAUGGAAGCGGAUGCUCUGGAACGUUAAAUUGUGACCAGAACAUCUUUUCCAUUUCGCGAUCUUUUUUAUCUCGGAAGUAUUCGGCCGCAUUGGUAGCACUCGCUGCUAAGUCCAGAUACGCGUCCGCAGAACUCCACAGCCGGAGCAUACAAGGGGCAUACUUAGGAUCUCCGAACUUCAUCCGCAGCAUAAAGGGCUUCCCAGCCGCAAUAUCUCCGGCUUGACGCAGCUCCUCCAUCGCUCUCAUUGCGGAGCGGGUGUCUUUGGCCGCCACCAUGGCCUUCUCCAUGUCUGUGAUCUUCGCUCGAUCUUCAUUUUUUAGAAGCUCGUAACGGUCAGCGGUAUUCUUCAAUCCCACAGCCAUCCUGGCUAUUUCUUCCUUGCUUUGGCAGUGAGCAGCCUGUUCGGCUUUCAGCUCCUCGACUGCCUUCAGGGCAGCCGCAUCACUUUUCCUGGCUUGUUCUUUGGCUCGGGCAAGUUCGGCCCGAAGGUUCUCCACGGCCGCAGCUCCAUCUGCAUUCAAAAACAUGUUAUAGAUACUGGCAUCAUGCUCCUCUUACCAUGUGUCACCGGAGAAAUCACAUACCCUGUGCCUCGUCAAGCCACUUGUUGACAAGUACGAUGUCGGCGUCUGCCACAUCAAGCUGCCGCUUUAGAUCGGCAAACUCAUUAGUCCGGCUGGCCACCGGAACCUCCGCCAUCUGCAUAUUAAGGCGGCACAAUUAUUCCUGGGACUAUGAUCCUCUGUGCACCGUUGUCUUCGACAGCACCCCGAGUCUUUCACCGGACGAAAUCCUUUCAAUCACCGUACCCAUAGACGUGCGGUGCUCUUCUGAGAUAGCCGCUUGCUUUAGCAGAUCCUCCAGUACGUCCGACCGCACACCAUGCGGCGCCGGACUCUUCCGAUUGCUCUCUUCAAAAGCCGGAUACUGAGGACUUCGGGCAUCCAAAAAGUCAUCCUCUGGCCCUGCUGGAUCAGGAGAAACCCUCCGCUACAACACUUCGGGGUCGCCCGCCUCACGAGACAGGAUGGUAGGGGGAGGCGUCUCACUUUCCAUCAUCUUCGGAAGAAGAUCCCCAAAAGAUGAACUCUGUCGAGAUGGGCUAUGAUCCGAAUUGCAAGAGGAAUAUUUUCCUCAGAAGUAAGGCAUGAUAUUUCCACUAUAAAGUUCCCUUUUACUUACAGCUCGAUGGAGGGCUGAUCCCCUUGAGGGCAUAGUGCGGCCGGGGUAUCCCCCAGGGCAGGACCCUCUGGCAAAGAUUUCUUCCCCCAUUUGGAGACCAUUGUCUCUGGGUCCUCAGAGGCGGUCCUCUUCCUUCCUUGGGGAGAGGAAGUUUCAGUUCCUUCCCCCGGUUAUCCUCCUUCGCGGAGGCGCCAGCCUCCUUGUUCCCCCCUUUAUCUUCCCCUGAGGGCGCUUGAUAAGGCACGGUCUCCAGCAUCCUGGUUAGCACGGGAUUCGGUGAGGUCUCAGGGAGGGGGGCCGGACACCUGAUCAACUUCACCUUCGCUAUCCAAUCCUGGUCAAAGAGCGGCUUUUUAGGGCGACGUUGCGAUAAAUAAACAGACCGUGUGUUCGGAUGCGGGGCUACUUACUUGGGUAUCCGGGCGAUUGCAGCUCAGACCUGCAUCCUCAGUGGUGUCCGGACACAUUAUUUGUGGUCCGAAGAACAAUUUGUACAUCUCCUCGGGCGUCAUGCCAAGGAAGUGUUGAAUAGCUCGCGGUCCCUCCGGGUUGAACUCCCACAUGCGAAGGGGACGACGUUUGCAGGGCAGAACUCGGUGAAUUAACAUGACUUGCAUUACCAUGACCAGACUGAUAUCUCUCUCAAGGAGAUCUCGUAUGCGGCUCUGCAAUGUGGGCACAUCCUUUACUGGUCCCCAGUCCAGUCCUUUGUUGACCCAUGACGUUAGUCGUGGCGGGGAACCCGAGCGAAAGACAGGUGGAGCCACCCACUUGGUACCCCUGGGAGCUGUGAUAUAAAACCACUCUUGUUGCCAUAAGCUGGACACCUCCUGGAAAGAGCCCUCGGGCCAUGGGGCAUCGGCAUUUUUGCUUAUUACGGCGCCUCCGCACUCUGCGUGCCGCGCCUCGAUCAUCUUCGGCUCCACUUUGAAGGUCUUGAGCCACAGUCAGAAGUGAGGGGUAAUACGGAGGAAAGCUUCACACACGAGGAUGAACGAUGAGAUGUGGAGGAUAGAUUCCGGAGCUAAAUCGUGGAAAUCCAGCCCGUAAUAAAACAUGAGCCCCCUCAUGAAGGGAUCUAGAGCGAAGCCUAGCCCUCGAAGGAAGUGAGACACAAACACAACGCUCUCGCCGGGUUUGGGGGUAGGAAUGACCUGCCCUCAAGCACGCAGCCGGUGCGGGAUCUCGCCGGUCAGAAACCUAGCCUCCCUUAGCUUUUUCACAUCUUUCUCCGUGACGGAGGAAGGCAUCCACCAACCUUGAAGGUUGGAUCCAGACAUAGUCGGAGGUCCGAAGCACCUAAACUUGAGCUUUGAGUGUUGGAACUCGAGGCGGGGGUGGAUUCAAUUAAGAUCGAAAAGGAAAAAGAAUAGGCCUUGGUCUCCUCGUGACCGUUUGGGACUUGCCUACAAUCGAGGAGUCGUACCAACGGGCACGAUUGGGUUACCCACGUCCAUGUUGAUGAGAAUCCCGUAAUAAAGGGGACACGAUCUCUGCUCCGACAAGACAUGCCAAGGAAACCGCCUCGCUAUACACGCUGAGAUUGGUUAUGAAAAACGAAUAAAUGACCUGGCUGCGGUGUGAUGUCACACUGCGAAAUACGUCAGCAGAUUAGAUUUGUGGAAAUAUUAUUCUCUCUACGACGGUAUGUGGAACUUGUUUUGCAGAGCCGGACACGAUCCUCGUGUUCAAAAUCUUCUAUGAAAUAUUCGGAGGAGGAACCCGCCUUGCAAUGCCGAAGACAAUUUGCGCGCCGGACUCAUCGUCAUUGAAGCCUAGUUCAGGGGCUACUGAGGGAGUCCUGGAUUAGGGGGUAUCCGGACAGCCGGACUAUAUCCUUUGGUCGGAUUGUUGGACAAUGAAGAUACAAGAUUGAAGACUUCAUCCCGUGUCCGGAUGGGACUCUCCUUGGCGUGGAAGGCAAGCUUGGCAAUACAGAUAUGUAGAUCUCCUUCCUUGUAACCAACUCUGUGUAACCCUAUCCCCCUCCGGUGUCUAUAUAGACCGGAGGGUUUAGUCCGUAGGACCAAGAAUAAUCAUACCAUAGGCUAGCUUAUAGGGUUUAGCCUCUACGAUCUCGUGGUAGAUCAACUCUUGUAAUACUCAUAUCAUCAAGAUCAAUCAAGCAGGAGUAGGGUUUUACCUCCAUCGAGAGGGCCCGAACCUGGGUAAAAACAUCAUGUCCCCCGUCUCCUGUUACCAUCCGCCUAGACGCAUAGUUCUGGACCCCCUACCCGAGAUCUGCCGGUUUUGACACCGACACAACUCAUCUGGGAUCGGAUCCAUUCCAUCCUCACACACGCAAGCUCACCGAGCUUAAGAACGCCUCUCCUCAGGAGGCUGUUCUUCCCUUGUACUUGUUCAUCCCCAGCCUACAAGGCAAUCCACCACACCAUACUGGAGUAGGGUAUUACACCACAUCGGUGGCCCGAACCAGUAUACACUCUUGUGUCCCUUGUUCUUCGGGUUCGGUGGGCCGAGCUUUGAGAUUGCGGUGAGAGCGUGAGCUAGGGGGAGAGAGAUCUUCACGCGCACCCCAAAGUUCGAACCUUAAGGGUUUUUGCCAGAACCCGUGAUCCGACAAUACAUGGUUCGUAUUUUCAAUAUAUAUGAUUAUCUUUUCUUUAAUCUCACAUACAUUUCUUGAAACACAUGAAUAGUUUUUUACAAACAUUUUUUUAACAAUUUUAACAUGUUUUUUAGAUAAUACUCCCUCCAUCCCGUAAUUCUUGUUGCAGGGGUAGUACAUUUCUUUUUCUGCAUUUUAGUCCUUCCACUUUCAAAGCUUUAGAAAUUAAGCCCCCAUCUCCUUCCUCCUCCUCCCGUCGCCCGCGUCGCCACGGCCAGCCGUCUCCAGGAGAAGGUAGCCGCCGACGAGCAGUUCCUCAGCCACUAACGAGCCCGCCCACGAACAUGACCUCCACUGCCCACGAGGAGGAUCUCCGCUGGCCGCCCACGAGGAGGACUCCGCCGGCCGCCCACGAGGAGGACCUCCGCUACCCACCGACGAGUGGUUCUCUGUCGCCCACCAACGAGUUGUUCCUCCACCACCCACCACCGCCGCACUGGUCCACUCCGCCCAUGAUUCCGCUGCUCACUGCCGCCGCGCUGGUCCGCUUUGGCCCACCGGCUGGUUGAGGUGGUGCUGGCUAGCGACGCCUGUGCCACCACUGCUGCUGCUGGUGGGCGACGCCGACGCCCUCCGAUCCCCGCCCCCGACCCCCGAGGCCUCCGCCUCUGCCUCUGCUACUCUGCUGUGGUCCUGUAGCUUAUACAUAGUGAUAUUGAUCCGCAGCUCGCUUGGCGUGAUCGUGUUGAUCAGCAGCAGCAGAGCUCCAGUAGCAGCUCCCUUGUGCUCCUCUGGCCUGCUCCUUGUGUUGUCGCCAGAGCUCGGUUCCUAAGGAAGGAAGAAGGUAAAAUUCAAUUAAAAUUGUCCGGUUUCAGUUAAUCUGUACUCCAAACUGUUAAAAUUUACUAUCAAUUUUCAGCAAUGUCGCAUUGAGCCUAAACCUUUUUGACAGUACAAGCAAUGCAACAUUGAGCCUCCGCCUCUGCUACUGUUUGCCUGAGCGCCGACCUUGGCUUCCUCCAGAGCCCCCACCUCUGCUGAUGUCUGGGUACGUACGGAAGCAGAUCAAUUAUAGUGAAAUUAAUAGUCACAGAGAAACUGAUAGUCUUCUAUGAAAUUGAAUGUUUGUCUAGAUCAAUUAUUGCUAGCAUUAUGGAACUAGAGAAGAUCAUCCAAUUUUGAACAUACGCAAUCACUGUACUUUGCUAACUGUCAAAUUUUUAAGUCACUGAACAUAUGCAGUCACUAAACAUAUGCAAAUUUGGAGAACUAUUUGGUACUGCUGGAAUUACUCCUGUUUGGAGUACCCCACAAAUUAUGAAAGUUUGGAGUACAAAAUUCAGUUUGUUACUGCCAGUUUGGAGUACUGUUUGCAACUUAUGAACGCAACUUUUGUAAAAUGGCUUUGUUUCUCUGUGUUUCUGAUGCCUUUUGCUUCCAAAGGCAGUUCAGUUCACUCCAUAAAACAGUAGUCCAAAUUGUACUCAAACGGUCAGAUUUUGUAACUGUACUUAAGGCCAAAAUUCAGUGAAAACAUUGCCAAACUGUUAAAAUUCAGUUAAAAGAUUUGUACCUUCAUGCAGACUAAAAGGAGUAGGUUAACUUUAAAGUGCUAGUUAUCGACUAGAGGGGGGUUGAGGGAGUCCUGGAUUAGGGGGUGUUCGGGUAGUCGGACUAUACCUUCGCCGGACUCCUGGACUAUGAAGAUACAAGAUUGAAGACUUCGUCCCGUGUCCGGAUGGGACUUUCCUUGGCGUGGAAGGCAAGCUUGGCGAUGCGGAUAUUCAAGAUCUCCUACCCUUGUAACCGACUCUGUGUAACCCUAACCCAAUCCAGUGUCUAUAUAAACCGGAGGGUUGUAGUCUGUAGGACAAUCAACUCCAUACACAAUCAUACCAUAGGCUAGCUUCUAGGGUUUAGCCUCCUUGAUCUCGUGGUAGAUCUACUCUUGUACUACCCAUAUCAUCAAUAUUAAUCAAGCAGGAGUAGGGUAUUACCUCCAUCGAGAGGGCCCGAACCUGGGUAAAAACAUCAUGUCCCUUGUCUCCUAUUACCAUCCGACCUUGACGCACAGUUUGGGACCCCCUACCCGAGAUCCGCCGGUUUUGACACCGACAUUGGUGCUUUCAUUGAGAGUUCCUCUGUGUCAUCGCCUUUAGGCUCGAUGGAUCCUUUGAUCAUCAGUAACGAUGAGGUCCAGGGUGAGACUUUUCUCCCCGGACAAAUCUUCGUCUUCGGCGGCUUCGCCCUGCGGGCCAAUUCAUUUGGCCACCUGGAGCAGAUCGAAAGCUACGCCCCUGGCCAUCAGGUCAGGUUCGGAAGCCUAAACUACACGGCGGACAUCCGUGGAGAUUUGAUCUUCGGCGGAUUCGAGCCACAGCCAAGCGCGCCGCACUGUUUCGAUGGGCAUGAUCUAGCUCUGUAGCCGAAUAGCGCCUUGGAGGCCGCACUGGCUCCGACCCUUAAUUCGGAGCCCACUGCGCCAAUCGAGGAUGAGCAGUUGGACGUCACCUUGGGGGCUGCGAUCUCAAGGGCGAUCGAGCCGAAUGCCAGCCCCGCACUCCGCGUGACUCAUGACUCCGAGGAUCCGGACUCCUCUCUGGACUCCGAACCCCUCGCGCCCCUACCGAUCGAGUCCAAUUGGGCGCCGAUAAUGGAGUUCACCGCCGCGGACAUCUUUCAGCACUCGCCUUUUGGUGAUAUCCUGAAUUCUCUCAACUCUCUCUCUCUUUAUCAGGAGAGCCCUGGCCGGAUUACGGUCAGAGAGGAUGGGAUACGGACGAUGAAAAAAUUCAAAGCCCACCCACCACCCACUUUGUAGCCACUGUCAACAGUUUAAACGACGUGCUCAACUUCGACUCCACAGACAUCGACAACAUGGAUGACGACACAGGAGAUAACGACGAACCAACGCCCAUAGGGCAUUGGACAGCCACCUCAUCUCACGAUGUGUACAUGGUGGAUACCCCUAGAGGAAGCGACAACGAGGAAAAAGGGGAUGGAACGGGAGAUCGACCCCCCGAAAAGCAAUCAAAGCGUCAGCGUAAACGCUGACCCAAGCCCCGCCUCAAUAAAGACCCAACCAUAGAGCAGGAUGAGCCGGUAGACGACGAGUAGGCCUUAGAGCAACCGUCUGAACAGGGCAACAUGGAUAAAGAAACCGAACAUCCCUCGCCCGGCGAAAACGGCAUUCCGGACGACCUUACGCCGGAUAGACCCACAAAGAAGAAGAAUCUCCACAAGAGGCUCAUUGCAAUAGCACGAAGCCUGAAAAAGCAGAAGCGGAAGCUAAAAACAGCGGAAGACGCACUCCGGAUUAGAUGGAGCAAAGUAAUCAAUACCAUAGAUAAAUACGGCGACGGUCGCCGCACUAAAAGCUAUCCGAAAAGAAGGCUGCUGCCCGAAUUCGACGAAGAGGCUCUAGAGCCCCCACAUUCAAAAAAUAAGAAAGCCAGACGACCCCAUAAAGCGGCAAGCGGCGCCGCACUUAAAAUGGCAUGUGAUCCACCUAAGGAUUCGCAUCACGGCCUAGUGAGGUCCAUUUAUGGGCCAAGAAAGCAAGCUCUCGUAAGCAAUGCAAUAAAGCCAUCAUCAGAAUCCGGCACCCCCAGAUACAGGGGCGCCGCACACCCCCUAUGUUUCACUGAUGAGGUUUUGGACUAUGAAUUCCCAGAGGGAUUCAAACCCAUCAACAUAGAGGCAUACGAUGGAACAACAGAGCCUGGAGUCUGAAUCGAGGACUAUAUCCUCCACAUACAUAUGGCCAGAGGAGACGAUCUCCACGCCAUCAAAUAUUUACCCCUUAAGCUUAAAGGGCCAGCCCGGCACUGGCUUAAAAGCCUUCCUGAAAACACAAUUGGAAGCUGGGAAGAGCUCGAGGAUGCUUUCCGAGAAAAUUUUCAAGGGACCUAUGUCCGCCCCCCGGAUGCAGACGAUCUUAGUCACAUAACUCAACAGCCCGGAGAAUCAGCUCGGCAGUUCUGGAAUAGAUUCCUCACUAAAAAGAAUCAGAUAGUCAACUGUCCGGACGCCGAAGCUUUAGCAGCUUUCAGGCAUAAUGUCCGAGACAAAUGGCUCGCCAGACACCUCGGCCAAGAAAAGCCAAGAACAAUGGCCGCACUAACAAGCCUCAUGACCCGCUUUUGUGCAGGAGAGGAUAGCUGGUUGGCAAGGUCCAGCCCCAGCGACCCAAGUACAUCCGAAACUAGGGAUGGAAACGGAAAACCACGACGCAACAAGGACCAUCGCCGAAUUAAGGAAAAAAGUCCGAAGAGCACGACAGUUAAUGCCGGAUUCAAAGGCUCACGACCAAAUCAGACAAAACCACCCCUCCAAGAUAACAGGGAUGAUCCAUCCAACUUAAAUAAAAUCCUGUACAGGAUAUGUCAGAUACACAGUACUCCCGGGAAGCCUGCUAACCAUACCCACAGAGAUUGUUGGGUUUUCAAACAGUCCGGCAGACUCAAUGCCGAACACAAGGGGCUCGACACACCAAGCGAAGACGAGGACGAACCCCAAAAGCAGAGCACCAGGAAACAAAAGAACUUCCCACAAGAAGUAAAAGCAGUGAACUUACUUCACAUAACAAAAUGUGCCGCGCCCAUAAAGGCACGCACCACCCGACAUAUACCCAAGGGAUCCUGCCACUGGUUGUCAAAACCAAUCAUCUUCGAUUAGCUGGAUUACUUGAAAAGCAUCAGGAACGCAGGCUGGACUGCCUUGAUACUCGAUCCAAUAAUCGGCGGAAUCCAAUUUUCAAAUGUCCUUAUGGACGACGGCAGCGGACUAAACCUGAUGUAUCAGGACACAAUCCGUCACAUGGGGAUAGACCCAGCGAGAAUCCGCCAUAGCAAAACCUCCUUUCAAGGGGUAACACCUAGUCCGGACACCCAUUGCAUGGGUUUACUCCGACUCGAAGUUAUAUUCGGUUCUACCAAUAACUUCCGCCGCGAAAAGCUGACCUUCCAUGUCGUCCCGUUCUCAAGUCGCUAUCAAGCACUACUAGGACGCGAAGCUUUCGCCCGCUUUAACGCAAUACCGCAUUAUGCAUCUCUCACGCUUAAGAUGCCCGGUCCACGGGGAAUCAUCUCUUUGAAGGGGAAGCACUGAAAUGCGCAUCCCCCAAGCGGAGGACUGUGCGGCUGCUUUCACAGCCUCACAGUAAAAUGGUCUCAAUGGCCAAAAAAAACUUCGAAAUAGGUCACUAAAGACCACAAACACGGAUAGACGAGUUCGGCGCAAAAAUCACCAUUGAUGCAGGCCUAUUGGCCACAUACCCCCACACUAGGGGCUACAUGCAGAGACAAUAAAGCUCAAUUUUAUAUAUUUUACUUUAUACAUUGUUUGUUUCAAACCUUUGUCCGACAUGACCCAUUUUUAAAUAAGUUCCUCUUUUUUACAGAUGAACGUCAUGCGGCGCCCGUCCAGGAUACGGCACAACGGAGACACAGGCGCAGACGUGCAGUAGGGACCCGUCUUAAGGAUUCUUUUUAGAUUAAGACCCUGCGUAAACCUUUUUUACUAUCUCUCGUUGUUACAUCUCCCCUGGUUUUCUUUAACAUAACCACGGAGGAGGCUGGCGUCUUGGCAUGUGGCCACGUCAGAAUUCUUGCGCGUACCUGGACACUAGGGGCUUUUUUACUACAAAGUGUUGUUUUUCCCGCACUCAUAAAGACCGAACACCCUAGGGAGUGUUCGGCGUCGCGAGUUUUGGCACUAUAUGCAUCAGCUCCGAAUCAUGUCUUUGGUCAAAUGUUGGGUUGCCCGGCUCCUGAGUUCGGCUACCUUACGUUUCGCUCUAUCGGCUAAGGUAGCACCAGGAGAACUACUGCGAUUGUGCCCCGGUUCGGCCGGGCGAGCACCUCAGUAGAGAAAGCCGAAAACUGACUGUCAUGAUGCAGCGUGAGACUGGUCAGCCACUCGACGACCUAUGGGAAUCUAUCGGAUUCCUCCGCUUUAACGAAGGGCUGCUUCCCGGCAAGGCAUAUACGCGCCCCGAACUCGGGCGAGCGCAGUCGCCACCAAAGGGCUACCUAAAGAGUCCCAGUGUCAAGCUCCUAUGGCUAAGUGAAAGUGUUAAAGCAUUAUAGUCCGGUUGCCUGGCCCGCUGCGCUAUCACCUCCUUGGUAGGACCAAGACGUUGGGUUAAGUGUGAAAAUGCAUCUUCUGCGAGCACCCCCGCACUAUGUGCGUGGGGGCUGAAGCCAACGACAGCCAUCUUUCAGAUUAUAUAUAUAACGGCCGCACAGGAGGUGUUUCAAAUACUUGAAGGCACAAGUAUAAAAGGCCACUACAAUAUUGCUUUAUAAUUACAUAUGCUAUCAUAAAAUAGCAUCCUUCGAGCAUUGCGUCUCUAUUAUACGAGCGCCCUUAAGGACGUCCUGAAAAUAGUGCUCGGAAGGUACUCGGCUUUUGUCCGAAUCUCGGGACGCGACAACGGUGGUCUCCAUUUCUGCCCAGUAUGUUUUGACAUGGGCAAGAGCCAUCCGUGCACCCUCUAUGCAGGCUGACCUCUUCAUUGCAUCGAUUUGUGGCACUGCAUCAAGGAAUUGCUGCACCAAGUUGAAGUAACUCUUCGACUCCGAUCUCCCCGGCCAAAGAUGACCCAUGACGUACUUCAUGGCGAGUCCGGACAACCUAUUCAGUUCGGCCCAUUGAGCCAAACGAUCGUCCACUAAAAGUGGACGCUCUGGAUUGUGAAACUGCGACCAGAAAAGCUUUUCCACUUCGUGAUCUUUUUGAUCUCGAAAAUGUUUGGUCGCAUCAGCAGCACUCGCUACCAAAUCCAGAUAGGUGUCCUUCACACUCCACAUCUGGUCCAACGGAGCAAACCUCGGAUCACAAAACUUCCUCCGCAGCAUAAACGGCCUUCCAGCCGCAAUCUGUCCGGCUUGGUGCAGCUCCUCCUUCGCAGCUCUCAUCGCAGAGCGAGCGUGUUUGGCGUUAGUAACGGCCUUCUCUAAGCCCGUCCGCCUCGCCAGGUCUUCUUCUUCAAGAAGCUUGCAACGAUCAGCAGUGCCCUUUAACUUCACGGCCAUCGCGGCCAUCUCCUCCUUGCUUCGGCAGUGAGAAGCCUGUUCGGCUUUCAGCUCUUCACGGGCUUUCUCGGCAGCCGCAUCGCUUCUUCUGGCUUGUUCCUUAGCUCGGGCAAGUUCUGCCUUGAGACUCUCCAUGGCGGCCGCACCAUCUGCGUCAAUCACACGCAUUGUAAGAUACUGGCAUAGAGCCCUUCUUACCUAAUGUCGUCCGAGGAACUACAUACCUUGAGCUUCAUCAAGCCGCUUGUUGACAAGCGCGAUGUCGGCAUCUGCCACAUCCAGUUGCCGCUUUAGUUCGGCCAAAUCAUCAGUCUGGCUGGAUUCCGGACACCCUGCCGCCUACAUUCAAAGGCGACAUCUUAGACCUAGGAUUAUGAUCCUCCGCGUGCCGUCCUUUCUUGACGACGCGCAGAGUCUCAGGGGCUACUAUCUACACAGGGCGCAUCUUACUUAUGCGCAACUAACAAAAGUGUACAUUAUCCAACGUACCUCAAAACCCGUCAGUAAACUUUUGAUGGCCUCAUGCAAUCCGCUUUGUGCGGAUGAAAUCCUUUCAAUCACCAUGCCCAUCAAUGCACGAUGCUCUUCCGAGAUUGAAGCUCGCCCUAGCAGAAUCUUUAGCUCCUCCGGCCGAGCACCAGACGGUGCCGGACUCGUCCCAUGACCUCUUUCGAAGGCCGGACACGGAGAACCCCGGGGGGGCCACAUGACCAUCUUCUGCCCCUGCCGGAUUCAGAGAAAAUCUCCGCGACGACACCUCAGGAUCGCCCGCCUCACUAGGCGGCACGGCAGAGGGAGGCGUCCCGCUCUCCAUCAUCUCCGGAAGGAGGUCCCCUGAAGAUGAGCUCUGCUGAGAAGGGCUGAGGUCCAAACUAUAAGGUAAAAACUUGGUUAAUCUUCUCAAAUAUAAAUUAAGGAUUUCUCUCAUCCCUCAAAAGGAAAAUCUUCCUCUACUUACGGCUCGCUGGAGGGCUGAUCCCCUUGAGGGCGUAGUCCGGCCGAGGAACUCCCCGGCGUAGGACCCUCUGACGAGGAUUUUUUCCCCCGCUUCGAGGCCACGGUCUCCGGGUCGUCGGAGGCGGCUCUCUUCUUCCCCUUAGGAUAGGGAUUGUCGGUUCCUCCCUUCGGAUUAGCCUCCUUUGAGGAGGCCAAGUUUCCUUGUCCUCGCCUUUACUCCCCUCCAAAGGCAUUAUCUCCAGCAUCCUGACUAGCACAGGAUCCGGCCUGGUUUCGGGAAGGGGAGCCGGACACCUGAUCAGCUUUGCCUUCGCUAUCCAUUCCUGCUUAAAAGGACAACUCUUUCAGGGGCAAAUUAUGACAAUUAUACGGAUAGAAGGUCCGGGCACAAGGUUACUUACUUGAGUAUCCGGGCGAUUGUAGCUCAGGCCUGUGUCCUCGGUUAAAUCCAGACACGUCUCUUGUGAUCCGAAGAACAGUUUAUACAUCUCUGUGGGCGUUGCGCCCAUGAAAUUCCGGAGAGCUCGAGGUCCCUCUGGAUUAAACUCCCACAGGCGAAGGGAGCGAUGUUUGCCGGGCAGUAUUCGGCGAAUCAGCAUGACCUGCGUCACCUUGACCAGGCUGAGGUCUCCUUCCAAGAGUUCCUUAAUGCAGCCCUGCAGCUGGGGCACGUCUUUGGGUAACCCCCAAUCUAACCCUCUGUUGACCCACGAUGUUUGUUGUGGCGGGGGACCCGAGCGAAAGGCAGGAGGCGCCACCCACUUGGUGCCCCGGGGAGCGGUGAUAUAAAACCACUCUCGUUGCCACAAGCCAAGCUCCUCUUGAAAAGAGCCCUCGGGCCAUGGAGCAUCGGCUUUCUUGCUUAUGACAGCACCUCCGCACUCUGCGUGCCGUCCCUCAAUUAUCUUCGGCUCCACUUUAAAGGUCUUGAGCCAUAAUCCAAAGUGAGGGGUAACAUGGAGGAACGCUUCACACAUAAUGAUAAAUGAGGAGAUAUGGAGGAUGGACUCCGGAGCUAAGUCAUGGAAUUCCAGCCCAUAAUAAAACAGCAGCCCCCUGACAAAGGGAUCCAUCGGGAAGCCUAACCCCCGGAGGAAGUGAGACAUGAACACUACGCUCUCACCGGGCUGGGGGCUGGGAACGGCCUGCCCUUGAGCAGGCAACCUGUGCGGAAUUUCGCCGGUCAGGAACUUAGCCUCUCUUAACUUUAGCACGUCCUCCUCCGUGACGGAGGAGGGCGUCCAUCGGCCUUGAAGGUCAGAACCGGACAUUGUCGAAGAUCAGAAGCGCCUGAAAUCUGGAACCUAGGGUGUUGGAACUCAAGGUGACGGGCGAACUCGCUUGAGAUUGAAAGAACGAGCGGAGCCUUGGUCUCUUUAUAAGAGGUUGAAUACCAAGAGCCCUCCCUGUAACCGUUUGGGGCUCGCCUUUAAUUGAGGAAACAUGCUAACGGGCACGAUUGGGUUACCCACGUCCGUAUUGAUGAGAAUCCCGUAAAAAAGGGGACACGAUCUCUGCUUUGACAAGACGUGCCAAGGAAACCACCUUGCAAACUGUGCUGAGGUGGAAAAGUAAAAAGGAUUUGAGUAAAAGACUUGGCUGUAGUGUGAUGAUGCACUACGGAUUGCGUCAGCAGAUUUGAUUUGUGUCAAUAUUAUUCUCUCGAUGGCAAUAUGUGGAAACUUGUUUGCAGAGCCGGACACUAUUCUUGGUGUUUACAAUCUUCUGUGAAGGACUUGGAGGAGGAACCCGCCUUGCAAUGCCGAAGACAAUUUGCGCACCGGACUCGUCAUUGAAGCCUGGUUCAGGGGCUACUGAGGGAGUCCUGGAUUAGGGGGUGUUCGGGUAGCCGGACUAUACCUUCGCCGGACUCCUGGACUACGAAGAUACAAGAUUGAAGACUUCGUCCCGUGUCCGGAUGGGACUUUCCUUGGCGUGGAAGGCAAGCUUGGCGAUGCGGAUAUUCAAGAUCUCCUACCCUUGUAACCGACUCUGUGUAACCCUAACCCUAUCCGGUGUCUAUAUAAACCGAAGGGUUGUAGUCCGUAGGACAAUCAACUCCAUACACAAUCAUACCAUAGGCUAGCUUCUAGGGUUUAGCCUCCUUGAUCUCGUGGUAGAUCUACUCUUGUACUACCCAUAUCAUCAAUAUUAAUCAUGCAAGAGUAAGGUAUUACCUCCAUCGAGAGGGCCCGAACCUGGGUAAAAACAUUGUGUCCCUUGUCUCCUGUUACCAUCCGGCCUUGACGCACAGUUCGGGACCCCCUACCCGAGAUCCGCCGGUUUUGACACCGGUAGGGGUGAAUAGGCGAUUUUUACAAAAGUCUUCAAAACACGAGGUCUUUGAAGACAAACUGAUAUAAUGAUCCUAUAUCACUACAAAAAAAUACACUUUCGUGAUGAUACGUGUUUGUCAUAGUAGGUCACGUUUUCUGUCAUGCAUGUACAUCCAUGACGAUUUUAUGACAGAAUCAAGAUAGUCAUACCUAUGCUGUCGUAGAAGUGUUCCAUGACAAUAUCAAAAUUAUCAUCACAGAAGUGUCCACUUCCAUGACGAUAAAUCCCGCGUCAUAGAAGUGCUUUCGUCAAGGGUGACCGACACGUGGCGUUGACCGUAAUGGGUCGUCGUUAAGCUACCGGGUCCAGUUUUGGAUCCUAUAACCCGUUAGCAGCCCGGACCAAUAGGGAUUUUCCACAUGUAAAAUUCUCAGCCGGAGGAAACACGUGUUUGCUCACCGUUGGGACAGAUGUCAUCCACUCAUUGGACAGGAGGCGCCUAUGAUACAUCGACACAUGGCACGGCCCAAUAGAGGCCCAUUCCGGUGAAAAGGCCGUCCCAGCUAAAGGCCCACCAUGUUUUUUCAGACACUAGUGGGCUGGCCCGUUAACAGCCGGCCAUGUUUUGGGCCAAAUUGAGGCCCAUAGCGGAUCAGGCCCGUUCACAGCCUGCCAUGUUUUGGGCCAAAUUAGGGCCCAUAUCGAAUCAGGCCCGUUAACAGGCCACUAUUCUUUUGGGCCCAUUCUAAGACAGGUUUGUAUUUUGGCCUAUUAAAUGCACGUUAACCAGUUUGGCCCGAUAAAAGUUUCGGCCUGUUAGCGGCCCGUGGUGCAUCUGGGACGUUAUCAGCCCAAUUUAACUUUAGGCCCUUUAACAGCCCAUGCAGAAACUGGGCUAUUUCUUGUCUGAAGUAACUUUAGGCCUCUUAAUGGCCCGUAGUCUUCAUGGAUAAAUUUCAGCCCAACAUGCCAGCCUGUUAAUGGCCCGUGGAACAGUUGGGCCUAAUUACAGCCUGCAUUGAAUAAGGCCUGCUUACAGCCCAUCUGAUAAUGGCUUGUGACACUUUUGGGCCUAUGGCCUGCGUGGAUACCGGCCUGCUUAAAGCCCAUAAUUUUAUUGGGCCAAACUGGUCCGAGAUAUAUUUUGGCCUGUUAACUACUCGUCCUAUUUGGGCCAAACAUGGGCCUUAGACAGUUUCUGAUUGUAUUGGCCCGUGAAUUUUUUGGCCCAACGCUGGCCCAAUCUAGGUUUAAGCCUGUUAAAAGCCCAUGGUAUUCUCUGGCCCAGCUGGCUAGAACUUUACUCGGCCUGUUAAAGGUGGGAAACUACUAUAGGUUUAGACCUGCUAAUGGCCCAAGAUGAUUAUAGGCCCAUGUUUUGUCCCAUAUGAGUAACGGGCCGGCCUGAAGACCGACAACACUGAGAUCCACUGAACCUUCCAUCCUAAAUUACAGCAUACCAACCAAGAAAUAAACCUAGACUAUACAAUAAAGAAAUUACAACAUAGUACAUCCACUAGGAGUCAAAGUUCACUGCCGGUGAUAAUAAAGCGCAACGUGGCCGCGGAUUACAUACACUGGGCAUCAAAGGUCGCCAUCAGUGCAUAUAAACGCGCCGACAAAAGAAUAUACAAAACUGAGAACACUUCAGAAGGCACUAGGCCUGGCCAGGGCGGGCCCUGCAAGCAGCCGAACAAGCUGAUGACACCUCAGUUGUGUCAACGAUAUAUGCUCCCUCCCUAGUUGUAUGGCACCAUAGUGCGCAAGGCAGUCCUCUGACAUCUUCCUUGCAUCUUUGACUUCAAGUCGGAGCUGAGCUAAAGCAAGCCUUUCCGCUUUAAGUUGAGACUGAAGAAGUCGAACUGAUUGAGGCAGCGACUGCAUAGAGGUUGUCUCACACCUGCUGGUGAGUAGCUUCAACUCACUGUCUUCAUCAAGACAGGACCUUGGAGUCGUCACUACAAAACAAAUACACUUCCGUGAUGAUACGUGUUUGUCACGGUAGGUCGCGUUUUUUGUCAUGCAUGUACAUCCAUGACAAAUUUAUGACAGAAUCAAGAUAGUCAUACAUGUGCUGUCGUAGAAGUGUUCCAUGACAUUACCAAAAUUAUCAUCACGGAAGUGUCCACUUCCAUGAUGAUAAAUCGUGCGUCACAGAAGUGCUUUCGUCAAGGGUGGCCGACACGUGGAAUCCACCAUAACGGAACAUUGUUAAGCUAUCGGGUCAGGUUUUGGAUCCGAUAACCCCUUAACAACCCCGACCAAUGGGAAAUUUCCACGUGUAAAAUUCUUAUUGGCCGGAUGAAACAUGUGUCAGCUCGUCAGUGGGUCAGAUAGGCGUCUAUGAUACGUCGACACGUGGCGCGGCCCAACAGAGGCCCAUUCCUAUGAAAAGGAUGGCCCGUUUGACUUGGUCAAAAGCUGGCGGGCCGGACCAUGGAAAGCCUGUUAACGGCUUGUUCGCAUAUAGCCCAUUUACAACCCGCUAACCCAAGGACCGUUACGCCCUAUUCGAAUUAGGCCUAGUAGCGUCAUCUGGGCCAUCCAAUAUGAUUCUAGCCCGUUUUCACUUCUGGCCCAUGUAUGGCCCAUGAUGUCUUUCGGCCCAUAUGAGGCCCUAUGUAACUCUUGGCCUAUUAACGACCCGUGCUGAAACUGGCCCGUAAUGAAUAGUGUAUCACUUUACACCCACUAAAGGCCCGUGGUGAAACUGGCCCGUAAAGAACAGUGUAUCACUUUAUACCCAUUAACGGCCCGUUAUUCCGUUGGGCCGUUUCCAGCCCAUGUUAUCUUUCGGCCUUCUCAGAGCCCAUUUAUUCUUGGGCUAUUUUCCAGCAUUCGUUUACUUACGGCCCGUUACUGUCAUUUUCUGCUUGUGGGCCAAAUUCAGCCCGUGGUUACAGUCGACCCAUUUGUGGUCCGUUAAUACGUUGGGCCGUUUUCAUAGCGUCAUAAAAUAUGGCCUAUUAACAAUGGCCCAUUAUGGUCGGCCCAUGAACGGACAAUUCCAACUCUAGCCCGUUUACGGCCAGAAUGCGGUCUGUUUGGCCCAUGUUUGGCCAAUCGAUCAUACGGCCCGUAUAAGGCCCAUUGAUGAUACGGCCCGUAGAAGGCCCAUUGAUGAUAUUGUUGGGGAACAUAGUAAUUUCAAAAAAUUUCCUACGCACACGCAAGAUCAUAGUGAUGCAUAGCAACGAGAGGGGAGAGUGUUGUCUACAUACCCUCGUAGACCAAAGCAGAAGCAUUGACGCAACGUAGAGGAAGUAGUCGUACGUCUUCCCGGUCCGACCGAUCCAAGCACCGUUACUCCGGCACCUCCGAGUUCUUGGCACACGUACAGCUCGAUGACGCUCCCCGGGCUCCGAUCCAGCAGAGCUUCGGGGAUGAGUUCCGUCAGCACGACGGUGUGGUGACGAUCUUGAUGUUCUAUCGUCGUAGGGCUUCGCCUAAGCGCUGCUACAAUAUGACCGAGGUGGAAUAUGGUGGAGGGGGGCACCGCACACGGCUAAGGAACGAUCAUGAUGAUCAACUUGUGUGUUCUAGGGUGCCCCCUGCCCCCGUAUAUAAAGGAGCAAGGGGGAGGAUGGCCGCCCCUUGGGGCGCGCCAAGGAGAGGGGGGAGUCCUCCUCCUAGUGGGAGUAGGACUCCCCUUUCCUAGUCCAACUAGGAAUAGAGAGGGGGAAGGAAAGAGAGGGAGAGGUAGAGGGAAAGGGGGGCCGCGCCCCCCUCCUAGUCCUAUUCGGACUCCCCAUGAGGGGGGGCGCGCCACCUCCUGGGCUGCUGCCCUCUCUCUCCCCUCAGGCCCACUAAGGCCCAUUACUUCCCCGGGGGGUUCCAGUAACCCCUCCGGCACUCCGGUUUUAUCCGAAAUCACCCGGAACAAUUCCGGUGUCUGAAUAUAGUCAUCCAAUAUAUCGAUCUUAAUGUCUCGACCAUUUCGAGACUCCUCGUCAUGUCCAUGAUCACAUCCGGUACUCUGAACAACCUUCGGUACAUCAAAAUACAUAAACUCAUAAUAAUUGUCAUCGUAACGUUAAGCGUGCGCACCCUACGGUUCGAGAACAAUGUAGACAUGACCGAGACACGUCUCCGGUCAAUAACCAAUAGCGGGACCUGGAUGCCCAUAUUGGCUCCUACAUAUUCUACGAAGAUCUUUAUCAGUCAGACCGCAUGACAACAUACGUUGUUCCCUUUGUCAUCGGUAUGUUACUUGCCCGAGAUUCGAUCGUCGGUAUCCAAUACCUAGUUCAAUCUCAUUAUUGGCAAGUCUCUUUACUCGUUCCAUAAUACAUAAUCUCACAACUAACACAUUAGUUGUAAUGCUUGCAAGGCUUAUGUGAUGUGCAUUACCGAGAGGGCCCAGAGAUACCUCUCCGACAUUCGGAGUGACAAAUCCUAAUCUAGAAAUACGCCAACCCAACAAGUACCUUCGGAGACACCUGUAGAGCACCUUUAUAAUCACCCAGUUACAUUGUGACGUUUGGUAGCACACAAAGUGUUCCUCCGGUAAAUAGGAGUUGCAUAUCUCAUAGUCAUAGGAACAUGUAUAAAUCAUGAAGAAAGCAAUAGCAACAUACUAAACGGUCGAGUGCUAAGCUAAUGGAAUGGGUCAUGUCAAUCAGAUCAUUCAACUAAUGAUGUGACCUCGUUAAUCAAAUAACAACUCUUUGUCCAUGGUUAGGAAACAUAACCAUCUUUGAUUAACGAGCUAGUCAAGUAGAGGCAUACUAGUGGCACUCUGUUUGUUUAUAUAUUCACACAUGUAUUAUGUUUCCGGUUAAUACAAUUCUAGCAUGAAUAAUAAACAUUUAUCAUGAUAUAUGAGGAAAUAAAUAAUAAAUUUAUUAUUGCCUCUAGGGCAUAUUUCCUUCAGUCUCCCACUUGCACUAGAGUCAAUAAUCUAGAUUACACAGUAAUGAUUCUAACACCCAUGGAGUCUUGGUGCUGAUCAUGUUUUGCUCGUGGAAGAGGCUUAGUCAACGGGCCUGCUACAUUCAGAUCCGUAUGUAUCUUGCAAAUCUCUAUCUCUCCCACCUGGAGUAGAUCCCGGAUGGAAUUGAAGAGUCUCUUGAUGUGCUUGGUUCUCUUGUGAAAUCUGGAUUCCUUUGCCAAGGCAAUUGCACCAGUAUUGUCACAAAAGAUUUUCAUUGGACCCGAUGCACUAGGUAUGACACCUAGAUCGGUUAUGAACUCCUUCAUCCAAACUCCUUCAUUUGCUGCUUCCGAAGCAGCUAUGUACUCCGCUUCACAUGUAGAUCCCGCCAUGACGCUUUGUUUAAAACUGCACCAACUGACAGCUCCACCGUUUAAUGUAAACACGUAUCCGGUUUGCGAUCUAGAAUCGUCCGGAUCAGUGUCAAAGCGUGCAUCAACGUAACCAUUUACGAUGAGCUCUUUGUCACCUCCAUAUACGAGAAACAUAUCCUUAGUCCUUUUCAGGUACUUCAGGAUGUUCUUGACCGCUGUCCAGUGAUCCACUACUGGAUUACUUUGGUACCUCCCUGCUAGACUUAUAGCAAGGCACACAUCGGGUCUGGUACACAACAUUGCAUACAUGAUAGAGCCUAUGGCUGAAGCAUAGGGAACAUCUUUCAUUUUCUCUCUAUCUUCUGCAGUGGUCGGGCAUUGAGUCUUACUCAACUUCACACCUUGUAACACAGGCAAGAACCCUUUCUUUGCUUGUUCCAUUUUGAACUUCUUCAAAACUUUGUCAAGGUAUGUGCUUUGUGAAAGUCCAAUUAAGCGUCUUGAUCUAUCUCUAUAGAUCUUAAUGCCCAAUAUGUAAGCAGCUUCACCGAGGUGUUUCAUUGAAAAACUCUUAUUCAAGUAACCCUUUAUGCUAUCCAGAAAUUCUAUAUCAUUUCCGAUUAGUAAUAUGUCAUCUACAUAUAAUAUUAGAAAUGCUACAGAGCUCCCACUCACUUUCUUGUAAAUACAGGCUUCUCCAAAAGUCUGUACAAACCCAAAUGCUUUGAUUACACUAUCAAAGCGUUUAUUCCAACUCCGAGAGGCUUGCACCAGUCCAUAAAUGGAUCGCUGGAGCUUGCACACUUUGUUAGCUCCCUUUGGAUCGAUAAAACCUUCUGGUUGCAUCAUAUACAACUCCUCUUCCAUAAAUCCAUUCAGGAAUGCAGUUUUGACAUCCAUCUGCCAAAUUUCAUAAUCAUAAAAUGCGGCAAUUGCUAACAUGAUUCAGACAGACUUAAGCAUCGCUACGGGUGAGAAGGUCUCAUCGUAGUCAAUCUCUUGAACUUGCCGAAAACCUUUUGCGACAAGUCGAGCUUUGUAGACAGUAACAUUACCGUCAGCGUCAGUCUUCUUCUUGAAGAUCCAUUUAUUCUCAUUUGCUUGCCGAUCAUCGGGCAAGUCAACCAAAGUCCACACUUUGUUCUCAUACAUGGAUCCCAUCUAAGAUUUCAUGGCUUCAAGCCAUUUUGUGGAAUCUGGGCUCACCAUCGCUUCUUCAUAGUUCGUAGGUUCAUCAUGAUCUAGUAGCAUGACUUCCAGAACAGGAUUGCCGUACCACUCUGGUACGGAUCUUACUCUGGUUGAUCUACGAGGUUCUGUAGUAACUUGAUCUGAAGUUCUAUGAUCAUCAUCAUUAACUUCCUCUCUAAUUGGUUCAGACGUCACAGAAACCGGUUCCUGUGAUGUGCUACUUUCCAAUAAGGGAGUAGGUACAGUUACCUCAUCAGGUUCUACUUUCCUCCCACUCACUUCUUUCGAGAGAAACUCCUUCUCUAGAAAGGAUCCAUUCUUAGCAACGAAUGUCUUGCCCUCGGAUCUGUGAUAGAAGGUGUACCCAACAGUCUCCUUUGGGUAUCCUAUGAAGACACAUUUCUCCGAUUUGGGUUCGAGCUUAUCAGGUUGAAGUUUUUUUUACAUAAGCAUCCCAGCCCCAAAUUUUAAGAAACGACAACUUUGGUUUCUUGCUAAACCAUAGUUCAUAAGGCGUCGUCUCAACGGAUUUUGAUGGUGCCCUAUUUAACGUGAAUGCGGCCAUCUCUAAAGCAUAACCCCAAAACGAUAGCGGUAAAUCUGUAAGAGACAUCAUAGAUCGCACCAUAUCAAGUAAAGUACGACUACGACGUUCGGACACACCAUUACGCUGUGGUGUUCCGGGUGGCGUGAGUUGCGAAACUAUUCCGCAUUGUUUCAAAUGUAGACCAAACUCGUAACUCAAAUAUUCUCCUCCAUGAUCAGAUCGCAGAAACUUUAUUUUCUUGUUACGAUGAUUUUCAACCUCACUCUAAAAUUCUUUGAACUUUUCAAAUGUUUCAGACUUAUGUUUCAUUAAGUAGAUAUACCCAUAUCUGCUUAAAUCAUCUGUGAAGGUGAGAAAAUAACGAUAUCCGCCACGAGCCUCAACAUUCAUUGGACCACAUACAUCUGUAUGUAUGAUUUCCAACAAAUCUGUUGCUCUCUCCAUAGUACUGGAGAACGGCGUUUUAGUCAUCUUGCCCAUGAGGCACGGUUCACAAGUACCAAGUGAUUCAUAAUCAAGUGGUUCCAAAAGUCCAUCAGUAUGGAGUUUCUUCAUGCGCUUUACACUGAUAUGACCUAAACGGCAGUGCCACAAAUAAGUUGCACUAUCAUUAUCAACUCUGCAUCUUUUGGCUUCAACAUUAUGAAUAUGUGUAUCACUACUAUCGAGAUUCAUCAAAAAUAGACCACUCUUUAAGGGUGCAUGACCAUAAAAGAUAUUACUCAUAUAAAUAGAACAACCAUUAUUCUCUGAUUUAAAUGAAUAACCGUCUCGCAUCAAACAACAUCCAGAUAUAAUGUUCAUGCUCAACGCUAGCACCAAAUAACAAUUAUUUAGGUCUAAUACUAAUCCCGAAGGUAGAUGUAGAGGUAGCGUGCCGACCGCGAUCACAUCGACUUUGGAACCAUUUCCCACGCGCAUCGUCACCUCGUCCUUUGCCAGUGUUCGCUUAAUCAGUAGUCCCUGUUUCGAGUUGCAAAUAUUAGUAACAGAACCAGUAUCAAAUACCCAGGUGCUACUGCGAGCUCUAGUAAGGUACACAUCAAUAACAUGUAUAUCACAUAUACCUUUGUUCACCUUGCCAUCCUUCUUAUCCGCCAAAUACUUGGGGCAGUUCCACUUCCAGUGACCAGUCUGCUUGCAGUAGAAGCACUCAGUUUCAGGCUUAGGUCCAGACUUGGGUUUCUUCUCCUGAGCAGCAACUUGUUUGUUGUUCUUCUUGAAGUUCCCCUUCUUCUUCCCUUUGCCCUUUUUCUUGAAACUAGUGGUCUUGUUGACCAUCAACACUUGAUGCUCCUUCUUGAUUUCUACCUCCGCAGCCUUUAGCAUUGCGAAGAGCUCGGGAAUUGUCUUAUCCAUCCCUUGCAUAUUAUAGUUCAUCACGAAGCUCUUGUAGCUUGGUGGAAGUGAUUGGAGAAUUCUGUCAAUGACGCUAUCAUCCGGAAGAUUAACUCCCAAUUGAAUCAAGUGAUUACAAUACCCAGACAUCUUGAGUAUAUGCUCACUGACAGAACUAUUCUCCUCCAUCUUGCAGCUAUAGAACUUAUUGGAGACUUCAUAUCUCUCAAUCCGGGCAUUCUGCUGAAAUAUUAACUUCAACUCCUGGAACAUCUCAUAUGCCCCAUGACGUUCAAAACGUCGUUGAAGUCCCGGUUCUAAGCCGUAAAGCAUGGCACAUUGAACUAUCGAGUAGUCAUCAGCUUUGCUCUGCCAGACGUUCUUAACAUCGUCAGUUGCAUCAGCAGCAGGCCUGGCACCCAGUGGUGCUUCUAGGACGUAACUCUUCUGUGCAGCAAUGAGGAUAAUCCUCAAGUUACGGACCCAGUCCAUGUAAUUGCUACCAUCAUCUUUCAACUUUGCUUUCUCAAGGAACGCAUUAAAAUUCAACGGAACAACAGCACAGGCCAUCUAUCUACAAUCAACAUAAACAAUAAAGAUACUAUCAGGGACUAAGUUCAUGAUAAAUUUAAGUUCAAUUAAUCAUAUUACUUAAGAACUCCCACUUAGAUAGACAUCCCUCUAAUCUUCUAAGUGAUCACGUGAUCCAAAUCAACUAAACCAUAACCGAUCAUCACGUGAAAUGGAUUAGUCUUCAAUGGUGAACAUCAUUAUGUUGAUCAUAUCUACUAUAUGAUUCACGCUCGACCUUUUGGUCUUCAUGUUCCGAGGCCAUAUCUGCAUAUGCUAGGCUCGUCAAGUUUAACCCGAGUAUUCUGCGUGUGCAAAACUGGCUUGCACCCGUUGUAGAUGGACAUAGAGCUUAUCACACCCGAUCAUCACGUGGUGUCUGGGCACGACGAACUUUGGCAACGGUGCAUACUUAGGGAGAACACUUCUUGAUAAUUAGUGAGAGAUCAUCUUAUAAUGCUACCGUCAAUCAAAGCAAGAUAAGAUGUAUAAAAGAUAAACAUCACAUGCAAUCAAUAUAAGUGAUAUGAUAUGGCCAUCAUCAUCUUGUGCUUGUGAUCUCCAUCUCCGAAGCACCGUCAUGAUCACCAUCGUCACCGGCGCGACACCUUGAUCUCCAUCGUAGCAUCGUUGUCGUCUCGCCAAUCUUAUGCUUCUAUGACUAUCGCUACCGCUUAGUGAUAAAGUAAAGCAUUACAGGGCGAUUGCAUUGCAUACAAUAAAGCGACAACCAUAUGGCUCCUGCCAGUUGCCGAUAACUCGGUUACAAAACAUGAUCAUCUCAUACAAUAAAAUUUAGCAUCAUGUCUUGACCAUAUCACAUCACAACAUGCCCUGCAAAAACAAGUUAGACGUCCUCUACUUUGUUGUUGCAAGUUUUACGUGGCUGCUACGGGCUUUAAGCAAGAACCAAUCUUACCUACGCAUCAAAACCACAACGAUAGUUUGUCAAGUUGAUGCCGUUUUAACCUUCGCAAGGACCGGGCGUAGCCACACUCGGUUCAACUAAAGUUGGAGAAACUGACACCCGCCAGCCACUUGUGUGCAAAGCACGGCGGUAGAACCAGUCUCGCGUAAGCGUACGCGUAAUGUUGGUCCGGGCCGCUUCAUCCAACAAUACCGCCGAACCAAAGUAUGACAUGCUGGUAGGCAGUAUGACUUAUAUCGCCCACAACUCACUUGUGUUCUACUCGUGCAUAUAACAUCAAACCAUAAAACCUAGGCUCUGAUACCACCGUUGGGGAACGUAGUAAUUUCAAAAAAAUUCCUACGCACACGCAAGAUCAUGGUGAUGCAUAGCAACGAGAGGGGAGAGUGUUGUCUACGUACCCUCGUAGACCGAAGCAGAAGCGUUGACGCAACAUAGAGGAAGUAGUCGUACGUCUUCCCGGUCCGACCGAUCCAAGCACCAUUACUCCGGCACCUCCGAGUUCUUGGCACACGUACAACUCGAUGACGCUCCCCGGGCUCCGAUCCAGCAAAGCUUCGGGGAUGAGUUCCGUCAGCACGACAGCGUGGUGACGAUCUUGAUGUUCUAUCGUCGUAGGGCUUCGCCUAAGCGCUGCUACAAUAUGACCGAGGUGGAAUAUGGUGGAGGGGGGCACCGCACACGGCUAAGGAACGAUCACGAUGAUCAACUUGUGUGUUCUAGGGUGCCCCCCUGCCCCCGUAUAUAAAGGAGCAAGGGGGAGGCCGACCGGCCCUUGGGGCGUGCCAAGGAGAGGGGGGGAGUCCUCCUCCUAGUGGGAGUAGGACUCCCCUUUCCUAGUCCAACUAGGAAUAGAGAGGGGGAAGGAAAGAGAGGGAGAGGUACAGGGAAAGGGGGGCCGCGCCCCCCUCCUAGUCCUAUUCGGACUCCCCAUGAGGGGGCGCGCCACCUCCUGGGCUGCUGCCCUCUCUCUCCCCUCAGGCCCACUAAGGCCCAUUACUUUCCCGGGGGGUUCCGGUAACCCCUCCGGCACUCCGGUUUUAUCCUAAAUCACCCGGAGCAAUUUCGGUGUCCGAAUAUAGUCGUCCAAUAUAUCAAUCUUAAUGUCUCGACCAUUUCGAGACUCCUCGUCAUGUCCAUGAUCACAUCCGGGACUCCGAACAACCUUCGGUACAUCAAAAUACAUAAACUCAUAAUAACUGUCAUCGUAAUGUUAAGCAUGCGGACCCUACGGUUCGAGAACAAUGUAGACAUGACCGAGACACGUCUCCGGUCAAUAACCAAUAGCGGGACCUGGAUGCCCAUAUUGGCUCCUACAUAUUCUACGAAGAUCUUUAUCGGUCAGACCGCAUGACAACAUACGUUGUUCCCUUUGUCAUCGGUAUGUUACUUGCCCGAGAUUCGAUCGUCGGUAUCCAAUACCUAGUUCAAUCUCGUUAUUGGCAAGUCUCUUUACUCGUUCCAUAAUACAUCAUCUCACAACUAACACAUUAGUUGUAAUGCUUGCAAGGCUUAUGUGAUGUGCAUUACCGAGAGGGCCCAGAGAUACCUCUCCGACAUUCGGAGUGACAAAUCCUAAUCUCGAAAUACGGCAACCCAACAAGUACCUUCGGAGACACCUUUAGAGCACCUUUAUAAUCACCCAGUUACGUUGUGACAUUUGGUAGCACACAAAGUGUUCCUCCGGUAAACGAGAGUUGCAUAAUCUCAUAGUCAUAGUAACAUGUAUAAGUCAUGAAGAAAGCAAUAGCAACAUACUAAACGAUCGGGUGCUAAGCUAAUGGAAUGGGUCAUUUCAAUCAGAUCAUUCAACUAAUGAUGUGACCUCGUUAAUCAAAUAACAACUCUUUGUCCAUGGUUAGGAAACAUAACCAUCUUUGAUUAACGAGCUAGUCAAGUAGAGGCAUACUAGUGACACUCUGUUUGUUUAUAUAUUCACACAUGUAUUAUGUUUCCGGUUAAUACAAUUCUAGCAUGAAUAAUAAAAAUUUAUCAUGAUAUAUGAGGAAAUAAAUAAUAACUUUAUUAUUGCCUCUAGGGCAUAUUUCCUUCAGAUAUGGCCCGUAGAAGGCCCAUUGUUUCUACGGCCUGUAGAAGGCCCAUUGUUUCUACGGCCCGUAGAAGGCCCACUGUUUCUACGGCUCGUAGAAGGCCCACUGUUUAUAUGGCCGGUAGAAGGCCCACUUUUUCUACGGCCCGUAGGAGGCCCAGUGUCACUACAGUAAAUAUUAGCCCAUGGUUAUUGUGGCCUAGUUUAAAAAAUAGGUUAUUGCAGCCACUAGCAAACCGCAGAAAAAGAACUGCACUAACUACAAGCAAACAAAUAAACAAGACAACAAGGAAAUACAUAAGCAAGCAACUUACACUAGGCUAUCACGGCUAUUACACAUAUUACAUCCAUUGGGCAUCAAAGUUCGCCGCCAGUGCAAAUAUAGGGAACACAUCAGCAUAUAAACGCCGCAGCAAAACAAGUCCAGAACUGAAACCACUUCAGAAGAGCUCAAGAAACAAUAUCCUGGGUACCCAUAAUGCUAGCAAGAUGCUUAGCAAGCUUAUUAACUUUCUCUUGUUUGGCGCUUAAGUCCUCCAACGCUUGCUGUUGCACCAGAAAGUAUGCAUCUGAAUUCUGCAGGGACUUCCUCAGUCCUUUGGCUUCCUGUUGCAUAACAUCUGAUCGAUGUCUUUCAACUUGAAGUUGAGACUCAAGAAGCCGAACUGAUUCAGGCAACGAGUUCGAAGAGCUGGUGCCAACAGUGGUAGCCAGUAACUCGAACACUACAUCAAGACAGGACUUUCGGGUUGUCUCAGUGUCUUCAUUAUAGUUUUUAUUAGCUUUCUUGGAGACCAAAAGGGAUGUCUCACUAUCUUGAACCUUAUUUGCAUUGCUUCCUCCACCAUUGCAUAACAGGGUACUCUUCUCCAAUAUUUUAUCCGCGUUCAAAAAGAGAAACAAACAAACACAUCUCAGGUUUACAAUGUAGUAUAUGAAGCUCAUUUUGGUAAACCUGUUCAGUAGUAAGGUGGACAGGAUAACAGCAUGAAACAAACAUAUAUCUAUGUAGUAUGGUCAUUGUAUGGUCUAUAUCAUUCUAGUUUAUGUUGCCAAAUCAAGAUAGAUAUAGUUUGAAUCAUAUCUAUUUAAGACAAAGCAGCAUAGAUAGAAUAUAAGUGUGGGAAACUACACAACAAUAACAACACUUGUAAUGUGCAUGGCAUGAGAACAUAACUGUUUAUUCAAUUGAAACUGAAAUCGACAUAGAGCAAGUUACAGCAGCAAACAACCAAACACGUUGAAGAAACAUGUUUAAAACGUACCUGUUGCGCCAUUGGAGUUUUAGUUGCAUCCUUCAAAUUUGAAAUUAGUUGGUAUCAAUAAAUACAGUGAUGCAAGAGCAAAGUAGUAUGAACCAUAGCUACGGAACCUGACCUGAGAACAAUUCUUCUUCUUCUUUAAGCGUUGACUUCGGGUUCGAAGUGGUGGUCUUCGUGAUUUGGGCACUGCAGUUGCCUUACUAACUGCUCGUGUUUGGGUGCUCUGUGGUGGAGACGGUGCUGUGUCAACGGCUGCUGAAGCAGAUAUCUGCUGGGGUUGGGGUUAGAAGGGGUGUAGCUGGUUCUCUGUCCAACUGGGUAGGGGUACAAUCUGCAUGAGUGUGGGUUAUGUGUGGUGGGGCUGGUUCUUGGGCAAGUACGACUGUGGUUCUAUCUACAUCGACAGGUAGCACGAUCUUUUCUGAAGACCGUGUUUUUACUCCCACAGAUACUACCAUCACUCCCUCCAAUUGAAAUGGCUGAUAAACAAGAAAAGUAAUUGAAUGUACAAACAUUGUAAGAUAGACAUGUCCAAUGGAUAGUAGGGAAGAAAACAUGGCAUGAAAUAAUUCACAUUUAUGUUGUCUAAGCAAAAAGAAUAGCAGGACAUAAUUUCACAUAUAUGAUGGCUAAUUAAACAGGAUAGCAGGACACAAUUUCACAUGUAUGAUAGCUAACUAAACAGGAUAGAAUGACAUACUUCAAAAUAUGAUGACUAUGUAAACAUGAUGACAUGAUUUAACUAUACGAUGUGUCUAUUAAAGUGGUUGGCAUGCCAUAAAUCACAAACAUGCCGUCGAUGGAAACAUGAUGGCAUGAUAUAAUUCACGGAUAGAAUGACAUAAUUUAAAAUAUGAUGACUAUUAAACAGGAUGAGAUGAUAUAACUAUAUUAUGUCUUUAGAAAAUGGGUUGGCAUGCCAUAAUUCAGAUACAUGCUGUCUAUGUAAACAUCAUGGCAUGACAUAAUUCAAAUAUAUGAUUUAUAUACUAAGGAAGUGAGCAGAGGGCAAUCGCAUAUAUGAUGUGUCAACUAAGGAGAUGGCAUUCAAUAUUGUGUAUAUGAUCUAAAAACUAAGCAUUGCAAUACAACAUAUGCAUUAUAUGAGUAAUAUAACCCUGCCAAGUUUGAGCAUACACCUCAGGGGGAUAAUAGGACUGGUCAUCUGCCUCUGAAUCCCCCUCUGAAGAGCUAUCUGUAACCAGCAAGAUAUCUGCUUCAGCAGGUAGCAUUGUCUGCUCUGAAGACCUUGUUUUCACUCCAGAUUUCUCCAUCACCAAUUCAAAUGGCUGAUGCACAGGAAGAGCAGUUGAAUAUACAAACAUUAUCGACAAAAGCAAUGAGAAAUACAAGAAAAAGGACGGCAUGAUAUAUUUCACAUAUAUGACGCUUGCCUAAACAGCAUGGCAUUGCAUAAUUCAUAUACAUAAUGCCUUGCAACAAGAUAACAUUGCAUAAUUCACAUAUAUAAUGUCUUGCAACAAGAUGUCAUUGCAUAAUUCACAUAUAUGGUAAUUAGACACUAAACAGGUGGCAUUCACACAAAGCAUGUCUAAACUAAGCAAAUGACAUAGCAAUGCAAGAUACCAUACGCACGAUAUGAGCAACAUAACCCUGCCAAGUUAGGGCAUGCACCUCGGGGGGGGGGGAUAUGACUGGUCAUAUGUCUCUGAAUCCUACUCUGAGGAGCUAUCGGUAACCAGCAAGACACGCGCUUCCUCAGAUAGCAUUGUUUGCUUUGAAGACCUUGUUUCCACUCCAGAUUUUUCCAUGACCGUGCCAAAUGGCUGAUGCACAUGAAGAGUAAUUGAAUGUACUAAAAUUGUUGACAAAUUUAACACGUAAUAAAAAAAUGAUGGCAUGAUAUAAUUCACAUAUAAGAUGACUAGCUAACCAGGGUGGCAUUGCAAAAUUCACAUAUAUGAUGCCUGGCUAGACAAGAUGGCAUUGCAUGAUUCACAUAUACGAUAAAGAAACUAAACAAAUGGCAUUGACACAAAGCAUGUCUAAACUAAGCAGAUGACAUCUUUAAUGUAUACAGUAAGUAAUGCAAGGCACCAUAUGCAUGAUAUUACCAACAUCAGCAUGCCAAGUUAGAGCGAAGACCUCAUGGGGUAAAUAGGAGUGGUCUUCUCCUUCUGAAUCCCCCUCAUAACAGUUAUCUUCCUCUUGAUUAAGAUCCGAAAUGGGUGGAGGGGGGGCUGCCUUUGCGCCCACCAUGGAAUGACUCUGCAUGAAAUUUUAUUGCCACACAAGGCUCGUCUCUUUUGCUCUACAUGAUCAGUUCCAUUGUGUACAAUAACUGGCAUGCAUAGGAAUAAAACAUAGUGAGAUUAUGUAAGGAGUGCAUGCACAAAUCCAGAGUGAUGGUAGCAAACUGUGGAUAGACCCAAAACCAAUGAUAGUAGGCAGAUAAUAGCUUUAGUUAAAGAAUACAGAUAAUGGCUCCUUUAAUGUUUGUUUGCACCCAACAUGAAACUCAUAGUAGACACCGGAGAUUAACCAGAUAGUAGACAGAUAGUACUGAUUGCUGCCCCAAUAUGUACCCCACAACCAUUUAAAAACUCAAGUUUCAGCAUUAGUUUGGACCUGACUCGGAGUCUAAUAGGUGAACACGACAAUAAUGUAGCAUGUCAUCAUAUUAAGCGACGCAUAACGUAAGCAGACACGGAAGAGUGCGACCUCUCUUGCGGACCUGUGUAGUCCUCAAGGUCAUCUGCUCAGUUGAUGAUGGUAAUGCAGUUGCCGUGGCUGCCGGCAGCGGGGAAGAAGAUCUGAGGCGGCGAAAGACAGUCUGGAGAGCGGAUCCCUGCUGUGGUGAACCCUUCUGUCAUUGGAGCAGCUGAGUUGGGGUGGAACACAGCGCCGCAGGAGCAGGACAAACCACACAAGGUUUUCUUUGACACAUAUCUGUAACAGAAGUAAUUGAGUAAGGGCUUGUUUGAAUUUGAGGAUUCUAACAAUGCAGGGAUAGGAAAUAGACAGGAAUAGGAUAGGAAUGCACGUGCAAAAUAGAGAAUUUGAAAACACAGGAUUUCUGCCAAUCUGGGUGUUUGAUUCACAACAAUUGGAAGAUCACAGGAUGCAGAAAAGCAUGGUGAGAUUAAGUCAAACCACAAGAAAAUGUACGGUUAUAAUGCCAUUAUGCUACUAUCUCUUAGUGUUGUGCUUGAUGAAUAGGAAUAUGCAAAGGAGGAGAAGUGGAAAUUAGAAUUCCUACGGUUUUUCUUUCAAGGAGACACUAAAGGAACAAAUACUACAGUUUUCCUUUGCACCAAAUUCAUGAAAAGUAGUACCAAAGGAAACUUUCCAAUUCCGAUGUUUUUCAUUCACUUUUCCUUUCAAGCACUAGCGAUUCUAGUAGGCAGGCUUGAGCAAGGAAAAUCCUACACUAAAAAAAUGUUUUUGUGCUACUUCUAUUACUUUGGACCCAGGCCACUGCCAUACUAGCUCAACUCCCAGGCCCAUCGACAAAUGCACAACUCAAACGCGCAGAGAUAAAUAAUGAUGGCGUUCAAGAGAGUCCAUCGCGGAUAGCUAAGUUGCCUGGUACCUCACUGCUUGUCAUAUAGUAGGAUAGAGUAAUCGUAUUUCCCGUUACUACGAGUGCUCAGUGGACAAUAUAUAUAACAUGUAGAGUAAAAAAGAGAUGCAACAAGUGUACAACCUCUUUGGCGAAGCCAUGUCGAUCUCAGCGUGAUUGGGUUGGCCGGUGAGGAUGCUCCGGCUAACUUGGCUGUCGGAGGAGGGGAAGAAGAUCUUAGGCGUCUGGAUAUGGAGCCCGAGGUACUGCUCCAAUGUGAUGGAGGGUUUCGUCGUUGGAGCAGCUCCGGUGAGUUGUACGACGCCGAGGCUGAAGCAGGACAAGAGAGACAACGAACAACGUUAACCUGAGUGGAAUUCUAAUAGCAUCUCCAAUACAUGAAGUAAAAUACAUAACCACAAAGUGCUAGAUGUAAAAUACAUCAGCCGCUCAUCUCUGAACUUAACUGUCGAAACUGAAUUUAACUAUCGAAACUGAACUUAACUGUCGAAACUGAAUUUUGCUAUCGAAACUGAAUUUUGCUGUCGAAACUGAACGCACUAGCAAGUUGAGGCUACACGUCGGUCGACUGACUUUUUCAUCUCUGGUCAGUCGAUUUUGCAGCCAUUGGAUACGAAAUCAAGGGCCUGCAGUUCAUCUUCAACCUCCACCCCCGUGAGCCGGCCAAACAGCAGCCCCCCGCCGCCCGCGGCAGGCGGUGCGCCGCCCCGCCCACCCCGAAAACACUCCCCACCGCCGGUACGCCACCGCCCCGGCCAUCCCUCUAGGCCCCCCCGUGCCGAGCUUUUUCUCCGACGAUCCCCACGCCACCGCCCCGCCAACGCCCCGCCACCGCCAGCGACCACCGCCCCCAUCCUGAACCCUAAGAUACAUAGUGGGGUACCNNNNNNNNNNNNNNNNNNNNNNNNNNNNNNNNNNNNNNNNNNNNNNNNNNNNNNNNNNNNNNNNNNNNNNNNNNNNNNNNNNNNNNNNNNNNNNNNNNNNNNNNNNNNNNNNNNNNNNNNNNNNNNNNNNNNNNNNNNNNNNNNNNNNNNNNNNNNNNNNNNNNNNNNNNNNNNNNNNNNNNNNNNNNNNNNNNNNNNNNNNNNNNNNNNNNNNNNNNNNNNNNNNNNNNNNNNNNNNNNNNNNNNNNNNNNNNNNNNNNNNNNNNNNNNNNNNNNNNNNNNNNNNNNNNNNNNNNNNNNNNNNNNNNNNNNNNNNNNNNNNNNNNNNNNNNNNNNNNNNNNNNNNNNNNNNNNNNNNNNNNNNNNNNNNNNNNNNNNNNNNNNNNNNNNNNNNNNNNNNNNNNNNNNNNNNNNNNNNNNNNNNNNNNNNNNNNNNNNNNNNNNNNNNAAAAGUCGAUCAGUCAACUGAAGUGUAGCUAAAUCGGAGUAGCAUCGCAAGCAAGAGCAAGAGCGAGAGCAGCAGCGCGAGCAAGAGCAAUAGCAAGAGCAGACCAGGCAGGGGACCAAGAGCAAGAGCAGAGCAGCAGCGCGAGCGAGAGCUAAAGCAGCAGCAGAUCCUAUUGAUGUGGACGUCGCCGCUGAGGGAGCGACGUCGUGGAGGAAGUGGCCGGUGACGCCGCCGUGGAUGGAGCCGCGCCGUGUCGGCUCGGGACCGAGCGCGGGCAGCACCAUGAGAUCGAAUCAAGAAGAAAAUGCGGCGAUUAGUGUACAACCUCUUUGGUGGCGCCGAUUAGGCCGCAACUUCAUCCGAGGAAACGGCGAUGAUGAUGCUCUUCCGGUGGUGCAGGUGAAGACGGCGGUGUGGGAAUGGAGGUGGCGCGAAAGACGAGGGGAACAUCAGGGAAGCUCCUUGGAGGUGGAGGACGAGGUGGCUGAACCGGCCGGACGAUGAGAUCGACGACGGAUCCUCAUCCGGUACGGUGGAUGAGGGAUGUCGAUGUUGGGGAACGUUGCAAAAAACAAAAAAUUUCCUACGGUUUCACCAAGAUCCAUCUAUGAGUUCAUCUAGCAACGAGUAUUCAGAUUGCAUCUACAUACCUUUGUAGAUCGCGAGCGGAAGCGUUCACUAGAACGUGGAUGAUGGAGUCAUACUCGCCGUGAUCCAAAUCACCGAUGACCAAGCGCCGAACGGACGGCACCUCCGUGUUCAACACACGUACGGAGCGGACGACGUCUCCUCCUUCUUGAUCCAGCAAGGGGGAAGGAGAGGUUGAUGAAGAUCCAACAUCACGACGGUGUGGUGGUGGAUGCAGUUGUCACCGCAGCAGGGCUUCGCCGAGCGUCUGCGCGAGAGGGAGAGGUGUAGCAGGGGAGAGGGAGGCGCCAAGAUGCAAGGGUGCGGCUGCCCCCUCCCUCCCCCCCUUUAUAUAGGCCCCCUGGGGGGGCGCCGGCCCUUGGAGAUCCAAUCUCCCAAGGGGGGCGGCGGCCAAGGGGGGUGGAGUACCCCCCAAGGCAAGUGGGGCGCCCCCCACCCUAGGGUUUCAACCCUAGGCGCAAGGGGGUGGGCCAAGGGGGGCGCACCAGCCCACUAUGGGCUGGUUCCCCCUCCCACUUCAGCCCAUGGGGCCCUCCGGGAUGGGUGGCCCCACCCGGUGGACCCCCGGGACCCAUCCGGUGGUCACGGUACAAUACUGGUGACCCCGAAACUUUCCCGUUGGCCGAAACAGCACUUCUAUAUAUAAUUCUUUACCUCCGGACCAUUCCGGGACUCCGAACAACUUUCGGAUUACUGCAUAUUCAUAUCUUUACAACCCUAGCGUCACCAGACCUUAAGUGUGUAGACCCUACUUGUUCGGGAGACAUGCAGACAUGACCGAGACGCCUCUCCGGCCAAUAACCAACAGCGGGAUCUGGAUACCCAUGUUGGCUCCCACAUGCUCCUCGAUGAUCUCAUCGGAUGAACCACGAUGUCGAGGACUUAAUCAAUCCCGUAUUCAAUUCCCUUUGUCAAUCGGUACAUUACUUGCCCGAGACUCGAUCGUCGGUAUCCCAAUACCUUGUUCAAUCUCGUUACCGGCAAGUCACUUUACUCGUACCGUAAUGCAUGAUCCCGUGACCAACCCCUUGGUCACAUUGAGCUCAUUAUGAUGAUGCAUUACCGAGUGGGCCCAAGAGAUACCUCUCUGUCAUACGGAGUGACAAAUCCCAGUCUCGGUUCGUGCCAACCCAACAGACACUUUCGGAGAUACCCGUAGUGUACCUUUAUAGCCACCCAGUUACGUUGUGACGUUUGGCACACCCAAAGAACUCAUACGGUAUCCGGGAGUUGCACAACCUCAUGGUCUAAGGAAAUGAUUCUUGACAUUGCAAAAGCUCUAGCAAACAAACUACACGAUCUUUAUGCUAUGCUUAGGUUUGGGUCUUGUCCAUCACAUCAUUCUCCUAAUGAUGUGACCCCGUUAUCAAUGACAUCCCUAUGUCCAUAGCCAGGAAACCAGGACUAUCUGUUGAUCAACGAGCUAGUCAACUAGAGGCUCACUAGGGACACAUUGUGGUCUAUGUAUUCACACAUGUAUUAUGAUUUCCGGACAAUACAAUUAUAGCAUGAACAAUAGACAAUUAUCAUGAACAAGGAAAUAUAAUAAUCUUUUAUUAUUGCCUCUUGGGCAUAUUUCCAACAGUCUCCCACUUGCACUAAAGACAAUAGUCUAGUUACAUUGUGAUGAAUCGAACACCCAUGGAAUUUUGGUGUUGAUCAUGUUUUGCAAUAGGGAGAGGUUUAGUCAACGGAUCUGCCACAUUCUGGUCCGCAUGUACUUUACAAAUCUCUAUGUCUCCAUUUUGAACACUUUCACGAAUGGAGUUGAAGCGACGCUUGAUAUGCUUGGUCUUCCUGUGAAACCUGGGCUCCUUCGCAAGGGCAAUAGCUCCAGUGUUGUCACAGAAGAGAGUCAUCGGGUCCGACGCGUUGGGUAUGACUCCUAGGUCAGUAAUGAACUCCUUCAUCCAGAUUGCUUCUUGUGCUGCCUCCGAGGCUGCCAUAUAUUCCGCUUCACAUGUAGAUCCCGCCACGACGCUUUGCUUGCAACUGCACCAGCUUACUGCCCCACCAUUCAAAAUAUACACGUAUCCGGUUUGUGACUUAGAGUCAUCCAGAUCUGUGUCGAAGCUAGCGUCGACGUAACCCUUUACGACAAGCUCUUCGGCACCUCCAUAAACGAGAAACAUAUCCUUGGUCCUCUUCAGGUACUUCAGGAUGUUUUUGACCGCUGUCCAGUGUUCCUUGCCGGGAUUACUUUGGUACCUACCUACCAAACUUACGGCAAGGUUUACAUCAGGUCUGGUACACAACAUGGCAUACAUAAUAGACCCUAUGGCUGAGGCAUAGGGGAUGACACUCAUCUCUUCUAUAUCUUCUGCCGUGGUCGGGCAUUGAGCCGUGCUCAAUCGCACACCUUGCAAUACAGGCAAGAACCCCUUCUUGGACUGAUCCAUAUUGAACUUCUUCAAUAUCUUGUCAAGGUACGUACUUUGUGAAAGACCGAUGAGGCGUCUCGAUCUAUCUCUAUAGAUCUUGAUGCCUAAUAUAUAAGAAGCUUCUCCAAGGUCCUUCAUUGAAAAACUCUUAUUCAAGUAGGCCUUAACGUUGUCCAAAAGUUCUAUAUCAUUUCCCAUCAAAAGUAUGUCAUCUACAUAUAAUAUGAGAAAUGCUACAGAGCUCCCACUCACUUUCUUGUAAACGCAGGCUUCUCCAUAAGUCUGCAUAAACCCAAACGCCUUGAUCAUCUCAUCAAAGCGAAUGUUCCAACUCUGAGAUGCUUGCACCAACCCAUAAAUGGAUCGCUGGAGCUUGCAUACCUUGUUAGCAUUCUUAGGGUCGACAAAACCUUCUGGCUGCAUCAUAUACAGUUCUUCCUUAAGAUAGCCGUUAAGGAAUGCCGUUUUGACGUCCAUUUGCCAUAUCUCAUAAUCAUAGUAUGCGGCAAUUGGUAACAUGAUUCGGACGGACUUCAGCUUCGCUACGGGAGAGAAAGUCUCAUCGUAGUCAACCCCUUGAACUUGCCGAUAACCCUUAGCGACAAGUCGAGCUUUAUAGAUGGUGACAUUACCAUCCGCGUCCGUCUUCUUCUUAAAGAUCCAUUUAUUUUCUAUCGCUCGCCGAUCAUCGGGCAAGUCUGUCAAAGUCCAUACUUUGUUUUCAUACAUGGAUCCUAUCUCGGACUGCAUGGCCUCCAGCCAUUUGUUGGAAUCCGGGCCCGCCAUCGCUUCUUCAUAGUUUGAAGGUUCACCGUUGUCUAACAACAUGAUUUCCAGGACAGGGUUGCCGUACCACUCUGGUGCGGAACGUGUCCUUGUGGACCUAUGAAGUUCAGUAGGAGCUUGGUCUGAAGUAUCUUGAUCAUCAUCAUUAACCUCCUCUCUAAUCGAUGCAGGCACCACAGGAACAUUUUCCUGAGCUGCGCUACUUUCCGUUUCAAGAGGCAGUACUUCAUCAAGCUCCACUUUCCUCCCACUUACUUCUUUCGAGAGAAACUCUUCCUCUAGAAAGGAUCCAUUCCUGGCAACAAAGAUCUUGCCUUCGGAUCUGAGGUAGAAGGUAUACCCAAUGGUUUCCUUAGGGUAUCCUAUGAAGACGCAUUUUUCCGACUUGGGUUCGAGCUUUUCAGGUUGAAGUUUCUUGACAUAAGCAUCGCAUCCCCAAACUUUUAGAAACGACAGCUUAGGUUUCUUCCCAAACCAUAAUUCAUACGGUGUCGUCUCAACGGAUUUAGACGGUGCCCUAUUUAAAGUGAAUGCGGUUGUCUCUAGAGUGUAUCCCCAAAAUGAUAGCGGUAAAUCAGUAAGAGACAUCAUAGAUCGCACCAUAUCCAAUAGAGUGCGAUUACGACGUUCGGACACACCGUUACGUUGAGGUGUUCCAGGCGGCGUGAGUUGUGAAACGAUUCCACAUUUCCUUAAGUGUGUGCCAAAUUCGUGACUUAAAUAUUCUCCUCCACGAUCUGAUCGUAAGAACUUUAUUUUUCGGUCUCGUUGAUUCUCUACCUCAUUCUGAAAUUCCUUGAACUUUUCAAAGGUCUCAGACUUGUGUUUCAUUAAGUAGACAUACCCAUAUCUACUCAAGUCAUCAGUGAGAGUGAGAACAUAACGAUAUCCUCCGCGAGCCUCAACACUCAUUGGACCGCACACAUCAGUAUGUAUGAUUUCCAAUAAGUUGGUUGCUCGCUCCAUUGUUCCGGAGAACGGAGUCUUGGUCAUUUUGCCCAUAAGGCAUGGUUCGCAUGUGUCCAAUUAUUCAUAAUCGAGAGACUCUAAAAGUCUAUCAGCAUGGAGCUUCUUCAUGCGCUUGACACCAAUGUGACCAAGGCGGCAGUGCCACAAGUAUGUGGGACUAUCGUUAUCAACUUUAAUUCUUUUGGUAUUCACACUAUGAAUAUGUGUAUUAUCACGCACGAGAUUCAUUAAGAAUAAACCAUUGACCAUCGGAGCAUGACCAUAAAACAUAUCACUCAUAUAAAUAGAACAACCAUUAUUCUCGGAUUUAAAUGAGUAGCCAUCUCGAAUUAAACGAGAUCCAGAUACAAUGUUCAUGCUCAAACUUGGCACUAAAUAACAAUUAUUGAGGUUUAAAACUAAUCCCGUAGGUAAAUGUAGAGGUAGCGUGCCGACGGUGAUCACAUCGACCUUGGAACCAUUCCCGACGCGCAUCGUCACCUCAUCCUUCGCCAGUCUCCGCUUAUUCCGCAGCUCCUGCUUUGAGUUACAAGUAUGAGCAACAGCACCGGUAUCAAAUACCCAGGAGCUACUACGAGCACUGGUAAGGUACACAUCAAUUAAAUGUAUAUCACAUAUACCUUUAGUGUUGCCGGCCUUCUUGUCCGCUAAGUAUUUGGGGCAGUUCCGCUUCCAGUGACCCUUCCCUUUGCAAUAAAAGCACUCAGUCUCAGGCUUGGGUCCAUACUUUGACUUCUUCCCGGCAACUUGGUUACCAGGCGCGGCAACAUCCUUGCCGUCUUUCUUGAAGUUCUUCUUGCCCUUGCCCUUCUUGAACUUGGUGGUUUUAUUGACCAACAACACUUGAUGUUCCUUUUUUAUCUCCACCUUCGCUGAUUUCAGCAUUGAAUAUACCUCGAGAAUGGUCUUUUCCAUCCCCUGCAUAUUGAAGUUCAUCACAAAGCUCUUGUAGCUUGGUGGAAGCGACUGAAGGAUUCUGUCAAUGACCGCGUCAUCCGGGAGAUUAACUCCCAGCUGAGUCAAGCAGUUGUGCAACCCAGACAUCUUGAGUAUGUGUUCACUGACAGAGCUAUUUUACUCCAUCUUAAAACUAAAGAACUUGUCGGAGACUUCAUAUCUCUCGACCCGGGCAUGAGCUUGGAAAACCAUUUUCAGCUCCUCGAACAUCUCAUAUGCUUCGCGUUGCUCAAAACGCUUUUGGAGCCCCGGUUCUAAGCUGUAAAGCAUGCCGCACUGAACGAGGGAGUAAUCAUCAGCACGUGACUGAUAGGCGUUCAUAACGUCUUGGUUUGCUGGGAAUGGUGCUUCACCUAGCGGUGCUUCUAGGACAUAAUCUUUCUUGGCAGCUAUGAGGAUGAUCCUCAGGUUCCGGACCCAGUCCAUAUAGUUGCUGCCAUCAUCUUUCAGCUUGGUUUUCUCUAGGAACGCGUUGAAGUUGAGGGCAACAUUGGUGUGGGCCAUUUGAUCUACAAGACAUAUUGUAAAGAUUUUAGACUAAGUUCAUGAUAAUUAAGUUCAUCUAAUCAAAUUAUUAAUGAACUCCCACUCAGAUUAGACAUCCCUCUAGUCAUCUAAGUGAAACAUGAUCCGACUCGACUAGGCCGUGUCCGAUCAUCAUGUGAGACGGACUAGUCAUCAUCAGUGAACAUCUCCAUGUUGAUCGUAUCUUCUAUACGACUCAUGCUCGACCUUUCGGUCCUCCGUGUUCCGAGGCCAUGUCUGUACAUGCUAGGCUCGUCAAGAUAACCUAAGUGUUUUGCAUGUGUAAAUCUGUCUUACACCGUUGUAUGUGAACGUUGGAAUCUAUCACACCUGAUCAUCACGUGGUGCUUCGAAAGAACGAACUAUCGCAAUGGUGCACAGUUAGGGGGAACACUUUCUUGAAAUUAUUAUGAGGGAUCAUCUUAUUUACUACCGUCGUUCUAAGUAGACAAGAUGCAAAACAUGAUAAACAUCACAUGCAAUCAAAUAAUAAUAGUGACAUGAUAUGGCCAAUAUCAUAUAGCUCCUUUGAUCUCCAUCUUGGGGCUCCAUGAUCGUCUUGUCACCGGCAUGACACCAUGAUCUCCAUCAUCGUGUCUCCAUGAAGUUGCACACCAACUAUUACUUCUACUACUAUGGCUAACACCUUUAGCAAUAAAGUAAAGUAAUUUACAUGGCGUUUCCAUUGCCACGCAGGUCAUAAAAGAAUAAUGACAACUCCUAUGGCUCCUGCCGGUUGUCAUACUCAUCGACAUGCAAGUCGUGAUUCCUAUUACAUGAACAUGAUCUCAUACAUCACAUAUAUAUCAUUCAUCAUUCAUCACAACUUUGGCCAUAUCAUAUCACAAAGCACUUGCUGCAAAAACAAGUUAGACGUCCUCUAAUUGUUGUUGCAAAUUUUACGUGGCUGAAAUAGGGUUCUAGCAAGAACGUUUUCUUACCUACGUAAAAGCCACAACGUGAUUUGUCAACUUCUAUUUACCCUUCAUAAGGACCCUUUUCGUCGAAUCCGCUCCAACUAAAGUGGGAGAGACAGACACCCGCCAGCCACCUUAUGCAACUAGUGCAUGUCAGUCGGUGGAACCGGUCUCACGUAAGCGUACGUGUAAGGUUGGUCCGGGCCGCUUCAUCCCACAAUACUGCUGAAGCAAAAUAAGACUAGUAACGGCAAGAAAAUUGACAACAUCUACGCCCACAACAAUUGUGUUCUACUCGUGCAAAGAGAACUACGCAUAGACCUAGCUCAUGAUGCCACUGUUGGGGAACGUUGCAGAAAACAAAAAUUUUCCUACGGUUUCACCAAGAUCCAUCUAUGAGUUCAUCUAGCAACGAGUAUUCAGAUUGCAUCUACGUACCUUUGUAGAUCGCGAGCGGAAGCGUUCACUAGAACGUGGAUGAUGGAGUCGUACUCGCCGUGAUCCAAAUCACCGAUGACCAAGCGCCGAACUGACGGCACCUCCGCGUUCAACACACGUACGGAGCGGAUGACGUCUCCUCCUUCUUGAUCCAGCAAGGGGGAAGGAGAGGUUGAUGAAGAUCCAACAUCACGACGGUGUGGUGGUGGAUGCAGUUGUCACCGCAGCAGGGCUUCGCCGAGCGUCUGCGCGAGAGGGAGAGGGAGGCGCCAAGAUGCAAGGGUGCGGCUGCCCCCUCCCUCCCCCCUUUAUAUAGGCCCCCUAGGGGGGGCGCCGGCCCUUGGAGAUCCAAUCUCCCAAGGGGGGCGGCGGCCAAGGGGGGUGGAGUACCCCCCAAGGCAAGUGGGGCGCCCCCCCACCCUAGGGUUUCAACCCUAGGCGCAAGGGGGUGGGCCAAGGGGGGUGCACCAGCCCACUAUGAGCUGGUUCCCCCUCCCACUUCAGCCCAUGGGGCCCUCCGGGAUGGGUGGCCCCACCCGGUGGACCCCCGGGACCCAUCCGGUGGUCCCGGUACAAUACCAGUGACCCUGAAACUUUCCCAUUGGCCGAAACAACACUUCUAUAUAUAAUUAUUUACCUCUGGACCAUUCCUGAACUCCUCAUGACGUCCGGGAUCUCAUCCGGGACUCCGAACAACUUUCGGAUUACUGCAUAUUCAUAUCUUUACAACCCUAGCGUCACCAGACCUUAAGUGUGUAGACCCUACGUGUUCGGGAGACAUGCAGACAUGACGGAGACGCCUCUCCGGCCAAUAACCAACAUCGGGAUCUGGAUACCCAUGUUGGCUCCCACAUGCUCCUCGAUGAUCUCAUCGGAUGAACCACGAUGUCGAGGACUUAAUCAAUCCCGUAUUCAAUUCCCUUUGUCAAUCGGUAUGUUACUUGCCCGAGACUUGAUCGUCGGUAUCCCAAUACCUUGUUCAAUCUCGUUACCGGCAAGUCACUUUACUCGUACCGUAAUGCAUGAUCGCAUGACCAACCCCUUGGUCACAUUGAGCUCAUUAUGAUGAUGCAUUACCGAGUGGGCCCAAGAGAUACCUCUCCGUCAUACGGAGUGCAAAUCCUAGUCUCGGUUCGUGCCAACCCCAGACACUUUCGGAGAUACCCGUAGUGUACCUUUAUAGCCACCCAGUUACGUUGUGACGUUUGGCACACCCAAAGCACUCAUAUGGUAUCCGGAGUUGCACAACCUCAUGGUCUAAGGAAAUGAUACUUGACAUUGCAAAAGCUCUAGCAAACGAACUACACGAUCUUUAUGCUAUGCUUAGGUUUGGGUCUUGUCCAUCACAUCAUUCUCCUAAUGAUGUGACCCCGUUAUCAAUGACAUCCCUAUGUCCAUAGCCAGGAAACCAUGACUAUCUGUUGAUCAACGAGCUAGUCAACAAGAGGCUCACUAGGGACACAUUGUGGUCUGUGUAUUCACACAUGUAUUACGAUUUCCGGACAAUACAAUUAUAGCAUGAACAAUAGACAAUUAUCAUGAACAAGGAAAUAUAAUAAUCUUUUAUUAUUGCCUCUAGGGCAUAUUUCCAACAGUCGAGGUGUUGCUGUGGACGAUGUCGUCGGGGAAGAGGCUCCGGCUGGGUGGCGGACGAAGCAGGGUGUGGGGUUUCGUCGCGGGUUUUCACGGCCUCGAUGUACGAAUGGGUGGGCGGAUGGGACGGCAGUGGGGAACCAUGGCUUAGAGACACGCUUGUCCGAAAUGUGGGGUAAGUUACGAAAGUACCCCCACCGAUUUGAGGCAGUUCUUUCGGUUCAGGGGUACCACGGGCAUUUCGCGUGUCGGGAUUUCACAGGAGGUGGGAGUUUUCACGCGUGUUGUAAUUUCGGAAUAGCAUGGCACGGGUUGAGAUGGAGGGAGUUGUCGGAGCACAACGAGACAAAGAUAUAUCUUAAAUAUUUCGGGCUAACAAGGCGCGGGUUGAAGAGGCGGGAGUUUCGCAGCACGAUAGACAGAGAUGCUAGCUUGAAUUUUCUGCAUAACAAGGUGCGGCUUGAAAUUUCGGAAGAACAAGCUUAACGUGUACCAAAAAAAGACAAUUUGCACCUCAACACGCACAACACACACACACAAACACCAUUUAGACUAGAGUAAGGUACACGUGCAUUGCACGCAUGAGAUUUGGCAACCAAAUUAUGAAUAAAUACCACAUUAUAGCAUGCAAGAUUUGAGUCAUAUAUGCAUGAUGUAGAUGUUCGUUUAAUUCUUAUAGUUCAUUUCAUUCAAAAUCAUCUAGUUUUUAUAAGAAAGCUAAUAUAUUUUAAGAUUCAUGGAAUUGUGCGUCGUAAGACAUAAAGUAAAAAACAAAUAAUGGCAAGUCAUGUAGAAAAACAUUUGGGAAAUUCUAAUACGGAAGAUUCUAGAACAAAUAAGAAGUGCUUGUGUUUUGAUGUUUGUGCAUUAUGCUUAAGUUCAACCAUGGAGUCUUCUAGAUUAUACAUGUGGCGAAAUCUGGCGAAAUCUAGAUGAUAUGCAACGGCCAGUAGUGCUCAAAUUUUCCAUCUUUGGACCAUCGGAUUCGCCUCAUCCAACGACCAUCUUUCAAAGUUAAAGUUACCCGCACACAAUAUAAAAAAAUAUAUAAUAUAAUAUAUAUAUAUAGGGGUAUAGAUAUAGAUAUGUGAUGCAAAGCCGCCCAUCAUCUCCAAUUUGAAUAGUGUGUCCAUGCACGGAUGCGACGUGGCCAAAUGAUGUCUGCCAUCGGUAUCUCAAAUUCAAAUCAGUCUGACCUUGUUCAAUGUGUAUACAUUACAACAUGCUCGUUUCCAAACCACACCGCGCAGAUCUCUGUUAUAUUCAUGCAUGCAUGGGUUUCAAACAUCAGGAUCUCUUAUUCAAAUAUUUGAAUUCAACUUUACAUUGAUUAUGACCUCACCUAUUCAGCUAUUCUUUUACACCCACACAGUAGUCUUCUCUUUAUAAUUGUACCACUAACUUUCUCUCGUGCAUGCAUGCACACACACUACCAGUCGGCAUUAUCCAUCGCACGCAUGCAAUCUUUUUCUUCAGGUCGGUCUCCCAUGAAGGCACACAUCAACACACAUCCGCCUCUCCAUCAUAUCGGGCAUUCUUUAUCUCUCACGCGUGCAUGCUCAAUGAUCGAUGUUCCUCUAUGUAUGUGUCUAUAUAGCUAGGUCUUUCAUAGUUUUCCACACAAACCGAUCAAUCGAUAUAUCCAGUGAGGUCUCACCCUCUUUCCCACGUCCACAUCGAUCAAUCUAUACCUCUCUAUAUAGGAUUAACAUAUAUAGCUAAUACACCCACAUUAAUUAUAUAUCCAACAUCCCCCUCUCAUCAUCCAUGCCUUCCGCUCCAUCUCUCAGACGCGUGCACAAUGGCGAAGACAGGGGGAAGUAAGGGCCCUGCCCCCUCCCCCCUAACAUCACUAUAUAUCGAGGCUAAUAUGAAUGUGAUCAUUAGACAAUUGCUGCUAAAAAUGGUUUAAGUUCAUCAAUUGACCCUCCUCGUAAAGGAUUAGCAAUGCUUGGCCCCCUCGCUCAUUUAUUUUUCAUGGCUCCGCCACUGUGCGCAACAGCGCACGUGUUCGCCCCCUCUCUCUAAAUAUCGAUCUCGCACUUGUGCAUUCCUUCAUAGUCUCCCUCCACUCAGCCCCUCGCACCAUCUUCUAGCCCCCCACCGGAUUUUGCCACAUGUACAAUCUAGCAGACUCCAUGGUUGAACUUAAGCAUAAUGCACAAACCUCAAAACAAUAGUGGUUCUCUUUUGUUCUAGAAUACUCCGUACCAUAACUGCCCAAACUUUUUUUCUAGUUGAAUUGCCAUUAUUUGUUUUUACUUUAUGCUUUACAACACACAAUUCCAUGAAUCAUAAAAUAGAUUAAGGGCUUCUUUGAUUCAAAGGAUUCUCAAAGGAAUUUUGGAGGAUUCUAAUCAUUAGGAAUUUUUCCUAUCUUGGUUGUUUGAUUCAUAGGAUUGUAAACCAUAGGAAUUUUUCCAUAUGAUUCAUUUGCACUAGAUUUCAUAGGAAACAUCCCAUCCACUCAAACCUCUUUGAAAGAAUUCUGCGUUUUUUUCUAAGCACAAUCAAACACUCGUACAAUCCUGUAGGAUUCAAGACGACAUUCCACUAUAAUCCCAUGUUUUUCCUAUUCCCGCGUUCUUAGCUUUUUUAUAAAAACUAAUUGAUUUUGAAUGAGAUGAACUAUAAGAAUUAAACGAAGGGCUACAUCAGGCAUAUAUGACUCAGAGCUUACAUGCUAUAGUGUGGUAUUUAUUCAUAAUUUGGUUGCAAAAUCUGAUGCGUGCAAUGCACGUGUACCUUACUAGUACUUCGAGUAUGUGCAAAACACGUAAAUUAGAAUACCAAUGGCACGCUACACAGUGUCUCUCUUAUAGUUCAUGAAGCCAUGUGGAACAUGUGGAGGCGUUGUCGCGACCUCCUUGCGUGGAUUGAUCACAGUGACAUGCUGCUGGUUCCAGAAGAAUGUACUCGUCCUCCCUGAGCCAUACUAGCGGUACAUGCACGAAGUGAAGAUGUGCACGCACACCACGCACGCACUCAUUCCCUCGCACGCACACGCGGGUACAUGGGCAGACACAAUUUUGUACCAAGAUCCACCCCAUGUGAUAAUUUGACGCAUGUAAAGUCGUUUACUUCAUUGAUGGUCAAUUAAUACAGCGCAUGCAAAUUGAGUGGACGUGAGGGCGGAAGAAAGACAUUAUUACUCCACUGCGUGCGUGCGAGUAGUUAAAUCGUGGGUUGCUAGUAGUACUUCCAUUGGUCUCCUUCGUAUUUUGUGCCAAUUUUCGAUAGUACCAUAAUAUUUACUCAUUUGAGCAGUGUAGUACUUGAAAUUUAUGUUCCGCUAAACUCAUCGGGAGCCGUUUCGGGCCUCGAAACCAAAACCAUCAAUUAAUCUUUACCUUGUUCCCAUCACAUUCGAAAGCCUGCUCACACCUACUAGUACGUACCAAACCUGAACGUGUUCCCACUAUGCAGGUAUUAUUACUAGUGUUAGUACUUAGGUUAUAAAAAGGGGAACUACCUAACCGAAAAUUACUCUACCUUUCCUCCUCAUAAGUGCUUCUUCUUCGUCCGUCGUUUCCAUGGCCGGUGAGCAGAGCUCUAGGUCGAGAACUACUCGUAACAAGGGAGCGGCAACCAAGGCUGCGAAAAAAGAGGGCUCGCCGCCACGCAGAGACCUCGAAAGAUCUCUCACGGGCAGGUGAUGGCUCCCAGGAGCACCCUAGCCGCGGAGGCGAACAUGCCGAGCCAGCAGAGCUGGAGUCGUUACCCUCGACGGCAUGCCCGAUCAGCUCAAUAAGCAGAAGGAGUUCAUCCAAGGCUUGAUGGAGUUGCUAAAGGAGAGUCUCGACGACAUGCCCGCUGAGCUCAAUCGGCAGGGGGGGGGGGUUGACCGCCGGCUUGGUGAUGCUGCUGAAGAAGAGCAUUGCCUUGGAGAAGAAGGCGACCGGCGAAAUCCUGCGACUUUGGGAGGAUAAUGCGAAGCUCUGCCACGAGAUCGACCUGUUGAAGGAGAAGAACGCCGACUGGAAGAAGCUGCAUGAGAAUAGUAGUUCCUCGAUGAAGAUGCUGCAGGCCCUCGUCAUGGAACAGAAGGAAGAGUUGGCGAAGCUCCGCAUCGAGCACCCGGCUGCUGUCAAGGUACGUAAUAUGGCCAUGGAACAGAUGAUGAAGGCUCGCGUCGGGAAAUGCCGCAUCAUGGACACAAUGAUGAAGAUGGUGGAGGAGACGCACAAGGAGAUGGAGGUCGUGGAGGCGAUGAAGAAGCAGUUACGACUCCGCGACGAAUUAGAUCAUUUGGGGUGAUAAUCUUCCUUCUUCUUUUGCUCCUGUGUUUCAUCUUUUGCUUCGGGUGUUUCGCUGCACGUGUCACGUUCUCUGUGAGGCAUGAAUAGAACAAUGGUUUUUUUGAGGGAAUGAAUAGAACAAUGCUAACAAUGAGAUGACUAGCAAAUUAGAUCAUUUUUUAUCGCCAUAUGGCACUGGGCUGCCAUGUUUUGUGCUCCUCCGUCGCAGUACUACUCCAGUGGAAAACUUGAGCAUACCACACGGUUCUUUGCUCCUCCUCGAUCAGGUCGUCAACGCAUUUAUACGAGCAGUCAAAUCACAAGGCCCCGCCUUCCAGCAGUAAUGAACCAUCAAAUCACAAAGGCCCUCGCCUCUCGUGAAACCGACCAAGCUAGACUGCCCCGCCCUCUAGCCUUUUAAAAAAUGUAUACUUUUGUACAGCAGUAGUAUCGAUGGAUUGCGCCAUGGAGCAAAACUUGAAAUUAAAAAAGGUGGUACAUAUAGAGAGCGCUCGUCGCCAAAUUAUGCAUAUAGUACUAUUAAAAAGGCUAGUCACAAUAAUGGUGUCCAGCACAACCCACCCCUCAAAUAAAACUAAGAGGGUGCUUGGAUACGUUUUAGUCCCAUGACUAAAAGUAGUGGGACUAAAACAUGCUAGCCUCACCCAUACUUGGAUCCAAAUACUAAAAAGGCUAAAAUCAAGUUAAUGAGCAUUUAUUAUCCUCCAAACCCUCCAAUGCAGAACUCGCCUGUGUUAAAGGAGAGGAGUUAAAUGAGUAGAGAGAGGACUAAUCCACAUUUUAGUAGGGGUACCCCUGACUAAAAAAUUUUAGUCUCAAGACUAGUUUUAGCCCCUCUUUAGUCAGGGUGCUUGGAACUUUAGCCUCUUAAAGAGACUUUUUUUAGUCAGACUAAAAUAAGUCCCUUGGAUCCAAGCACCCUCUAAGCAUCCUGGAAUUCUUUGACAAAACUAAGCACCCUGAAAUUCUUUGACAACUAAACUGCUGGCUAUAUGAUGUUGGCCAUAUAUAUUGUACGUAUAUAAUGUGAAGAAACGAGUGGUAGUACUAUACCAACUAAAAGAUGAAACGUAAGAAAUACUAGUAUGUACGUACUGAAGAGUUAAAGUAACGAGAAGAAACAUAACAUAGUUCUGCUGGGGGCUCAGCACGACACACCCCUCAAAUUAAAUUAAGCACACCUGAAAUUAAACUUUGCAACUAUUCCGGUAGACACUGCAUUAGAACCACCAUGAGCAACGACACUGCCACCAGUCCUCGUCCACGUCCUCGACUUCGUCCUUGUCCCUCUUCCUCUUGGCCGAUACUUCUUUGCUUGAACCGCACACUUGGCUGUUGCUCUUCAUCCAACCCUUGUAGAUAUUGAAGCAAAGGUAGCCAUCCAUUGCAGCAUAGUGGAUGUGGUCUGUAUCUAGUACAUUCCGCUGCCAUGCAUGACGAUGAAACGUGUAAUGAGGUUUCUCCAGUUUACUGUACGAAGGAUGAACCAUGGCUCCUGCCAGGGCCAUCAUUGAAGGCUGACGAGAGGACACUAGCCGAUUCUUCUGGAGGUCGAAGGUGUUGCCUACAACGAGGCCUAUCCGACACAGGACUUCCUUGUCGUUACCAAAGUAUAAAGUAACGAAUUUGACUAGGUUGCUCUCGAGGAAGUUCUUAAAAUCCUGGCACUCAACGUCGGCAUGGCAUAUGUGGUAGACCAAGCAAACGUUAUGUACGCAAACCUGGAUCACGUCGGGCUUCUUCCUCUCUUCGUCCUUUAGAUCCUUCUCUCUCCCCAAGACUGUGGUGUGCUCAACAUCUAGCCCAGCGACCCACUCAUCAUCUGAGUUUUUGAACAUGCGUCUAAAGCGAGAAAGGCAUCCUUUCACCAUCGCGGAAGAACGGGUGUAGAUGACGUCGAACUCAUCACCGGUGAUGGUUCUAACCUUGUACUCACCACUGAUCGUGGAGAUUUGGGAUGCCAUGGAUUUGGGAGGAGGGUUAGGAUUAGUGGAACUGCCGUAAUGUGAAUGGACGAGAUGACUAGGAGCGAACUGCCGUAGUAUUGAAGGACGUGCGGGGACGAGUAGGAGCGAACUGCCAGCGUGCGAACGGCAGGGUAGUGGAUUUCCAUUCUCCCAUGAUACGGGCUUCCGAGAGCCCUUGGAUCUGAGAUCGAACGGUUGCAUGGCGUGAUUCUAGACCUAUGGGUGAAUCUCCUAUCCUGGAGGGUUAUUAUGCAAAUUUUCAGCAACUUAGCAUGCGACCGUUUGAUCUCAGAUCCAAGGGCUGCCAGCAGCCCGUAUUGUGGUCGCGCCUACCACGACCGUCACGUCGCUCGUGCGGUCGCGCCCUUGGAUAUUUAACACGGUGCGUGAGGCUAUCUGAUGUUGGCAUGUCAUACAUAGUCAUCACUUAGUCACUCAUACUACAACAAGGUUUUGGCUAUAAGGUUGGCUAUAAGUGUAUUUUUUUACUUCUCUCUAUCUCUUUCUUCGUACUCCCUCCGUCCCAUAAUAUAAGAACAUUUUUGACACUAGUGUAGUGCCAAAAACAUUCUUAUAUUAUGGGACACAGGGAGUACUAGUAUUUAUUGCAUUUGCCAAGGAGUGACCUCUUCCAAUGAAAUGGUGUUGCUAAGUUUGCUUCAUUUAAUUAGCUAUAUACUCAAAAUUGUCUUUUCACCUAGGUACACGCACUUAGCACCAUUUCUUCCUUGGGUCACCAAACUAGUCUCUCUCUUCUUGAUUAACUUGCCACAUCAGACUUUAUGCCUAUGUGGCAAGCUUAAGCACCUGUAGGAGCAAGUAAAAGUAAGUACAAUAGUGCGCUUUACAUGACAUUUUUGCAUAUGUGGAGGAAAGAGAGGCAAGGAAAAAGUGGAGAAGUGGGCUCUCAUGCAAGAGCCAGCCUCUACUACAUGGUGGAGCAUUGGGAGAGGCACCUGUAUGGAGGUGGUCAGGAAUCUGGGAGACUCACGCCGGUCGUAGCACCGCAGUUAAAAUGAUAAUGGCAAGUCAAAUCACGGGGCCCCACUUGUCCAGCAGUAACUCGCUGUCAAAUCACACAGCCCUACGAUUGCAGCAGCCUACUCCCUCGUCUUCUCACGUCUCUGUCGAACCGACUAGGCGGAACUGCCCCGCCGCCUACCGCGCAGGAAAAGCCCCGCCCUCGACUUUUAAAUAGUAUACAGUAUACUAAUUUUGUAUCCAUGGAUUGCGCCCGCGCCAUGGAGCAAAGCGUCUAGAAAACGGAGGAGAGACGAUGGUCUUGCAAUAGAGAAGAGGGAGAGGCGAGACGGUGGUUUUGAAAUGGAGAUGAUGGAGAGGAGAGGAGGUGGUUUUGCAAUGGAGAAGAUCAGAAGAGGGAGAGGCGAGACAGUGGUUUUGGAAUGGAGAUGAUGGAGAGGAGAGGGGGUGGUUUUGCAAUGGAGAAGAGGGAGAGGAGCGUGCGGUAGCGAUUUAGGAUUGGACGAGAGGGCCGGCGCGCUGUGACUGGAUCAAAAUCAAAAUCAAUUUACCCUUCAAUUAAUAAAGCGACCCCACAUUAACUAGUCUCCCUUUUAUUCUGGGUCAUAAUUGACCAUGAUUUUCGCACAUAAAGUAUAUGUUAUACAUUGCAAAAAUAAUAUAAUUUGAAAGUACAUUCAGAUACGAACCAAAUACAAUUUUUGGUGACAUGCAUUCACAUUUUGCUUGUCAAAUACAGUACGUGGUCAAACUUUGACCCAAAGUACGCAAAACAACAAAAAAAAUACUUCCAAGACCAGCGCCGCUCUUUCGCUCUUCUCCUCUUAAACCACCGCCACUCCUCUCCUGUUCCAAUCUAAAUGCAGCGCCGCUCCUCUCCUCUUCCAUUUCAAAACCACCGCCCCUCCUCUCCUGUUCCAGUCCAAAACCAGCGUCGCUCCUCUCCCGUUCUAAUCCAAAACCAGCGCUGCUCCUCUCCUCUUCCAUUCAAAAACCAUCGCCGGCGAGUGAAGGUGCUGUGGAGAAGUAGAUCGAUGGAGGAGUACAACCAAUACGUGAGGAUCGUAGACGGCGACCCUGUGAAGCUAGCUAGGAUGUUGGAGAUACAGUCUUGGUUUGACAACAAGGACCAACUAGCGGCGACGGUGACAUCCAUGGCCAAAUAUCUGCAAAAGAGCGAAAAGGCGGCGAUACUCCCGGAGGGAGUCGCGCCGGAGUACAUAGAGCUGCUCCUCUGGGCCAUGGAGCAAACAGAUUCACCGAAUCCGAUCGUGAGGGAGCGGUGGUGGGAGUAUCGAUCCCAGAUGGAGCAUCCACCAGAGAUUGAAGGAUUGAGCAUCUACAGGGUGCCGUUUGUGAGGGUGUCCUACCAGAUCGAGCCGGUGGAGUCUUCGUCGACCGAACCCAACUACAAGAGGAGAAAAGCAGUUGGCCCGACGACGCUUCCCCGCCAUCGUCUCCCUCGCCGUUCACAUCAUCUCACGGGGCGGCUGUCUGCUGCCGAGGAAUAGGAGGGGGCUGCCCCCCCAAGCCCAAUAGUCGGGCAGGUUGUGAAUUGUCAGGAGGAGCUUGGGGUUGUCAGUAUUUGCAGGUUGUGAAUUGUGUUUUGUGUUGCGUAUUUUGAGAGUACUUUUAGAUAUAAAUGUCUUUUGAAUUUCAGAUUUGCAGUAUGAGCACAUGAAGUAUUUUAUGAAUUCUAGAGAUCUAUUUUUAGCACUUAAAAAUGUAGUUUCAUAGGAGUAUAAAAGUGCAGACAAUGUGAUUCUUAGAGAAGAAACUACAAGUUUCAGUUUCAGAUAAGAAACUACAAGUUCAGUUUCAGAUAAGAAACUGCAACUUUCAGAGGCAGAGCAUUUAUAUUAACACGUCCUUUUCAAACAGGGCUAACAUCAUGUUGGAAGUUUUAUUCAUGGUCGAAAAUGGAACUACCAGCCAGUUAACAUCAUGCUGAUCAACAUUCAUGCAUAGCACAUCUUCAUAUGAUGCACAGUCAAAAUGCCCACACAAUGUCGAGUGUGCGAAACACAGAGAAAACGAGGGACGAGAUUUAUGCAUUGAUAAACAUAAUUUUUUGAGGAAAACAAGUGCAUUAAUUAGGUGCUUUUGCAAACUACAAAAAGUAUUCCACCAUUCAUCAUCUACCUUGGUUGGUGAGAUUUUUGAAUUGAGCCAUAUAAAUCGAAAAGGAGGGAGUAAUUGGCAAAUAGAUGACCGCUCCCGCGAUCCCCUUCGCCCCCGCCACCACCUCCACCCUCGCCGCCACCCCCGCCACUACCUCCACCCUCGCCGCCGCCAUAGAUCUCGCCGCCACCCCCCGCCUCCUGACUCCGGGCGCGCCUGCCCCCCUCAGCAAGUCCGCUCGCGCGCCCCAUAUAGUCGUCGGCCAUAUCCACGGGGGAAUGGCUGGAAGACAGGCAGAUGUACAAGAUGCAUCUCCCACAUGUCUACAAAGCCUUCCCGUGGAUGCUCCAGCCGCUCGACUCCGUCGCGCCGGCGGUGUUGCGGGAGACUCGAGGGAGGAGAUGGAGGGAGCGGGCGAUGCGGAUCCGCGAUGACGCUCUCUCCUGGACCCAGUGCAUGCGCAAAUGGAGGGAAGCAGAGGAGGAAGCUGCGAGGGAGGAAGCCGAGGAGGGACCGAAUCUGUUCUCUCACUCGCGCAGGUAUGCUCGGAUGUGCAAGGACCAUGUGGAUUGAGAGCUGCUGAAUCUAGCCCUGCGGAUCUACUUCGAAGGAGAUUUCUCGGAGAAGCACAGGAUGCCCCACCCCAAUGAGCCACCGAUUGUGUUCUUUCGAUGGGCGAAAGGAGAAGUGAAUUCAGGAGAUCCACGCCGUGUUGCGAGAUGGGAAUGCUUGACUGGACUCCUGCCCACCAGCACGCCACCGGAGCCGGAGCAGGUGGAUCCCCUACCUUACCUCUCCCCCAAACCUGCAGAAGAUUGAAAUUAGGCUUGCAAUCUGCUUCAAUUGAGCUGUCUGGUGGUUAUUUCUGCUUCCUGAGAGACAACAUCUGGCUGGAGGAUGAGAAGGAACCAGAAACUCCGAUGAAUUUCCCCUAUCACAAUGGGGGGGGGAGCGCCGGUUGGGCAGUGGUACGGCCCACCUCCACCCCAAAUGGGGGCACAAUCUGGGAAGGCUCCUGUAAUUGCCCAAGAUCAAUCUGCUGGUGGUUCUGACUCUCAGAUCAGUGGGAAAUCUCAAGGCAAGAAUCAGCAAAAGAAGAGCUAGGACAUCCAGAAAACUGCUCUUGCCCCUGCUUCGGGCCUUAUGGCAUACUCUGAGGUGAUCUGCUACAACUGUGGGGAACCAGGGCAUCAUUUGGAUAAAUGUGUCAAGCCCAAGAGUUGUUUUAUCUGCAAAAUGGUUACCCAUAAAGUUGAGAAUUGCCCUGUCAGAAGGAAAACCCACAGUUCUGCUAGAUAUGUUGGAAGUGCUGCCCCAGGAUUAUGUCCACCAUUGACAGAAUUUUCUGUGACACAGAAUUAGAUAAUUUCUUUCCCCUUUCUAGUUGUAGAGCUCUACCCAGAUGUGGUAGUGACCACACUCCUUUGCUCUGGGACUCUGGUCUUAACCAAACUCCAAAGAGCAAUAGUUUUAAAUUUGAAAAGUGGUGGUUGCUUAGAGAAGAUUUUACUGAGCUAGUCAGGAAAAUCUGGAAUGAGCCUACUGGGAGCAGCUGCCCCCUAGAAAAUUGGCAAAUCAAAAUUAGGAGAUUUAGAAGAACUACCAAAGGGUGGAACUCCAAUGAGGAAGCUAAUCUUAGAAGAUACAAAAGGCUUCUCCUCCUUGAGUUUGAUUCUCUAGAUAUUAAGGCAGAAACCACUAACCUCUCUGAGGCUGAGACUAAUGGAUUAAACUUUGUCCAUGGAGAGCUCAAGAAAAUUUGGCUUCAAGAAGAAAUCAAAGCCAAACAAAGGUCUAGAGAUAGGAACAUUAAGGAGGGUGAUAGAAAUAUUGCUUACUUCCAUGCAGUAGCUAACCAGAGGAGGAGGAAAACCCUCAUUCACUCCCUUGAUGGCCCUAAUGGCCCUGUUACUGAGGUAGAUGAGAUGCUAAAAGUGGCUAGUGACUUCUACAAAGACCUGUUUAAGAACGAAAACCCUUAUGGGUUCUCUCUACAAAACAAUUUUUUCUCUGCUUCUGAAAAAGUCUCUCCUGCUGAAAAUGAGCUGCUAGAAGCCCCUUUUCCAGAGACAGAGGUGAAGGAAGCCAUUUUUAGCUCUUAUCCUUAUGGGGCUCCUGGUCCUGAUGGGAUUCCCUUCUUGUUUUACCAGCAUUUUGGGGACUUGGUGAAAAAUGAUCUCUUAGAUCUUUUCCAAGCCUUUCAUAGAGGAGAGUUGGAUCCAGCAACUUACUCAUGGGGGGUCUGUUGGGGUCAAGUUAAAUAACUGUGAAAGUGAUUUUUUCCUUGCUGGUAAAGGCCUUAGGCAAGGUGACCCCAUCUCCCCGCUUUUGUUUAAUUUAGUAGUGGACGUUCUUACUAAAAUGCUGAGCAAAGCUGCUGAUCAUAGUCUGAUUGCAGGGCUCUGUCCUGAGGUCUGCCCUGGUGGCAUCAUCUGCCUUCAAUAUGCAGAUGAUACCAUCCUUUUCUUAGACAAUGACUCCACACAUGCUACCAAUCUGAAAACUGUUCUAACCUGUUUUGAACAAGUCUCAGGCAUGAGAAUCAACUACUCUAAAAGUGAAUUCAUCCCUAUCAACAUGGAUGAUCAGGAGUUAGCUGACUUCCUCUCUAUUCUAGUCUGUAAUAAAGGUAACUUCCCCAUUAAGUACCUAGGUAUCCCUCUCCACUAUGAUAAACUGAGGAGAGAGGAUAUCCAACCCCUUCUGGAUAAAAUCAUCAAAAGGAUUGCUGGGUGGAGGGGCAAACUUAUCUCUUACAGAGGUAGAUUGAUCCUCAUACAAGCUUGUUUGGCUAGCAUUCCAGUGUAUCUCCUCUCCUUCUUCAAGUUCCCUAAAUGGGCAGUAAACCUCAUCAAUUCUCAGAUGUCUCAUUGCUUGUGGAAUGAUUUUGAGGGAAAUAGGAAGCUACACCUUGCUAAUUGGGCCCUAGUCUCUAUGAAAAAGAUUUUGGAGGCCUAGGCAUACCUAACCUCCAAGAAAUUAACAUCUGUCUUCUAGGGUCUUGGAUUAAACCUAAUAUACCUAAUAUUUCUAGGUAAUAAACCUAAUAUUUUUGUCCCUUCCUCCAACCCUAAGACCUCUAGAUUCUGGAAAGGAUUAAAAUCUAUUAUGCAUGCUGUGAAAUUUGGCUACAGAUGGAACAUAGGGGAUGGGAGCAGAACUAGGUUCUGGGAAGAUAAUUGGUUUGGCACAUCCCCCCCUAGCAGUCCAAUUUUGGCCUAUUUACUCUGUCUGCAAUGAGCUUAACAAAAGUGUCAAUGAAGUUUGGGAUGGUCAAUGCCUAAAACUCUCUUUUAGAAGGAACUUUAGUGAUAGUCUCAUGGAACAAUGGUUCCAGUUGGAGGAAAUUGCCAAAAGCAUUACCUUUACUGCCGAGCCGGAUGCCCUGAUUUGGCAGCUAGACAAUAAGGGGAAGUAUUCCUCCAGCUCCCUCUAUCAUAUUAUCAACUUUAGAGGGGUUUAACCCAUGUUUAUCCCUGCUGUCUGGAAAUUGAGAGUUCCCCCUAAAAUUCAUGUAUUUCUCUGGCUUCUCUCCAAAAACAAAUUGAUGACUAGGGAUAACCUUAGGAAGAGACACAUCAUCAAACCCCUUGAUUGUGUUUACUGCUUGGAACAAGAGUCUUGUUCUCACCUAUUUUUUGAAUGUAUAGUUGCUAAACAUCUCCGGGCCCACAUUGAGGAAUAUUUCUCUAGUCAGAUUGGCUCAUCCUUCGAAUCUGUCGCCAGAUUCUGGAUUGCUACCAAAAAGUGCUCAGUUUUAAACACUGUUAGCUCAGCUGUCCUUGGGUGCCCCUGGAAAUAUAGAAAUGCUAUGAUUUUCAGUAACACCUCCUGGAUUUCCAUUCCGCAGGUCUUGAGGUUGAUCAGGAACAUGGUGAGGAACUGGGUGAUUCUCUCCUCCGGAUCGGACAAGGACAAGUUGAUGAGCUUCGUGGAAACCCUAACAAGAUCCCUCCAGAAACUAUUGGCGAUCACUUGUGGCUGAACAAGGAUCGACCUGCUCUGGGGCUGGACUCGUGGGCUCAUCUCAAGAUCUCUGAUGAAGAUGAUGGGCACCUGGCGCUGAAAAAGAGGGACAUCCCCCAUGCUACGCCUUCCAGCCCGGUGUCUCCGCUUGCUUACUGGUCGCCGCAGGCUGACACGGCCCCUCGGCUGAAGACAAUGAAGGCUUCACUGGACCCUCCUUAUGUCAUUUGAGUGCUCUAUCCGCUCCGCCUUUGGCACCGCUCGGGUGAUUUGUGUUAUUUAGAGAACUUGUUCGUCCACCCCCCUAGUUUGUAGCUUUUCUACCUUUGUUUUCGAACUGCUCUUUGAGCUGCUGUACCAGAAUAUGUUGUGGUUUCGUUCUCAGCAAUGGAACCGGGGAGAUGUUCCCUGUUUUUCUUAAAAAAAAUAUUUUAUAUGUUAUUAUAUAUUAUUUUUAUUGUCAUCAUAUAUUUAACAGAUACUUACAUAUGUAAGAAAACAAUAUCCCACAUCUUAUUAACUUAUAAAAAUAAUUUCUUAACAAAUAAAAUCCUGGAUUGUUUUGGCACGAAAAUCCUAGUGAUUGUGUACAAAAGCUUGGUAAGAUUUAAGGACGAAUGUAAUAAUAUCACUUAUUAUUUAAAUAUAUUUAUAACAAAUGCUCAGCCCCUUUUUAUUUGUUGAUAACAUUGCUGGCCCAACCCAACAUUAUAAUUAGAAUCAGCCCAGCAAAAUCGUGUAUUUCGAGAAAGUGCAAAUGGCCUAUAAUUUUUUAGGAAAUAAAAUAAACGGGCUGCAUGGACGCUACAUUAUUUGUUCACCCAGCCCAGCUAAUGGCUGUAAUUCAAAGAAAAGAUCAAAUUGACUGUAAAUUCUACCGCGCAAAAAAAGACUGUAAAUUCUGAAAAAAUGGGUUGAAUACGUGCCAUAUUUCUGGAGGCUGAAAUGUGGGGCCAAUUGGUCGAAGCUAAUGCAAGUCGUUGUCAAUUUAGUCAACAAAUGAUUCUGACAUGUUAGCCGUUGGAUUUACAUCCAACGACCGGCAUCCAUCUUCAAUCUCUCGUCUUCUUCCUCCAGCGCCGCCGGGACCACCUCCCGCCUCCUGCUGCUAGCAGCUCUGCUUAGCAUGCUUCGCUACGAAGCGCUACUCCACCAUUGGCCAGGCCAUCCCUCCACCCCUCCACACCUCCUGUUCUUAUCCACCGACUGUUGAACCACACCGCACUAGAUCCAGUUAACCCUCGUACACCUCUCUGUCUGCGACUCUACUCCCGGGUCUUCCCAUCUCCGGCUCGUUGCUGUCCGAGGCCUCGCCGUCGUCCACCACCUUGGAUGCGCUCGGCACGGCGUGGUCAACGUGGUCAACGAACGACACCAUCGGAAGUAGACUGUGCGUGGAGAGGCUGACAGCUGGGUCCACGACCGCACACAAGGAAAUGCCUCCUUAUUACACGCAAAAUAAUGAUUCCUCCACCUGACAUCUGGGACCCACCGGAAGGGCCUCUGUAUUUCGCGAAAAUAACGUUCCCCCCGCUGACAUGUCGGACCCACCAGCUAUCUUCGCACGCAAGGAAGUGCCUCCUUAUUACGCACAAAAAAAUGAAUAUUCCCCCUGCCAGCUGGAACCCAGCAUAGUGGGAGGCUGACUUGUGGGCCUACCAAGUUGACGGGGACGGAGGGCUUUGUCAACUUAGUCAAUAUGAUCGAUUCUAGCUCAUGUUACCAUAUAAUGUUCAUCUAACGGCCGUAGUGCUUCUUCAACCUCUGGUCUUCUUGCUCCAGCCGCCUAAACCAGCGCCGGUCGUGCCGCGUGCUCCUGCCUCCCGUGGCCGGCUGUGAUGCCGCGGAGGCCUCACCGCCCCCUACUACUCCCACUGCUGGCCAGGCCAUCCCUCUACUCACCCACACCCCCUGUUAUUCUGCAGCGACAACAGCCUCACACUGCAGCCGAACCAGUGAACCCCCGUACUUCUCUUCGCGUGGGCAUCCACUUCUACGUCUUCCCCGGCUCCGAGUUGUCCCCUUCCUAGUCCUCGCAGUUGUCCACCGUCCUGGUGCUCUCGGCGCGGCGUGGUCAACGACCGACUUCCAUCGGAAGUGUACUGUACGUGGAGAGGCUGAUAGCUGGGUCCAGGCGGCUGCAAGGAAGUGCCUCCUUAUUACGCGCAAAAUAAUUAUUCCUCCACCUGACAGUAGGGACCCACCAGAUGGGCCACCUUAUUUCGUGAAAAAACGUUUCCCCCCUGACUGCUGGGACCCACCAGACGGGCCAGCGUAUUUCGCGAAAAAAAUGUUCCCCCCGCUGUCAGCUCGGACCCACCGGAAGUGCCCUCUUAUUACGCACAAAAAAAAUGAAUACUCCCCCUGCUAGCUGGGACCCACCAUGGUGGGAGGCUGACCUGUGGGCCUACUAAGUUGACUGGGACGGGGGCCUUUGUAAACUUUAGUCAAUAUGAACGAUUCUAGCUCGAGUGACUGUACGAUGUCCAUCCAACGGCCGUAGUGCUUCUUCAACCUCCGGUCUUCUUGCUCCAGCCUGUAACACCCCGGAUAUAACUUUCCCAAUUUGUACUCCAACUCUUGCCGUUUCCGACGUUAAGUUAUAUUUAUUUUCUCGGGUUCAGGUCUUUGUCUCUGUGUGUUGUUUUCGUUGUCAUGCAUCUCAUAUCAUGUCAUCAUGUGCAUUGCAUUUGCAUACGUGUUCAUCUCAUGCAUCCGAGCAUUUUCCCUGUUGUCCAUUUUACAUUCCGGCGCUUCGUUCUCCUCCGGUGGUCAAUUCUACCUUUCUUUCGUGUGUGGAGAUUAAACAUUUCCGGAUUGGACCGAGACUUGCCAAGCGGCCUUGGUUUACUAUCGGUAGACCGCCUGUCAAGUUUCGUAUCAUUUGGACUUCGUUUGAUACUCCAACGGUUAACCGAGGGACCGAAAAGGCCUCGUGUGUGUUGCAGCCCAACACCCCUCCAAUUUGGCCCAAAACCCACCAAACUCUGCUUCAUCAUCUAGAGCGUUCGAUCACCAUCGCGUGGCCGAAAACCACACCUCAUUUGGACUCUCCUAGCUCCCGCCACCUCUAUUUAAAGACCACUCCCCGAAAUUUUUGGGCAAACCCUAGAUCUCUCCCUCACCUCGCGCGCCGGACAAAAACUGUCGGGCCGGACGUGUCCGACCCGAGCGCGCCGCCACGUGUCGCUCCUCCAUUGGCCGCCGCCCUCGCGCCCACAUCACCGCGCCGCCACCCGCGGGGGCCCGCGAGGCCCAAGGCCGGCCCCCGCGGCCCACUCCGUCCGUCGCCUGCGCCCGAGGCGCCGCCUGCCGCGCUCGCGGCCCCGCUGCCCGCCGUGCGCUAGCCACCACCGCCUCCGCCGCCGGCGCCGCGCUCCGGCCGCGCCGCCCCAAGGCCGGCUCCGGCCACCCCGCUCCUCCUCGGCCGCCCCGGUCUUCUUCCUCUCCGGCGACGCUCCGUGAAGCUCCGGCCGUCUACAGUAAAUCUGGCCAUCCUCGUAAUCCGUGCCAGAUCCAGAUCUGAGAUUCGGGUUGACUUUUGCCUCAAAACCCUAGCUCAUGUUGCAUACUUUGACCUGUGAUAACUUUGCAUCCGUCGCUCCGAUUCACGCAUAUAGCAUAUCAAAUUGUUCGUCUCAGAGAGUACAUCAUUUCAUUCCAUUGCAUCAUUUUCAUUGAGCUCAUCUUGAUGCCCGAAAUGCUGCUAGAAGAGGGCUACUUGAGUUAAUUGUCAGAUCUGCUACUUCAUCUUAGACUUUUGUCAUUUUUGCCAUGAUUAUUGUGUGCAUGAUAUGCCCAUGAGUUCUACAUAUGUUUUGUUAAGGGUUUUGUCAUCUUUCCAGAGGUGCAACCCAUGUAUUUUUGUGAUGUGUGUGGUGACUAGUGCAAGAUUGCAAAGUGAGGCACCCGGUAACUCUGUUUUCAGGGACUUAGUAUUUUCACUAAGUCCUGGGAUUGUUUAGUCCAUGAUGCGAUAUGUUCGUGUUGUUUCCUAGUGAUCCGUGCCUCUUUUGAGGAUGAUCAGUAAAGGAGUUUUGUUAAUAUUGUAGUGCUCUAUCCAUCCAUGUCUUUGUUUGCAAUUAUGGAGCACCCUAGCUUGAGUCAAUCGAGCUGUACUUUUGCUUCGUUGUGAAUCUGGGCAGAUUGUCAACUCGUUUGCAAUUUUGCCGGUGAUGUUGUAGUUGAUCCGUGCAUGCUAUGCUAUUGUUCUUGCCAUGUCUAGCUUGCAUUUUGUGCCUUCUUCAUGGAUGUAUGCUUGCCUUGCCACGACUUGCACCUAGUGAGUGCAUCGAGCCUGUUAACAUGCCUUCGUGAGUUAUGUUUCAGCAUGUCCCAGUUUUCACUAAGUCUGAAAACUGAUUAUGUUUUUGCUAUGUUUGUGUGCUUGUUAGUAUAUUUUGUGAUCCCUUUUGGCUCAAGGUCACUAAGGGACUUUUGUUAAGCUUGUUGAGUAGCUCCAUGCCAUGUUAUUCUUUGUCAUAAUCAGGUCAUGUAGCAUGUUGUUUUGUUGCUCCGAAGAGGGCUAUAUGAUCUGAAAUUUCAGACAAGUGUUAAUUUCACCAAGUCUGAGAUCUGUUUACCAUUUGCGUUGUUCCCAUGCUUGUUUGAACCUGUUAAUGGAUGAAUUGGCCGUAGCUCAAUGCUAGACUUUUGUUAAGCAUCUUGAAUGCUUCCCUGCCAUGUAUUUUGAUGCCAUGCUUGAGUGCUGUAGCAUGUUCAUUUCGUUGCAUUUAGAGGCCUACUUGCUGUAAAUCGCAGACCGGUGCUAAUUUUGAAUCGCUUGCCAUUUCCAAACCGUAACUCCGAUUCCGGUGAUCUUUAUAUCAUUUUCAAGCGAUUUCAUCUCAUCUUUCCAGUGGCACACUUGGUUUUCCAAGUUGAGGCCAGGUUCAUGCAUAUCCUGUCAUAUCUUGCAUUUUGCAUCCCGCAUCGCAUCCCGCAUAGCAUUUCAUCAUUGCAUCAUAUUGAUUGUUCCUUGCACGUGGUUGAUUGUAUCCUUGUUGCUUGUUUGUCUUGUUUGGGUAGAGCCGGGAGACGAGUUCUCUAACGAGGAGCCCGUUGAGUUUGCUUUUGAGGAUCCAGUCACCUCUGACAACUUUGCAGGCAAGAUGAUCAUACCCUCGUAAUCACUACUAUCUUUGCUAUGCUAGUUUGCUCGCUCUUUUGCUAUGCCAAUGCUACGAUGCCUACCAUUUGCUUGUCAGCCUCCCAAUUGCCAUGUCAAACCUCUAACCCACCAUUGUCCUAGCAAACCGUUGAUUGGCUAUGUUACCGCUUUGCUCAGCCCCUCUUAUAGCAUUGCUAGUUGCAGGUGAAGAUUGGAGCCGUUCCUUGUUGGAACAUUUAUUUACUUGUUGGGAUAUCAUUAUGUUGCUAUGUUAUCUUAAUGCAUCUAUAUACUUGGUAAAGGGUGGAAGGCUCGGCCUCUCGCCUAGUGUUUUGUUCCACUCUUGCCGCCCUAGUUUCCGUCAUAUCGGUGUUAUGUUCCCGGAUUUUGCGUUCCUUAUGCGGUUGGGUUAUAAUGGGAAACCCUUGACAGUCCGCCUUGAAUAAAACUCCUCCAGCAAUGCCCAACCUUGGUUUUACCAUUUUCCACCUAGCCCCUUUUCCCUUGGGUUUCGCGGACUCAAGGGUCAUCUUAUUUUAAACCCCCCGGGCCAGUGCUCCUCUGAGUGUUGGUCCAACCUAGAGCACCGUGCGGGGCCGUCCCUUGGCAACUUGGGUUACGUUGGCUCCCGUACGCUUAGCUUAUCCGGUGUGCCCUGAGAACGAGAUAUGUGCAGCUCCUAUCGGGAUUUGUCGGCACAGCGGGUGGUGUUGCUGGACUUGUUUUACCAUUGUCGGAGUUGUCCUGAAGAACCGAGAUACCGAGUCUGAUCGGAACGUCUUGGGAGGACGUCUAUUCCUUCGUUGACCGUGAGAGCUUGUCAUGGGCUAAGUUGGGACUCCCCUGCAGGGAUUGAACUUUUGAAAGCCGUGCCCACGGUUAUGGGCAGAUGGGAAUUUGUUAAUGUCCGGUUGUAGAUAACUUGAACCUUAAUUUAAAUAAAUGAAUCAAUCGUGUGUGUUACCGUGAUGGCCUCUUCUCGGCGGAGUCCGGGAAGUGGACACGGUGUUGGAGUAAUGUUUGCGCAGGUUGCCCUAGUUUUCUCGCUCGCGCCUUGCCUCCUCUUCUCGCUCUCUUUUGCGAAUAAGAUAGCCACCAUAUAUGCUAGUCGCUUGCUGCAGCUCCACAUAUAUUCACAUUACCCUUCCUAUAAGCUUAAAUAGUCUUGAUCGCGAGGGUGCGAGAUUGCUGAGUCCCUGUGGCUCACAGAUUAUUAUUACACCAGAUGCAGGUCCAGGUGAUUCUGCUCCAGGUGACGUGUACGAGCUCAAGUGGGAGUUCGACGAGGACUCUCAGCGUUACUAUGUUUCUUUUCCUGAUGAUCAGUAGUGGUGCCCAGUUGGGGGUGAUUGGGACCGUGUCGCAUGUUGGGUUUUCUUCUAUUUUGGCGCCGUAGUUGGGCCAUGAGUGUUUGGAUGAUGUAUGUUAUUUAUGUACUUUGAUUGACGUGGUGAGUGUAAGCCAACUAUGUAUCUCCCCUUUUAUUAUCUAUAUUACAUGGGAUGUUGUGAUGAUUGCCUAACUUGCGACAUUGCUUUCAAUGCGGUUAUGCCUCUAAGUCGGGCCUCGACACGUGGGAGCUAUAGCCGCAUCGAGGGCGUUACAAGUUGGUAAUCAGAGCCUUCCCCGACCUUAGGAGCCCCAUUGCUUGAUCGUUUUUAGCAGACGAGUUGUGUCUAGAAAAAUGUUUUGAGUCAUUUAGGAAUUAUAUAUCGGAGAGUUUAGGAAUUCUUUUUACUUCCCAGUCUCCUCAUCGCUCUGGUAAGGCAUCAUGACGUAGAGUUUUGACUCUUCUCUUCUCAAAUUUCACUAAAAAAAAUUUUAGGAUCACGCGGGUAUCUUGGAAUCGUUCCGAUGGUUUUAUGAUGAGAACAUUGUCUUGGUACCUCCUGUCAGGGGUUUAGUGGAAGUGUCCUGGGGAGUUGAGCUCUGAGGUGUUGUCAUCAUAAUUUUAUCGUUGCAAUUCUGGAAUACUUGAGUUUAGUACGCCGACAUCAAAAAUCUCUUUUAUGCAGUUCGUUGGUGAGAUAACCUCGACGCCACCCAGUACUGGGGCGGGAGUUCGGGAGUAUCGCCAUAACUUGUAUAACGGAUGCUUUUCGAAGGUUGAGGUAGAUGGUUUCCGAAGGUUUCUUGGUUAUGUGUUGAAGGAUGGAUACAGCUGGAUGUAGGAUUUGCUAGUUUGGGUGAGAUAUUAUGCUUCCCCUGUAUCCCCAACACCUGAUUGCAUAACCGGAAAGUUUCGGGAAUUUCAUAGGUGGGAAUUCUUGUAGCUCUAGUUCUUCUUCCACGGAUAUUGGUUUGAGAUUGGGUUUUCUUACCAAUUAUUCGUUCUUGAGCCGUACCUUGUUGAUUUAGUUCUCUACCUCUAAUUCUACGUGGCUUCGCAAUUUAUGGAUAUGUGACCAUUUCAAGAGGAAUGCAUUCGUUCAUUUUGUUUGGAUGUGAAGACUUUAUGUUGUAAUUUUCAUUCCGUUGGUUCAGCUUCAUUUAUCUGUCUAUGUGCUAACGGUGGUCAACCUCUUUAGGAUGGCUCCCGCUAAGAGCACCAGUCAGAAUCAAAAUCAAGAUCCGCCACCACCUCCACCUCCUCCGGAGGCAUGGCAAGCUGUGAUGGCCGCAACCAAUGCAAACACACAGUUGAUCAUGCAAAUCCUCCAAGAGCGCAAUCAAGGCAGUCAAGGGAAUCAAGGCAGCAAUCAGAAUCAUUUUGCUACACUGAACCAGUUCCUUGCUAAUGGGCCAAAGACGUUCAGCAAUUGUGUUGAAGCAACCGAUGCUGACGAUUGGCUUGUGGAUCUGUGUAAGCAUUUUGAGUGCAGCAACGUCAAGCCUGAAGAUUUCGUCAAGUUCGCUUCCUUCCAACUCAAAGAUCAAGCUGCAGAAUGGUUCCAGCAGUACAAGGAUUCCAGAGGUGGACGUCUGAUCACUUGGGAUGAUUUCCGUCAAGAUUUCCGAGCUCAUCACAUCCCUCAAAGUGUGGUUGAAAGUAAGCGUCAGGAAUUCCGCAACUUGAAGCAAGGCUCUUUGUCUGUCUAUGACUACAACAAGUUGUUCCAGAAGCUCGCCCGCUUUGCCAAGCAGGACGUACCUGAUGAGAAGAGCAUGAUAUACCAGUUCAGGGGUGGUCUCAGAGAAGAAAUUCAGCUCGCUCUUGUCCUCUUUGAGCCGUUGAGAUACGAUGAGUUCUACAACAUGGCACUGAAGCAAGAGGCUGCUCAGUUGAGGUGUGAUGCUUCCAAGAAGCGAGUCAGAGAUGCUACUCCUUCUUCCUCUACUCAAGUGGACAAGCAGCAGAAGUAUUGGCUUCCCCCUCCCCCGUUCCGUCAGCCGUAUCAGCAGAAGAGCAAAGGUGGCAGUGGUUCUUCCCACCCACCCAACCCUGGCUUUCAGAACAAGUCUUCGUCUCUACCUCCAAGAUCGAGUGCUCCGUAUCACCGUCCGCUUUCAGAGGUCACGUGCAACAAGCGCCAAGAAAAGGGUCACUAUGCCAACAAGUGUUUCAACCAGAGGCGUCUUCCUCCUCCUCCUCCUGUGAGAUCGGCAAGUACAGCUGUUGUCAAGCAUAACCCCAAGCAUGCCAAGGUCAACUUGAUGAACGCAGCUCAGGCAGAGGAUUCGUCAGAUGUCAUCAUGGGUAACUUUCCAGUUAACUCUUUUCCCGGAAGAGUUCUUUUUGACACUGGUGCAUCACAUUGUUUCAUGUCAAGAUCAUUUGUUUCCAAGCAUGACUUCGUUUCACAAAUGUUGGGUAAACCUAUGGGAGUGGUUUCUCCGGCUAAGUCUAUGAGGGCUACUUCAAUAGUCCCGGAUAUUUCUAUCAUGAUGGGUGAUUUCAAGUUUCUGGCUUCUCCAAUGGUUCUUGGUAACUCGGAUAUUGAUCUUAUUCUCGGAAUGGACUGGCUUUCUAAGCACAAGGCUCAGCUUGAUUGUGCAGCCAGGCAGAUUCAAUUGACGCAUUCGUCUGAGGAUGUAAUUGUCUUUGCCGCGAAUGAUGAUACCAUCCGUCUGUUUUCCCUCAAUGAGAAGGGUGAACUGGAUGCUAUCUCGCAAAUUCCAGUCGUUUGCGAAUAUCAAGACAUCUUUCCAGAAGAGCUCCUAGGAAUGCCUCUGCACCGGCCAGUUGAAUUCGUUAUUGAUCUUGAGCCCGGCACGGAACCUGUGUGCAAACGUCCUUACAAGCUCGGAUCUGAAGAGUUGAAGGAGCUGAAGAAGCAACUCGAUGAGCAAGAGAGAAUGGGUCUCAUCCGGCCUAGUUCUUCUCCGUGGGGUUGUGGUGUUCUUUUUGCGAAGAAGAAGGAUGGAACGGACCGACUUUGUGUUGAUUACCGUCCUUUGAACAAGAAGACCAUCAAGAACAAAUACCCACUUCCCAACAUCAAUGAGCUGUUCGAACAACUCAAAGGUGCUCAAGUAUUCUCCAAGCUUGAUCUCCGUAUGGGUUAUCAUCAGAUUCGUAUCCGUGAACAAGAUAUUCCCAAGACGGCUUUCAGGACAAGCUUUGGUUCAUACGAAUACACUGUCAUGUAUUUUGGCCUCGUCAACGCUCCUCCGACGUUCUCCCGCAUGAUGAACUUCAUCUUCAACGCCUACACCAAUGACUUCGUUUUGGUCUAUCUCGACGACAUUCUGGUUUUCUCCAAGAACAAGGAAGAUCAUGCCAAGCACUUGCGUUUGGUUCUCGAUAAGCUCAGGGAACAUCAAUUCUACGCCAAGUUCUCCAAGUGUGAAUUUUGGCUCGAUGAGGUUCUUUAUCUUGGUCAUAUCAUCUAUGCCAAGGGCAUUGCCAUGAAUCCUGAGAAGGUGUCUGCAAUUGUGAAUUGGGAACCUCCUCAGAAUGUGAAGCAACUCCGCAGUUUCCUCGGUCUCGCAAGCUAUUGCCGAAGAUUCGUUGAAAAAUUUUCUAAGAUUGCGAAGCCUCUCUCAAAUCUUCUUCAGAAUCACGUCAAGUACGUUUGGUCUCCGGAGUCUGAUAUUGCUUUCAACACUUUGAAAGAGAAGUUGAUCACUGCUCCAGUUCUGACUCCGCCUGAUGAAUCCAAACCGUACGAGGUCUUCUGUGAUGCCUCUCUCCAAGGUCUUGGCGCAGUGUUGACGCAAGAGAAGAAAGUUGUUGCUUAUACCUCUCGCCAGUUGAAGCCUAAUGAGAAGAACUACCCCACUCAUGAUCUCGAGUUGGCGGCAGUUUGUGCAUGCUCUGUUGACUUGGAGACAUCUUCUAUUGGGAAGAAAAGUGGACAUUUUCACUGAUCACAAGAGUCUCAAGUACAUCUUUACUCAGCCUAAUCUCAAACUCAGGCAAACUCGAUGGGUAGAAAUGAUUCAAGAGUAUAAUCCGAGUAUUGAGUAUACUCCAGGCAAGGCCAAUGUGAUUGCUGACGCAUUGAGCAGAAAAGCGUAUUGCAACAGUCUGAUUCUUAAGCCUUAUCAACCCGAGCUUUGUGAAGCUUUCCGCAAGCUAAAUCUGCAAGUUGUUCCUCAAGGUUUCCUCGCCAACCUUCAAGUCUCUCCUACCUUGGAAGACCAGAUUCGCCAAGCCCAGCUUCUUGAUGCGAUGGUGAAAAAGGUGAAGAUUGGGAUUGCCAAGAGUCAACCCAAGUACAAGUGCUACCGCCUUGAUGACAAGGACACUCUCUUCUUCGAGGAUCGAAUUGUUGUACCCAAAGGUGAACUUCGUAAAGUGAUCAUGAACGAGGCUCACAAUUCUCUCCUCUCCAUCCACCCUGGGAGUACGAAGAUGUAUCAGGACCUCAAGCAAGCUUAUUGGUGGACUCGAAUGAAGCGCCGGAUCGCUCAAAUCGUGAAUGAAUGUGAUGUCUGCAGAAGAGUGAAGGCAAAACACCAAAGGCCAGCUGGUCUCCUCCAACCUCUUGCCAUUCCAGAAUGGAAGUUUGACCACAUUGAAAUGGACUUCGUGACUGAGUUUCCAAAGUACAAGCGUGGAAAUGAUGCUAUAUUCGUUGUCAUCGACAAACUCACCAAAGUGGCUCACUUUCUGCCUAUCAAAGAGUCGAUCACUGCAGCUCAAUUGGCGGAACUCUAUACCUCUCGAAUUGUCUCUCUGCACGGUAUCCCUCAAGUGAUAUCUUCAGACCGUGGCAGCAUCUUUACCUCCAAGUUUUGGGAUUCUUUUCAGAAGGCCAUGGGCACCAACAUCCGCUUCAGCACAGCUUUCCAUCCUCAAACAAGCGGUCAAGUUGAGCGUGUCAACCAGAUUCUUGAAGAUAUGCUCAGGGCUUGUGUGAUCUCCUUCGGCAUGAAGUGGGAGGAUUGUCUUCCUUAUGCUGAAUUCUCCUACAACAACAGUUUUCAAGCAAGUUUGGGCAAGGCCCCAUUUGAAAUUUUGUAUGGCAGGAAGUGUCGUACCCCUCUCAACUGGUCUGAAACCGGCGAACGUCAGCUGCUGGGUAAUGACUUAAUCACAGAGGCAGAAGAAAUGUGCAAAGUCAUUCAUGAUAACCUCAAAGCAGCCCAAUCCCGCCAGAAGAGCUACUAUGAUAGUAAGCACCGUGAUUUGGCUUUCGAGAUCGGAGAUCAUGUUUACCUCCGCGUCUCUCCUAUGAAAGGGACUCGUCGCUUCGGUAUAAAAGGGAAGCUUGCCCCCAGAUACGUCAGACCUUUCAAGAUUGUCAGCAAGAGAGGCGACCUCGCCUAUCAACUCGAGCUUCCUUCAAACUUUGCAAAUGUUCAUGAUGUGUUCCAUGUCUCUCAGCUUCGAAAGUGCUUCAAGACCCCUGACCGCAUAGUCAACUUCAAGGACAUUGAGCUCCAAGAAGAUCUCUCUUAUCGUGAGCACCCAGUUGCUAUUCUCGAAGAGACUGAACGCAAGACUCGCAACAAGUCAAUCAAAUUUCUCAAAGUCAAAUGGUCGCACCAUUCCGACCGUGAAGCUACCUGGGAACGCGAGGAUCACCUCCGUUCUGAGUAUCCGGUGUUCUUUUAGUCCUGGAUCUCGGGACGACAUCCUUUCGUAGUGGUGGAGUGUUGUAACACCCCGGAUAUAACUUUCCCAAUUUGUACUCCAACUCUUGCCGUUUUCGGCGUUAAGUUAUAUUUAUUUUCUCGGGUUCGGGUCUUUGUCUCCGUGUGUUGUUUUCGUUGUCAUGCAUCUCAUAUCAUGUCAUCAUGUGCAUUGCAUUUGCAUACGUGUUCAUCUCAUGCAUCCGAGCAUUUUCCCCGUUGUCCAUUUUGCAUUCCGGCGCUUCGUUCUCCUCCGGUGGUCAAUUCUACCUUUCUUUCAUGUGUGGGGAUUAAACAUUUCCGGAUUGGACCGAGGCUUGCCAAGAUGCCUUGGUUUACUACCGGUAGACCGCCUGUCAAGUUUCGUAUCAUUUGGACUUCGUUUGAUACUCCAACGGUUAACCGAGGGACCGAAAAGGCCUCGUGUGUGUUGCAGACCAACACCCCUCCAAUUUGGCCCAAAACCCACCAAACUCUGCUCCAUCAUCUAGAGCGUUCGAUCACGAUCGCGUGGCCGAAAACUGCACCUCAUUUGGACUCUCCUAGCUCCCUCCACCUUUAUUUAAAGACCACUCCCCGAAAUUUUCGGGCAAACCCUAGAUCUCUCCGUCACCUCGCGCGCCGGACAAAAACUGCCGGGCCGGACGUGUCCGACCCGAGCGCCGCCGCCACAUGUCGCUCCUCCAUUGGCCGCCGCCCUCGUGGCCACAUCACCGCGCCGCCAACCGCNNNNNNNNNNNNNNNNNNNNNNNNNNNNNNNNNNNNNNNNNNNNNNNNNNNNNNNNNNNNNNNNNNNNNNNNNNNNNNNNNNNNNNNNNNNNNNNNNNNNNNNNNNNNNNNNNNNNNNNNNNNNNNNNNNNNNNNNNNNNNNNNNNNNNNNNNNNNNNNNNNNNNNNNNNNNNNNNNNNNNNNNNNNNNNNNNNNNNNNNNNNNNNNNNNNNNNNNNNNNNNNNNNNNNNNNNNNNNNNNNNNNNNNNNNNNNNNNNNNNNNNNNNNNNNNNNNNNNNNNNNNNNNNNNNNNNNNNNNNNNNNNNNNNNNNNNNNNNNNNNNNNNNNNNNNNNNNNNNNNNNNNNNNNNNNNNNNNNNNNNNNNNNNNNNNNNNNNNNNNNNNNNNNNNNNNNNNNNNNNNNNNNNNNNNNNNNNNNNNNNNNNNNNNNNNNNNNNNNNNNNNNNNNNNNNNNNNNNNNNNNNNNNNNNNNNNNNNNNNNNNNNNNNNNNNNNNNNNNNNNNNNNNNNNNNNNNNNNNNNNNNNNNNNNNNNNNNNNNNNNNNNNNNCCGGCCGCGCCGCCCCAAGGCCGGCUCCGGCCACCCCGCUCCUCCUCGGCCGCCCCCAUCUUCGUCCUCUCCGGCGACGCUCCGUGAAGCUCCGGCCAUCUACAGUAAAUCCGGCCAUCCUCGUAAUCCGUGCCAGAUCCAGAUCUGAGAUUCGGGUUGACUUUUGCCUCAAAACCCUAGCUCAUGUUGCAUACUUUGACCUGUGAUAACUUUGCAUCCGUAGCUCCGAUUCACGCAUAUAGCAUAUCAAAUUGUUCGCCUCAGAGAGUACAUCAUUUCAUUCCAUUGCAUCAUUUUCAUUUGAGCUCAUAUUGAUGACCGAAAUGCUGCUAGAAGAGGGUUACUUGAGUUAAUUAUCAGAUCUGCUACUUCAUCUUAGACUUUUGUCAUUUUUGCCAUGAUUAUUGUGUGCAUGAUAUGCCCAUGAGUUCUACAUAUGUUUUGUUAAGGGUUUUGUCAUCUUUCUAGAGGUGCAACCCAUGUAUUUUUGUGAUGUGUGUGGUGACUAGUGCAAGCUUGCAAAGUGAGGCACCCGGUAACUCUGUUUUCAGGGACUUAGUAUUUUCACUAAGUCCUGGGAUUGUUUAGUCCAUGAUGCCAUAUGUUUGUGUUGUUUCCUAGUGAUCCGUGCCUAUUUUGAGGAUGAUCAGUAAAGGCGUUUUGUUAAUAUUGUAGUGCUCUAUCCAUCCAUGUCUUUGUUUGCAAUUAUGGAGCACCCUAGCUUGAGUCAAUCGAGCUCUAUAUUUGCUUCGUUGUGAAUCUGGGCAGAUUGUCAACUCGUUUGCAAUUUUGCCGGUGAUGUUGUAGUUGAUCCGUGCAAGCUAUGCUAUUGUUCUUGCCAUGUCUAGCUUGCAUUUUGUGCCUUCUUCAAGGAUGUAUGCUUGACUUGCCAUGACUUGCACCGUAGUGAGUGAAUCGAGCUCAUUAACAUGCCUUCGUGAGUUAUGUUUCAGCAUGUCCCAGUUUUCACUAAGUCUGAAAACUGAUUAUGUUUUUGCUAUGUUUGUGUGCUUGUUAGUAUAUUUUGUGAUCCCUUUUGGCUCAAGGUCACUAAGGUACUUUUGUUAAGCUUGUUGAGUAGCUCCAUGCCAUGUUAUUCUUUGUCAUAAUCAGGUCCUGUAGCAUGUUGUUUUGUUGCUCCGAAGAGGGCUAUAUGAUCUGAAAUUUCAGACAAGUGUUAAUUUCACCAAGUCUGAGAUCUGUUUACCAUUUGCGUUUUUUCCAUGCUUGUUUGAACCUGUUAAUGGAUGAAUUGGCCGUAGAUCAGUGCUAAACUUUUGUUAAGCAUCUUGAAUGCUUCCCUACCAUGUAUUUUGAUGCCAUGUUUGAGUGCUGUAGCAUGUUCAUUUCGUUGCAUUUAGAGGCCUACUUGCUGUAAAUCGCAGACCGGUGCCAAUUUUGAAUCGCUUGCCAUUUCCAAACCGUAACUCCGAUUCCGGUGAUCUUUAUAUCGUUUUCAAGCGAUUUCAUCUCAUCUUUCCAGUGGCACACUUGGUUUUCCAAGUUGAGGCCAGGUUCAUGCAUAUCCUGUCAUAUCUUGCAUUUUGCAUCCCGCAUCGCAUCCCGCAUAGCAUUUCAUCAUUGCAUCAUAUUGAUUGUUCCUUGCACGUGGUUGAUUGUAUCCUUGUUUCUUGUUUGUCUUGUUUGGGUAGAGCCGGGAGACGAGUUCGCUAACGAGGAGCCCGUUGAGUUUGCUUUUGAGGAUCCAGUCACCUCUGACAACUUUGCAGGCAAGAUGAUCAUACCCUCGAAAUCACUACUAUCUUUGCUAUGCUAGUUUGCUUGCUCUUUUGCUAUGCCAAUGCUAUGAUGCCUACCAUUUGCUUGUCAGCCUCCCAAUUGCCAUGUCAAACCUCUAACCCACCAUUGUCCUAGCAAACCGUUGAUUGGCUAUGUUACCGCUUUGCUCAGCCCCUCUUAUAGCGUUGCUAGUUGCAGGUGAAGAUUGGAGCCAUUCCUUGUUGGAACAUUUAUUUACUUGUUGGGAUAUCAUUAUGUUGCUAUGUUAUCUUAAUGCAUCUACAUACUUGGUAAAGGGUGGAAGGCUCGGCCUCUCGCCUAGUGUUUUGUUCCACUCUUGCCGCCCUAGUUUCCGUCAUAUCGGUGUUAUGUUCCCGGAUUUUGCGUUCCUUACGCGGUUGGGUUAUAAUGGGAACCCCUUGACAGUCCGCCUUGAAUAAAACUCCUCCAGCAAUGCCCAACCUUGGUUUUACCAUUUGCCACCUAACCCCUUUUCCCUUGGGUUUCGCGGACUCAAGGGUCAUCUUAUUUUAAACCCCCCAGGCAAGUGCUCCUCUGAGUGUUGGUCCAACCUAGAGCACUGUGCGGGGCCGUCCCUUGGCAACUUUGGUUACGUUGGCUCCCGUACGCUUAGCUUAUCCGGUGUACCCUGAGAACGAGAUAUGUGCAGGUCCUAUUGAGAUUUGUCGGCACAGCGGGUGGUGUUGCUGGACUUGUUUUACCAUUGUCGGAGUUGUCCUGAAGAACCGAGAUACCGAGUCUGAUCGGAAUGUCUUGGGAGGAGGUCUAUUCCUUCGUUGACCGUGAGAGCUUGUCAUGGGCUAAGUUGGGACUCCCCUGCAGGGAUUGAACUUUCGAAGGUCGUGCCCGCGGUUAUGGGCAGAUGGGAAUUUGUUAAUGUCCGGUUGUAGAUAACUUGAACCUUAAUUUAAAUAAAUGAAUCAAUCUGUGUGUUACCAUGAUGACCUCUUCUCGGCGGAGUCCGGGAAGUGGACACGGUGUUGGAGUAAUGUUUGCGUAGGUUGCCCUAGUUUUCUCGCUCGCGCCUUGCCUCCUCUUCUCGCUCUCUUUUGCGAAUAAGAUAGCCACCAUAUAUGCUAGUCGCUUGCUGCAGCUCCACAUAUAUUCACCUUACCCUUCUUAUAAGCUUAAAUAGUCUUGAUCACGAGUGUGCGAGAUUGCUGAGUCCCUGUGGCUUACUGAUUAUUAUUACACCAGAUGCAGGUCCAGGUGAUUCCGCUCUAGGUGACGCGUACGAGCUCAAGUGGGAGUUCGAUGAGGACUCUCAGCGUUACUAUGUCUCUUUUCCUGAUGAUCAGUAGUGGUGCCCAGUUGGGGGUGAUUGGGACCGUGUCGCAUGUUAGGUUUUCUUCUAUUUUGGCGCCGUAGUCGGGCCAUGAGUGUUUGGAUGAUGUAUGUUAUUUAUUUACUUUGAUUGACGUGGCGAGUGUAAGCCAACUAUGUAUCUCCCCUUUUAUUAUCUAUAUUACAUGGGAUGUUGUGAUGAUUGCCUAACUUGCGACAUUGCUUUCAACGCGGUUAUGCCUCUAAGUCGUGCCUCAACACGUGGGAGCUAUAGCCGCAUCGAGGGCGUUACACAGCCGCCAAAAGCAGCGCCAGUCGUGCCGCAUGCGCCCGCCUCCCGUGGCUGGCUGUGCUGCCGCGGAGGCCUCACCGCCCCCUACUAUUCCUACCGCUGGCCAGGCCCUGCGGCGACGGCAGCCUCACACCGCAGCCGAACCAGUGAACCCUCGUACUCCUCUCCGCGCGGGCUUCCACUGCCGCGUCUUCCCCGGCUCCCCGUCGUCCCUUCCUAGGCCUCGCCGUCGUCCACCGCCCUGGUGCUCUCGGUGCGGCGUGGUCAACGUGGUCAUGGAACGACUUCCAUCGGACGUGGACUGUACGUGGAGAUACUGACAGCUGGGUCCACGGUCGCAGCAAGGAAGUGCCUCCUUAUUCCGCGGAAAAUAAUGAUUCCUCCACCUGACAGCUGGGACCCACCGGACGGGCCACUGUAUUUCACGAAAAAAUGUUUCCCCCUGACUGUUGGGACCCACCAGCUACAUCUUCGCACACAAGGAAGUUCCUGACAGUCGGGACCCACCUGGUCGAAGCGUACGUAGCGUUGUCAUUCUGGUCGCGAACGUGUACGUACAUAUAUACUGGUCGAUGUAGAGGUGCGCACAUGUCUUAGUAGAGGCGCGCACGUAGCAUGUACACGUACGUACAGCGGCCAGGGUGCAAGAAAGAAAAUACGGCCACGUAUGUGUACAUACGGGCGGGGUCUCGAACGCCUACUCGUGCAUACGUACAGUCAGGGCUUGUGUACAUGGCUGGGUCGGAAUGGAGAAACAGCGUCGUCGUCGUGUUCAUGGGGAGGCAACAGAAUGCGUCGUGUUCAUCGGGAGGCAACGGAACGCGUGGGAGCCAACCGGCUGGGUCGGAACAGAAUGCGUGGUCGUGUUCAUCGGGAGGGCUUGGACGGAACAGGCGAUGGAAACGAGGCCUGGCGUACCGCAGAACAGAGGAAACAACCUUGUGUUCGACCGGCCACGUUCGAAACGGGAUCCUGUUUAUCGGGAGGGGUCUGGCGUACCACAAAAUGGAGGAAACGGACCUCCUACGGUCGAAACGGGGGUCCUGUUGAUCGGGAGGGGUGUGGCAUACCACAAAACGGAGGAAACAGACUUGUGUUGGAGCGCUAUGGUCGAAACGGGGUCCUGUUCAUCGGGAGGGGUGUGGCGUACCGCAAAACGGGACUCCACGGGAUACUGUUCAUCUCCACCGUCGACCCCCUCCAGCCUCCACGGGCUACUGUUCAUCCACCGUCGACCUCCUCCAGCCUCCACCUGCGACUGUUCAUCCACGAGCUCCUAUUCAUCCAGCCUCCACCGCACGCUACUCCACCGGCUACUGUUCAACUAGCCCUCUCCACGGGCUCCUAUUCAACCACCCCUCCACAGGCUACUGUUCAUCCUGCCCUCCACGGGGUGGUCCUGUUCUCCAGCCCUCCACGGGGUCCUGUUCAUCCAGCCCCAACCGACUCGAUCGAUCGGGGUACUGUUCAUCUAGAGGCAACACCGCGGGGUCCUGUUCAUCCACCCCCACCGGGAACUGUUCAUCUGNNNNNNNNNNNNNNNNNNNNNNNNNNNNNNNNNNNNNNNNNNNNNNNNNNNNNNNNNNNNNNNNNNNNNNNNNNNNNNNNNNNNNNNNNNNNNNNNNNNNNNNNNNNNNNNNNNNNNNNNNNNNNNNNNNNNNNNNNNNNNNNNNNNNNNNNNNNNNNNNNNNNNNNNNNNNNNNNNNNNNNNNNNNNNNNNNNNNNNNNNNNNNNNNNNNNNNNNNNNNNNNNNNNNNNNNNNNNNNNNNNNNNNNNNNNNNNNNNNNNNNNNNNNNNNNNNNNNNNNNNNNNNNNNNNNNNNNNNNNNNNNNNNNNNNNNNNNNUUCAUCCAGAGGCAGCAUCGAUCGGCUUCAGUUAGCAGCAGUAGCGAAGGAAUCGCUCGAUCAGGUUCAGUUAAUAGCCAUCGAUCGAUCGCUCGCUCGGGUUCAGUAAUGCAUAGCCUACAGUGCAAUCGCUCGGGUUCAGUUAGAGCCCAACUCCUCGCUUGGCUUCAGUUAGAGCCCAACGCCUCGCACACACGCACGUAUGUACGAGAGAAAUGCGCAUCACUCGGCCCCCGACCACCCACCGUAACCGGGGACUCCCCGAUAUUUUCCGCGCCCUCGCUUCUACCACGGUUUUUUCCGUCAUGGACGGCCCAAAGAAUGUCAUGCAGAUGCGUCUCCGGCCCGCCCAGGACAAGCCCAUUUUUUGUCAUGAUUUUUUGUCAUAGAAGUAGGAGCCCACCACAUCUAUGAUGAUACCGGGUUUUGUCACAAUUAUCGUCAUAGAAGUGUCAUAUGUAUGAUAGAAAAAACAAUUCGUUCGUCCCGAAAUGUCACGGAUGUGUCUUUUUUUGUAGUGCAUCUCGCUAUCCUCAGUAUGAUUUGGGUCACUAUCUUCCCUAAAGUUCUGCCUGGCAUAAGAGAUACGACUCUGAAAGAGAACCAAGGAGACACGUAACAGGUUUCACAAUUAUAUAAGCAAAUAAAUGGAUUUGUUCUGCAUAAGGAACAUGUUUUUAAAACUACAAUUUAAAACUGGUAGUUGUUGCAAACAUCCAAUCAGAUGUAAACAGCAAAGUAAACAACAGUGGAGGAAAUGAUGCCUAUCCAACUCUAUACUAGAACAACGUUUGAAGGCUUGAGAAGGAUGAACUCACACUACAUGUUAACACGGGCUGGACAAAGCCCAUCUCCAUGUUGAUGGAAGGAUAAUUCAAUAAAUUCCCCAAAGAAAAUUCUUUAUAAGCGUUGCCAUUUUUCUACAUUUUGCAAAGAGUAAAUAUAGACCAAAUAAUAUUGGAAGAAACAGAGGAUAAUGAAGCUCAGGUGCAGACUAAUGAUACAUAAUCAAAUAGCAAUUAAUUAAGUACAGGGUUACAAGGCAAAAGGUACUGACAAGAGGAAUGCACACAUCAACGUGUGCAGUGGCAUUGGCUUUAUUCAACAUUUUGGUAAGAGUAAAUGUAGAUAUGAUAAUUUGGAGAAAGUGGAGGGCAGGGCAGAUAAGAUGUAGAGUAAUGCUAGACAAUCAACUAUCUCGCGAUGCAAGUACAGUAAUACCUCCACCGUCCGUUAUUACUUGUCGCUCAAAUGGAUGUAUCUAGCACUAUUAAGUUCUAAAUACAUCCAAUUGAUCAACAAUUAAUUCGAUAUAGAGGGAGUACAUGACAACAGGUACUUACAUGAGCAAUCCAAAACUUCAUAACCAUUGUGUUAAUUCUACAUUUAUCUAAGAGUAAAUAUAGAUCUUAUAAUUAUUACGCACAAAAAAUGAAUACUCCCCCUGCUAGCUGGGACCCACCAUAGUGGGAGGCUGACUUGUGGGCCUACUAAGAUGACGGGGACGGAGGGCUUUGUAAACUUAGUCAAUAUGAACGAUUCUAGCUCUAGUGACCGUACGAUGUCCAUCCAACGGCCGUAGUGCUUCUUCAACCUCUGGUCUUCUUGCUCCAGUCGCCCAAACAAGCGUCGGCCGUGCCGCCUGCUCCUGCCUCCCGUUUCUGGUUGUGCUGCCACCGCUGGCCAUGCCAUCCCUCUAUACUCACCCACACCUCCUGUUAUUCUCCGGCGACGGCAGACUCACACCGCAGCCGAAGCAGUCAACCCACAUACUCCCCUUUGCGUGGGCAUCCACUGCCACGUCUUCCUCGGCUCUGCGUCGUCCCCUUCCUAGGCCUCGCCGUCCUCCACCACCCUGGUGCUCUCGGCGCGGCAUGGCCAAUGUGGUCAAGGAACGACUUCCAUCGGAAGAGAACUGUACGUGGAGAGGCUGACAGCUGGGUCCACGGCAGCAGCAAGGAAGUGCCUCCUUAUUAUGCGCAAAAUAAUUCUUCCUCCACCUGAUAACAGGGACCCACAGGACGGGCUACCGUAUUUCUCGAAAAAAAUGUUUCUCCCCUGACUGCUGGGACCCACCAGCUACAUCUUCGCACGGAAGGAAGUGCCUGACAGUUAGGACCCACCUGGUCGAAGCGUGCGUAGCAUUGUCAUUCUGGUCGCGAACAUGUACGUACAUACUGGUCAAUGUAGAGGCGCGCACGUGUUGUAGUAGAGGUGCGCACGUGUCGUAGUAGAGGCGCGCAUGUGUCGUAGUGGAGGCGCGCAUGUAGCAUGUACACGUACGUACAGCUAGGGUGCAAGAAAGUAAAUACAGCCACAUACGUACAUACGGGCGGGGUCUCGAACGCCUACUCGCGCAUACGUACGGCCAGGGCUCGUGUACAUGGCUGGGUCAGAACGGAGAAUCUGCGCCGUCGUCGUGAUCAUGGGGAGGCAAACGGCUGGGUCGGAACGGAAUGCGUCUUCGUGUUCAUCGGGAGCCAACCGGCUUGGACGGAACAGCCGAAGGAAAUGAGGCCUGCCGUACCGCAGAACGAAGGAAACGGCCUUGUGUUCGAUCGGCCACGGUCGAAACGGGAUCCUGUUUAUCGGGAGGGGUUUGGCGUACCGCAAAACGGUGAAAACAGGGUCAUGUUGAUUGGGAGGGGUGUGGCGUACCGCAAAAUGGAGGAAACAGACUUGUGUUGGAGCGCUACGGUCGAAAUGGGGGUCCUGUUCAUCGGGAGGGGUAUGGCGUACCGCAAAACGGGACUCCACGGGAUACUGUUCAACUCCGCCGUUGACUACCUCCACGGGCUACUGUUCAUCCACCAUCGACUGCCUCCACGGGCUCUUGUUCAUCCAUCGUCGACCUCCUCCAGCCUCCACCUACGACUGUUCAUCCACGGGCUCCUGUUCAUCGAGCCUCCAUCGCACGCUCCUCCACCGGCUACUGUUCAACCAACUCUCUCCACGGGGUCCUGUUCAACCACCCCUCCACGGGCUACUGUUCAUCCAGCCCUCCACCGGCUACUGUUCAACCCGCCCUCCACGGGGUCGUCCUGUCCAUCCAGCCCUCCAUGGGGUCCUGUUCAUCCACCCCUCCACCGGCACGAUCGAUCGGGGUAUUGUUCAUCCAGCGGCAACACCACAGGUUCCUGUUCAUCCAACCCCCCACCGGGAACUGUUCAUCCAAACCCCCAACAAUUCUCACUGUUCAUCAAGAGGCAGUAGGUUCGAUUGGCUUCAGUUAGCAGCAGUAGCGAAGGAAUCGCUCGAUCGGGUUCAGUUACCGGGCAUCGAUCAAUCGCUCGGGUUCAGUAACGUGUAGCCUGCAGUGCAAUCGCUUGGAUUCAGUAGGCGAACGCCUCGCUUGGGUUCAGUUAGAGCCCAAUGCCUCGCAUCCACGCACGUAUGUGUACGAGAUAGACACGCAUCGCUCGGCCCCCGACCACCCACCAUACUGGGAACUCCCUGAUAUUUUCCGCGCCCUCGCAUCUACCACGGUGUUUCCGUCAUGGACGGCCCAAAGAAUGUCAUGCACCCGCGUCUCCGGCCCGCCCAGGACGAAAAGCCCAUUUCCUGUCAUGAUUUUCUGUCAUAGAAGUAGGAUCCCACCACAUCUAUGAUGAUACCGGGUUUUGUCACAAUUAUCGUCAUAGAAGUGUCAUAAGCAUGACAGGAAAAAAAAUUGUUCGGCCCAAAAUGUCACGGAUGUGUCUUUUUUUUGUAGUAGGUGAAUAGGCGAUUUUUAUGAAAUACUUCAAAACACGGGGGGCUUUGAAAAAGAACAGUAUAAAUGAACCUAUUGAUAUGCAUCAGAAGGUAGACUACACUACACAAGCCAUAGUCAAGUAAGCAAUGAAGUGAAAGCAUGAAGACUAUCAGCAACUAGGUAGUAUAGAUCAGGAUGGAAGAUGGUAUGAAGCCAAACGGUAAACAAACUUCACACAGUGAAGACAAUCAGAUCAUGCAAGCAGGUAAUGACUUCACGAAGACAGACUGAAAGUAAAGGGAAGUGAAGGAUAGAACCAGCAGCUUGGUGAAGACAAGGAUUUGGUAGACCAGUUCCAGUUGUUGUCACAACUAUAUGUCUAGUUAGGGAGGUUGAUAUUUAACUCAGAAGGCCGCGUCUUCACCUUAUUCCCCUUGAGGUAAGAACACGUAGUCCUCUCCCAAUCACUCUAGUAAGUCUUCAAGGUAGACUUCCAAACCUUCACAGAUGUCAGGACCCCGAUCCUAAGUCACACCGAUCUAGCAUGUAACACGUCAUAUCACUUUGCAGCCUCACGCACGGUAUUCCCACGGGUGCCACCUUACCCGGCCCAGGACCGUUUGCGCCUUUUGGCUCACGUAUAUGAUAGUGUCGCGCAUCCAUAUGACAAAGAACCCGGGCCGACAUGGCUAGUCGUGAACCCAAAGCGGUACUAACCCAUGGGGACAUGCAUACAUGAAUCAACUUCGAGCAUGUCGGUCAUCAGCGUGUGAAUCCGGGCUGUAGCACUGGGCUAACAGGACUCCGGUAACCCGGGCUGUAGCAGGCUAGGCAGGACUCCGGAUGUCACCGCGUGACAUUUCCCCGAGGGGACAGACACAGGAACGAAGUGAAACACAUGCCGGCCAGUCAAGUGUCCUGAGCAGUAGUGCUGGGCUAGCAGGACUCCGGUGAACCGGGCUGUAGCGGACUACUAUGGCUCAUGGAAGCACUAGACUACAUUUCCCCAUAAGAGAGGCUGCCAAGGAUAAACAACUAGAUUGUCGGAUCCCACACAUACCAAGCAUUUCAAUCAUACACACAAUAUGCUCGAUAUGUGUAAAUACAACAUGGCAUCACAACAUAACUCUACGACUCAAAGUAUUUAUUCAUUAGGCUCCGAGGAGCGAGAUAUUACAAACAUGGGUCUCACGACCCCAACAUUCAGAGCAUACAAACAACAAGCACAUGCGGAAGCUUAACUUGUCUGAGUACAAACAACUACAAAUGAAGAAGGCUAAAAAGCCUGACUAUCUACAAGACCCUGCCGAGGGCACAAGAUCGUAGCUGAGGUAACCAACUAAACGUCGAAGUCCACGCGGAACUACUAGCGAGACUGACGUCUCUCUGCAAAAACAUAAAAUAGGCAAACGUGAGUACAAAUGUACCUAGAAAUACUUACAUCAGAACUAGCUACAUAUGCAUCGGUGUCAACAAAGGGGGUAGUGGAGUUUAACUACAGCAAGCCAGCUUUGACUCGGUGGCUAUCCUGAACUACGACUGCAAGUAACUCUUUUGAGGUGGCACACACGAGUCCACAUAUUCACCAUAUCAAUACACCACUAUGGAUCCGCUCCCGUCUUCCUACGAGAACGCCAUCCAUAGCACUCACGCUUAUCUUGCGCAUUUUAGAGUAUCCACUUUCACUUGUCUAUGAACUGUUAUAGGCAACCCAGAAGUCCAUUACCGCGGACACGGCUAUUCGAAUAGAUGAUGUUAACCCUGGAGGGGUGUACUUCUUCACACACGCUCUCACCACUUACCGCCGUUUACAUGACAUGUACUCGGCAACCUUCAAGCGGAAGCCCAACGAGGGUGUCGGCCAUGGCCUGCCUAAACACUCAAGUCUCUAGUCCAGGUUUAUCGCCUAUUCAGGUUCCAUCUGCAGGGAGUCCGGCCGAGGUUUCCACAUACGGCCCCGAACGAUGUGAGCAGGGUUCCUGAGACACCAAACGGGCGCCCGGUACACUGUGCCACGUGCCUACCGCAACACAUCCCACCCCGACGGUCAGUGCUGCGUGCGGCCCCCAGCAUACUACAAACACCAGAAACUACUUGCAACUCCUGGAGAGAGGACAAGGGUGAUCAAGAAGCCGAGAGGGUCCAUUGGUUUCGGGCCUAAUGUGUGGUAGUAACUGUUUCAUGGAUCACAAACACAGAACUCAGUUCCUAAGGACGGUUUCAAUGAGACAACCCACCUUGUACUCCUACAUGGCCUCUCAUCGCUACCUUUACCAAAUCGUAUUCAUACACUUAGCUCUCAACAAUAGGACAUGUUCACCACUUUCCAACUCAUCCCCGAUGAAUCAGACCCGUCUCAACUCUAAGCAGUAGCAGGCAUGACAACAAACAUGAAUGAGUAGGCACAUCAGGGCUCAAACAACUCCUACUCAUGCUAGUGGGUUUCAUCUAUUUACUAUGGCAAUGACAGGUCAUGCAAAGGAUAAAGGGGUUCAGCUACCGCAGCAAGUAACAGAUGAAUCGUUAUUGUCCUAAUGCAGUAAAAGAGAGCAGGAGCGAGAGAGUGGGAUUAUAUCGGAAUGAACAAGGGGGUUUUGCUUGCCUGGCACUUCUGAAGAUAUUAUAGUUCUUCAUCGGUGUCAUCGAACUCAUCGUCGAAACCACGUCUAUCGGGAGGGGACAAUUACCGGCAAAUAAAGAAGAACACAAUCAAUGCAAUUCAACAAUUAUGAUGCAUGAUAAUGUCAUGGCAAUAUGGUGUGAGUUGAGCUAAUGCAGCUAGCAAUAAUUUAAAUGAAGUUGGUUUGAACCCAAGGUUCAAAUUCAAAUUCCACAUGUGGUUAUUUAAAUGCCAUUAACAUGUUUUCAGGUAUACAGCAGGUAUAACUUAGUUUGUCAUGCAUGAAAAUGGUACAGAUGGAUAGAUUGCAUUUUUCUGAUAAUUUUUCAUAUAUAAUUUGUUUGAUUUGGAGUUACGGUUGAAUUACUAUGAAUUUUUGAAGUUUUGGGUAUUUUCUGGAAUUUCCUGAAUUAAAAUUAAUCCAGAAAAUGAGUUAUGGCGUCAGCACUACGUCACCAUGAUGUCAGCAGGUCAACUGACCUGGUCCAGGUCAAACCUGACCAGUGGGACCCACUGGUCAGUGUCUCAGUAUCAGUUAGGGUCACUGACAUGUGGACCCAGUCAAUGGCCACGUCAGCAUGGUCAACGCUGACGCGUGGGGCCACUAAGAUUAGUAAAAACUAAACAGAAACUAAUCUAAGUUUAAUUAGUAGGUGGGGCCCUGCUGUCAGUGUCACUAGGUGUUGUCUAAGUGCGUCAUUAGCCUAAACUAAUCUGCCAUGUCACCAUCGCCGGAGUUACGCCGGCGGCGACCAAAACGCGGCGGAGAGACACUGGGUUAGCUCGGGUUUUGCCCACGAUUGACCAAAUCGACCAUGGUUUGGUCCCACGCGUAGCUGGGACUCGCACGCAUCUGGUAGGGCAAACGGAAGGGGCUGGGGUGGAGCGAGCUCGCCGUAGUCGAGCUCGUAGCGGCGGUCGGCGUUCGGGUGUUGAGCGAGAUGGAGCUACAGAGCACGGGGAGAUGGAUGGGUGUGUGCGUUAUGCUCAGGGGAGUGCGGUCAGUACAGUGGUGAGCUCAGACGCGUGCUUGCACGGCCGUAGCCGCGGUGGCGACAUGGCCGGCGGCAAGGAGCAAUCGGCUCCGAUGGCCACGGUGGCUAGAAGGCGCGGGAGAGCACGAGGAGAGAGGGGAAAGACGCAAGGGCUCACGGCGAUUCCAGUAGAGGCGUCGGCGAGGCCGGGGCGAGGCUGGAGCUCGCGAAUCCCCGACGAGUCCGCCGGCGGUCAGAGGUUGGAGACGAGGUUGGGGACGACGCUGCAGGGCUUCCGGAGGGGCGUGGCUCGGUGGGGAGGGAGAGGGGGUCGAGGCGGAGCUCCUGAGAUCAGCGGCAGGGCGAGGGGUGGCCGGUGGCCGCAGGAACGGCGAGCGGCGGCGAGCACACUUGGGUGGUGCGAGGGAGGAAGAGCCAGAGGAGGGAAGGAGCUGCGGGUGCGAGAGAGAGGGCUAGGGGGCGCGUGGCGCCUCCAGGCGCUCGGCCGAGGGCGGGGGGGGAAGCAGGAGGUGGAGGCCUCGGGCGCGCGCGCGUCGACACGCCUCUGCCUACUGGCAGAGGUUGAAGACGACCGCUUCGGCCAGUGGGCUGGGCCAGCUAGAGGGGCUGGCCAGCUGGGCCGCGACAGGUAAGCCAGGUGUGUCUCUGCUCUUUGCUUUCUGUUUUUGUUUUUUUCUAUUUCUUUUAUUCUGUUUUGAAUUAGUAAAAAUACUAAUUCAUUUUUAAAACUCCUGAGAUAAAUUGGGGGCAUUAUUUGGAUUAUUCCAGAAGCCCACAAAUUAUGACAGAAUAUUUGGAGCAUCUAAAAUAUAUAUAGAAUUCAAAUGCCCCAAUUCAAAUACAUUAUGAUUUAAUUCAAAAUUCCAGGAAUGACCUAGAAACAUGUUCAUCAUUUUUGGCAGAGGUUUUUGCCUUUAUCAGAAAUCAUGAACAUUUUCAAAGGGCAUUUUGGGAUCAUUGAAAAUGAUUUUAUUUGAACUUAUUUGAAUUCAUUUGGUGCUAGGGUUUCAACAUCCCCAUUUCAAGUUUCUUAGGAAUUUAAACAUGAUGACAUGAUGAGCAAGCAAAGUCAAGCAAGGGAUGAUCUGGGGCUGUGACAAUAGACUUCGUUCACUAGCAAUCCACGAUGGCUCUUGGAUGCUCAGAACGUGACGCCUAACCAGCUGGAGGAUUCACAGUCCUCAAGUGUAACAAGUCUUUAGAUCAUGCAGGCAGAAAGACUUCAGUGAUGCCUAACACUCUUUGGCUCUGGGUGUUUUGGGCUUUGUCCUCGCAAGGAUCUCUUUCUCUCUCUCAAAUGCUUCGGAGGUGGGUUGCUAUCAAACGACAAAAGUUGUGCACUAACUCUGAGCAGCCCCCAAUUUAUGGUGUAGGGGGUGGGCUAUUUAUAGCCAGGAGGCAACCCGACCUGAUUUGUCCGAACUGACCCCGGGUCACUAAGGAACCGACACGUGUCCAACUGUCGGAUUUCAAACACACGCAUCAGCUUGAUUUGGGCUACAAGUAAAGCUAACUCAUCCAGCUCUGGAUAAGAUUUGCUCUCAUUGUCUUCGCUCAAAGACAUAGGAUUUGGUUGAGCAUCACAUCAGUCACUCUGACUUUGUUCACUUGGACCCCACUUAACAGUACGGUGGUUCCUAUGACUCAACAAAGAAGAAAAGGAAACUACGAAACAACUAUGUCUUCGCAUUCCAUAGUCUUCACGUGAAUGUCUUCUUAUGUCAUAAUCUUCACUGUGAACAUCUUCACAAACCACCAUUGUCUUCAAUGUCUUCAUACAUUUUUAGGGGUCAUCCCUGGUAGGUAAACCGAAUCAAUAAGGGACUACUACAUGUGUUAUCCUGCAGUUCUCAUAAACACAUUAGUCCCUCAACCAAGUUUGUCGUCAAUACUCCAAAACCAACUAGGGGUGGCCGUAGAUGCACUUACAAUCUCCCCCUUUUUGGUGAUUGGUGACAAACUGGUUGAAGUUUUCAACGGGGAUAAAAGUAUGUGAAAGUUAAGGAUUAAGGCAUUGUCAUCAUAAGUAGAAAAAGGCUACCCCUGAAGAUGUGCAUAUAAGUAGUUUGCUUUUGAAUGCAAAUGCACAUGGCACGUUUUACUUUGUGGAGAUCCUCUUCAACUUAUGAAGACAAUUCAUCAUGCAUAUAAAGAGAUAACAAAGAUAAUGACAUGCAUAAUGAAAAAUGGACGUCUGUGGGAUUUAUCAUCGCAUCACACAGUGGCAGCAAAAACAACGUAGCAGACGACCAUCGAGUUUAAGUGUUGCAACCCAAAAACAAAAUUGUUAAAAAGACGAGAGUUGCAACGACUUAGCAAAAAUUUAUGCAACCACCCAUAAUGACCCGCUUGAAGACUGUCAACUCAUAUGCUUCUCCCCUUUUUGUCAGUAAUGACCAAAAAUGUUUGAAGACAUAGAGUAUCUACUCGUUCCCAGAUGGAGUAGAUGAUGGAGCAGGGUCGACGUUGGAGUUAGGUGGUGCGGACGGGCCUGAUGCAGUGUCGUGGUGUAGUGAAGCCAAGGUUGGUGAAGUGGCGUCGUCUUCUUCAUCGACGACUCUCGCAACAACAGUUGUAGCCGAAGAUGAAUGCUCAGAAUCUUCAAUGGAGGGAGUGCGACUCCAGCUUGCAUUUGGUGGAGGCCUGGAGUCAAACUUGAAGUUCUCUAUGAAGCCACCUUCGCGAAAUCGUCUUCAGGAUAGAGCAUUAUGAGGCUCUUCUAGGACCGCCGACAGGCUUCAUGUGCAACAAAUGAGUUCUUGGUGGCCAAAUUACGGAUGCGAUUGACAUCCACCAAGAGACUCUGCAUCUGACGCUUCAGCCAGUCCUGAUGCUUAUCCUGCUUCUGAUGCAAUGCCACAAGGAGCUCUCGGUCAUUGAGUACACGAGAUCGCUUCUGAGGCCUUUGGGCAAUUAUACUUGCAGUGGCUUCAGUGUUAGCACGGUGUGGCACUCUCAUGUUCCCAGCCAGAGGGUAAGCGGGUGUUGCAGCAUUGGGGACAAGGAUUCCGUCAAUUGGCUGCGAGAAGCUUUGAUGUUCAGCAUUCUGAAGAUGUAGGGGCUUCUUGGCAGGCUCGGGGUAGAUGGCUUCAAUAGACAGAUCAACCUCAGGCAGAAAAAUAAUGUGGUUGCACGCUGAGGGCUGAUAGUCUAUAGUGGAAUGAAGCUUAAUUAGGCGCAUCACCCAUGGAGCAUAGAACUUCAGGCCAAAUAGAUCAAUCCCAGAAGCAGCAAGUUGUCUGAUGAAGAAAUCCUGGGUGUUGAAUUUGAUGCCAUUGAUGAUAUUGAAUACCAAAGUCUUCAUGGCUCCUUCAAGUUUAGCUUCAGAAGAAUGUCCCUUGAUUGGCCAUAGAGUACGCCUCAGAAUAUGGUAUACUGUGUGUGGCAAGUACUCGAGGUCCUUCACAAAGAACUCCUUUGGGUAUUCAGUGUCUUGAGGCAAUGGAUUCAUCAGGCUAAGCAUCUAGCUCAUGUUUGGUUUAGGCCUCUGAAAAAUGCUCUGCAGCUCAUCUCUAUGAAGCUGACAACCAAGUUCAUAUGAUUCACCUGGAGUGGGCAGGGAAGUAAGCUCGAUGAUGUCUUGAGCUUUGGCUUUGUCAUGUACAUCACCUAUCAUCCACUCAAGGAUCCAAGUCUUCGGAUCCCUAUUGUAGCCGCAAAUAUGGAGGGUGGCAUAGAUCUGCAGCAGACUCUUCAUUCCGGUGUUCUUUGUCAGUCAUGAAAGGCAGACGACCAACAUCCCCGGGACUACCCAUAGUGGGAGUAACAUAGGUAGUAACAUCACACAUAUCUGGGUUAAAUAGAUGAUGUGGCAUGCAAUAAAUGAAGAAAGAGAUGAAAGUAGUAACAUAGCUAGUUACUACUAGUGAGGGAGUCCUGGAUUAGUGCGUGUCCGGAUAGCCGGAUUAUAACCUUUGGAUGGACUCUUGGACUAUGAAGAUACAAGAUUGAAGACUUCAUCCCGUGUCCGGAUGGGACUUUCCUUGGCGUGGAAGGCAAGCUUGGCAAUACGGAUAUGUAGAUCUCCUCCCAUUGUAACCGACUCUGUGUAACCCUAGCCCUCUCCGGUGUCUAUAUAAACAGGAGGGUUUUAGUCCAUAGGACGAACAACAAUCAUACCAUAGGCUAGCUUCUAGGUUUAGCCUCCCUGAUCUCGUGGUAGAUCCACUCUUGUACUACCCAUAUCAUCAAUAUUAAUCAAGCAGGAGUAGGGUUUCACCUCCAUCGAGAGGGCCCGAACCUGGGUAAAAACAUUGUGUCCCUUGUCUCCUGUUACCAUCCGCCUAGACGCAUAGUUCGGGACCCCCUACCCGAGAUCCGCCGGUUUUGACACCGACAUUGGUGCUUUCAUUGAGAGUUCCUCUGUGUUGUCAUCUUUAGGCCCGAUGGCUCCUCCGACCAUCAACAGCGAUGCGGUCCAGGGUGAGACUUUUCUCCCCAGACAGAUCUUCAUAUUCGGCGGCUUUGCACUACAGGCCAAUUCGCUUGGCCAUCUGGAGCAGAUUGAAAGCUACGCCCCUGGCCAUCAGCUUAGAUUUGGAAGUUUGAACUACACGGCUAACAUCCACGGAGACUUGAUCUUCGACGGAUUCGAGCCACAGCCGAGCGCGCCACACUGUCACGAUGGGCAUGAUUUAGCCCUGCCAUCGAACAGCUCCCUGGAGGCCGCACCCGUAUCCGCUCCGACCCUUAGCUCGGAGCCAACCGCGCCGAUCGAGGACAGGUGGCUAGACCCCGCCGCUGGGGCUGCAGUCUUAACGGCGAUCGAGCCAAACACUGGCCUUAUCCUCUGCGAAGCCCGUGACUCCAGGGUGCCGGACUCUUUUCCGGGCUCCGAACCCUCCGUGCCCCUACCAAUUGAAUCCGAUUGGGCGCCGAUCAUGGAAUUCACCGCUGCGGAUAUCUUUCAGCACUCGCCCUUCGGCGACAUCCUGAAUUCACUAAGGUCUCUCUCUUUGUCAGGAGAGCCCUAGCCGGACUAUGGCCAACGGGAUUGGGAUGCAGACGACGAAGAAAUUCGACGCCCACCCACCACCCACUUCGUAGCCACUGUCGAUGAUUUAACCGACAUGCUCGACUUCGACUCCGAAGACAUCGACGGUAUCGACGACGAUAUAGGAGACAAACAUGAACCAGCACCUAUAGGGCACUAGACAGCCACCCCAUCCUACGAUGUAUACAUGGUGGACACACCCAAAGGAAUCGACGAGGAAGAAUGGGAUGACGCAACGAAGGGUCGCUCCUCCUAAAAGCAGCCAAAGCGGCGGCGUAAGCGCCACUCCAAGCCCCGCCCCGACAGAGACAGCGGUCGUACAGACCCAGCCAUAGAGCAGGGCGAGCCGACGAGCAAUGAACAUGGCAUCGAGCAACCGUCCGAACAAGGCAACUUGGAUAAACAAACCGCACAACCCGUCCCCGGUGAAGAUAACAGUCCGGACGACCUCACACCGGACAAAUUCCUGGAACAGGAAAACCUCCACAAAAGGCUUGUCGCCACGGCGCGUAGCCUAAAAAAGCAGAAGCGGAAGCUCAAAACUGCAGAAGACGCACUCCGAAUCAGAUGGAGCAAAGUACUCAACACCGCAGACAAAUACGGCGAUAGUCGCCACACAAAGAGCUACCCGAAGCGAAAGCUACUGCCCGAAUUUGAUGAGGAGGCCCUAGAGCCCCCAAAAUCAAAAAAUAAGGAAGCCACCCGGUCGGAUAGACGACCCCAUGGACAACAUAGAGCGGAAAAUGGCGCCGCACACAAACCAACACGCGAUCCACCCAAGGAUUCGCAUCAAAAGGAUGGCCCAGCCAGGUCCAUUUACGGGCCAAGAAAGCAAGAUCUAGUAAGCAAUGUAACGCAACAAAUAUCCGAACAACACGGCACACCCAAGUACAGGGGUGCUGCACACCCCCUCUGUUUCACCGAUGAGGUGCUGGACCAUGAAUUUCCAGCGGGAUUCAAGCCCAUAAACAUAGAGGCGUACGACGGAACAACAGACCCUGGAGUCUGGAUUGAGGAUUAUAUCCUAGACAUACACAUGGCCAGAGGAGACGACCUCCACGCCAUAAAAUACUUACCCCUCAAGCUCAAAGGGCCAGCCCGGCAUUGGCUUAUAGGCCUUCCCGAAAACACCAUUGGAAGUUGGGAAGAGCUCGAGGAUGCUUUUCGGGCAAAUUUUCAAGGGACCUAUGUCCAAUCUCCAGACGCAGACGAUUUAAGCCAUAUAACUCAACAGCCCGGAGAGUCAGCCCAGAAACUCUGGAACAGAUUUCUUACUAAAAAGAACCAGAUAGUCGACUGUCCGGACGCCGAAGCCUUAGCAGCUUUCAAACAUAGCGUUCGAGACGAAUGGCUCGCCAGACACCUCGGCCAAGAAAAGCCAAGAACAAUGGUCGCAUUAACAAGCCUCAUGACCCGCUUUUGCACGGGAGAGGACAGCUGGUUGGCAAGAUGCAGCACCAGUGACCCAAGUACAUUCGAAGCUAGGGAUGGAAACGGGAAACCGCGACGCAGCAAGGACCAGCGCCGAAAUAAGGGAAACAGCCCAAAGAGCACGACACUCAACGCCGGAUUCAAAAGCUCUCGGCAGAAUCAGAAAAAGCUGCCCCUCAAGGAUAACAGGGACGAGCUAUCUAACCUGAACAAAAUCUUGGACAAGAUAUGUCAAAUCCACAGUACUCCCGGGAAGCCUGCAAACCAUACCCACAGAGAUUGUUGGGUCUUCAAGCAAUCCGGCAAACUCAACACCGAACACAAGGGGCUCGACACACCAAUUGAGGACGAUGACGAACCCCACAAGCAGAGCACCGGGAAACAAAAGAAUUUCCCACAAGAAGUCAAAACAGUAAACUUACUUCACAUGACAAAAGGGAAAAACAGAGUGGCACCUAUAGAGAUACGCGCCAUACGGCCUAUCCCGAAGGAGUCUCGCCACUGGUUGUUAAAACCGAUCACCUUCGACCAUCAGGAUUACUCUAGAAGUAUCCGGAACGCAGGCUGGACUGCCCUGAUAUUAGAUCCGAUAAUCGACGGACUCCACUUUACACAAGUCCUAAUGGACGGCGGCAGUGGUCUAAACUUGCUAUAUCAGGACACAAUCCGCAAAAUGGGGAUGGACCCAAAAAAAAUUCACCAUAGCAACACUUCCUUUCAAGGAGUAACGCCAGGCCCGGAUGCCCAUUGCAUGGGUUCUCUCCUGCUAGAAGUUAUGUUCGGCUCCCCCGAGAACUUCCGCCGCGAAAAACUAACCUUCCACAUCGCCCCAUUUUCAAGUAGCUAUCAAGCACUACUGGGACGCGAAGCUUUCGCCCGCUUUAACGCAAUACCGCAUUAUGCAUCUCUUAUGCUUAAGAUGCCCGGUCCAUGAGGCAUCAUCUCACUAAAGGGAAAUAUCGAGUGUUCUCGAGCGCGGAAGAAUAUGCGGCUGCCUUUGACAGCCAUACAUUAAAACAGCGUCACCAACAAAAGCAUCUAACAGGUCAUUAAGACCACAGACACGGCUAGGCGAGUCUGGAGCAAACAUAUAAUUGAUAAAGAUUUAGUAGUCGUACACCCCUACACAAGGGGCUCCGCGUAUGUAAAAUAAGCGACAAUAAGGCUCAACUUUACCCGUCUUGAAUUAUACUUUGUUUAUUUAGUACAACAUACAUUCCGCACGACUAUUCUUUUUUUUCUUUUCAGCUAAGUUCCUCUCUUUUACAGAUGAACACCAUGCUACGCUCGUCCAGGACACGGCACAACAGAGACACAGACGCAGACGUGCAGCAGGGACCCGUCUCCAGGAUUCUUUUUAGAUUAAGACCCUGCGUAAACCUUUUUUACUGUCUCUUGUUGAUACACAUCCCCCGGAUUCUCAAUAUAACUGAGGAGGAGGCUGGCAUCUUGGCAUGUGGCCACGUCAGAAUUUUGCACGUACCUGGACACCAGGGGCUUAUUAUCAAGGGCAUUGCUCAGUCCAUUUCCAUAAAGACCGAAUACCUAAGGGAGUGUUCGGCGUCGCGAGUUUGGCCUUAUAAGCAUCAGCUCCGAAUCAUGUCUUUGGUCAAAUGUUGGGUUUGCCCAGCUCCUGUGUUUUGCUGCCUUACGUUCCGUUCUAUCGGCUAAGGCGGCACCAGGAGAACUACUUCGAUUGUGCCCCGAUCCAGCCAGGCGAGCACCUCAGUAGAGAAAGCCGAAAACUGACUGUCAUGAUAUAGCGUGAGACUGGUCAACCACUCGAUGACCUAUCGGAAUCUUCGGGAUUCCUCCGCAUUAACGAAGGGCCGUUUCCCGGCCAGGCACACACGCGCCCCGAGUUCGGGCGAGUGCGGCUCCACCAGGGGCUAUAUAGUAGCCUCACCGUCAAGCUCCUAUGGUCAAGUGAAAGUGAUAAAGCAUUAUAGUCCAGUUGCCUAGUUCGCUACACUAUCACCUCCUUCAUGGACCAAGACGUUAGAUCAAGUGUGAAAAUGCGCCUUCUGCGAACACCCCCGCAUUAUAUGCGUGGGGGCUGAAGCCGAUGACUGCCAUCUUUCAGGUUAUAUACACAUAUACAUUAACGGCCGCACGGCAGGUAUUUUAAUUCUUGAAGGCACAAGUAUAAAAAGCUUUUAUAUUCCAUCAAAAUAUUGUUUUACAAUAAUCCAUGUUAUUCGAACAUAAUAUCCUUCGAGCACCGUGUCUCUAUUAAACGAGUGCCUUGCAGAACUUCCCUGAAAAUAGUGCUCGGCAGGUACUCGGCUUCCGUCCGAGUCUUUGGAUGCAACAGCGGUGGCCUUCAUCUCCGCCCAGUAUGUCUUGACACGGGCAAGGGCCAUCCGCACACCCUCUAUGCAUGUUGACCUCUUCAUCGCAUUGAUAUGCGGCACCACACCAAGGAACUGCUGCACCAAGCUAAAAUAGCUGUUCGGCUUUGGCCUUUCCGGCCACAGAUGAUCCACGACAUCCUUCAUGGCGAGUCUGGACAACCUAUUCAGUUCGGCCCAUUCGGUCAAAUGAUCGUUCAAUAGAAGUGGACGCUCCGGAUUGUUGAACUGUGACCAGAAGAGCUUUUCCACUUUGCUAUCUUUCUGAUCUCGGAAAUGUUCAGCCGCAUCAGCGGCACUCGCAACUAAAUCCAGAUAUGCGUCCGCCGAACUCCACAUCCGGCCCAACGGAGCAUACUUAGGAUCUCCGAACUUCAUCCGCAGCAUAAAGGGCUUUCCAGCCGCGAUAUCUCCGGCCUGGCGCAGCUCCUCCUUCAUCGCUCUCAUCAUAGAACGAGCAUCCUUGGCCGCAGUAGUGGCCUUUUCCAGGUCUGUCUGCUCCGCCUGAUCUUCUUUUUCAAGAAGCUUGCAGCGGUCAGCAGUGGUCUUUAACUUCACAGCCAUCUCGGCCAUUUCCUUCUUACUUCGGUAGUGAGCAGCCUGUUCGGCUUUCAGCUCCUCAACCGCCUUUAGGGCAGCCGCAUUGCUUUUUCUAGCUUGCUCCUUGGCUCGGGCAAGCUCUGCCUGAAGGUCCUCCACAGCGGCAACACCAUCUGCAUUAAGUGCACACAUUGUAAGAUACUGGCAUCAAGCUCCUCUUACCAGGUGUCUCCGGAGAAAUUACAUACCUUGUGCCUCGUCAACCGCUUGUUGAUAAGCGCGAUGUCGGCAUCUACCACGUCAAGUUGCCGCGUUAGCUCGGCAAAUUCAUCAGUCCGGCUGGCCACCGGACACUUCGCCACCUGCAUAGGAAGGCGGCAAAAUUAUACCUGGGACUAUGAUCCUCUGCGUGCUGCUGUCUUCGACAACACACAGAGUCUCAGGGGCUACUAUCUACACAGGGCGCAUCUUAUAUAUGCGGAACUAUCAAAAGCAGGUCCUUCAGCUCCUCCGACUGCGCACCAAGUGGUGCCGGACUUGUUCGAUGGCUUUUCUCAAAGGCCGGACACGAAGAGCUUUGGGGGGCCAUAUGACUGCCAUCCGGCCCUGCCGGAUUAGGAGAAACCCUCCGCGACGACACCUCAGGGUCGCCCGCCUCAUAAGGCGGAACGGCAGGGGGAGGCGUUCCGCUCUCCAUCAUCUCCGGAAGAAGAUCCCCCGAAGAUGAGCUCUGCUGAGAAGGGCUGAGAUCCGAACUACAAGGUAAAAUGUCGGUUAUUUUCCUCAUAGAUAAAAUAAGGAUCCCUGUCAUUUUAAACCUCCCCUCUCUACUUAUGGCUCGGUGGAGGGUUGAUCCCCUUGGGGGCACAGUAUGGCCGAGGUAUCCCCCGGCACAAGACCCUCUGGCGAAGAUUUCUUCCCCCGCUUUGAGACCAUGGUCUCCGGGUCUUCAGAGGCGGUCCUCUUCUUCCCCUGGGUAGAGGAAUUAUCGAUUCCUCCUUUCCUGACAGCCUCCUUCGGGGAGGCAGUAGCUUCCUUGUCCCCCCCUUCGUUUUCUUCCAAAGGCACGAUCUCCAGCAUCCUGGUUAACACGGGAUCCGGCGAGGUCUCAGGAAGGGGGGGCAGACACCUGAUUAACUUCGCCUUCGCUACCCACUCCUGUUUCAAGGACAACUCUUUUAAGGGUGAUGUUGUGAUAAAGGAACGGAUGGUGUGUCCGGGCACAGGGCUACUUACUUGAGUAUCCGGACGAUUGCAGCUCAGACCCGCGUCCUCCGUAGAAUCUGGACAGACUACUUGUGGUCCGAAGAACAAUUUGUACAUCUCCACGGGCAUCAUGCCAAGAAAAUGGUGGAGAGCUUGCGGUCCCUCCGGGUUGAACUCCCACAGGCGGAGGGGGCGACGUUUGCAGGGAAGAGCUCGGCGAAUUAACAUAACUUGUGUCACCACGACCAGACUGAUGUCUCUUUCUAGGAGAUCUCGGAUGCGGCCCUGCAACAGGGGCAUGUCCUUUGCCGACCCCCAGUCCAGCCCCUUAUUGACCCAUGACGCUAGUCGUGGCGGGGGACCCGAGCGGAAAGCAGACGGCGCCACCCACUUGGUGCCCCUGGGAGCUAUGAUAUAAAACCACUCUUGUUGCCAUAAGUUGAACUCCUCUUGAAAAGAGCCCUCGUGCCAUGGAGCAUCAGCAUUCUUGCUUAUAACAGCGCCUCCGCACUCUGCGUGCUGUCCCUCGAUCAUCUUCAGCUCUAAUUUAUAGGUCUUAAGCCACAGUCCGAAGUGAGGAGUAAUACGGAGGAAGGCUUCGCACACGACAAUGAACGAUGAGAUGUGGAGGAUGGACUCCAGAGCUAAGUCAUGAAAUUCCAGCCCAUAAUAAAACAUGAGCCCCCUCACGAAGGGAUCCGUAGCGAAGCCUAGCCCUCGGAGGAAGUGAGACACAAACACCACGCUCUCACCAGGCUUGGGAGUAGGAAUAACCUGCCCGUGAGCAGGCAGCCUAUGCGAGAUUUCACUGGUCAAAACCUGGCCUCUCUCAGCUUUAGCACGUCUUCCUCCGGCAUCCAUCGGCCUCGAAAGUCGAAACCGGACAUCGUCCAAGGUCCGAAGCGCCUGAAAUCUGGGGCCUUGGGUGUUGGAACUCGAGGCGAAGGGCGAAUUCGAUUGAGAUCAAAGGAAAGGAGUAAUGCCUUGGUCUCUUUAUAAGAGGUUGAAUACCAAGAGCCCUCCCCGUGACCGUUUGGGACUCGCCUUUGAUCGAGGAGACGUACCAACAGGAACGACUGGGUUACCCACGUCCGUAUUGAUGAGAAUCCCGUAAAUAAAGGGGACACGAUCUCUGCUUCGACAAGACGUGCCAAGGAAACCGCCUCGCAAAACGCGCUGAGGUGGGGCAGUAAAAAUGAUUCGAAUAAAGGCUUGGUUGUGGUGUGAUGACACGCUACGGAAUACGUCAGUAGCUUAGAUUUGUGUAAAUAGUAUUCUCUCUACGACAGUAUGUGGAACUUAUUAUGCAGAGCCGGACACUAUCCUUGUGUUAAAAAAUCUUCUAUGAAGUAUUUGGAAGAGGAACCCGCCUUGCAAUGCCGAAGACAAUCUGCGCAUCGGGCUCGUCGUCAUUGAAGCCUGGUUCAGGGGCUACUGAGGGAGUCCUGGAUUAGGGGGUGUCCGGAUAGCCAGACUAUAACCUUUGGCCGAACUCUUGGACUAUGAAGAUACAAGAUUGAAGACUUCGUCCCGUGUCCGGAUGGGACUUUCCUUGGCGUGGAAGGCAAGCUUGGCAAUACAGAUAUGUAGAUAUCCUCCCAUUGUAACCGACUCUGUGUAACCCUAGCCCUCUCCGGCGUCUAUAUAAACUGGAGGGUUUUAGUCCAUAGGACGAACAACAAUCAUACCAUAGGCUAGCUUCUAGGGUUUAGCCUCCCUGAUCUUGUGGUAGAUCCACUCUUGUACUACCCAUAUCAUCAAUGUUAAUCAAGUAGGAGUAGGAUUUUUACCUCCAUCGAGAGGGCCCGAACCUAGGUAAAAACAUUGUGUCCCUUGUCUCCUGUUACCAUCUGCCUAGACGCACAGUUCGGGACCCCCUACCCGAGAUCCGCCGGUUUUGACACCGACAACUAGCAUCACACAUAUCAAGGCAAGAUGUGUCUAUAGCCUAAUAAAUGAAGUGCUCCAUAUUACCACACAUAUGUUACUCCCCACUACAGAGGUAAUAACAUAGACUAGUAACAUGGGCAUGUUACUAGUCUAUGUUACUAUCCAUUGUGGCUAGUCUGAAGCAGUCAAGAGCUUCUUCAAGACAAGGCAUCCCAACUAUAGCUUCACAAUCCAAACGCAUAUGUGGAAAGAUUCGCUCUUGGUUGUAGAGGAUGCACGAGUAAUAGCUUCGCUGCUGAUAACUCCAGAAUCUAUCGGAGGAGAUCUUUGGCUUCGAAUAAGGAUUCUUGGUGCUGGCAAAGAAAGUAUUGUGCUCUCUGAAGCUGUGCAUGCUGAAGGAACCCUGUGUAGUUGCAGCACUUGGAAGCCUUGGCAGCCUAGGCUUGGGCUUCUGAACUUGAGGCCUCUGCUCCACAUGGUAAUCAUAUUGUGGCCCGAGAGAAGUGGGUGGAACCAUAACUGGCCAUCUAACUGUGACAAGCUAACCUUCACGAUUGAAUGUGUGUUCCAUGGUGUGAGGCCAAGGAGGAGGAACAACGCCAUCCGAGACGAUUGGCAUCAACGUGACUUCAACAUUCUCAUUAGCUUCAGGCUCCACAAUGUCUUUGGCCAUGACUGAGUCAUUGGCUUCAGUGGUGUUGUUGGUGGCACCCUCAGGAUUUUCAACCUCCAUCUGUUCAAGGACUGGAGGGUCGGGCACAGUCACAUUUUCCUCGAGAAUGACUUGAUCACUAGUUGGGGGUGUGGCAACUCUUUCUUCUUCUUUGUCUUCAUCGGCUGAUGCAGCCGGAUUGUCUUCAGCAACUUUGGCUUCGGACUCAGAGGCAUUCGUAGUAGGGGUGGCUUCAGGAAACAAUUGACGUGCGACUGAGCUUUGUUGCACUUCCCCUUCUAGAAUGCUCGACAUGGUGACCUGUGGCCUGGGACCUUUGCGAAGCCUGUGGAACACUGGCGACGCCUUUGGUGAGGGAGUGGUAUGUACCAUGUAGUUGUCGUCAUCAAGCACUGGAGUGGUGACUUGAGGUGGUGGUGUUCUUGGUGUCUCAUCUUGUACUGGGGUGUCUUGUUGUUGGCGCUCCACCCAUGAGUCGUCUUGAGCGAUUGGCGUCAAUGGACGACCAAUGCUUAUGAGUUCACUGCUCGUUAGAGCAGGCGAUGAUACCGACUGGGACUGGAGCUGAGGAAGGACUACAUCAUCAUCAACAUUGUCUUCGUGACCAAUGUCUUCAACUGUGUUGGGGUUAGCAGCUAGAACUUCUUGACUUGCAUGAGCCUCUGUGGAAGCAGGCUCAUGAAUCACAAGACGACGCUCUUGGUUGGUCGAGACAGGAAGAGCGACGGAGAUAGGUUCAACAAUGAGGGGCUCUGGGGCAGCAAUACGCUCUUUCUUUGAAGACUUCGUCUUCAAUUUCUUCGUGGAUGGAGCACCAUCAGAAGUGUCUUUGUGCUUACGCUUCCUGGCUUCGGCUUCAGCUGCCCUUGUCUUCUUCAGCUCUGAAGCUGCUGAGGUGACCUUAGGCUUCGAGCCAGUCAUACUGGCAGGGAAGACAAUGUGAGGUUCUUCCUGCCUUGGUGCUUUGGUUUGGGCAGCAACAGACUUCUUCUUUUGCUUGGCAGCCAUCAUGGGGUCAAUGCCAGGACGCCGAAGAGUCUUUCGCUUUUCAGCUUCAUUAUGGGCUUGAACACAUUUCUGCGCAUAGUACUUCAUGCGCUCGGGAGAGCCUUUGGCUUCUUCCCUCUUCUUGUGAACUCUUCCUUAAGAUCAUGCAGCAUCUUCUUGAAGAUUUGCACAUCAGCCACACUGAGCUUGUCCAUGUGCUUCUUGAAAUGUGCCUUUUCGUGAUCAAUCUUGUUCUUGAGCUCGAUGAUUUUCUGAGCCAAGGCCAAUUCAUUGGCAAUGGCUCCAUGGAAUGUGAUGCUGAUGUCCACGGGCAGCUGAAGGUCAUCAAUACUGAUGCUCUGGUCAUCAAAACCACUCAUUAAUGAAGUUGUUCAAAAUAUCAACGUCAAAGAGGGGCAGAUCAUUGAAGAUCUCCACCUCUUGCUUGCUCUUGAUCAGCAUCUCAAGUGCUUCAUUACCAAGAUCUUCAUUGCUAGACAAAUCAAUGGUGUCUUCUCGUUGCGUAGAAUAGCAGCAGGAGUCAGUUCAUGCCCAGAAAUCUUCUUGGGCAUCUUGGUCUUCUUGGUCUUCUUGGAGACACGAGACAAAUCUUCAGACUACACACUGGGUUCAGGAGGUGCAGUCUUCAGCGGCUUCACAGUCGAAGCGUUUGGUGUGGCAGAGGGCUUUGAAGCUUUUGACUUCUUUUUCUUCUGCUUUGGUGGAGCUGGCGCAUCUUCGGAGUUUGCAUCAUUAGCUGAUUGCUCCACUGUGGCCCUCUGAGCAGCAAUGUGGGAGAGGAGCCCAUCGAAGCUAGUGAGUGGGCCGAUGACCUCGGAUUGGCAUCGCGAGUGCCAUCCUGCCUUGGUGCAGAUGGACCAGGGUUGAAGUUGAGUCCAAAAUCCUUUUUGUUCUUUGCAGCUAACUCUUUGGCAAACUGAUAGUUGCGCUUGAAGAGAUUGUCUUCAUGACACCAUAACAUGGAUGAUGGGUCGACAUUCUCAGGCUUCGGUCCUCGGACCAUGCAUGGAUAGAAACCUUGAGCAAUGGCUUCAGGCUUCAAUUUUGGCUGCAGAUUCUAGUACAGAAUGUCGCCCCAUGGGCACUUGAUGGCGUUCUUCUCAGCAUAUUCAGUAGUGAUGAAGUUGUACUUGAACCACUGUUCUGCCCAAUAUCUAAGAAUCCAUUGGAUUCGGGUCUUUCGCUGAUUGUAGUUCUCCUCAGGAUCAGUUUUGUACAAUUCAUGCAGAUCCGGAGGUAGAUCUAGAGCUGUAUUGCCUUGGCGCUGCCUGCCACCUUUCCGAGCAGACUUCUCUAUGGCCAUGAUAUUUAAGCAGAUGGGCUUCAGAACAGUGAAAGGCUUCUGUCUACUGGUCAGACAAGAACUGGCUUCAGGGGAGUGAAUAUGAUGAUGUAAGAACUCUCCAAAUGAAUGCAGACUAUGAGAACCAAGGGAUUCUCCCAUGGACAUGUACCUGUGAUAGCAUUAAAGGUGAGAGGGAAGGGGAAGAGGUCAUAUGCAUUCUUAGAAGAUUUUGAAGAUAAAUCAGUUUGAAGACAUUGACCUCAUAGAGCGAAGACAUUCACUUAUUUGAAGGGAGUUGGUUCCAGAUUUAUACAAAUCCAUUAAUAAGUACAAGUGAGGAAUCUAACUAGUUAUGAAGCAUAAGUGAAUAUCCUUUGCAUGAUAUGAGACACAGUCAAAGACAGAUCCAGAUUUGAAAGUCUAGAAACCACUUCUGAUUGAAGUGGAUGGGUUUGACGGAUCAAAAAGACAGUAAAAAGUGAGAUUUAAUUACCGCUGACGAACUGCUAGACGAGGCAGAGAAAGAAGCCGAGCAGUUCAAUCUCCUGCGCCCUAACUUGGCGGCGGAGGACACCUACAGCGGCGGCAGAGAGGACGAGGUACGCGGCUGGCGUGAGGAUGGCGUCGAAGAAGUCGCGGCAGCUAAGCGCUUCGUCUCCGGCGUCGACGCGAGCUAGCGGAGGCGCUGGGGUUUGAGCAAGGUGGCGAGGUGGAAGAAAGGAUAAUGACCGCAUGGGUGAGUAUUUAUAAGGUAGAGGACUACACAGCGUAAUUACGCAGGUGCCCCUAGCGGUUCACAUCUGAUGGACACAUGGCGUGCAUGCAACUCAUUUAGAGUUGUCCCAUGUUCCCACGCAUGCCUAGUUUGUUGGGUGGUCGUUCUGGCUUCUCCGGGAUUCAGGCAAAAUAGAUAUAUCAUCGAAAGCAGUCUUAAAUGUGUGUCUCUGUGUCUUCAGCUGACAAGGAUGCAGUGAAGACAUUUGACAAGUUUCAACAUAACGCAUAUGACUAGAUAGAUAGAGUUUGAGGAAGAAGCAUGGAGGGGGUUAGGGUCCGAUCACAUUCACUUAGUUCAGAAAAAUGGCAAGUUCGAAGACAUAUGUAUAUAAGUGAAUGUUGUAGAGGACAAAACACCAUAUACAUAUCAAAAGACUAAAUCAACAUUGCGAAGAUAAACCAUGAAGAUAAAUCAAUGUUGAAGUCAAACUAAAUGCAAAGAUAAUGCAAUCAUGACGCCAGGAGAAUAUCUUAGAGAAAGUUUGGUGGUUGCGCUACCCACCGUAUAGGAAGUAUUAGACCCAGACACGUCGCACAAUUAUCGUAGAGUGUAUGUCUUCAUUGAUUGAAGAUAUACGUUACUUAGUGUGUUGCACAUCUAAGUCAUCAACAUGCAUAAGCAUUAGGAUGUGUGUCCAAUCACAGGACAUUUGAGGAUUCUAAGAUAUUUAGCUCACACCGCAACUUGCAAAACCUUUUCUCAUCCAAGGGCUUUGUGAAGACAUCUGCCAAUUGCUCUUCAGUGUUGACAUUAAUGAUGCCAAUAUCUUCCUUCAUGACAUGAUCUCUGAGAAAGUGACGGAUCUGAAUGUGCUUUGUCUUCGAGUGCUGAACUGGAUUGUUGGCAAUCUUGAUGGCGCUUUCAUUGUCGCAGUAGAGUGGCACAUGCUCCAGGUGGAUGCCAUAGUCCUUGAGAGUUUGCUUCAUCCACAGAAGCUGAGCGCAGCAAGAUCCAGCAGCAAUGUAUUCAGAUUCAGCAGUGGAGAGGGAUACCCAGUUCUGCUUCUUCGAAGACCAACAAACAAGAGAUCAUCCAAGAAAGUGACAUGUGCCUGAUGUGGACUUGCGAUCAACCUUGUCACCAGAAUAAUCAGCAUCUGAGAAUCCAACUAGAUCAAACUCUGAGCCCUUUGGAUACAAUAAUCCAAGUGUUGGGGUGUAAGCCAAAUAUCAAAGAAUUCUCUUCACAGCUAAGUGAUGCGAUUCCCUUGGUGCCGUUUGAAAUCAGGCACACAUGCAAACGCUAAGCGUUAUAUCUGGCCUAGAUGCACAUAAAUAGAGUAAAGAACCAAUCAUGGAGUAGUAUACCUUCUGAUCGAACUCUUUACCAUUGUCGUCGGGACCCAAUUGACCUUUGGUUGGCAUUGGCGUCGUGUACCCUUUGCAGUCUUGCAUUCCAAACUUCUUCAGGCAAUCUUUGAGAUAUUUUUCUUGUGAAAUGAAGAUGCCAUUGCUCUGCUGACGGAUUUGAAGAUUGAAGAAGAAUUUCAGCUCACCCAUCAUGGACAUCUGAUAUUUCUCUUGCAUCAUAUGCCCAAACUCAUCAUUGUAUCUCUUGUCAGUGCAACCGAAGAUAAUGUCAUCCACGUAGAUUUGGCAUACAAACAGUUCACCAUCAUAUGUCUUCGUGAAGAGUGUGGGAUCUAGAGAACCAGGUAUGAAGCCUUUGCUCUUCAAGAAGUCUUUGAGCGUGUCAUACCAAGCUCGAGGUGCUUGUUUGAGGCCAUACAUUGCCUUCUUGAGCUUGUAUACCAUGUCAGGACGCUUUGGAUCUUCAAAACCAGGUGGUUGUGCAACAUACACUUCUUCUUCAAUUUUGCCGUUGAGAAAGGCACUCUUUACAUCCAUUUGGUACAGAAGAAUGUUGUUGUGGUUGGCAUUGGCUAACAGAAUGCGAAUGGCUUCAAGCCUAGCCACAAGAGCAAAUGUUUCAUCGAAGUUAAUCCCUUCAACUUGAUUGUAUCCUUGAGCAAUGAGACGAGCCUUGUUUCCGACGACUUGACCAUGCUCAUAUUGUUUGUUGCGAUAGAUCCAUUUGGUGCCAAUGAUAUUGUGCUUGCGAGGAUCAGGACGCUUAACUAGCUCCCAAACAUUGUUCAGCUCGAACUGUUGAAGCUCUUCUUGCAUAACUUGAAUCCAUUCAGGUUACAUGAAGGCUUCAUCAACUUUCUUGGGUUCAGAUAUAGAGACAAAUGCAAAGUUCCCACAGAAAUUUGCUAGUUGUGUUGCUCUUGAAUGAGUGAGUGGACCAGGUGCAUUGAUGCUAUCAAUUAUCUUCUCAAUAUGUACUUCAUUUGCAACACAAGGAUGAACUGGACGAAGAUUUUGCCCUUGCUGAUCAUUGUCUUCAUCUUCAGCAUUGGCUUCACAGGUUGAUUAGGUGCAGAAAUGAUGGUUUCUUCUUUAGCCUAUGCCUCUGAAGGUAUGAUUUCUCCAGUACCCAUAAGCUUGAUAGAUUCACUUGGUGAGGCUUCAUCUAGCACAUUUGGCAGGUGCUCUCUUUGCGAGCCGUUAGUCUCAUCGAACCGCACAUCCACAGUUUCAACCACUUUAUAAUGAAAGAGGUUGAAGACUCUGUUGGAGUGCGAAUCUGAUACGUCUCCAGCGUAUCUAUAAUUCUUGAUUGUUCCAUGCUAUUAUGUAUUCUGUUUUGGAUGUUUAAUGGGCUUUAUUAUACACUUUUUAUUAUUUUUGGGACUAACCUAUUAACCGGAGGCCCAGCCCAAAUUGUUGUUUUUUUGCCUAUUUUAGUGUUUCGAAGGAAAAUAAUAUCAAACAGAGUCCAAACGGAAUGAAACCUUCGGGAACAUGAUUUUCGGAACAAACGUGAUCCAGAGGACUUGGAGUGGACGUCAAGCAACAGACGAGGAAGCCACGAGGUGGGGGGCGCGCCCUCCACCCUCGUGGGCCCCUCGUGGCUCCACCGACCUACUUCUUCCCCCUAUAUAUACCUACGUACCCCCAAACCAUCAAGGAGCACCACGAAAACCUAAUUCCACCGCUGCAACCUUCUGUACCCAUGAGAUCCCAUCUUGGGGCCUUCUCCGGCGUCCUGCCGAAGAGGGCAUUGAUCACGAAGGGCUUCUACAUCAACAACCAUAGCCUCCCCGAUGAUGUGUGAGUAGUUUACCUCAGACCUUGGGGUCCAUAGUUAUUAGCUAGAUGGCUUCUUCUCUCUCUUUGGAUCUCAAUACAAAGUUCUCCUCGAUUCCCUUGGAGAUCUAUUUGAUGUAACUCUUCUUUGGCGGUGUGUUUGUUGAGAUCCGAUGAAUUCUGGGUUUAUGAUCUAGAUUAUCUAUGAACAAUAUUUGAAUCUCCUCUGAAUUCUUUUAUGUAUGAUUGGUUAUCUUCGCAAGUCUCUUCGAAUUAUCAGUUUGGUUUGGCCUACUAGAUUGAUCUUUCUUGCAAUGGGAGAAGUGCUUAGCUUUGGGUUCAAUCUUGCGGUGCUCGAUCCCAGUGACAGUAGGGGAAAUGACACGUAUUGUAUUGUUGCCAUCGAGGAUAAAAAGAUGGGGUUUAUAUCAUAUUGCAUGAGUUUAUCCCUCUACAUCAUGUCAUCUUGCUUAAAGCGUUACUCUGUUCUUAUGAAAUUAAUACUCUAGAUGCAUGCUGGAUAGCGGUCGAUGUGUGGAGUAAUAGUAGUAGAUGCAGAAUCGUUCCGGUCUACUUGUCACGGACAUGAUGCCUAUAUACAUGAUCAUACCUAGAUAUUCUCAUAACUAUGCUCAAUUCUAUCAAUUGCUUGACAGUAAUUCAUUUACCCACUGUAAUACUUAUGCUAUCUUGAGAGAAGCCACUAGUGAAACCUAUGGCCCCCAGGUCUAUUUUCCAUCAUAUUAAUCUCCCAACAACUAGCUAUUUCUGGCGCCGUUUAUUUUGCUUUCUUUACUUUUACUCUUUACAAUAAAAAUACCAAAAAUAUUAUCUUAUCAUCUCUAUCAGAUCUCACUCUCCUAAGUGACCGUGAAGGGAUUGACAACCCCUUUAUCGCGUUGGUUGCGAGGUUCUUAUUUGUUUGUGUAGGUACGAGGGACUUGCGUGUGGCCUCCUACUGGAUUGAUACCUUGGUUCUCAAAAACUGAGGGAAAUACUUACGCUACUUUACCGCAUCACCCUUUCCUCUUCAAUGGAAAACCAACGCAGUGCUCAAGAGGUAGCAAGAAGGAUUUCUGGCGCCGUUGUCGGGGAGUCUACGCACAAGUCAAGACAUACCUAGUACCCAUCACAAACUCUUAUCCCUCGCAUUACAUUAUUUGCCAUUUGCCUCUCGUUUUCCUCUCCCCCACUUCACCCUUGCCGUUUUAUUCACCCUCUCUUUUUCCGUUCGCCUCUUUUUUUCUCGCUUGCUUCUUGUUCGCUCGUGUGUUGGAUUGCUUGCUUGUCACGAUGGCUCAAGAUAAUACUAAAUUGUGUGACUUUACCAAUACCAACAACAAUUAUUUUCUUAGCACUCCGAUUGCUCCUCUUACCGAUGCUGAAUCUUGUGAAAUUAAUGCUGCUUUGCUGAAUCUUGUCAUGAAAUAUCAAUUCGCCGGCCUUCCUAGUGAAGAUGCCGCUACCCAUCUAAAUAGCUUUGUUGAUUGUGAUAUGCAAAAGAAGAAAGAUGUGGACAAUGAUAUUGUUAAGUUGAAACUAUUUCUGUUUUCGCUUAGAGAUCGUGCUAAAACUUGGUUUUCGUCUUUGCCUAAAAAUAGUAUUGAUUCUUGGAAUAAGUGCAAAGAUGCUUUUAUCUCUAAGUAUUUUCCUCCCGCUAAGAACAUCUCUCUUAGAAACGAUAUUAUGAAUUUUAAGCAACUUGAUCAUGAACAUGUUGCACAAGCUUGGGAGAGGAUGAAAUUAAUGAUACGUAAUUGCCCUACUCAUGGUUUGAAUUAUGGAUGAUUAUACAAAAAAUUAUGCCAGAUUGAAUUUUGCUUCUAGAAAUCUUUUAGAUUCAGUUGCGGGAGGCACUUUUAUGGAAAUCACUUUAGGAGAAGCUACUAAACUCCUAGAUAAUAUUAUGGUUAAUUAUUCUCAAUGGCACACCAAAAGAUCUAAUAGUAAAAAGGUGCAUGCGAUAGAAGAAAUUAAUGUUUUGAGUGGAAAGAUGGAUGAACUUAUGAAAUUGUUUGCUAAUAAGAGUGUUUCUUCUAAUCCUAAUGAUAUGCCCUUGUCUACCUUGAUUGAGAGUAAUAAUGAAUCUCUGGAUGUGAAUUUUGUUGGUAGGAAUAAUUUUGGUAGCAACGCGUAUAGAGGAAACUUUAAUCCUAGGCCGUUCCAUAGUAAUUCCUCUAAUAAUUAUGGUAAUUCCUACAACAAUUCUUAUGGAAAUUUUAAUAAGAUGCCCUCUGAAUUCGAGACUAGUGUUAAAAGUUUAUGAUUUCUCAAAAGAAUUUCAAUGCCUUGCUUGAAGAAAAAUUUCUUAAAGUUGACGAACUGGCUAGGAACGAGGAUAGAAUUUCUCUUGAUGUUGAUUCUUUGAAACUUAGAUCUAUUCCACCUAAGCAUGAUAUCAAUGAGUCUCUCAAAGCCAUGAGAAUAUCCAUUGAUGAGUGCAAAGAAAGAACCGCUAGGAUGCAUGCUAAGAAAGAUUGCUUUGUAAAAGCGUGUUCUUCUAAUUUUUAUGAGAAUAAAAAUGAAGAUCUAAAAGUUAUUGAUGUUUCCCCUAUUAAAUCUUUGUUUUGCAAUAUGAAUCUUGAUAAUGAUGGGACUGGAGAUGAGUCAACUUUAGUUAGAAGGCAUCCCAAAAAUUUGGAGUUUUUAGAUCUUGAUACAAAAUUUGGUAAAAGUGGGAUUGAAGAGGUCAAAACUUUAGAUAUCAAUGAACCCACUAUCUUGGAUUUCAAGGAAUUUAAUUAUGAUAAUUGCUCUUUGAUAGAUUGUAUUUCCUUGUUGCAAUCCGUGCUAAAUUCUCCUCAUGCUUAUAGUCAAAAUAAAGCUUUUACUAAACAUAUCGUUGAUGCUUUAAUGCAAUCUUAUGAAGAAAAACUUGAGUUGGAAGUUUCUAUCCCUAGAAAACUUUAUGAGGAGUGGGAACCUACUAUUGAAAUUAAGAUUAAAGAUCAUGAAUGCUAUGCUUUGUGUGAUUUGGGUGCUAGUGUUUCCACGAUUCCCAAAACUUUGUGUAAUUUGCUAGGUUUCCGUGAAUUUGAUGAUUGUUCUCUAAACUUGCAUCUUGCGGAUUACACCAUUAAGAAACGUAUGGGAAGAAUUAAUGAUGUUCUUAUUGUUGCAAAUAGGAACUAUGUGCCCGUAGAUUUUAUUGUUCUUGAUAUAGAUUGCAAUCCUUCAUGUCCUAUUAUUCUUGGUAGACCUUUCUUUAGAACGAUUGGUGCAAUUAUUGAUAUGAAGGAAAGGAAUAUUAGAUUCCAAUUUCUGUUAAGGAAAGGCAUGGAACACUUCCCUAGAAAUAAUAUUAAAUUACCAUAUGAAUCUAUUAUGAGAGCCACUUAUGGAUUGCCUACCAAAGAUGGCAAUACCUAGAUCUAUCCUUGCUUUUAUGCGUAGCUAAGGGCUUUAAACGAUAGCGCUUGUUGGAAGGCAACCCUAUUUUAUUUUAGUUUUUUUUUUUACUUUUUUGCUUCUGUUUAGGAAUAAAUCUUUGAUCCAGCCUCUGGUUUGAUUUGUUUUUGUGUUUUAAUUAGUGUUUGUGCCAAGUUAAACCUAUAGGAUCUUCUUGGAUGAUAGUUAUUUGAUCUUGCUGAAAAUUCCAGAAACUUUCUGUUCACGAAAACAAUUUUUAAAAAUCACCAGAAUGUUAUAAAAUACUGAUUCCAAUUGAAGUAGAUAACUAAACAAAUUAUCUAAGUCGUCCUAUUUUGGUGGAUUUUUCUGAGUUCCAGAAGUUUGCGUUAGUUACAGAUUACUACAGACUGUUCUGUUUUUGACAGAUUCUGUUUUUCGUGUGUUGUUUGCUUAUUUUGAUGAAUCUAUGGCUAGUAAAAUAGUUUAUAAACCAUAGAGAAGUUGGAAUACAGUAGGUUUACCACCAAUAUAAAUAAAUAAUGAUUUCAUUACAGUACCUUGAAGUGGUGUUUUGUUUUCUUCCGCUAACGGAGCUCAUGAGAUUUUCUGUUAAGUUUUGUGUUGUGAAGUUUUCAAGUUUUGGGUAAGGAUUUGAUGGAUUAUGGAAUAAGGAGUGGCAAGAGCCUAAGCUUGGGGAUACCCAAGGCACCCCAAUAUAAAUCUAAGGACACCAAAAAGCCAAAGCUUGGGGGUGCCCCGGAAGGCAUCCCCUCUUUCGUCUUCGUCCAUCGGUAACGUUACUUGGAGCUAUAUUUUUAUUCACCACAUGAUAAGUGUUUUGCUUGGAGCGUCUUGUAUGAUUUGAGUCUUUACUUUUUAGUUUACCAUAAUCAUCCUUGCUAUACACACCUUUUGAGAGAGACACACGUGAUUCGGAAUUUAUUAGAAUACUCUAUGUGCUUCACUUAUAUCUUUUGAGCUAUAUAGUUUUUGCUCUAGUGCUUCACUUAUAUCUUUUAGAGCACGGCGGUGGUUUUGUUUUAUAGAAACUAUUGAUCUCUUAUGCUUCACUUAUAUUAUUUUGAGAGUCCUACAAAACAGCAUGGUAAUUUGCUUAAAUUGAGAUGGUAGUCCUAAUACGAUAGGCAUCCAAGAUUAGUAAAAACUUUCUUAUAAGUGUGUUGAAUACUAAGAGAAGUUUGAUACUUGAUAAUUGUUUUGAGAUAUGAAGAUGGCGAUAUUAGAGUCAUGCUAGUUGAGUAGUUGUGAAUUUGAGAAAUACUUGUGUUAAAGUUUGUGAUUCCCGUAGCAUGCACGUAUGGUGAACCGUUAUGUGAUGAAGUUGGAGCAUGAUUUAUUUAUUGAUUAUCUUCCUUAUGAGUGGCGGUCGGGGACGAGCGAUGGUCUUUUCCUACCAAUCUAUCCCCCUAGGAGCAUGCGCGUAAUACUUUGUUUCGAUAACUAAUAGAUUUUUGCAAUAAGUAUGUGAGUUCUUUAUGACUAAUGUUGAGUCCAUGGAUUAUACGCACUCUCACCCUUCCACCAUUGCUAGCCUCUCUAAUACCGCGCACUUUUCGCCCAUAUCAUACACCCACCAUAUACCUUCCUCAAAACAGCCACCAUACCCACCUAUUAUGGCAUUUCCAUAGUCAUUCCGAGAUAUAUUGCCAUGCAACUUACCAUCGUUCCGUUUACUAUGACACGCUCCAUCAUUGUCAUAUUGCUUUGCAUGAUCAUGUAGUUGACAACGUAUUUGUGGCAAAGCCACCAUUCAUCAUUUGUCACUCUUGAUUCAUUGCAUAUCCCGGUACACCGCCGAGGCAUUCACAUAGAGUCAUACUCUAUUCUAAGUAUUGAGUUGUAAGUAAAUAAAAGUGUGAUGAUCAUCAUUAUUAGAGCAUUGUCCCAUGUGAGGAAAGGAUGAUGGAGACUAUGAUUCCCCCACAAGUCGAGAUGAGACUCUGGACUAAAUAAAAAAGAGAAGGCCAAAAGAAAGAAAGGAAGGCCCAAAAAAAUAUGAGAGAAAAAGAGAGAAGGGACAAUGCUACUAUCCUUUUUUCACACUUGUGCUUCAAAGUAGCACCAUGAUCUUUAUGAUAGAGAGUCUCUUGAUUUGUCACUUUCAUAUACUAGUGGGAAUUUUUCAUUAUAGAACUUGGCUUGUAUAUUCCAAUGAUGGUCUUCCUCAAAAUGCCCUAGGUCUUGUGAGCAAGCAAGUUGGAUGCACACUCACUUAGUUUCUUUUGUUGAGCUUUCAUACACUUAUAGCUCUAGUGCAUCCGUUGCAUGGCAAUCCCUACUCACUCACAUUGAUAUCUAUUAAUGGGCAUAUCCAUAGCCCAUUGAUAUGCCUAGUUGAUGUGAGACUAUCUUCUCCUUUUUUGUCUUCUCCACAACCACCAUUCUAUUCCACAUAUAGUGCUAUGUCCUUGGCUCACGCUCAUGUAUUGCGUGAAUAUUGAAAAAGUUUGAGAACAUCAAAAGUAUGAAACAAUUGCUUGGUUUGUCCUCGGGGUUGUGCAUGAUUAAAUACUUUGUGUCAUGAAGAUAGAGCAUAGCCAGACUAUAUGCUUUUGUAGGGAUAACUUUCUUUGGCCAUGUUAUUUUGAGAAGACAUGAUUGCUUAGUUAGUGUGCUUGAAGUAUUAUUAUUUUUAUGUCAAUACUAAACCUUUAUCAUGAAUCUUUCGGACCUGAAUAUUCAUACCACAAAUAAGAGAAUUACAUUAAGGAAUAUGCUAGGUAGCAUUCCACAUCAAAAAUUCUGUUUUUAUCAUUUACCUACUCGAGGACGAGCAGGAAUUAAGCUUGGGGAUGCUUGAUACGUCUCCAACGUAUCUAUAAUUUUUUAUUGUUCCAUGCUAUUAUAUAUUCUGUUUUGGAUGUUUAAUGGGAUUUAUUAUACACUUUUAUAUUAUUUUUGGGACUAACCUAUUAACCGGAGGCCCAGCCCAAAUUGUUUUUUUUCCUAUUUCAGUGUUUCGAAGGAAAAGAAUAUCAAAUGGAGUCCAAAUGGAAUGAAACCUUCGGGAACGUGAUUUUCGGAAUAAACGUGAUCCAGAGGACUUGGAGUGGAUCUCAAGCAACAGACGAGGAAGCCACGAGGUAGGGGGACGCGCCUACCCCCCCAGGACGCGCCCUCCACCCUCAUGGGCCCCUCGUGGCUCCACUGACCUACUUCUUCCUCCUAUAUAUACCUACGUAACCCCAAACCAUCGAGGAGCACCACGAAAACCUAAUUCCACCGCCGCAACCUUCUGUAUCCGUGAGAUCCCAUCUUGGGGCAUUCUCCGGCGUCCUGCCGGAGGGGGCAUUGAUCAUGGAGGGCUUCUACAUCAACACCAUAGCCUCUCCGAUGAUGUGUGAGUAGUUUACCUCAGGCCUUCGGGUCCAUAGUUAUUAGCUAGAUGGCUUCUUCUCUCUCUUUGGAUCUCAAUACAAAGUUCUCCUCGAUUCCCUUGGAGAUCUAUUUGAUGUAACUCUUCUUUUUGCAGUGUGUUUGUCGAGAUCUGAUGAAUUGUGGGUUUAUGAUCCAGAUUAUCUAUGAACAAUAUUUGAAUCUCCUCUGAAUUCUUUUAUGUAUGAUUGAUUAUCUUUGCAAGUCUCUUCGAAUUAUCAGUUUGGUUUGGCCUACUAGGUUGAUCUUUCUUGCAAUGGGAGAAGUGCUUAGCUUUGGGUUCAAUCUUGUGGUGCUCGAUCCCAGUGACAGUAGGGGAAACGACACGUAUUGUAUUGUUGUCAUCGAGGAUAAAAAGAUGGGGCUUUUAUCAUAUUUCAUAAGUUUAUCCCUCUACAUUAUGUUAUCUUGCUUAAAGUGUUACUUUGUUCUUAUGAACUUAAUACUCUAGAUGCAUGCUGGAUAGCGGUCGAUGUGUGGAGUAAUAGUAGUAGAUGCAGAAUCGUUUCAGUCUACUUGUCACGGACGUGAUGCCUAUAUACAUGAUCAUACCUAGAUAUUCUCAUAACUAUGCUCAAUUCUAUCAAUUGCUCGACAGUAGUUCGUUUACCCACCGUAAUACUUAUGCUAUCUUGAGAGAAGCCACUAGUGAAACCUAUGGCCCCCGGGUCUAUUUUCCAUCAUAUUAAUCUCCCAACAACUAGCUAUUUCUGGCGUCGUUUAUUUUGCUUUCUUUACUUUUACUCUUUACCAUAAAAAUACCAAAAAUAUUAUCUUAUCAUCUCUAUUAGAUCUCACUCUCGUAAGUGACCGUGAAGGGAUUGACAACCCCUUUAUCGCGUUGGUUGCGAGGUUCUUAUUUGUUUUUUGCAGGUACGAGGGACUUGCGUGUGGCCUCCUACUGGAUUGAUACCUUGGUUCUCAAAAACUGAGGGAAAUACUUACGCUACUUUACUGCAUCACCCUUUCCUCUUCAAGGGAAAACCAACGCAGUGCUCAAGAGGUAGCAGAAUCCUUUCCGUAGGCAAGCAUAAAACCAUCAUGUGCUUUGGGUGCAAAUUUUGAAGUGUGAUGUGGAUCCUUGAUCCAGCACCUAGCACCAAAUACUCUGAAGUAGCUGACAUUUGGCUUCUUACCAGUCAGGAGCUCAUAAGAUAUCUUCUUUAGAAGCUUGUGAAGAUAAACACAGUUGAUGACGUGGCAUGCCGUCUCAAUGGCUUCAGGCCAGAAUUUCCUUGGAGUCUUGUACUCAUCAAGCAUCAUCCGUUCCAUCUCAAUGAGGGUUCUGUUCUUGUGCUCCAUGAUGCCAUUCUACUGAGGUGUGUAUGGAGCUCAGAACUCAUGUGUGAUGCCCAAUGUAUCAAGAUAAGUGUCGAGGCCGGUGUUCUUGAAUUCUAUGUCGUUGUCACUUCUGAUGUGCUUGAUCUUGAUGCCAUAGUUGGUCAUGGCGCGAUUGGCGAAUUGUCUGAAGACAUCCUGCACUUCAUUCUUGUAGAGGAUUAUGUGCACCCAUGUAUAUCUUGAGUAAUCAUCAACAAUAAUGAAGCCAUUGAGGUAAGUAGUGGUAGUAAGGGUAGAGUAGUGAGUAGGGCCAAAUAAGUCCAUGUGAAGCAGCUCGAAGGGAUGUGUCGUUGUCAUGAUUGUCUUUGAGGGAUGCUUGGCCCUAGUCAUCUUUCCAGCUUCGCAGGCACCAGAAAUAUGAUCCGUCUUGAACUUGACACCCUCGAUGCCUACGACAUGCUUCUUCUUUGCGAGAGUGUACAAGUUCCUCAUGCUAGCAUGCCCUAGCCUCCGAUGCCAGAGCCAACAUUCUGAAGCGUUUUCUAGAAGACAUACGGCCGUCUGUGGUCCUACAGAGAAAUCUACCAUAUACAGAUCAUCUUUUCGAUACCCUUCAAAGACUAGAGAUUUGUCAGAUUCCAUAAGCACAAGGCAACGAUAUUUUCCAAAUAUCACAAUCAUAUUCAGAUCACAAAGCAUUGAGACAGACAUUAAGUUGAAACCAAGGGAUUCAACAAGCAUCACUUUAUCCAUGUGCUGAUCCUUUGAGAUUGCAACUCUACCUCGACCCAAUACCUUGCUUUUACCAGUGUCAGCAAAUGUGAUGUGACUCUUGUCAGACGGACAUAGGGUUGAAUCCAUGAGAAGACUUCGAUCACCAGUCAUGUGGUUAGUGCAUUGCUACCUCUUGAGCUUGUGUUGGAUUUCCCCGAAGAGGAGAGGAUGAUGCAGCAGAGUAGCGUAAGUAUUUCCCUCAGUUUUUGAGAACCAAGGUAUCAAUCCAGUAGGAGGCGACGCGCAAGUCCCUCGUACCUACACAAAAGCAAUAGCUCCUCGCAACCAACGUGAUUGGGGGUUAUCAAUCCCUUCACGGUCACUUACGAGAGUGAGAUCUGAUAGAGAUGAUAGAUAAUAUUUUUGGUAUUUUUGAUAUAGAGAUGCAAAGCAAAAAGUAAAACGCAAAGCAAGAUUAAAGUGAUGGAGAUUGAUAUGAUGAGAAUAGACCCGGGGGCCAUAGGUUUCACGAGUGGCUUCUCUCAAGAGCAUAAGUAUUCUACAGUGGGUGAACAAAUUACUGUUGAGCAAUUGACAGAAUUGAGCAUAGUUAUGAGAAUAUCUAGGUAUGAUCAUGUAUAUAGGCAUCACGUUCGAGACAAGUAGAUCGACUCCUGCCUGCAUCUACUACUAUUACUCCACUCAUCGACCGCUAUCCAGCAUGCAUCUAGAGUAUUAAGUUAAAAACAGAGUAACAGCUUAAGCAAGAUGACAUGGUGUAGAGAGAUAAAUUCAUGCAAUAUGAAAUAAACCCCAUCUUGUUAUCCUCGAUGGCAACAAUACAAUACGUGCCUUGCUGCCCCUUCUGUCACUAGGAAAGGACACCGCAAGAUCGAACCCAAAGCUAAGCACUUCUCCCAUGGCAAGAACUACCAAUCUAGUUGGCCAAACCAAAUGGAUAAUUCGAAGAGACUUGCAAUGAUAACGAAUCAUACAUAAAAGAAUUCAGAGAAGAUUCAAAUAGUAUUCAUAGAUAGACUUGAUCAUAAACCCACAAUUCAUCGGUCUCAACAAACACACCGUGAAAAUAAGAUUACAUCGAAUAGAUCUCCACAAGAGAGGGGGAGAACAUUGUAUUGAGAUCCAAAAGGAGAGAAGAAACCAUCUAGCUACUAACUAUGGACCCGAAGGUUUGAGGUAAACUACUCACACUUCAUCGGAGAGGCUAUGAUGAUGUAGAAGCCCUCCGUAAUGACGGCCCUCUCCGGCGGAGCUCUGGAACAGGCCCCAAGAUGGGAUCUCAUGGAUACAGAAAGUUGCGGCGGUGGAAUUAGGUUUUUGGCUCCGUCUCUGAUCGUUUGGGGGUACAUAGGUAUAUAUAGGAGGAAGAAGUACGUCGGUGGAGCUUCGAUGGGCCCACAAGGGUGGGGGCNNNNNNNNNNNNNNNNNNNNNNNNNNNNNNNNNNNNNNNNNNNNNNNNNNNNNNNNNNNNNNNNNNNNNNNNNNNNNNNNNNNNNNNNNNNNNNNNNNNNNNNNNNNNNNNNNNNNNNNNNNNNNNNNNNNNNNNNNNNNNNNNNNNNNNNNNNNNNNNNNNNNNNNNNNNNNNNNNNNNNNNNNNNNNNNNNNNNNNNNNNNNNNNNNNNNNNNNNNNNNNNNNNNNNNNNNNNNNNNNNNNNNNNNNNNNNNNNNNNNNNNNNNNNNNNNNNNNNNNNNNNNNNNNNNNNNNNNNNNNNNNNNNNNNNNNNNNNNNNNNNNNNNNNNNNNNNNNNNNNNNNNNNNNNNNNNNNNNNNNNNNNNNNNNNGGCGUAGGGUCCAAGUCUCCUAGGUCAUAUUCGGUGAGAAAAUCACGUUCCCGAAGGUUUUAUUCCGUUUGGACUCCGUUUGAUAUUCCGUUUCUUCGAAACACUGAAAUAGGCAAAAAAACAGCAAUUCUGGGCUGGGCCUCCAGUUAAUAGGUUAGUCCCAAAAAUAAUAUAAAAGUGGAAAAUAAAGCCCAAUAUAAUCCAAAACAGUAGAUAAUAUAGCAUGGAGCAAUCAAAAAUUAUAGAUAUGUUGGAGACGUAUCAGGCAUCCCCAAGCUUAAUUCCUGCUCGUCCUCGAGUAGGUAAAUGAUAAAAAGAGAAUUUUUGAUGCGGAGUGCUACUUGGCAUAAUUUCAAUGCAAAUAUUCUUAAUUGUGGUAUGAAUAUUCAGAUUCGAAAGAUUCAAGACAAAAGUUCAUGUUGACAUAAAAACAAUAAUACUUCAAGCAUACUAAUAAAGCAAUUAUGUCUUCUCAAAAUAACAUGGCUAAAGAAAGUUAUCCCUACAAAAUCAUAUAGGCUGGUGCUCUAUUUUCACCACACAAAGUAUUUAAAUCAUGCACAACCCUAAUGACAAGCCAAGCAAUUGUUUCAUACUUUAACAUUUUCAAAACUUUUUCAAUCUUCACGCAAUACAUGAGCGUGAGUCAUGGACAUAGCACUAUAUAUGGAAUAGAAUGGUGGUUGUGGAGAAGACAAAAGGGGAGAAGAUAGUCUCACAUCAACUAGGCGUAUGAACGGGCUAUGGAGAUGCCCAUCAAUAGAUAUCAAUGUGAGUGAGUAGGGAUUGCCAUGCAACGGAUGCACUAGAGCUAUAAGUAUAUGAAAGCUCAUCAAAAGAAACUAAGUGGGUGUGCAUCCAACUUGCUUGCUCACGAAGACCUAGGGAAAUUUGAGGAAGCCCAUCAUUGGAAUAUACAAGCCAAGUUCUAUAAUGAAAAAUUCCCGCUAGUAUAUGAAAGUGACAAAAUGAGAGACUCUCUAUAAGAUCAUGGUGCUACUUUGAAGCACAAGUGUGGUAAAAGGAUAGUAACAUUGUCCCUUCUCUCUUUUUCUCUCAUUUUUUUAUUUGGGCCUUUUUUAUGGCCUCUUUUUUUAUUUUAUUUUAUUUUUCGUCCGGAGCCUCAUCCCGACUUAUGGGGGAAUCAUAGUCUCCAUCAUCCUUUCCUCACUUGGGAAAAUGCUCUAAAAAUUGAUGAUCAUCACACUUUUAUUUUUCUAACAACUCAACAAUUACAACUCGAUACUUAGAACAAAUAUGACUCUAUAUGAAUGCCUCCGGCAGUGUACCGGGAUAUGCAAUGAAUCAAGAGUGACAUGUAUGAAAGAAUUAUGAACGGUGGCUUUGCCAUGAAUACGAUGUCAACUACAUGAUCAUGCUAGCAAUAUGACAAUGAUGGAGCACGUCAUAAUAAACGGAACGGUGGAAAGUUGCAUGGCAAUAUAUCUCGGAAUGGCUAUGGAAAUGCCAUGAUAGGUAGGUAUGGUGGCUGUUUUGAGGAAGGUAUAUGGUGGGUGUAUGAUACCGGCGAAAAGUGCGCGGUAUUAGAGAGGCUAGCAAUGGUGGAAGGAUGGGAAAAAGUGCGUAUAAUCCAUGGACUCAACAUUAGUCAUAGAGAACUCAUAUACUUAUUGCAAAAAUCUAGAAGUUAUCAAAGCAAAGUAUUACGCGCAUGCUCCUAGGGGGACAGAUUGGUAGGAAAAGACCAUCGCUCGUCCCCGACCGCCACUCAUAAGGAAGACAAUCAAUAAAUAAAUCAUGCUCCGACUUCAUCACAUAACGGUUCACCAUACGUGCAUGCUACGGGAAUCACAAACUUUAACACAAGAAUUUCUCAAAUUCACAAAUACUCAACUGGCAUGACUCUAAUAUCACCAUCUUCAUAUCUCAAAACAAUUAUCAUGCAUCAAUCUUUUCUUAGUAUUCAACGUACUAAAAAGAAGUUUCACAAAUCUUGAAUACCAAGCAUAUUAUUAUUAAGCAAAUUACCAUGCUAUUAAGACUCUCAAGAUAAUCUAAGUGAAGCAUGAGAGAUCAAUAGUCUCUUUAAAACAAACCACCACCGUGCUCUAAAAGAUCUAAGUGAAGCACAUAGAGCAAAAUUAUAACGCUCGAAAGAUAUAAGUGAAGCACAUAGAGCAAAACUACAUAGCUCAAAAGACCAAGAAUUCUACCAAAAUUAGACAACCUAGACAAUUUGUUUAUUGAUCAGCAGAAAUUGGAAUCAGUAUUUUAUCACGUUCUGGUGAUUUUUAAGAAUUCGGGCACUGAGCACAAAGUUUCUGGAAAUUACAGCAAGAUCAAAUAACUAUCAUCCAAGAAGAUCCAAUAGGUCUAACUUGGCACAAACACUAAUUAAAACACGAAAGCACAUCCAAACUGAAGGUAGAUGGAUUAUUUAUUCCCUAACAGAAGAAAAACACAAAAAACUAAAAAUAAAAUUGGGUUGCCUCCCAACAAGCGCUAUCGUUUAACGCCCCUAGCUAGGCAUAAAAGCGAGGAUAGAUCUAGGUAUUGCCAUCUUUGGUAGGCAAUCCAUAAGUGGCUCUCAUGAUAGUUUCAUAUGGAAAUUUUAUUUUCUUUCUAGGAAAGUGUUCCAUGCCCUUUUUUAAUGGAAAUUGGAAUCUAAUAUUCCCUUCCUUCCUAUCAAUAAUCGCACCAACUGUUCUAAGGAAAGGUCUACCAAGAAUAAUAGGGCAAGAAGGAUUGCAAUCUAUAUCAAGAACGAUGAAAUCUACGGGCACAUAAUUCCUAUUUGCAACAAUAAGAACAUCUUUAAUCCUUCCCAUAGGUUUCUUAAUAGUGGAAUCCGCAAGAUGCAAGUUUAGAGAGCAAUCAUCAAAAUCACGGAAAUCUAGCAAAUCACACAAAGUUUUGGGGAUAGUGGAGACACUAGCACCCAAAUCACACAAAGCAUAAAACUCGUGAUCUUUAAUUUUAGUUUUAGUAGUAGGUUCCCACUCAUCAUAGAGUUUUCUAGGGAUAGAGACAUUCAACUCAAGUUUUUCUUCAUAAGAUUGCAUCACGGCGUCAACAAUAUGUUCGGUAAAGGCUUUCUUUUGACUAUAAGCAUGAGGAGAAUUUAGCACGGAUUGCAACAAGGAAAUACAAUCAAUUAAAGAGCAACUUUCAUAAUUAAAUUCCUUGAAUUCCAAUAUAGUGGGUUUAGCAACAUCUAGGGUUUUAUUUCUUUCAAUCCCACUUUCAUCAAUUUCAUCAUAGAGAUCUAAAUACUCUGAAUUUUUGGAACGCCUUCUAGGUAAAGGAAGAUCAUAUUCAGUUUCAUCAAGAUUCAUAUUGCAAAACAAAGAUUUGAUAGGGGACACAUCAAUAACUUUUAGAUCUUCAUCUUGAUUUUCAUAGGAAUUGGAAGAACACGCUUUAAUAAAGGCAUCUUUCGUAGCACGCAUCCUAGCGGUUCUUUCCUUGCACUCAUCAAUGGAAAUUCUCAUAGCUUUGAGAGACUCAUUGAUAUCAUGCUUAGGAGGAAUAGAUCUAAGCUUUAAAGAAUCAACCUCAAGAGAAACUCUAUCAACGUUCCUAGCCAAAUCAUCAACUUUAAGAAAUUUCUCUUCAAGGAAAGCAUUAAAAUUCUUUUGUGAAUUCAUAAACUCUUUGACACUACUCUCAAAUUCAGAGGGCAUCUUAUUAAAAUUUCCAUAAGAAUUGUUGUAGGAAUUUCCAUAAUUAGAAGGAUUACUAGGAUAAGGCCUAGGAUUAAAAUUCCCUCUAUAUGCGUUGUUACCAAAAUUAUUCCUACCAACAAAAUUCACAUCCAUAGAUUCAUUAUUAUUUUCAAUCAAAGUAGACAAAGGCAUAUCAUUAGGAUCAGAAGAAACACUUUUAGUAGCAAAUAAUUUCAUAAGUUCAUCCAUCUUUCCACUCAAAACAUUAAUUUCUUUUAUCGCAUGCACUUUUUUAUUAGAAGAUCUUUCAGUAUGCCAUUGGGAAUAAUUAACCAUAAUAUUAUCUAGGAGUUUAGUAGCAUCUCCUAAAGUGAUUUCCAUAAAAGUGCCUCCCGCGGCCUAAUCUAAAAGAUUUCUAGAAGCAAAAUUCAAUCCGGCAUAAAAAUUUUGUAUAAUCAUCCACAAAUUCAAACCAUGAGUAGGGCAAUUACGUAUCAUUAAUUUCAUUCUCUCCUAAGCUUGUGCAACAUGUUCAUGAUCAAGUUGCUUAAAAUUCAUAAUGUCGUUUCUAAGAGAGAUGAUCUUAGCGGGAGGAAAAUACUUAGAGAUAAAAGCAUCUUUGCACUUGUUCCAAGAAUCAAUACUAUUUUUAGGCAAAGACGAAAACCAAGCUUUAGCACGAACUCUAAGCGAAAAAGGAAAUAGCUUCAAUUUAACAACGUCAUUAUCAACAUCUUUUUUCUUUUGCAUAUCACAUAAAUCAACGAAGCUAUUCAGAUGAGUAGCAGCAUCUUCACUAGGAAGGCCGGCGAAUUGAUCUUUCAUAACAAGAUUCAACAAAGCAGUAUUGAUUUCACAAGAUUCAGUAUUGGCAAGAGGAGCAAUCGGAGUGCUAAGGAAAUCAUUAUUGUUGGUAUUGGUGAAGUCACACAAUUUGGUAGUAUCUUGAGCCAUCGCGACAAACAAGCAAUCCAACACACGAGCAAACAAAAGGCAGGCGAGAAAAAAGGAAAACGGAGAAAGAGGAGGAGGAGGAGAAGGAGAAAGAGAAGGCGAAUAAAACGGCAAGGGUGAAGUGGGGGAGAGGAAAAUGAGAGGCAAAUGGCAACUAAUGUAAUGCGGGAGAUAGGGAUUGUGAUGGUUACUUGGUAUGUUGACUUUUUUUGCGUAGACUCCCCGACAAUGGCGCCAUAAAUUCUUCUUGCUACCUCUUGAGCUUGCCUUGGAUUUCCCCGAAGAGGAGAUUUGAUGCCGUAGAGUAGCGUAAGUAUUUCCCUCAGUUUUUGAGAACCAAGAUAUCAAUCCAGUAGGAGGCCACGCGCAAGUCCCUCGUACCUACACAAAAGCAAUAGCUCCUCGCAACCAACGCGAUUAGGGGUUGUCAAUCCCCUCACGGUCACUUACGAGAGUGAGAUCUGAUAGAGAUGAUAGAUAAUAUUUUUGGUAUUUUUGAUAUAGAGAUGCAAAGCAAAAAGUAAAAGGCAAAGUAAAAAGCAAAGCAAGAUUAAAGUGAUGGAGAUUGAUAUGAUGAGAAUAGACCCGGGGGCCAUAGGUUUCACUAGUGGCUUCUCUCAAGAGCAUAAGUAUUCUACGGUGGGUGAACAAAUUACUGUUGAGCAAUUGACAGAAUUGAGCAUAGUUAUGAGAAUAUCUAGGUAUGAUCAUGUAUAUAGGCAUCACGUCCGAGACAAGUAGAUCGACUCCUGCCUGCAUCUACUACUAUUACUCCACUCAUCGACCGCUAUCCAGCAUGCAUCUAGAGUAUUAAGUUAAAAAUAGAGUAACGCCUUAAGCAAGAUGACAUGAUGUAGAGAGAUAAAUUCAUGCAAUAUGAAAUAAACCCCAUCUUGUUAUCCUCGAUGGCAACGAUACAAUACGUGCCUUGCUGCCCCUUCUGUCACUGGGAAAGGACACCGCAAGAUCGAACCCAAAGCUAAGCACUUCUCCCAUGGCAAGAACUACCAAUCUAGUUGGCCAAACCAAACGGAUAAUUCGAAGAGACUUGCAAUGAUAACCAAUCAUACAUAAAAGAAUUCAGAGAAGAUUCAAAUAUUAUUCAUAGAUAGACUUUAUCAUAAACCCACAAUUCAUCGGUCUCAACAAACACACCACAAAAAGAAGAUUACAUCAAAUAGAUCUCCACAAGAGAGGGGGAGAACAUUGUAUUGAGAUCCAAAAAGAGAGAAGAAGCCAUCUAGCUACUAACUAUGGACCCGAAGGUCUGAGGUAAACUACUCACACUUCAUCGGAGAGGCUAUGAUGAUGUAGAAGCCCUCCGUGAUGACGGCCCUCUUCGGCAGAGCUCCGGAACAGGCCCCAAGAUGGGAUCUCGUGGAUACAGAAAGUUGCGGCGGUGGCAUUAGGUUUUUGGCUCUGUCUCUGAUCGUUUGGGGGUAUGUAGGUAUAUAUAGGAGGAAGAAGUACGUCGGUGGAGCUUCGGUGGGCCCACGAGGGUGGGGGCCGCGCCUGGGGGUAGGGCGCGCCCCCCUACCUCAUGCCCACCUCGAAGCUUCCUUGGCAUAGGGUCCAAGUCUCGUGGGUCAUAUUCGGUGAGAAAAUCACGUUCCCGAAGGUUUUAUUCCAUUUGGACUCCGUUUGAUAUUCUGUUUCUUCGAAACACUGAAAUAGGCAAAAAAACAGCAAUUCUGGGCUGGGCCUCCGGUUAAUAGGUUAGUCCCAAAAAUAAUAUAAAAGUGGAAAAUAAAGCCCAAUAUAGUCCAAAAUAGUAGAUAAUAUAGCAUGGAGCAAUCAAAAAUUAUAGAUACGUUGGAGACGUAUCAUGCAUCCACUGUCCAUAAUCCAUUCUAAAGCCUUUGGUGUCUUACCCUACAGUGCAGUUUGGGGGAUAGGCUUCACUAAGGGUAUUGUGAAGCAUAAACAUUUGACGAACAAGCGGAUUAUGAAAGUUCAGAUCCUGGUUAGGGUAAAUAGGAUGUUUGUCAAGGAAUCCUGGGAUGAAAUACAUAGUAAGAGCAUUUUGGCAUUUUAUCUUGCGUCCCACAAGAUGUUUUAGGUCCCCAGCAUAAGCAUCGGAAGCCUUUGAUUUCCGGCUGGAGACCUUUCCCUGCAAAAGAGAGUUAUUUUUUCUUAACCACCCACAUUUUCAGGGGUGGCUUAGAAGCAACGAGUCUAAGUGCAGCAUCUGAGAACUUCGGCUUUGGAGCCCUAGCAAAUAGCCUUGCAGGAGGUGAAUAAUACUCAUAAGAAUAAGCAGAAAAGUUCUUGGUCUUAUGAACAUAGCGGUUUGAUGAAACACACUCAUAUUCAUAAGUCUGAGUAUGGUUUCCCUACAAAACAUUCGCAUUAGGGUGACUCUGGUGAGUCCUCUGUCUGUAUGAAGCCUUUGGACCAUAUGAAGCCUUUGGUCUGGGGUUUGUCUUCUUCCCAGGUGGUGUCAUGAUGACAUUCACAGGAAGCUUCUCAAGACAACUUUUGGGCACCCGGAUCUUCUUCAAAGGUGGCCCAUUCCUGCAGUUAGUACCAAUAUACUUGGCAAACUCUUCACCAUUCUUAUUCUUAAACAGAUUAUAGUUUGCAUCAAAGGAUUCAUCAAUGAUAAUCGGGUUAGCACAAGUGAAGCAAGAUACGGUAGAUGGAUCCAUUGAAGGUCCCUUUGCAGCAACUCAUGUGGUUUUGGGGUACUGCACAUGCUUCCAGUAUGAACCAUCAACAUUCAUUUUCCUCUCGAACCCAGCACCCUCUUUCCUAGGGUUUCGAUUCAGAAUAUAUUUCUUGAGGACAUAGUGUCUGAUGCCCUUUGAGACUUUUGUAUAUUCCUGUUUCAAGCAAUGUCUUCAACCUGGCAUUCUCAUCAGCAAUAGUAGUGGUAUCCUCAGUAGAGGGGUUAGUUACCACAUCAGCAGUUGAAGAUAUUGCAACAGUAGCAGCAGUAGAACAUUCAGCAACAGAAACGACAUUAUCACGCUCAAGACAUUUUAGACAUGGUGGUUCAAAGCCUACCUGAGAGGAACUGAUCUGUUGAGCGCGAAGUGACUCGUUCUCCUUUUGAAGAUCUUCAUGAGUCGCUCUCAAGUUCUCAAGUUCUUGCUUCCUUUGAAGAUAAUCAUAGGAAAGAUUUUCAUGAGUAGUUGAGAGCGUUUCAUGACGACUCUCAAGUUCCUCGUACUUAACGUGAAUAUUUUUUAUGUCUUUGUAAGUGCAUCUAGUGCCACCCCUAGUUGGUUUUGGAGUAUUGACGACAAAUCUGGUUGAGGGACUAAUGUGUUUGUGAGAAUUGCAGGAUAACACAGGUAGUAGUCCCUCAUUGAUUCAGUUUACCUACCGGAGAUGACCCCUAAAAAUGUAUGAAGACAUUGACGACAAUGGUGGUAUGUGAAGAUAUUCCUAUUGAAGACUAUGACAUGAGAAGACAUUGAGUGAAGACUAUCGAGCGUGAAGACUUAGUCGUUUCGUUGUUUCCUUUUUUUCUUUGUUGAGUCAUAGGAACCACCGUACUGUUAAGUGGGGUCCAAGUGAACAAAGUCAGAGUGACUGAAGUGUUGCUCAACCCAAAUCCUAUAUCUUCGAGCGAAGACAAUGAGAGCAAAUCUUAUCCAGAGCUAGAUGAGUCAGCUUUGCUUGUAGCCCAAGUAAAGUUGCCGUGUGUGUUUGAAAUAUGACCGUUGGAACACGUGUCAGUUCCUUAUUGACCUAGGGUCAUUUCGGACAUAUCAGGUCGGGUUGCCUAGUGGCUAUAAAUAGCCCACCCCUACACCAUAAAUUGGUGGCUGCUCAGAGUUAGUGCACGGCUUUUGUCGCAUUGAGAGCAACCCACCUCGAAGCCUUUGAGAGAGAGAAAUCCUUGCGAGGACAAAGCCCAAACACCCAGAGCCAAAGAGUGUUAGGCAUCACUGAAGUCUUUCUGUCUGCGUAACCUAAAGACUUAUUACACUUGAGGACUGUGAAUCCUCCACCCGGUUAGGCCUCGCGUUCUGAGCAUCCAAGAGUCAUUGUGGAUCGCCGGUGAACGAAGUCUGUGAAGGUUUGGAAGUCUACCUUGAAGUCUUACCAGAGUAAUUGGGCGAGGACUGGGUGUCCUUAGCUCAAGGGGAAUAAGGUGAAGACGUAGUCUUCUGAGUUGAAUCUCAGCCUCCCUAACCAGACGUACAGUUGUCACAGCAACUGGAACUGGUCCAACAAAUCCUGUGUCCUCAACAAGUGACUGGUUCUAUCCUCUCCCUCUCUUUAUUUAGAGUUUGUCUUCGUGAAGUCAUUGCUUGUUUGCUUUACCUAUUUGUCUUCACUGUCUGACUAUUUUUGUAGUUUGGCUUCAUACCAUCUUCCAUCCUGAUCCUUACUACCUAGCUGCUGUUAGUCUUUGUACUUUCACAUUAUUGCAUACUUGACUAUGGCUUGCUUAGUGUAGUUUAUCUUCCACUGCAUAUCAAUAGGGUCAUUUCUAUUGUUUGUCUUUGAAACUUCCAUGUUUUGAAGACUUUCAUAAAAAUCGCCUAUUCACCCCCCCUCUAGUCGAUAACUAGCACUUUCAAUUGGUAUCAGAGCAAGGUACUCCCUUGUUCUGUGUGAUUCAGUUUAACCUCCUGGAGUUUUAGCUAUGUCGACUGCAGGGAUAAUCAAAGUCUCCGCUGCUUGCCCCGUCUUCGAUGCAACUGAAUAUCCCUACUAGAAGAAUAAGAUGCGCAUGCAUCUUGAAGCCAUUGAUGUCGACCUCUGGUAUGUCGUCAAGAAUGGCAUUCCCAAGACUGGUGAAGGUGUCACUCCUGCUGAUGUCAAGAAGUUCAUUCAACUGGAUUCUACUGCCAAGAACAUCAUCUAUGGUCAUCUGACCAAAGGACAGUAUGGCCGUGUGAGUGCUCUGGAAACGUCGAAGCUAGUCUGGGACUGGCUGUCCAAGGUCAACGAAGGCGUCUCAACCCAGAGAGAUCAAAGGAUCAGUGUUCUUCGCAACCUCUUCAACCGCUUCAAGAGAAACGACAAUGAAAAUGUCCAGCUCACGUUUGAUCGCCUCACCGACAUCACAAAUGAGCUUCGUGCUCUCGGCGCCACUAAGAUUACCAAGCAUGAAAUCGUCAUGACACUACCGCGAUCACUUGACAGCUCCUUUGACACCCUUUCCCUCAUGAUACAAGAACGCCCUGACUUCAAGACACUCGAUCCGUCUGAUAUACUAUAGAGGCUCAACACACAUGAGUUCCAGCUAUCUGAGAAAAGAGAUAUAUAUGGUCCCAACUAUGGCCGAACUCGCGCUUUGAAGGCAAAAGUUGUUUCCUCAUUUGAAGAAGAAUCUGACUGCAGUUCUGAUGAUCCUGAAGACAUUGGAAAGGAACUUGCUAUGCUUGUGAAGAAUUUCCAGAAGUUCACUAAGAAGAAGGGCUUCAGAAAGUCUUCACGAUCUAGCUCAAGAAAUGAUGAAGCUUCCACUCAUGACUACAAGAAGAGAACAUGUCACAAGUGCAAGAAACCUAGACACUAUAUCUCUGAGUGUCCACAGUGGGACAAUGAGAAGAAGAAGAAGAUCAAGGAAUAUGAUUCUGAUGACAAGAAGAAGAAGAAAUCUUCAAAGUCUUCUUCCAAGUCCUCAUCCAAGUCUUCAUCUCAUAAGAAGAGCUCAUCUGGCAAGGCUCGUGCUUUUGUUGGCAAGGAGAUGGAUUUAGAGGAGGAGUCUACUUCUGAGGAGGCGGAGGUGGAGUCUGAGGAGGAGUCUGACCCUGGCGUUGCAAGUUUGGCUCUAGCCACAGCCUACGUUGCCAAGUCCAUCUUCAACACUGAAGACAAUGACUUCCACACCAACGCUGAAGCUAAUGACAAGGACGACUCCGCUCCCACAUACUGCUUCAUGGCACGUGGUGCGAAGGUAAAAUCAUGCGAUGCUUACUUUCAAACAUAAAGUGAAGAUGACUCUGAUUGUGAAUCCAAACCCAGCUACAAAACACUUGCUAAAAUUGCAACUGAACAACAAAAAGCUAUGGAACAUACUCAAAAACUGUUAGACAAAAGCGAUGACCUGUUGGACGCGGAAAUGACCCGUUCAUAGUCCUUAGUUGAAGACAUAAAAAAUCUUCAUGCUAAGUACCAAGAACUUGAAAGUCGUCAUGAAACGCUCUCAACCACUCAUGAAAAGCUCUCCUAUGAUUAUCUUCAAAGGAAGAAAGAGCUUGAGAAAUUGAGAGCGGCUCAUGAAGAUCUUCAAAAAGAGAAUGAGUUACUUCGCGCUCAACAGAUCAGUCCCGCUCAGGAUGGAUUUGAACCACCAUGUCUAAAAUGCCUUGAGUGUGACAACGCUACCUCUGUUGCUGAAUGUUCUACUGCUGCUACUGUUGCAUUGUCUUCAACUACUGAUGUGGUAACUAACCCCUCUGCGGAGGAUACCACUACUAUUGCUGAUGAAAAUGCUAGGUUGAAGACAUUGCUUGAAACAGGGAUGUACGAAAGUCUGAAAGGGCAUCAGACAUUGUGCGAUGUCCUCAAAAAGCAUAUUCUGAACCAAAAUCCUAGGAAAGAGGGUGUUGGGUUCGAGAGGAAAAUGAAUGUUGAUGGUUCCUACUGGAAGUCUAAGCAGUAUCCCAAAACCACAUGGGUUGCUGCAAAGGGACCUUCAGUGGAUCCAUCCACCUUAUCUGGCUUUACCUGUGCUAACCCUGUUAUCGUUGAUGAAUCCUUUGAUGCAAACUAUAAACUGUUCAAGAAUCAGAAUGGUGAAGUGUUUGCCCGGUAUAUUGGCACUAACUGCAGGAAUGGGCCACCUAUGAAGAAGAUCUGGGUUCCCAAAAGCUGUCUUGAGAAUCUUCCGGUGAAUGUCAUCAUGACACCACCUGGGAAUAAGACAAACCCCAGACCUAAGGCUUCAUAUGGUCCAAAGGCUUCAUACAGACCGAGGACUCACCUGAGUCACCCUAAAGCCAAUGUUUUGCAGGGAAACCAUACUCAGACUUAUGAAUAUGAGCGUGUGUCUUCAAACCGCUAUGUUCAUAGAACUAAGAACUUUUCUGCUUAUUCAUAUGAGUAUCAUUCAUCUCCUGCAAGGCUAUUUCCUAGGGCUCCAAAGCCGAAGUUCUCAGAUGCUGCACUUAGACUCAUUGCUUCUAAGCCACCCCUGAAGAUGUGGGUGGUUAAGAAGAAUUAACUUUCUUUUGCAGGAAAAGGUCUCCAGCCGAAAAUCAAAGGCGUCUGAUGCUAUUGCUGGGGACCUAAAACAUCUUAUAGGGCGCAAGAUCAAAUGCCCAAAUGGUCUCACUAUGUAUAUUGUUCCUGAAUCGUUUGCCAUUCAUCCUAUCAGUCCUAAUCUUGAUCUGAGCUUCAAUAAUCCUCUUGCCCAUCAAAUGUUUAUGCUUCACACAUCUCUUGGUGAGGCCUAUCCCCCUGACUGUACUAUAGGGCAUGACACCUCAUGCUUCAGAAUGGAUUAUGGACAGCAGAUGCACUAAUCAUAUGACUGGUGAUUGAAGUCUUCUCAUGGACUCAACCUUACGUCCAUCUGACAAGAGUCACAUCACAUUUGCUGACACUGGAAAAGCAAGGUAUUGGGUCUAGGUAGAGUUGCAAUCUCAAAGGAUCAGCACAUGGAUAAAGUGAUGCUUGUUGAAUCCCUUGGUUUCAACUUAACGUCUGUCUCAAUGCUUUUUGACUUGAACAUGAUUGUGCUAUUCGGAAAAUAUCGUUGCCUUGUACUAAUGGAAUCUGACAAGUCUCUAGUCUUUGAAGGGUACCGGAAAGAUGAUCUAUACAUGGUAGAUUUCUCAGCAGGUCCACAGCUUGCCGUAUGUCUUCUUGCAAAAGCUUCAGAGUGCUGGCUCUGGCAUCGGAGGCUGGGGCAUGCUGGCAUGAGGAACUUACACACUCUCGCCAAGAAGAAGCAUGUCAUAGGCAUCGAGGGCGUCAAGUUCAAGAAGGAUCAUUUGUGUGGUGCCUGCGAAGCUGGAAAGAUGACUAGGACCAAGCAUCCCUCGAAGAUAAUCAUGACGACAUCUCAACCCUUCGACCUGCUACACAUGGACUUAUUUGGCCCUACUCACUACUCUACCCUCACAACAACUGCUUGUCUCUAUGGCUUCGUCAUUGUUGAUGAUUACUCAAGAUAUACAUGGGUACACAUAAUUCUCUACAAGACUGAAGUGCAAGAUGUCUUCAGACACUUCGCCAACCGUGCCAUGAAUAAUUAUGGCAUCAAGAUCAAGCAUAUCAGAAGUGACAACGGCACUGAGUUCAAGAACACUGGACUUGAUCUUUAUCUGGAUACAAUGGGAAUCACUCAUGAGUUCUCUGCUCCAUACACACCUCAGCAAAAUGGCAUCGUGGAGCGCAAGAACAGAACCCUCAUUGAGAUGGCUCGAACAAUGCUCGAUGAAUACAAGACCCCAAGAAAGUUCUGGCCUAAAGCUAUUGAUACAGCUUGUCAUAUCAUCAACCGUGUCUGCAUCCAUAAGCUUCUGAAUAAAACAUCCUAUGAGCUCCUCACUGGCAAGAAGCCAAAUGUCAGUUACUUCAGAGUAUUUGGAGCUAGGUGCUGGAUCAAGGAUCCACAUCACAAAUCAAAAUUUGCACCUAAAGCUCACGAAGGCUUCAUGCUCGAUUACGGAAAGGACUCGCACUCUUACAGAGUCUUCAAUCUCUAUCUUUACAAAACCGUCAAAACUGUGGACGUGCGGUUUGAUGAAACCAAUGGUUCACAAAGAGAGCUCCUGCCAAGUACACUAGACGAAGCUCCACCCAUCGAAUCUAUCAAGCUAAUGGGAACUGGUGAAAUCAUGCCUUCUGAAGCUCAGCCUGAAGAGGAACUUAUCAUUUCUGCACCCAAUCAACCUGAAGAAAAUGCUCAGCCUGAAGACAAUCCUUCCAAUGUUGAUAAUGAUCAGCAAGAGCAAAAUCUUCGUCUAGUUCAUCCUCGUGUUGCAAAUGAAGUACAGAUUGAGAAGAUAAUUGAUAGCAUCAAUGCACCCGGUCCACUUACUCGCUCAAGAGCAACACAGUUAGCAAAUUUCUGUGGGCACUUUGCCUUUGUGUCAAUAUCAGAACCCAAGAAAGUUGCUGAAGCCUUUAUGGAACCUGAGUGGAUUCAAGCUAUACAAGAAGAGCUUCAACAGUUCAAGCUGAACAAUGUUUGGGAACUUGUCAAUCGUCCUGACCCUCGCAAGCAUAACAUAAUAGGCACAAAAUGGAUAUAUCGAAACAAGAAAGAUGAGCAUGGUCAAGUCGUCAGAAACAAAGCACGUCUCAUCGCUCAAGGAUAUACUCAAGUUGAAGGGAUUGACUUCGAUGAAACAUUUGCUCCUGUGGCUAGGCUUGAAGCUAUUCGCAUACUGCUAGCCUAUGCUAACCAUCACAACAUCUUGCUAUAUCAAAUGGAUGUGAAGAGUGCAUUUCUCAACGGCGAGAUUGAAGAAGAAGUAUAUGCCGCACAACCUCCUAGCUUUGAAGAUCCAAAACACCCUGAUAUGGUGUACAAGCUAAACAAAGCACUGUAUGGCCUCAAACAAGCUCCUCGCGCCUGGUAUGAUACGAUCAAAGACUUCCUGAAGAGCAAAGGCUUCAAACCUGGAUCCCUUGAUCCCACACUCUUCACGAAGACAUAUGACGGUGAACUGUUUGUGUGCCAAAUCUAUGUGGAUGAUAUUAUCUUCGGCUGCACCAAUCAGAAGUAUAGUGAUGAGUUUGGACACAUGAUGCAAGAGCAAUAUCAGAUGUCCAUGAUGGGUGAGCUAAAGUUCUUCCUUGGUCUUCAGAUUCGUCAGCAAAGGAAUGGCAUCUUCAUAUCUCAAGAAAAAUACCUCAAAGAUUGCCUGAAGAAGUUUGGAAUGCAAGAUUGCAAAGGUUACACGACGCCAAUGCCAGCCAAAACACCAUCUGGGUCCCGACGACAAUGGUAAAGAGUUCGAUCAAAAGGUAUACCGCUCCAUGAUUGGUUCUUUACUUUACCUAUGUGCAUCUAGGCCAGAUAUUAUGCUUAGUGUUUGCAUGUGUGCUCGAUUCCAAGCGGCACCAAAGGAAUCGCAUCACUUAGCUGUGAAGCGAAUUCUUCGAUAUUUGGCUUACACCCCAACAUUAGGAUUAUGGUAUCCAAAGGGCUCAGAAUUUGAUCUGGUUGGAUUCUCGGAUGUUGAUUAUGCUGGUGACAAGGUGGAUCGCAAGUCUACAACGGGCACAUGUCAUUUCCUAGGACGAUCACUUGUCUGUUGGUCUUCAAAGAAGUAGAACUGUGUAUCACUCUCCACUGCUGAAUCUGAAUACAUUGCUGCUGGAUCUUGCUGCGCUCAGCUUCUAUGGAUGAAGCAAACUCUCAAGGACUAUGGCAUCAAUCUGAAACAAGUACCUCUCUUCUGCGACAACGAAAGCGCCAUCAAGAUUGCCAACAACCCAGUUCAGCACUCGAAGACAAAGCACAUUGAAGUUCGUCAUCACUUUCUCAGAGAUCAUGUCAUGAAGGAAGAUAUUGAUAUCAUUCAUGUCAACACUGAAGAGCAACUGGCAGAUAUCUUCACAAAGCCCUUGGAUGAGAAAAGGUUUUGCAAGUUACGGUGUGAGCUAAAUAUCUUGGAAUCCUCAAAUGUCCUGUGAUCAGGCACACAUCCUAACACUUAUGCAUGUUGAUGACUUAGAUGUACAACACAUGAAGUAAAGUAUAUCUUCAAUCAAUGAAGACUUACAUUCUGAGUGUGGAUACAUUAACGCGGAAUUUGACUUCGGAGCACCAUGAUAAUUGUGCGCCAUGUCUGGGUCUAAUACUUCCUAUACGGUGGGUAACGCCACCACCAAAUUCUUCUGUUUGAAGUGUUUUACUCAUGGCGUUACUUUUGCUAUGUCUUCGCAUUUGGUUUGUUCUCAAACUCUAUCUGUCCAAAUCAUAUGCAUUCUAUUGAAACUGUCAAAUGUCUUCUCUGCGUCCUUGUCAGCAGAAGAUACAGAGACAAACAUUAAGUCUGUUUUAAAUGAUUCAUCCUUAUUGCUGAAAUCCGGAGAAGCCAGAACGACCAUCCGACAAACCUGGCGGGCGUGGGAACGUGGGACAACUCCAAGUAUGUUGCAUGCAUGCCACGUGUUCCUCAGAUCUGAACCGCCAGGGGCACCUGCGUAAUUGCGCUGUGUCGCAUUCUUCCUUAUAAAUACAUGUCCCCUUGCGGUCAAGAAAACCUUCUUCCACCUCUCCACCUCGUCAAAACCCUAGCGCCACCGCUAGCUCUUGACGACACCGGCGACGAAGUGCUUAGCUGCCGCGACUUCACCGACGCCGUCCUCACACCGGCCGCGGACAUCGUCCUCUCCGCCGCCGCCGUAGGUGUCCUCCGUCGCCAAGUUAGGGCACGAUGGACUGAACUGCUCGGUCUCCUACUCUUCCCAUCUAGCAGUUCUUCGCGUGGUAAAUAAAACUCUAUUUUUACCAUCUUUUUGAUCCUCAAAAAUUCAUCUUGUUUACCAAAAUAGGUUUCUGCCUACACAAUGUUAGAUCUAUCCUGUCUGCAUCUCAUACUGCCUAGUAUAUUCACUUAAGCUUCACGUCUUGUUAGAUUCCUCACUUGUACUUAUUCGUGGAUUCGUACAAAUCUGGAACCAACUCUCAACAUAUAAGUGAAUGUCUUUGCAUCAUGAGGUAAAUGUCUUCAAACUGAUUUAUCUUCAAAAUCUUCUGAGAAUGCAUAUGACCUCUUCCCCUUCCCUCGCAUCUCUAAUGCUGUCACAGGUACAUGUCCGUGGGAGAAUCCCUUCGUUCUCAUAGUCUGCAUUCGUUUGCAGAAUUCUUACAGCAUCACAUUAACUCUCCCGAAGCCAGUUCCUGUUUGUCCAGCAAGCGGAAGCCUUUGAAGCCUUUGAACAUGUUGAAGCCAUUCAGUUUGAAGUUCAUGGCUACAGGAAAAUCUGCAAGGAAGGGUGGCAGACAGCGUCGUGGGGGUACAUCAAUGGAUCUGCCUGAAGAUCUCUAUGAACUUUACAAAACCGAUCCCGAAGAAAGCUAUGGACAGCGCAAGACUCGAAUCCAAUGGAUUCGAAGAUAUUGGGCAGAGCAAUGGUUCAAGUACAACUUCGUAACCAGGGAGUAUGCUGAGAAGAAUGCUAUCAAGCGGCCUUGGGGCGAUAUUUUGUACAAAAAUCUUCAACCCAAGACCAGAGCUGAAGCCAUUGAGCAAGGCUUCUAUCCUUGCAUGGUCAGGGGACCUCAACCUGCCAACGCCGACCCCACUUCUCUCUUGUGGUGUUGAGAUGACGAUCUUUUCAAACGGAAUUAUCAGUUUGCAAAAGCCUUAGCAAAGAAGAACAAAGAUUCUUUAGGAUUAGACUUCAAUCCUGAUCCUUCUGCUCCCCGGGCUGACGGCACACGUGAUGCAGAACCCAAUAUCAUCGGACCCUUCUACAACCCUGAUGGCCUCAUCACCCACAUCUCUGUUCAAGGUGCCAAAGUGGAUUCUGAUGAUGAUGCUGACACUGACGAAGCCCCUGCUCCUACCCCAAAGCCACAUAAGCAAAAGAAGGCUAAAGCUUCAAAGUCAGCUGCUCCUCCAAAAGCUUCACGUGCGAAGCCACUAGCUACUGCACCUCCUGAAGACAAUGUGCAGUCUGAAGAUCUAUCUCGUAUCUCCAAUAAGACGGAGAUGAAAAAGAAAAAUGUCAAGAAUACUGAUCAGGCACUGACCCCUGCUGCCAUUCUGCGAGACGAACACAUUGAUCUGUCUAGUGAUGAAGAUCUUGCAGAUGACGCUCUUGAACAACUGAUAAAGAGCAAGGAAGAAGCAGAAAUCUUCAAUGAUUUGCCUCUCUUUGAUGUGGCAAUCAUCCACAACUUCAUUGAUGAGUGGUUUGAUACCCCCAAUCUUAGUUUUGAAGAUCUGCAACUUCCAAUUGGCCUCAGCGUCUCUUUCAAUGGAGCCAUUGCUUCUGAGCUAGCUCUAGCUCAGCGCAUAGUUGAACUGAAGCACAAAAUUGACUAUGAGAAAGCUCGGUUCAAGAAGCACAUGGCAAAGCUCAGCGUGCAAGAUGUCAAAAACUUGAAAGUUAUGCUGCACGAGCUCAAGGAAGCUUUUCUCAAGAAGCGUGAAGAAGCUAAAGGUUCUCGUGAACUCAUGAAGAGUCUGGCUGACAAGUGCGUGCAAGCCUACAAUGAAGCUGAGAAGCGCAAGGCUCUUGGUCGCCCUGGAAUCGACCCCAGAAUGGCUGCAAAGAAGAAGAAGCCAUCGACUGACCAAUCUGCACCUUCAGGACGGGAAGAACCUCGCAUAGUCUUCCCAAGCAGCAUGACCGGCUCGAAGACAAAGGUCAGGUCAACCGCUUCAGAACUGAAGAAGACAAGGACUGCCGAGGCUGAAGCCAGAAAGAGGAAAAAUCCUGAAGCUUCUGAUGUCGCUCCCUCCAAGAAGAAGCGCAAAACCAAGAAAGAUCGGGCUGCUCCCACAGAGCCCCUCGUUGUCAAACCCAUAUCGGUUGCUCGUCCUGACUCUUCGUAUCAAGAACGAUGGAUGAUAGUUCAUGAGCCUGCUUCCACAGAGGCUCCUGAAGCUGAAGACAUUCCAGCAGUUGACCCCUCCGCUGCUGAAGACAUUUGUCACCAUGACAAUGUUGAAGAUGAUGUAGUUCUUCCUCAGAUCGAGCACAACUUGGUAUCAUCGCCUGUUCUCACGAAUAGUGAACUCAUCAGCAUUGGUCGUCCUCUGAUGCCAAUUGCUCAGGAUGCAUCAUGGGCUGAUCACCCACAACACCAAGACACCUCAAGUACUCCUCAACAACAAGCUACCCCACCAGUGCAAGAAGGAGAUGAUGACUUUGAGGCCCAUCCAACUCCAUCUCCACAGGCGUCGCCAGCAUUACGUAGGCUUCGCAAAGGACCAAGGCCUCAAGUUCCUCUUUCGAGCGUUCCAGAAGGAGAAGUGCACCACCAAUCCAUUGCACGUCAGGUGUUCCCAGAAGCCACCCCUACUGUGAAUGUCUCCGAGUCUGAAGCUAAAGUUGCUGAAGACAAUCCAGCUGCAUCAGCAGAAGAAAAACAAGAAGAAGAAUGUGUCCCUACUCCCCCCAUCACUGAAGAAGUUGUUCCUGAAGUGAACGUGUCUGUGCCCAACCCUCCAGCUCAUCAAGUGGAGGUUGAGAAUCUUGAGGCUGCCACCACUAACACCAAUGAAGCCAAUGACGUGGUCAUGGCUGAAGCAAAUGUGGAGCCUGCACAGAAUACUGAGCCUGAAACCAAUGAAGCCAAUGAAGCACCUGCUCCAGAUGCGCAGCCUGACGCCUCUGCUAAUGCCACUGCUCCCACUCCGCCACCAAGGCCGCAUACCAUAGAACAAGCAUACAACUAGGCAGCUUAUAACCGUCAAAUGGCCUCUUCUGGUUCCUCCGCCUGCUGCUGGUCCUCAAUUUGACUACCACAUUGAGCACAGGCCUCAGGUUCAGAAGCCACUGCCAAGACUACCUAGGUUUCCAGGUACUGCGUUUGCACCAGGAUCAUUUAAUAUCAAUGGCUUAAAAGCGCACAACACCUUCUUCAAUAGCGCCAAGAACUCCUACACUAGGGCAAGAAUAUCAUCUGAUCGGUUCUGGAGCUAUCGGCAGCGCAAUUAUUACUCAUGCAUUUUGUACAAUCAAGGUCGCAUUUUCCCACAUAUGCAUCUUGACACUGAAGCCAUAACUCAUCUGCCCUGUUUGGAAGAAGCGUUGGAUUGCUUCAGAGAGUCUAGCUUGUUGCAGUUCGUCACUAACAAGGAGCACUGGAAUGAAGAAUUACUGCUCCAGUUCUAUGCCACUCUUCAAAUUCGUGGCUACAACAGGGAUCCGAAGACUUGGGUCCUUGAGUGGAUGACAGGCAAUGUCCAUCAUGAAGCCAAAGCCUUUGAUAUCAUUGAGCUUACUGGCCUACCCACUUCAGGUGAUCUCUAUGAACCUGGUUGUCAGCUUCAUAGUGCUGUUAUGGAAAGCAUCUUUCACAAGCCUGAACCCAACAUGAGUCAGAUGCUUAGCAUGAUGAAGCCUUUGUCUCCUGAUGCGGAAUAUCCUAAGGAGUUCUUUGUUGAAGACCUUGAGUAUCUGCCACGUACUAUCUAUCACAUCAUAAGGCGAACUCUCUGGCCCAUCAAAGGACAUUCUCCUCAUGCAAAGCUGGAAGGUGCAAUGAAGACUUUGGUCUUCCAUAUUCUUCAUGGCAAAAGCUUCAAUGCACAAGACUUCUUUAUCCGCCAACUUGCUGCAUCAGGCUCUGAUCUCUUUGGCUUGAAGUUUUACGCUCCAUGGAUUAUGCGUCUGAUCAAACUGCACUCAGCUGUCAACUAUCAGCCCUCUACUCACAAUCAUCUGAUUUUUCUGCCUGAGGUUGAUAUGUCAGUUGAAGCUAUCUAUCCAGAGCCUGCCAAGGAGCCCCUGUGUCGGUGGGAAUGGCACCUAUGGGAUCACAAGAAUCCCUACUACGGUUGGUGGGGCGCGGGGUCGUGAGGAGAGCGGAUCAAACAGAUAGUACACAGUUUGUUUAUCCAGGUUCGGGCCACGAGGAUGCGUAAAACCCUACUCCUGCUUUGGUGGAUGUAUAUUCAUGUUCUUGAGCUAGCUCUGGGGUGUUAGGAGCUCCAAAAAGCCGAAUCCUUCUCCUGGUCGCCUCGGGCCUCCUUUUAUAGAAAAAGGGGUCGCCACAGUGGCAUACAGGAGGUGGAAAGGGUACAGUGAUGCGAGGUUAUCCCUCGCAUUACACAACAAGGCGCAUUUAAUGCGUCUGCUUAGGUGUCCUUGCUUUAUCGAGGACGGGGGAGAAAUCCAUCUCGUCCGUCGCUGCUCCUUCUUGUGUCGACACACGCCCUGGCCAGCGAUGUCUGCGAUGCCAUGUAGGUAGGCAGGCAGCUGAGGUGGCAUAGUGGUGGGUAUUCACGAAGAUCUGCAUGCCGCCAUGCAGGUGCCUACCCAGCUGGUUGGGUCGGCAGCUGCAUGCGUACGGCGGUGGAGGUUUAGUCAGCGUGGGCCUGAUGGCGGCCCUGUGGAUGUCCUUGGCAAGGGCCUUGCCGGGGCCCCAACAAGGGUCUUGCCGAGGCGCCUGUUGUCAUCCACGGCAAGGCGCUUGCCGGGGGUCUCGUGGUCUUCCCUGGCUGGUAUCUCGUCGUCUUCUUAGUGCGUAUCUGAUCUUGAAUGUCUUCACUAAGAUCUGCAUGCCACCACGGGGAUGUCUCCCGAAUCCUUGCCCCUUGGGGGCAGUGGACUCAAGGGUAAUUUGCUCCGUAGGCGUGGGGCGAGUCGCCGCGACAAGGGUCUUGCCGGGGUUGCUAAAACUGUCUCCCGGCAAGGAUCUUGCCGGGGGAGUCCGCUUCGUCCUUUUUGCUCUUCGUGGUCUUGGUCUUGGCGUCGUUCUAGUUCCCUUGAGCUUCAAUCUUACCCUGGCUCACCCCCCUUGCCUUGCUUGGUGUGGUGGUGCCCAUGGCUCAGACUACCUGUGCACAGUUAUAGGGGUACAAAAAGUGUACCCCUCUUUUUGUACACCGACAGGAGCCCCCUGGCAUGGGCCACACAUAAGUGCAACGCGUUGUUGGGCCAGGCCCAAAAACGGUGCGCGGGCAGGCAGGGCGGUUUUUACUGCGGUAAGAUUUUUUGCGCGCUGCGCUUCCCACGACUCCCGCGCGUGGCGCGGCGUGGGGAGGCGCGUGUGACAUGGGCAGCAUGCGUGGGGUUGGUCUCCGCACGCAUGCAUCACGUCGUAGUAAAGGGGCGGUUCGCGCCUUCCCCAUAAAUGAGGGAAGCGUGGAGGCGCGGCCCAUUUACUGAAUGGGGACGAGGCGCGGUCCUCAAGGCAUCCACUCCCCACGAUCACGGGGUGGGGAGAGGUAGCCUCACCCGUCCCCUCGGUUCUGCACGUCUGCCACGUGUCUCCCAUGCGCUUGGGGUGUCAAACGGUGGAGGCGGGAAACCGGGCCGUCGCUGGUUGGGGCGGCGGGUCGGUCUUGGCUCCCUGCGCCUUCCGUGUCUUGAUUGGCCGAGCGGGGCGGUCGAGCCCCAACCCCGUUCCUUUAUAAAGAGCGGGAGGGGGGAUGGCGUCCCGCAUUCUUCCAUCUUCUUCCUCCUUCAGCUUAUGCUCCUCUCUUCCAUUCGUCAUGGAGAGAGGAAAUCCCGGUCCUUCAACGGUGGCGGCGAGGGUCGCCGCUCGACAACGCGUCCCUCCUUCUCCUGCGCCUGUGGUGGUAGAGUCGGCCGCGAGGGGAAGGGGGAGGGGCGAGGCCGGGGCGCUCGGGGAAGAGGAGGACGGGGUGGCACGCCGGCCUCGCCCCCGCCAGUAGCUCCUCCUCUAAUGGAGGGCCAUGUUAGGGAUGACCCUUGUGAGUUCUUCGUCAGGUUGCGCCAGCCGCCGCGCCGUCGCCUUUGUCUCCCGACUCCAUUUGCGCAGGAGAUGGAGCUGGAUCCGCCGGAGUCAUUGCGGCUGCACAUGAGGGGCUGCGGGAUCAGUGGCACGCGGGUCCGUGUCGACUUCCCUGCUCCUCAUGUGAUGUAUCUUCGUUGGAUUCCCUGCUCCUCAUGUGAUGUAUCUUCGUUGGGGAUGGAAGACGUUUUCUCAUAUCCACAGCUUGACGUAGGGGCUCACUCUCCAUUUUAAGCUGAUGGAGGGUGGCCUUCUCUCCGUCAAGGUCUUCGGGCACUUUGGGACUCGUACAAGGUGCUGCGUGGAGAGCUCUUCUGAUAGUGAAGAUUCCUCCUUGAGCGAGAGUGACGAGGAGGACAGCGGCAGCGACGACGAGGGCGGUAGGCGGCAGGAUGACGGGUCCGACUAGGUGUCGGGCGCCGCUCCGUGUGGCACCGGCAACCCCAUCAUCCGUGUCGCCGGCUCCUUGAACUUCUCGGGGUAGUCUCCUUGGGCGGCUGGCGUUGGGAGGCUGCGGAAGAGGAAGAGGGCGGGCGGCAAGGCCGUCAAGUCGGAGUACACGGGCACCGACGCCUUCGACGCAUACUGACGUCCUGCCGCCUCGUCUUCGAGCUCUGCUUCCAGCACCGCCAUCACCAUCCAGCCUUUGGACGGCCACCAAGAUGUUCUCUCGGUGUCUUCUGCCACCCGUAGCUCGCCUAGGCACUCCUUUUGCCCUUUUUCCCUCCUUGACCUGCCUCCUGAGGAGAGGGACAAGAAAGGGAUUACGGGCACCUUAUCUCUUUUUAAUUUGUAAGCCUUUGGGCCUUUGUUGAAUUUAAAACCCGUAAUCCUCUCAUUCAUGUUUUUCAUUCCCUAUGGACUGUACCUGACUGGAAUGUUUUUAAUGAAAAAGGGAUGUUUGCCGGGUCAUUUGUUUGUGGGUGAAACCCACGACAAGGAAUAAAUCCUUGAUAUCUUUAAGAUAAACAUUUCCUUGCCCGGCAACAUGCCUCGCCAUCUCCCCACUUCGCUCGAUCUUCCUCACGCUUUCGGCGGAGGCCGGGAUGAAGUGGGUUUAGGCUCCUCGUCCUAUCCUUUUGCUGUUGCGACUACGACCAAACUCGGUCCUAGGAACGGGCCCUAGGGCCUAGAGUUAGGGGAGCACGGUAGUUUGAGGGUAAAAUGAGGUUUCACAUACCUCAGUCCGUAAGGAAAUGCAUGAUAAGGGAUAAAAAACUUAUCUGAAUCCGCAGCCCCGGGCAACCCUGGUUUGCCAUGGGUGAAUCUUUGCUCUUGCAGCCCCCGGCAAUACUGGCUUGCCGGGGCCUAGAUGCCGGUCUGUUCCUUUUUUUCUCCCCAAGUGGUUUGGCAAGGAUAUCUAUGUGUCCUGCGAACCAAAGAAGAUAAAAGAAAGACAAAGAGAUGCAAACUCGACCUCUAAGCUAGGGGUUAGCCGCCGUUAAGCACUAUCAACCCUAACCAAGGAUGAGACUCGACCUAGCAUGCAUGCUAUAACUUAGGGCGCCAGCGCUUCAUUUAUUUAUGCUCAGGGUCUGUGCCUGGCUUUGUACAAAGGGUUACAUGCGUCAUCGGCAAGGCUUGUACAAAAGGUGGCUUGCCGGGGGGCCCGGCAAGCCGCGCCUCACGGGUAAAACUUGCGAAGAUGAUCAAUGUUCUAGGAGUUACUCACCGGAAUGGCUUCUUCGGUCUCCAGGCGGACUGCGCCGGGCCUGGUGACUCGUAUUACCCGAUAAGGGCCUUCCCACUUUGGCGUCAACUUGUUGGAAUUCUUGGCCGAUUGAACGCGCCGAAGAACAAGGUCGCCUUCCUCAAAGCUUCGGGCACGAACCUUGCGGCUAUGGUAGCGGCGCAAGGCUUGCUGGUAGCGCGCUGCUCUCACAGCCGCCCGAAGACGAUCUUCCUCAAGGAGCAUUGCGUCAUCUUGCCGCAAUUGCUCUUGCUCAAGCUCAUCAUAAGCGAGUACUUGAGGUGAGCCGUAUAUGAGUUCUGUGGGGAGAACUGCUUCUGCCCCGUAUACCAGGGCAAAGGGUGUCUGGCCGGUGGCUCAAUUUGGUGUCGUUCUGAUUGACCAAAGAAUUGCCAGCAAUUCAUCAAUCCAGCACCUUCCACUCUUGCGCAGUCUGCCAAAGGUCUUUGUCCUCAGGCCUCGCAGUACUUCAGCAUUCGCCCUCUCAGCUUGACCAUUGCUUCGUGGGUGAGCAACGGAACCGAAACAGACCUUGCUGCCGAGGUCUUGAAUAUAUUGCAUGAAGGUGUGACUUGUGAACUGCGUGCCGUUGUCGAUGAUGACCCUAUUGGGUACACUAAAACGGCACACCAGUCCUUUGAAGAACUUGACGGCUGACUGUGUUGUGACCUUCCUCACUACUUCCACUUCUAGCCACUUUGUGAACUUGUCGAUUGCAACGUACAAGAACUCAAAGCCCCCGAUAGCGCGGGGGAAAGGGCCCAGUAUGUCGAGCCCCCAGACCGAGAAAGGCCAGGAGAGAGGAAUGGUUUGAAGGGCUUGAGCUGGCUGAUGAAGCUUCUUCGAAUGGAACUGACACGCUUCACACCUGGUGACUAGUGUCGUCGCAUCCUGGAGGGCGGUGGGCCAGAAGAAGCCUUGCCGAAACGCUUUGCGGGCAAGGGCCGUCGACCCUAUGUGGGAUCCACAUAUGCCUCCAUGUAUCUCCGCCAACAGCCCCAGUCCUUCCUCUCGAGGGAUACACUUCAAUUUCACACCGUUCGGCCUCUUUCUGUACAGGACGUCAUUGACGAACUGGUACAUAGUAGAGUGACGGGCUACUUUUUCCGCUUAUUCCUGCUCCUCAGGAAGUUCCCCUGUUUGGAGGAAUCGGAUGAUAUAUUGUGCCCAUGCUGGAGCCUGGGGCUCGACGGCGAGGACUAAAGGCAUUUCCUCUGCUAUAGGAGCGGCUGUCUCCACGGCAAGAGCUUGAUGCUCCGUCGGAGCUAGCCGUCCCGUGGCGGUCUCAGUGUCUCCGGAAACGUCCUUGUCGGCGGCUUCGGGGAGCUCGGCGGGAAAGUACUUGCCGGGCCCUGAUUUUCUCCUCUUGUUUUGUUCUGUUGAUGGAUCAACGGAUGGCUGAGUUAGCUGAAGCACAAAGGUACCUGGUUCCACAGGUAGCUUGAGGGUGGCGCGUUUUGACAGGUAAUUGGCGAUGUCGUUCUCUGCUCGGGGAACGUGCUCUGCCUGUAUACCGUCAAAACGCUCUUCCAGCUUCCUCACUUCAUCUACGUAGGCCUUCAUCAACGGGCUCUGGUAGUCCUUGUUGACUUGUUUGACGACAAGUUGCGAGUCGCCCCUGACAAUGAGUUUCUUGAUUCCGAGGUCUGCCGCGAUCCUAAGACCAGCAAGCAGCCCCUCGUACUCAGCAGUAUUGUUUGUCGACACCUCCCUGGGGAAGUGCAUCUGGACCACGUACUUGAGGUGCUCCCCGGUGGGCGCGACAAGCAGUACGCCAACCCCGGCGCCCUGUAAGGAGAAAGCCCCAUCAAAGUACAUGACCCAGUCGCAACUUGCCUCUUUGCCGGGGAGAACAGUCUCCUGGGUUUCUUCAUCAGGCGUCGCGGUCCGUUCUACAACGAACUCCGCCAGGACUUGGGUUUGAAUCGUCGAGGUACUCUCAAACUUGAGGCCAAAGCUGGACAGCUCCAAUGCCCAUUCUACAAUUCUUCCUGUUGCGUCUAGAUUGUGCAAUAUCCGUUGCAGAGGGAGGCGAGUAACGACGGUGAUCUCGUGCGCCUGGAAGUAGUGACGCAGCUUCCUCGAGGCCAUAAGAACGCCGAAGAGCAGUUUCUGCACACCGGAGUUCCUUAAUCUAGCCCCCUGCAGGAGGGAGCUAACAAAGUAGACCGGGUGCUGCAUCAUUUUCUUCCUUGGCGGCACUCCAACCGGCUGUGUCAUCUCUGCACCAACGGCAUCAGGCUCUGUCGCUGCUAUCACCUCGUCAUCAAUUUCUCUCUGCGCCACUAGCGCGACGCUGACCACCUGGUUCGUUGCCGCCAGGUAUAGUAGCAACGAUUAUUGUGGCCUAGGCGCAACUAGUACUGGCGUGGAGGAGAGAUACCUCUUCAAAUCUUGCAAUGCUACUUCGGCUUCUGGCGUCCAUUCCAUCGGGCCCGCCUUUUUCAAGACCUUGAAAAAGGGAAGGGCGCGCUCGGCAGACUUGGAAAUGAACCUGCUCAUGGCGGCAAUGCAACCAGUAAGCUGACGUACAUCCUUGACCCGCUUGGGCGCUUCAAUCUGUUCUAUAGCUUUGAUCUUGUCCGGAUUGGCCUCUAUCCCAUGCUGUGACACAAAGAACCCGAGAAGCUUGCCGGACGGGACACCGAAGACGCACUUCUCAGGGUUCAGCUUGAGAUUGAUCUUGCGUAGGUUUGCAAAUGUUUCUUAUAAAUCCGGUAUAAGGGUUGCCCUGUUCUUGGUUUUGACCACUAUAUCAUCCAUAUAAGCGUCCAUAUUUCUAUGGAGCUGGGGUUCAAAACCAAUCUGGACCGCCCUUGCAAAUGUUGAACCAGCACUCUUCAACCCGAAAGGCAUCCGUAUGAAACAAUACGUACCACAUGGGGUGAUGAAUGCCGUUUUCUCUUCGUCUUCUCUUGUCAUGAAGAUCUGGUGGUAGCCGGAGUAGGCAUCGAGGAAUGAUAACAGAUCACACCCAGCCGUGGAGUCAACAAUCUGGUCGAUGCGCGGCAACGGGAAGGGGUCUUUGGGACAAGCCUUAUUGAUAUCUGUGUAAUCAAUACACAGCAUCCACUUCCCAUUUGCCUUGCGCACUACCACUGGAUUGGCCAACCACGUUGGAUGGAGCACUCCUCUUACCAAACCCGCUGCUUCCAGUUUUCGGAUCUCCUCUGUGAUGAACUCUUGUCGUUCCAAAGCUUGCUUUCUUACCUUUUGCUUGACGGGCCGCGCAUGAGGACAGACAACAAGGUGGUGCUCAAUCACCUCCCUGGGAACGCAGGGGAUGUCGGAUGCUUGCCAUGCAAACACAUCGACAUUCGCCCGCAGGAAGGUGACGAGCGCGUCUUCCUAUUUGUCGUCAAGGGCGGAGCUUAUGGUGAAAGCCCCUCCCGUGCCGUCCUCCUUGACAGAAACCUUCUUGGUUCCUGGCUGUGUGGCCCUGAACUUCUUGUUUCUGCCGGUGGAGCUUUCUGGCACGUCCUCGACGGGAGCACUACACUCCAAAGAGGUGCACUUGCCGGAGUGGGUGCCUGAGGUCUCGCCGGUCUUCUUCUUUUUCCUUCCCGGGGCUCCAGCGGCAGGAGCAAGCGCCUUAGCAGUGGCGGCUGCUGCAACUGCUUGUUGGUAGAGUUGGUCAGCACAAAUUAGCGCGUCCUUCUUGUCCGAUGGGACGGUGAUGAUCGUCAUAGGCCCCGGCAUCUUCAGGGUGUUGUAGGCGUAAUGUGACGCCGCCAUGAACUUGGCCAGCGCUGGGCGGCCAAGGAUCCCGUUGUAAGACAAGGGGAUCUUGGCAACGCCGAACACAAUCUUUUUUGUCCGGUAGUUCAGAUCACUCCCAAAAGUCACGGGCAACGUGACCUUUCCCUUUGGUUGACUUCUUCCCGGGUUGACCCCCUAAAAUGUGCCCGUCUCUUCGAGAUCUCCAUUAGGAAUCUACAGUUUCUCGAUCACGGUAGGCGAGAUUAAGUUCAGACCGGCUCCGCCAUUGACUAGCAUCUUUGUCACCUUGAGGUUGCGUAUUGUUGGUGAAACCAACAAUGGCAAGCACCCGACUGCAGUGGUGCGAUCAGGGUGAUCCUCAGUGUCAAAAAUGAUAGGUGUGCUGGACCACUUCAGCGGCCUUUGGGCAUCAAACGAUGGCUCUGCCGCUGUAAUCUCACGCGCCCACUGUUUAAGCUGGCGGUGAGAGGUAUGCAGCAAGGCGCCGCCAUCGACGCACAUGGCCUCUGUAGCUUUAUGAAAUUCUUGGUCACCAGACUCAUCAUCCUCUUCGUGAUCAUCGUCUUCUGGCUUUUUGUCACGGCCCCGGGCGGGCCUCUCCUGCUGUUUAUCCUUGCCGUGAUGGCCCGCCUGGCCGUCACGCUUCUUGCCGGACCCCUCAGCACCGUCCUGGCCCUUCUCCUUGUCCCGCCUCUCAUAUUCAGCCCUCUGCUUCUCAGCAAGGAGCUCAACCUGUCGGCAGUUCUGGAGAUCAUGGCCCUUGGUGCGAUGGAUCUUGCAGUAUUGCUUGUCGGAGUUUCCUGACUUCUCGGCAGCCGCCAAGGCCCGGCAUGCGACACAUCUGGCAAUUUCCUUGCCAGGGUCAUCUGCCUUGGUUUUCUUGGCGGAGCCGGCGUCAUCAGAUCCCUCGACGGCAAGCACGUCUUUACCUUUGCGCUUCCUGUUGCGGCGCCGGCCUUUCUUUGCCGGGGCGGCAGUAUCCUCAUCUGAAGAGUCGGUUUCCACGCCGGCAUCUUCGCCGGGGUACUUCCUUCCCUCUUCCGCCCAGGCACAUCUGUCAGCAAGAACAUAGAGUUUUGCCACGUCUUUCACCUUGUUCAUUGCCAGCUCUUCGCGCAUCUUGCGGUUACGCACGUUCUGAUGAAACGCGCUGAUGAUGGCGGCAGGGUGAACAUCAGGGAUAUUGUACUGUACCCGGCUGAACCUCUGUAUAUAUUUGCACAGACUCUCGCGUCCCUUCUAGGGAAUGACGUGCAGGUCGCUUGCUUGGCCAUGGGCUUGGUGACCUCCAGUAAAGGCGCCAACAAACUCAUGGCACAAAUCCGACCAGGAGGAAAUAGAGUCUAUCGGCAAGUGCAUCAACCACGACAUGGCGUUGGGUUUAAGAGCCAAUGGAAAGUAAUUCGCAAGCACCUUAUCGUCGCGGGCUCCGGCAGCUUGCAUCGCGAUGGUGUAGAUGCUGAGGAACUCAGACGGGUGGGUCUUGUCGUUGUACUUCUCGCCAACGUCAGGUUUGAAGGUGAAGUGAGUGGGCCACUGGAACUGCCGCAGCUCACAGGUAAAAGCCGGACAGCCUACCUCGUAAGGUAGGCCUCCAGGGAUCUCCGAGGCCGGGUGGUUCGCAGCAGGCCCUGCUCGCCUGUCCGACUGGUGGCGCGCUCCGCGCCGGCGCUCGAUAGUGGUUCGAGCAUCUUCAUUGGCUCGUUCCCGAAGAACUUGGCGCUGGUCACAGCGGGUACGUGGGUCGGACAACGCUAUGGAGAUGUCGUCGCCCGUGACGUCGCGACAAGCCGGCGUCCGCGGUACCGGAUGGGGAGGAGGUGAAUGCACCGUGGUCGCGGCGCCGCCGGCUUUUCCGCCACUGGUGCGUGGGACUCCAUUGGAGCGUCGACCCGGGGGCUCCACCGGGCUUGGUUCGUCUUUGUUGGACACCGCAACAAGGCUUCGGAUAGUGGCUCUCCAUUCGUCGAGUUUCCCCGUGGUGGGGGGAAAGUCGAGGAGCAACUGCGCGCGCGCCAGGGCCUCUGCUGGCGUCGGCGGCAGUGGAACCUGCACGGAUCGCGACGCGCUUCGACUUCUGACCAUGUCAGAAGGAGCCCUAUCACGAACCCGCGGUCGCGUGCCGUUUUCACCAAGGCUUCGGUGAGCGGGCAGGUCUUCUAUGUCCCGGGAGUGGCGCUCGGGGCUCUUCCCGCGGCAAAGCCUGGGAUCUUCGGCGUGACGACGCCAUUCAUCGCGUGCUGCCUGGGAGGAGCGCGCUGUUGGCGCUGGCGUGGGAGUCUUGGAGGCCCUUGUGUCGCCUUCGGGUGGGGCGGCGGUGACCUUGGAAGGCCCCGCUCCACCCGCGGAGGGCCUGGCUCCGCCUUUGGAUUUGGCGAUGUGUGGCCCGUUACUAGGCGCACAAACAUCACCGCCUCCCAAACUCCGGCUGCUGGGACGGUGCUGGUGUUCGCGAGCAGCGCCCCGGGUCCUUUCUGCGACCGGUCCGCUGCUCGCCCGCGUCGGGACGGGCUGUCCGGCUUCCGACUGGCCAACCGCCACCGUCGUCUUCUUCUUGGGCGCCAUGAUGAUGAAGAAGCGUCGAACUAACUGCUAAAGCCGAUUCUCACAACCGCGCCCCCUACCUGGCGCGCCAAAGAUGUCAGUGGGAACGACACCUAUGGGAUCACAAGAAUCCCUACUACGGCAGGCGGGGCGCGGGGUCGUGAGAAGAGCAGAUCAAACAGAUCGUACAAAGUUUGUUUAUCCAGGUUCGGGCUGUGAUGAUGCGUAAAACCCUACUCCUGCUUUGGUGGAUGUAUAUUCCUGUUCUUGAGCUAGCUCUAGGGCGUUAGGAGCUCCAAAAAGCCGAAUCCUUCUCCUGGUCGCCUCGGGCCUCCUUUUAUAGAAAAAGGGGUCGCCACAGUGGCAUACAGGAGGUGGAAAGGGUACAGUGAUGCGAGGUUAUCCCUCGCAUUACAUGACAAGGCGCAUUUAAUGCGUCUGCUUAGGUGUCCUUGCUUUAUCGGGGACGGGGGAGAAAUCCGUCUCGUCCGUCGCCGCUCCUUCUUGUGUUGACACGCGCCCUGGCCAGCGAUGCCUGCGAUGCCAUGUAGGCAGGCAGGCAGCUGAGGUGGCGCAGUGGUGGGUCUUCACGAAGAUCUGCAUGCCGCCAUGCAGGUGCCUGCCUAGCUGGUUGGGUCGGCAGCUGCAUGCGUACGGCGGUGGAGGUUUAGUCGACGUGGGCCUGAUGGCGGCCCUGCGGAUGUCCUUGGCAAGGGCCUUGCCGGGGCCCCGGCAAGGGUCUUGCCAAGGCGCCUGUUGUCAUCCCCGGCAAGGCGCUUGCUGGGGAUCUCGUGGUCUUCCCUGGUUGGUAUCUCGCCAAAGGUCGUCGUCUUCUUAGUGCGUAUCUGAUCUUGAAUGUCUUCACAAAGAUCUGCAUGCCACCACAGGGAUGUGUCCCGAAUCCUUGCCCCUUGGGGGCAGUGGACUCAAGGGUAAUUUGCUCCGUAGGCGUGGGGCGAGUCGCCACGGCAAGGGUCUUGCCGGGGUUGCUAAACCUGUCUCCCGGCAAGGAUCUUGCCGGGGGAGUCCGCUUCGUCCUUUUUGCUCUUCGUGGUCUUGGUCUUGGCGUCAUUCUAGUUCCCUUGAGCUUCGGUCUUACCCUGGCUCACCCCCCUUGCCUUGCUUGGUGUGGUGGUGCCCGUGGCUCAGACUGCCCGUGCACAGUUAUAGGGGUACAAAAAGUGUACCCCUCUUUUUGUACACCGACACCCUGAGUCUUCACAAUGCUGAUAAUCAAAGCUUCUCACAAAAUAUUGAAGGAGUUCAAGCUAUCACUCGUGUUUAUCCUCUGGCUGGUAUUACGCGUGCUCCUCAUCGUGCCCUCACUGAAGCCACUGAAAGCACCAUUGCACAACGGCCCAAGAAGCGAUCUCGUGUUCUCAAUGACCGAGAGCUUCUAGUUGCCCUUCAUCAGAAACAUGAUAAGCAUCAUGACUGGCUGAAGUGUCAAAUGAAAAGCCUCUUGGUGGACGUCAACAGGAUUCGCAACCUUGCCACCAAAAAUGCCUUUGUCGCCCAUGAAACUUGUCGGCGUACAUGGAAAGGGCUGACGCUUAUGUGUUCUGAAGAUGAUCUUCAAGAUGAUGGCUUCUCUGAACGUUUCAAGUUUGACACAACACCUCUGAGAAGGAUUGUGCUGCGCGCACUCCACCUCUUGAAGACUCUGAGUUCUCCUCUUCUGCUGCAACAGUGGAUGCCCGUGUCAUUAAUGAUGAAUAUGAUGCUACUUCACCACCUUCUGCACGAAUAAAAACUGCACCAAGUUCGUCUGCACCGCCAAACAACACCGACGACCCUGCUGCUUCACCUACUCCUCAUGGGAACGAGUAGAGGCUCUAUGUCUUCAAACCUUUUUGGUCCUUACUGACAAAAGGGGGAGAAGCAUAUGAGUUUGAUAGUCUUCAAGCGGGUUCAUAUGGGCGGUUGCAUUAUAUUUUGCCUAGUGUUUACAACUCUUGCUUUUUGAUAUAUUUGGUUCUUUGAGUUGUAACACUUAAACUCGAUGGUCGUCUGCUACUUAUUUGCUAUUCUGUGAUGCGAUGAUAAAUUCCGCAUGUGCGAUGAUAACUUCCGCACUUAAGUCAUUCUGCAGACGUCCAUUUUUCAUUAUGCAUGUCAUUAUCUUCGUUAUAUCAAAUCAUGCAUGAUGAAUUAUCUUCAUAAGUUGAAGAGGAUCUCCACAAGUACAACCUGCCAUGUGCAUUUGCAUUCCAAAAGCAAAUUACUUAUAUGCACAUCUUCAGGGGGAGCCCUUACCACUUAUGAAGAAAAUUCCUAAAUCCUUUACAUUUCACAUACUUUAUCCCUGUUAAAAACUUCAACCAGUUUGUCAUCAAUCACCAAAAAGGGGGAGAUUGUAAGUGCAUCUAGUGCCACCCCUAGUUGGUUUUGGAGUAUUGACGACAAAUCUGGUUGAGGGACUAAUGUGUUUGUGAGAAUUGCAGGAUAACACAGGUAGUAGUCCCUCAUUGAUUCGGUUUACCUACCGGAGAUGACCCCUAAAAAUGUAUGAAGACAUUGACGACAAUGGUGGUAUGUGAAGAUAUUCAUAUUGAAGACUAUGACAUGAGAAUACAUUGAGUGAAGAUUAUGGAGCGCGAAGACUUAGUCGUUUCGUUGUUUCCUUUUCUUCUUUGUUGAGUCAUAGGAACCACCGUACUGUUAAGUGGGUUCCAAGUGAACAAAGUCAGAGUGACUGAAGUGAUGCUCAACCCAAAUCCUAUAUCUUCGAGCGAAGACAAUGAGAGCAAAUCUUAUCCAGAGCUGGAUGAGUCAGCUUUGCUUGUAGCCCAAGUAAAGUUGCCGUGUGUGUUUGAAAUCUGACCGUUGGAACACGUGUCAGUUCCUUAGUGACCUAGGGUCAUUUCGGACAUAUCAGGUCGGGUUGCCUAGUGGCUAUAAAUAGCCCACCCCCUACACCAUAAAUUGGUGGCUGCUCAGAGUUAGUGCAUGGCUUUUGUCGUAUUGAGAGCAACCCACCUCGAAGCCUUUGAGAGAGAGAAAUCCUUGCGAGGACAAAGCCCAAACACCCAGAGCCAAAGAGUGUUAGGCAUCACUGAAGUCUUUCUGUCUGCGUGACCUGAAGACUUAUUACACUUGAGGAUUGUGAAUCCUCCAGCCGGUUAGGCGUCGCGUUCUGAGCAUCCAAGAGUCAUUGUGGAUCGCCAGUGAAUGAAGUCUGUGAAAGUUUAGAAGUCUACCUUGAAGACUUACCAGAGUAAUUGGGUGAGGACUGGGUGUCCUUAGCUCAAGGGGAAUAAGGUGAAGACGUGGUCUUCUGAGUUGAAUCUCAGCCUCCCUAACCAGAUGUACAGUUGUCAUAGCAACUGGAACUGGUCCAACAAAUCAUGUGUCCUCAACAAGUGACUGGUUCUAUCCUCUCCCUAUCUUUAUUUAGAGUUUGUCUUCGUGAAGUCAUUGCUUGUUUGCUUUACCUAUUUGUCUUCACUGUCUAACUAUUUUCGUAGUUUGGCUUCAUGCCAUCUUCCAUCCUGAUCCUUACUACCUAGCUGCUGUUAGUCGUUGUACUUUCACAUUAUUGCAUACUUGACUAUGGCUUUCUUAGUGUAGUUUAUCUUCCGCUGCAUAUCAAUAGGGUCAUUUCUAUUGUUUGUCUUCGAAACUUCCAUGUUUUGAAGACUUUCAUAAAAAUCGCCUAUUCACCCCCCCCUCUAGUCGAUAACUAGCACUUUCAGUCUUCAAUUAAGGACUGAGUUUGAGUCAUUUCCGUGUCCAACAGGUCAUCGCUUUUGUCUAACAACUUUUGAAUAUGCUCCAUAGCAGUUUGUUGUUUUGUAGCAAUUUUAGCAAGUGUGUUGUAGCUAGGUUUAGAUUCACAUUCAGAGUCAUUUUCACUGGAUGUUUGAAAGUAAGCAUCACGUGAGUUUACCUUGGCACCAUGUGCCAUGAAGCAGUAGGUAGGAGCAGAGUCAUCCUCAUCAUUAGCAUCAGCGUUGGGGACGAGACCAUUGUCUUCGGUGUUGAAGAUGGACUUGGCAAUAUACGCUGAAGCCAGAGCCAACCUUGCCACACCUGAAUCAGACUCCUCCUCAAACUCCACCUCCGCCUCCCCAAAAGCAGACUCCUCCUCUGAAUCCAUCUCCUUGCCAACAAACGCACGAGCCUUGCUUGAUGAGUUCUUCUUGAGAAAUGAAGACUUCGAUGAAGACUUUGAGGAUUUCUUCUACUUGUUGUCAUCAUAAUCAUAAUCCUUGCUCUUCUUCUUCUUCUUGGUCUCAUUGUCCCAUUGUGGACACUCGGAGAUGUAGUGACCAGGUUUCUUGCAUUUGUGGCAUGUUCUCUUCUUGUGGUCACGAGUGGAAGCUUCAUCAUUUCCUCAGGUGGAUCUUGAAGACUUUCUGAAGCCUUUCUUCUUGGUAAACUUCUGGAACUUCUUCACGAGCAUAGCUAGCUCCUUUCCAAUGUCUUUGGGAUCCCCAGAACUAUAGUCAAAUUCUUCUUCAGAUGAGGAAACAACCUUUGCAUUCAAAGUGUGAGUUCAACCAUAGUUGGGAGCAUAGAUGUCUCUCUUCUUAGAUAACUGGAACUCAUGUGUGUUGAGCCUCUCAAGUAUGUCAGACUGAUCGAGAGUCUUGAAGUCAGGAUGUUCUUGAAUCAUCAGGGUCAGGGUGUCGAAAGAGCUGUCAAGUGAUCUCAGAAGCUUCUUGACGAUUUCGUGCUUGGUGAUCUCAGUGGCACCAAGUGCGCGAAGCUCAUUUGUGAUAUCAGUGAGGCGAUCAAACGUGAGCUGGACAUUCUCAUUGUCGUUUCUCUUGAAGCAGUUGAAUAGGUUGCAAAGAACAUCAAUCCGUGAGUCUCUUUGAGUUGAGACGCCUUCGUUGACCUUGGAGAGCCGGUCCCAUACUAGCUUUGUAGUUUCCAGUGCACUCACACGACCAUAUUGUCCUUUGGUCAGAUGACCACAAAUGAUGUUCCUGGCAGUUGAAUCCAGUUGAAUGAACCUCUUGACAUUAGCUGCGGUGACACCUUCACCGACCUUGGGAACGCCAUUCUUGACGACAUACCAGAGGUCGACGUCAAUGUCUUUAAGAUGCAUACGCAUCUUACUCUUCCAGUAGGGGUAAUUAGUGCCAUUGAAGAUGGGGCACGCAUUGGAGACCUUGAUUAUCCCUGCAGUCGACAUAGCUAAAACUAUAGGUGGUUAAACUGAAGGAAAUAUGCCCUAGAGGCAAUAAUAAAGUUGUUAUUUAUAUUUCCUUAUAUCAUGAUAAAUGUUUAUUAUUCAUGCUAGAAUUGUAUUAACCGGAAACUUAGUACAUGUGUGAAUACAUAGAGAAACAGAGUGUCCCUACUAUGCCUCUACUUGACUAGCUCGUUAAUCAAAGAUGGUUAAGUUUCCUGACCAUGGACAUGUGUUGUCAUUUGAUGAACGGGAUCACAUCAUUAUAGAAUGAUGUGAUGGACAAGACCCAUCUGUUAGCUUAGCAUAAUGAUCGUUUAGUUUUAUUCCUAUUGCUUUCUUCAUGACUUAUACAUGUUCCUCUGACUAUGAGAUUAUGCAACUCCCGAAUACCAAAGGAACACCUUGUGUGAUAUCAAAUGUCACAACGUAACUGGGUGAUUAUAAAGCUGCUCUAUAGGUGUCUCCGAUGGUGUUUGUUGAGUUGGCAUAGAUCGAGAUUAGGAUUUGUCACUCCAUGUAUCGGAGGGGUAUCUCUAGGCCUUCUCGGUAAUGCACAUAACUAUGAGCCUUGCAAGCAAUGUGUCUAAUGAGUUAGUCACGGGAAGAUGCAUUACGGAAUGAGUAAAGAGACUUGCCAGUAACGAGAUUGAACUAGGUAUGGUGAUACCGACGAUCGAAUCUCGGGCAAGCAACAUACCGAUGACAAAGGGAACAACGUAUGUUGUUAUGCGAUUUUGACCGAUAAAGAUCUUCGUAGAAUAUGUAGGAGCCAAUAUGAGCAUCCAGGUUCCGCUAUUGGUUAUUGACAGGAGAUGUGUCUCGGUCAUGUCUACAUAGUUCUCGAACCCGUAGGGUCCGCAAGCUUAACGUUCGAUGAUGAUUUGUAUUAUGAGUUAUGUGAUUUGAUGACCGAAGAUUGUUUAGAGUCCUGGAUGAGAUCACAGACAUGACGAGGAGUCUCGAAAUGGUCGAGACAUAAAUAUUGAUAUAUUGGACGAUGUUAUUCAGACACCGGAUGAGUUCCGAGAGGUACUAGAUAACUAUCAGAGUGCCGGAGGGUUAUCGGAACCCCCCGGGGGAACUAAUGGCCCUUGAUGGGCCUUAGUGGGAAGAGAGGAAGGGCCACAAGGAGGGCCGGCCCCCUUCCUUCUUCCCCCUCUUCCUUAGGUGGAAUCCUACUAGGACUUGGAGUCCUACCUCUCCUGGCGCGCCCUAGGAGGGUCGGCCGGCCUCCCCUCCCCUCCUUUAUAUACGGGAGCAGGGGGCACCCUAGAACACACAAGUUUCUCUUAACCGUGUGCGGUGCCCCCCUCCACAGCUACACACCUCGGUCAUAUCAUCGUAGUGCUUACGCAAAGCCCUGCGCUGGUAACUUCAUUAUCACCAUCACCAUGCCAUCAUGUUGACGGAACUCUCCCUCGGCCUCAACUGGAUCAAGAGUUCGAGGGACGUCAUCGAGCUGAACGUGUGCUGACGUGGAGGUGCCGUAUGUUCGGUGCUUGGAUCGGUUGGAUCGCGAAGACGUUUGACUACAUCGACCGCAUUACUAAAUGCUUCCACUUUCGGUCUACAAGGGUACGUGGAUACACUCUCCCCGCUCGUUGCUACGCAUCUCCUAUAUAGAUCUUGCGUGAUCGUAGGUAAAUUUUUUGAAAUACAGCGUUUCCCAACAAUGGCAUCUGAGCCAGGUCUAUGCGUAGAUGUUAUAUGCAUGAGUAGAACACAAAGAGUUGUCAGCGAUAAUAGUCAUACUGCUUACCAGCAACGUCUUACUUUGAUUCGGCGGUAUUGUUGGAUGAAGCGGCCCGGACCGACAUUACAUGACCACGUUCAUGAGCCUGGUUCUACCGACGUGCUUCACACACAGGUGGCUAGUGGGUGUCUGUUUCUCCAGCUUUAGUUGAAUCGGGAUUGACUACUCCCGAUCGUUGUUGAAGGUUAAAACAGCACACUUGACGAAAAAUCAUUGUGGUUUUGAUGUGUAUGUAAGAAUGGUUCUUGCAAGAAGCCCGUAGCAGUCACGUAAAACUUGCAACAACAAAGUAGACGACGUCUAACUUGUUUUUGCAGGGCUUGUUGUGAUGUGAUAUGGUCAAGUCAUGAUGAUAUAUAAAUUGUUGUAUGAGAUGAUCAUGAUUGGAAAAGUUAUCGGCAACUGGCUGGAGCCAUAUGGUUGUCGCUUUAUUGUAUAAAAUGCAAUCGCCAUGUAAUUGCUUUACUUUAUCACUAAGUGGUAGCGAUAGUCAUAGAAGCAAUAGUUGGCGAGAUGACAACGAUGCUACGAUGGAGAUCAAGGUGUCAAGCCGAUGACGAUGGUGAUCAUGACAGUGCUUUGGAGAUGGAGAUCAAAGGCACAAGAUGAGGAUGGCCAUAUCAUAUCACUUAUUUUGAUUGCAUGUGAUGUUUAUCCUUUAUGCAUCUUAUUUUGCUUAGUACGGCGGUAGAAUUAUAAGAUGAUCCCUCACUAAAUUUCAAGGUACAAGUGUUCUCCCUGAGUAUGCACCGUUGCAAAAGUUCGUCGUGCCGAGACACCACGUGAUGAUCGGGUGUGAUAAGCUCUAUGUUCACAUACAACGGGUGCAAGCCAGUUUUGCACACGCAUAAUACUCGGGUUAAACUUGACGAGCCUAGCAUAUGCAGAUAUGGCCUCGGAACACUGAAACCAAAAGGUCGAACGUGAAUCAUAUAGUAGAUAUGAUCAACAUAGUGAUGUUCACCAUUGAAAGCUACUCCAUCUCACGUGAUGAUCGGACGUGGUUUAGUUGAUAUGGAUCACGUGAUCAUUUAGAUGACUAGAGGGAUGUCUAUCUAAGUGGGAGUUCUUAAGUAAUAUGAUUAAUUGAACUUUAAUUUAUCAUGAACUUAGUACCUGCUAGUAUUUUGCAUGUCUAUGUUAUUGUAGAUAAAUGGCCUGUGCUACUGUUCCUUUGAAUUUUAAAGCGUUCCUAGAGAAAGCUAAGUUGAAAGAUGAUGGUAGGAACUACACGGACUGGGUCUGUAACUUGAGGAUUAUCCUCAUUGCUGCACAGAAGAAUUAUGUCCUGAAAGCACUGCUAGGUGCAAGACCCGCUGCAGGAGCAACACCGGACGUUAUGAAUGUCUGGCAGAGCAAAGCUAAUGACUACUCGAUAGUUCAGUGUGCCAUGCUUUACGGCUUAGAACCGGGACUUCAACGAUGUUUUGAACGUCAUGGAGCAUAUGAGAUGUUCCAGGAGUUGAAGUUAAUAUUUCAAGCAAAUGCCCGAAUUGAGAGAUAUGAAGUCUCCAAUAAGUUCUAUAGCUGCAAGAUGGAGGAGAAUAGUUCUGUCAGUGAACAUAUACUCAAAAUGUCUUGGUACCACAACCACUUGACUCAACUGGGAGUUAAUCUUCCUGAUGAUAGUGUCAUUGAGAGAGUUCUUCAAUCACUGCCACCAAGCUACAAAAGCUUCUGAUGAACUAUAAUAUGCAAGGGAUGGAUAAGACAAUUCCCGAGCUCUUCGCGAUGCUAAAAGCUGCGGAGGUAGAAAUCAAGAAGGAGCAUCAAGUGUUGAUUGUUAACAAGACCACUAGUUUCAAGAAAAAGGGCAAAGGGAAGAAAGGGAACUUCAAGAAGAACGGCAAGCAAGUUGCUGCUCAAGUGAAGAAGCCCAAGUCUGGACCUAAGCCUGAGACUGAGUGCUUCUACUGCAAAGGGACUGGUCACUGGAAGCGGAAUUGCCCCAAGUAUUUGGCAGAUAAGAAGGAUGGCAAAGUGAAAGGUAUAUUUGAUAUACAUGUUAUUGAUGUGUACCUUACUAAUGCUCGUAGUAGCGCCUGGGUAUUUGAUACUUGUUCUGUUGCUCACAUUUGGCACUCGAAACAGGGGCUACUGAUUAAGCGAAGAUUGGCUAAGGACGAGGUGAUGAUGCGCGUGGGUAAUGGUUCCAAAGUAGAUGUGAUCGCCGCCGGCACGCUACCUCUACAUCUACCUUCGGGAUUAGUUUUGGACCUAAAUAAUUGUUAUUUGGUGCCAGCGUUAAGCAUGAACAUUAUAUCUGGAUCUUGUUUGAUGCGAGACGGUAAUUCAUUUAAAUCAGAGAAUAAUGGUUGUUCUAUUUAUAUGAGCAAUAUCUUUUAUGGUCAUGCACCCUUGAUGAGUGGUCUAUUUUUGUUAAAUCUCGAUAGUAGUGAUACACAUAUUCAUGGUAUUGAAGCCAAAAGAUACAAGUUUAAUAAUGAUAGUGCAACUUAUUUGUGGCACUAGCAUUUAGGUCAUAUUGGUCUAAAGCGCAUGAAGAAACUCCAUGCUGAUGGGCUUUUGGAAUCACUUGAUUAUGAAUCACUUGAUGCUUGCGAACCAUGCCUCAUGGCCAAGAUGACUAAGACUCCAUUCUCCGGAACAAUGGAGCGAGCAAUAGAUUUAUUGGAAAUAAUACAUACUGAUAUAUGCGGUCCGAUGAGUGUUGAUGCUCGCGGUGGGUAUCGUUAUUUUCUGACCUUCACAGAUGAUUUGAGCAGAUAUAGGUAUAUCUACUUAAUGAAACAUAAGUCUGAAACAUUUGAAAAGUUCAAAGAAUUUCAGAGUGAAGUGGAAAAUCAUCGUAACAAGAAAAUAAAGUUUCUACGAUCUGAUCGUGGAGGAGAAUAUUUGAGUUAUGAGUUUGGUCUUCAUUUGAAACAAUGCGGAAUAGUUUCGCAACUCAUGCCACCUGGAACACCACAUCGUAAUGGUGUGUCCGAACGUCGUAACUGCACUUUAUUAGAUAUGGUGCGAUCUAUGAUGUCUCUUACUGAUUUACCACUGUCGUUUUGGGGCUAUGCUUUAGAGACGGCUGCAUUCACGUUAAACAGGGCACCAUCUAAAUCCGUUGAGGCGACACCAUAUGAAUUGUGGUUUGGCAAGAAACCCAAGUUGUCGUUUUUUAAAGUUUGGGGUUGCGAUGCUUAUGGUAAAAAGCUUCAACCUGAUAAGCCCGAACCCAAAUCGGAGAAAUGUGUCUUCAUAGGAUACCCAAAGGAGACUGUUGGGUACACCUUCUAUCACAGAUCCGAAGGAAAGAUAUUUGUUUCUAAGAAUGGAUCCUUUCUAGAGAAGGAGUUUCUCUCGAAAGAAGUGAGUGGGAGGAAAGUAGAACUUGAUGAGGUAAUGUACCUGCUCCCUUAUUGGAAAGUAGUUCAUCACAGAAAUCAGUUCCAGUGAUUCCUACACAGGAAGCUAAUGAUGAUGAUCAUGAAACUUCAGAUCAAGUUACUACCGAACCUCGUAGGUCAACCAGAGUAAGAUCUGCACCAGAGUGGUACGGUAAUCCUGUUCUGGAAGUCAUGUUACUUGAUCAUGACGAACCUACGAGCUAUGAGGAAGCGAUGAUGAGCCCAGAUUCCACGAAAUGGCUUGAGGCCAUGAAAUCUGAGGUGGGAUCCAAGUAUGAGAACAAAGUGUGGACUUUGGUUGACUUGCCCGAUGAUCGGCAUGCCAUAGAGAAUAAAUGGAUCUUCAAGAAGAAGACUGACACUGACGGUAAUGUUACUGUCUACAAAGCUCGACUUGUUGCGAAAGGUUUUCGACAAGUUCAAGGAGUUGACUAUGAUGAGAGCUUCUCACCCGUAGUGAUGCUCAAGUCUAUCCGAAUCAUGUUAGCAAUUACCGCAUUUUACGGUUAUGAAAUCUGGCAAAUGGAUGUCAAAACUGCAUUCCUUAAUGGAUAUCUUAAAGAAGAGUUGUAUAUGAUGCAACCAAAAGGUUUUGUCAAAAGAUGCUAACAAAGUGUGCAAACUCCAGCGAUCCAUUUAUGGACUGGUGCAAGCCUCUCAGAGUUGGAAUAUACGCUUUGAUAGUGUGAUCAAAGCAUAUGGUUUUAUACAGACUUUUGGAGAAGCCUGUAUUUACAAGAAAGUGACUGGGAGCUCUGUAGAUUUUCUGAUAUUAUAUGUGGAUGACAUAUUGUUGAUCGAAAAUGAUACUGAAUUUCUGAAUAGCAUAAAAGGAUACUUGAAUAAGAAUUUUUCAAUGAAAGACCUCGGAGAAGCUGCUUAUAUAUUGGGCAUCAAGAUCUAUAGAGAUAGAUCAAGACGCUUAAUUGGACUUUCACAAAGCACAUACAUUGAUAAAGUUUUGAAGAAGUUCAAAAUGGAUCAGUGAAAGAAAGGGUUCUUGCCUGUGUUACAAAGUGUGAAAUUGAGUCAGACUCAAUGCCCGACCACUACAUAAGAUAGAGAGAAAAUGAAAGUCAUUACCUAUGCCUCAGCCAUAGGUUCUAUCAUGUAUGCAAUGUUGUGUACCAGACCUGAUGUGUGCCUUGCUAUUAGUUUAGCAGGGAGGUACCAAAGUAAUCCAGGAGUGGAUCACUGGACAACGGUCAAGAACAUCCUGAAAUACCUGAAAAGCUAAGGAUAUGUUUCUCGUUUAUGGAGGUGACAAAGAGCUUGUCGUAAACGGUUACGUCGAUGCAAGCUUUGACACUGAUCCGGAUGACUCUAAGUCACAAACUGGAUACGUAUUUAUAUUGAAUGGUGGAGCUGUCAGUUGGUGCAGUUCCAAACAGAGCGUCGUGGCGGGAUCUACGUGUGAAGUGGAGUACAUAACUGCUUCAGAAGCAGAAAAUGAAGGAGUCUGGAUGAAGGAGUUCAUAUGCGAUCUAGGUGUCAUACCUAGUGCAUCGGUCCAAUGAAAAUCUUUUGUGACAAUACUGGAGCAAUAGCCUUGGCGAAGGAAUCCAAAAUUCACAAGAGAACCAAACACAUUAAGAGACGCUUCAAUUCCAUCCGCGAUCAAGUCAAGGAGGGAGACAUAUAAAUUUGCAAAAUACAUACGGAACUGAAUAUUGAAGACCCAUUGACUAAGCCUCUCACGAGCAAAACAUGAUCAGCACCAAGACUCCAUGGGCGUUAGAAUCAUUACUAUGUAAUCUAGAUUAUUGACUCUGCAAGUGGGAGACUAAAGGAAAUAUGCCCUAGAGGCAAUAAUAAAGUUGUUGUUUAUAUUUCUUUAUAUCAUGAUAAAUGUUUAUUAUUCAUGCUAGAAUUGUAUUAACUAGAAACUUAGUACAUGUGUGAAUACAUAGACAAACAGAGUGUCCCUAGUAUGCCUCUACUUGACUAGCUUGUUAAUCAAAUAUGGUUAAGUUUCCUGACCAUGGACAUGUGUUGUCAUUUGAUGAAUGGGAUCACAUCAUUAGAGAAUGAUGUGAUAGCUUAGCAUAAUGAUCGUUUAGUUUUAUUUCUAUUGCUUUCUUCAUGACUUAUACAUGUUCCUCUGACUAUGCGAUUAUGCAACUCCCGAAUACCGGAGGAACACCUUGUGUGCUAUCAAAUGUCACAACGUAACUGGGUGAUUAUAAAGAUGCUCUACAGGUGUCUCCGAUGGUGUUUGUUGAGUUGGCAUAGAUCGAGAUUAGGAUUUGUCACUCCGUGUAUCAGAGAGGUAUCUCUGGGACCUCUCGGUAAUGAACAUCACUGCGAGCCUUGCAAGCAAUGUGUCUAAUGAGUUAGUCACGGGAUGAUGCAUUACGAAACGAGUAAAGAGACUUGCUGGUAACAAGACUGAAAUAGGUAUGGUGAUACCGACGACCGAAUCUCGGGCAAGUAACAUACCGACGACAAAGGAAAUAACAUAUGUUGUUAUGCGGUUUUGACCGAUAAAGAUCUUCGUAGAAUAUGUAGAAGCUAAUAUGAGCAUCCAGUUUCCGCUAUUGGUUAUUGACCGAAGAUGUGUCUCGGUCAUGCCUACAUAGUACUCGAACCCGUAGGGUCCGCACGCUUAGCGUUCGAUGAUGAUUUGUAUUAUGAGUUAUGUGAUUUGAUGACCGAAGAUUGUUCGGAGUCCCGGAUGAGAUCACAGACAUGACGAGGAGUCUCAAAAUGGUUGAGACAUAAAGAUUGAUAUAUUGGACAAUGUUAUUCGGACACCGGAUGAGUUCCGAGAGGUACCGGAUACCUAUCGGAGUGCCGAAGGGUUAUCGGAACCCCCCAGGGGAACUAAUGGGCCUUGAUGGGCCUUAGUGGGAAGAGAGGAAGGGCCACAAGGGGCUGGCCGCGCCCACCCCCCCUUGGGUCCGAAUUGGACUAGGGGAAGGGGGCGGCGCCCCCCUUUCCUUCCCUUCCCCCUCUUCCUUCCUUCUUCCCCCUCUUCCUUAGGUGGAAUCCUACUAGGACUUGGAGUCCUAGUAGGACUCCCCUCUCCUAGCAUGCCCUAGGAGGGACGUCCGGCCUCCCCUCCCCUCCUUUAUAUACGGGGGCAGGGGGCACCCUAGAACACACAAGUUUCUCUUAACCGUGUGCGGUGCCCCCCUCCACAGUUACACACCUCAGUCAUAUCGUCGUAGUGCUUAGGAAAAGCCCUGCACCGGUAACUUCAUCAUCACCGUCACCACGCCAUUGUGCUAAUGGAACUCUCCCUCGGCCUCAACUGGAUCAAGAGUUCGAGGGAUGUCAUUGAGCUGAACGUGUGCUGAACGCGGAGUUGCCGUACGUUCGGUGCUUGGAUCGGUUGGAUCGCGAAAACGUUCGACUACAUCAACCGCGUUACUAAACGCUUCCACUUUUGGUCUACGAGGGUACGUGGACACACUCUCCCCGCUCGUUGCUAUGCAUCUCCUAGAUAGUUCUUGCGUGAUCGUAGGUAAAUGUUUUGAAAUACUAUGUUUCCCAACAUAAACCGAAUCACACAGAACAAGGGAGAACCUUACUCUGAUACCAAUUGAAAGUGCUAGUUAUCGACUAGGGGGGGUGAAUAGGCGAUUUUUAUGUAAGUCUUCAAAACAUGGGGGCUUUGAAGACGAACAGUAGAAAUGAACCUAUUGGUAUGCAGCAGAAGGUAGACUACACUAGACAAGCCAUAGUCAAGUAAGCAAUGAAGUGAAAGCACGAAGACUAUCAGCAACUAGGUAGUAUAGAUCAGGAUGGAAGAUGGUAUGAAGCCAAACGGUAAAUAGUCUUCACACAGUGAAGACAAUCAUAUCAUGCAAGCAGACAAUGACUUCACGAAGACAGACUGAAAGUAAAGGGAAGUGAAGGAUAGAACCAGUAGCUUCUUGAAGGCAAGGAUUUGGUAGACCAGUUCCAGUUGCUGCGACAACUGUACAUCUGGUUAGGGAGGCUGAGAUUUAACUCAUAAGACCACGUCUUCACCUUAUUCCCCUUGAGCUAAGAACACUUAGUCCUCGCCCAAUCACUCUGGUAAGUCUUCAAGGUAGACUUCCAAACCUUCACAGACUUCGUUCACUGGUAAUCCACAAUGGCUCUUGGAUGCUCAGAACGUGACACCUAAUUGGCUGGAGGAUUCACAGUCCUCAAGUGUAACAAGUCUUCAGAUCACGCAAACAGAAAGACUUCAGUGAUGCCUAACACUCUUUAGCUCUGGGUGUUUUGGGCUUUGUCCUCGCAAGGAUCUCUCUCUCAAAUGCUUCGGAGGUGCGUUUCUCUCAAAUGACAAAAGCCGUGCACUAACUCUGAGCAGCCCCCAAUUUAUGGUGUAGGUGAAGGAAAUAUGCCCUAGAGGCAAUAAUAAAGUUAUUAUUUAUUUCCUUAUAUCACGAUAAAUGUUUAUAAUUCAUGCUAGAAUUGUAUUAACCGGAAACAUAAUACAUGUGUGAGUACAUAGACAAACAGAGUGUCACUAGAAUAGCUCUACUUGACUAGCUCGUUGAUCAAAGAUGGUUAUGUUUCCUAGCCAUAGACAUGAGUUGUCAUUUGGUUAAUGGGAUCACAUCAUUAGGAGAAUGAUGUGAUUGACAUGACCCAUUCCGUUAACUUAGCACACGAUCUUUUAGUAUGUUGCUAUUGCUUUCUUCAUGACUUAUACAUGUUCCUAUGACUAUGAGAUUAUGCAACUCCCGUUUACCACAGGAACACUUUGUGUGCUACCAAACGUCACAACGUAACUGGGUGAUUAUAAAGGUGCUCUACAGGUGUCUCCGAAGGUACUUGUUGGGUUGGCGUAUUUCGAGAUUAGGAUUUGUCACUCCGAUUGUCGGAGAGGUAUCUCUGGGCCCUCUCGGUAAUGCACAUCACUUAAGCCUUGCAAGCAUUGCAACUAAUGAGUUAGUUGCGGGAUGAUGUAUUACGGAAUGAGUAAAGAUACUUGCCGGUAAUGAGAUUGAACUAGGUAUUGAGAUACCGACGAUCGAAUCUCGGGCAAGUAACAUACCAAUGACAAAGGGAACAACGUAUGUUGUUAUGCGGUCUGACCGAUAAAGAUCUUCGUAGAAUAUGUGGGAGCCAAUAUGAGCAUCCAGGUUCCGCUAUUGGUUAUUGACCGGAGACGUGUCUCGGUCAUGUCUACAUAGUUCUCGAACCCAUAGGGUCCGCACGCUUAACGUUUCGAUGAUAGUUAUAUUAUGAGUCUAUAUGUUUUGAUGUACCGAAGGUUGCUUGGAGUCCCGGAUGUGAUCACGGACAUGACGAGGAGUCUCGAAAUGGUCGAGACAUGAAGAUUGAUAUAUUGGAAGCCUAUGUUUGGAUAUCGGAAGUGUUCCGGGUGAANNNNNNNNNNNNNNNNNNNNNNNNNNNNNNNNNNNNNNNNNNNNNNNNNNNNNNNNNNNNNNNNNNNNNNNNNNNNNNNNNNNNNNNNNNNNNNNNNNNNNNNNNNNNNNNNNNNNNNNNNNNNNNNNNNNNNNNNNNNNNNNNNNNNNNNNNNNNNNNNNNNNNNNNNNNNNNNNNNNNNNNNNNNNNNNNNNNNNNNNNNNNNNNNNNNNNNNNNNNNNNNNNNNNNNNNNNNNNNNNNNNNNNNNNNNNNNNNNNNNNNNNNNNNNNNNNNNGGCAAGGGCCACGCGCCCUUCCCCCCUAGUCCGAAUAGGACAAGGAGAGGGGGGCGGCACCCCCCCUUCCUUCUUCUCCUCCACCUCUUCCCCCCAAGUCCUAAUCCAACUAGGAAAGGGGGGAGUCCUACUCCCGGUGGGAGUAGGACUCCUCUUGGCGCGCCCCCCUUGGCCGGCCGCACCUCCCCCCCUUGCUCCUUUAUAUACGGGGGCAGGGGGCACCCUAGACCCAACAAUUGAUCGUUUGAUAUUUUAGCCAUGUGCGGUGCCCCCCCUCCACCAUAGUCCACCUCGAUAAAACUGUAGCGGUGCUUAGGCGAAGCCCUGCGUCGGUAGAACGUCAUCAUCGUCACCACACCGUCGUGCUAGCGAAACUCUCCCUCAAAACUCAGCUGGAUCGGAGUUCGAGGGACGUCAUCAGGCUGAACGUGUGCUGAACUCGGAGGUGCCAUGCAUUCGGUACUUGAUCGGUCAGAUCGUGAAGACAUACGACUACAUCAACCACGUUGUGCUAACGCUUCCACUUUUGGUCUACGAGGGUACGUGGACAACGCUCUCCCCUCUUGUUGCUAUGCAUCACCAUGAUCUUGCGUGUGCGUAGGAUUUUUUUUGAAAUUACUACGUUCCCCAACAGUGGCAUUCGAGCCAGGUUUUAUGCGUAGAUGUCAAAUGCAUGAGUAGAACACAAGUGAGUUGUGGGCGAUAUAAGUCAUACUGCUUACCAGCAUGUCAUACUUUGGUUCGGCGGUAUUUUUGGAUGAAGCGGCCCGGACCGACAUUACGCGUACGCUUACGCGAGACUGGUUCUACCGACGUGCUUUGCACAUAGGUGGCUGGCGGGUGUCAGUUUAUCCAACUUUAGUUGAACCGAGUGUGGCUACGCCCGAUCCCUGCGAAGGUUAAAACAUCACCAACUUGACAAACUAUCGUUGUGGUUUUGAUGUGUAGGUAAGAACGGUUCUUGCUAAGCCCAUAGCAGCCACGUAAAACUUGCAACAACAAAGUAGAGGACGUCUAACUUGUUUUUGCGGGGCAUGUUGUGAUGUGAUAUGGUCAAGACAUGAUGCUAAAUUUUAUUGUAUGAGAUAAUCAUGUUUUGUAACCGAGUUAUCGGCAACUGGCAGGAGCCAUAUGGUUGUUGCUUUAUUGUAUGCAAUGCAAUCGCCCUUUAAUGCUUUACUUUAUCACUAAGCGAUAGCGAUAGUCAUAGAAGCAUAAGAUUGGCGAGAAGACAACGAUGCUACGAUGGAGAUCAAGGUGUCGCGCCGGUGACGAUGGUGAUCAUGGAGGUGCUUCGGAGAUGGAGAUCACAAGCACAAGAUGAUGAUGGCCAUAUCAUAUCACUUAUAUUGAUUGCAUGUGAUGUUUAUCUUUUAUGCAUCUUAUCUUGCUUUGAUUAACAAUAGCAUUAUAAGAUGAUCUCUCACUAAAUUUCAAGAUAAAAGUGUUCUCCCUGAGUAUGCACCAUUGCCAAAGUUCGUCAUGCCCAGACACCACGUGAUGAUCGGGUGUGAUAAGCUCUACGUCCAUCUACAACGGGUGCAAGCCAGUUUUGCAAACGCAUAAUACUUGGGUUAAACUUGACGAGCCUAGCAUAUGCAGAUAUCGCCUCGGAACACUGAGACCGAAAGGUUGAGCGUGAAUCAUAUAGUAGAUAUGAUCAACAUAGUGAUGUUCACCAUUGAAAACUACUCCAUUUCACAUGAUGAUCGGUUAUGGUUUAGUUGAUUUGGAUCACGUGAUCACUUAGAAGAUUAGAGGGAUGUCUAUCUAAGUGGGAGUUCUUAAGUAAUAUGAUUAAUUGAACUUAAAUUUAUCAUGAACUUAGUACCUGAUAGUAUCUUGCUUGUCUAUGUUGAUUGUAGAUAGAUAGCCCGUGCUGUUGUUCUGUUGAAUUUUAAUGCGUUCCUUGAGAAAGCAAAGUUGAAAGAUGAUGGUAGCAAUUACACGGACUGGGUCCGUAACUUGAGGAUUAUCCUCAUUGCUGCACAGAAGAAUUACGUCAUGGAAGCACCGCUAGGUGUACCACCUGCGCCGGCAACUGCAGACAUUGUGAACGCCUGGCAGUCACGUGUUGAUGACUACUUGAUAGUUCAGUGUGCCAUGCUUUACAUCUUAGAACCGGGACUUCAAUGACGUUUUGAACGUCAUGGAGCAUAUGAGAUGUUUCAAGAGUUGAAGUUAAUAUGUCAAAAGAAUGCCCGGAUUGAGAGAUAUGAAGUCUCCAAUAAGUUCUACAGCUGCAAGAUGGAGGAGAAUAGUUCUGUCAGUGAGCAUAUACUCAAGAUGUCUGGGUAUAAUAAUCACAUGAUUCAACUAGGAGUUAAUCUUCCGGAUGAUAGCGUCAUUGACAGAAUUCUCCAGUCACUUCCACCAAGCUACAAGAGCUUCGUGAUGAACUAUAACAUGCAAGGGAUGGAUAAGACGAUUCCCGAGCUCUUCGCAAUGCUAAAGGCUGCGGAGGUAGAAAUCAAAAAGAAGCAUCAAGUGUUGAUUGUCAAUAAGACCACUAGUUUCAAGAAAAAGGGCAAAGGGAAGAAGAAGGGGAACUUCAAGAAGAACAUCAAGCAAGUUGCUGCUCAGGAGAAGAAACCCAAGUCUGGACCUAAGCCUGAAACUGAGUGCUUCUACUGCAAGCAGACUGGUCACUGGAAGCGGAACUGCCCCAAGUAUUUGGCGGAUAAGAAGGAUGGCAAGGUGAACAAAGGUAUAUGUGAUAUACAUGUUAUUGAUGUGUACCUUACUAGAGCUUGCAGUAGCACCUGGGUAUUUGAUACUGGUUCUGUUGCUAAUAUUUGCAACUCGAAACAGGGACUACGGAUUAAGCGAACACUGGCCAAGGACGAGGUGACGAUGCGCGUGGGAAAUGGUUCCAAAGUCGAUGUGAUCGCGGUCGGCACGCUACCUCUACAUCUACCUUCGGGAUUAGUUUUAGACCUAAAUAAUUGUUAUUUGGUGCCAGCAUUGAGCAUGAACAUUAUAUCUGGAUCUUGUUUGAUGCGAGACAGUUAUUCAUUUCAAUCAGAGAAUAAUGGUUGUUCUAUUUAUAUGAGUAAUAUCUUUUAUAGUCAUGCACCCUUGAAGAGUGGUCUAUUUUUGAUGAAUCUCGAUAGUAGUGAUACACAUAUUCGUAAUGUUGAAACCAAAAGAUGCAGAGUUGAUAAUGAUAGUGCAACUUAUUUGUGGCACUGCCGUUUAGGUCAUAUCGGUGUAAAGCGCAUGAAGAAACCCCAUACCGAUGGACUUUUGGAACCACUUGAUUAUGAAUCACUUGGUACUUGCGAACCGUGCCUUAUGGGCAAGAUGACUAAAACGCCGUUCUCCGGUACUAUGGAGAGAGCAACAGAUUUGUUGGAAAUCAUACAUACAGAUGUAUGUGGUCCGAUGAAUGUUGAGGCUCAUGGCGGGUAUCGUUAUUUUCUCACCUUCACAGAUGAUUUAAGCAGAUAUGGGUAUAUCUACUUAAUGAAACAUAAGUCUGAAACGUUUGAAAAGUUCAAAGAAUUUCAGAGUGAAGUUGAAAAUCAUCGUAACAAGAAAAUAAAGUUUCUACGAUCUGAUCGUGGAGGAGAAUAUUUGAGUUACGAGUUUGGUCUACAUUUGAAACAAUGCGGAAUAGUUUCGCAACUCACGCCACCCGGAACACCACAGCGUAAUGGUGUGUCCGAACGUCGUAGUCGUACUUUACUAGAUAUGGUGCGAUCUAUGAUGUCUCUUACUGAUUUACUGCUAUCAUUUUGGGGUUAUGCUUUAGAGACGGUUGCAUUCAUGUUAAAUAGGGCACCAUCAAAAUCCGUUGAGACGACGCCUUAUGAACUGUGGUUUGGCAAGAAACCAAAGUUGUCGUUUCUUAAAGUUUGGGGCUGCGAUGCUUAUGUGAAAAAGCUUCAACCUGAUAAGCUCGAACCCAAAUCAGAAAAAUGUGUCUUCAUAGGAUACCCAAAGGAGACUGUUGGGUACACCUUCUAUCAUAGAUCCGAAGGCAAGACAUUCGUUGUUAAGAAUGGAUCCUUUCUAGAGAAGGAGUUUCUCUCGAAAGAAGUGAGUGGGAGGAAAGUAGAACUUGAUGAGGUAACUAUACCUGCUCCCUUAUUGGAAAGUAGCUCAUCAUAGAAAUCUAUUCAUGUGACACCUACACCAAUUAGUGGGGAAGUUAAUGAUGAUGAUCAUGGAACUUCAGAUCAAGUUGUUACUGAACCUCGUAGAUCAACCAGAGUAAGAUCCGCACCAGAGUGGUACGUUAAUCCUGUUCUGGAAGUCAUGUUACUCGACCAUGAUGAACCGACGAACUAUGAAGAAGCGAUAGUGAGCCCAGAUUCCGCAAAAUGGCUUGAGGCCAUGAAAUCUGAGAUGGGAUCCAUGUAUGAGAACAAAGUGUGGACUUUGGUUGACUUGCCCGAUGAUCGGCAAGCAAUUGAGAAUAAAUGGAUCUUCAAGAAGAAGACUGACGCUGACGGUAAUGUUACUGUCUACAAAGCUCGACUUGUUGCGAAAGGUUUUCGACAAGUUCAAGGGAUUGACUACGAUGAGACCCUCUCACCCAUAGCGAUGCUUAAGUCUGUCCAAAUCAUGUUAGCAAUUGCCGCAUUUUAUGAUUAUGAAAUUUGGCAGAUGGAUGUCAAAACUGCAUUCCUGAAUGGAUUUCUGGAAGAAGAGUUGUAUAUGAUGCAACCAGAAGGUUUUGUCGAUCCAAAAGAGGCUAACAAAGUGUGCAAGCUCCAGCAAUCCAUUUAUGGACUGGUGCAAGCCUCUCGGAGUUGGAAUAAACGCUUUGAUAGUGUGAUCAAAGCAUUUGGUUUUGUACAAACUUUUGGAGAAGCCUGUAUUUACAAGAAAGUGAGUGGGAGCUAUGUAGCAUUUCUGAUAUUAUAUGUGGAUGACAUAUUGCUGAUUGGAAAUGAUAUAGAAUUUAUGGAUAGCAUAAAGGGAUACUUGAAUAAGAGUUUUUCAAUGAAAGACCUCGGUGAAGCUGCUUAUAUAUUGGGCAUUAAGAUCUAUAGAGAUAGAUCAAGACGCUUAAUUGGACUUUCACAAAGCACAUACCUUGACAAAGUUCUGAAUAAGUUCAAAAUGGAUCAAGCAAAGAAAGGGUUCUUGCCUAUGUUACAAGGUGUGAAGUUGUGUAAGACUCAAUGCCCGACCACUGCAGAAGAUAGAGAGAAAAUGAAAGAUGUUCCCUAUGCUUCAGCCAUAGGCUCUAUCAUGUAUGCAAUGCUGUGUACCAGACCUGAUGUGUGCCUUGCUAUAAGUCUCAACUCAAAGAGACUCACGGAUUGAUGUUCCCACUCACUUUCCUUGCUAUAAGUUUCAAAUCAUAUAAUACCAGACCUGAUAUGCUCCCAGUCACUUUCUAUCAUGUAUGCAAUGCUGUGUACCAGACCUGAUGUGCGCGGGCAGGCAGGGCGGUUUUUACCGCGGUAAGAUUUUUUGCGCGCUGCGCUUCCCACGACUCCCGCGCGUGGCAUGGCGUGGGGAGGCGCGUGCGACAUGGGCAGCAUGCGUGGGGUUGGUCUCCGCACGCAUGCAUCACGUCGUAGUAAAGGGGCGGUUCGCGCCUUCCCCAUAAACGAGGGAAGCGUGGAGGCGCGGCCCAUUUACUGAAUGGGGACGAGGCGCGGUCCUCAAGGCAUCCACUCCCCACGAUCACGGGGUGGGGAGAGGUCGCCUCACCCGUCCCCUCGGUUCUGCACGUCUGCCAUGUGUCUCCCAUGCGCUUGGGGUGGCAAACUGUGGAGGCGGGAAACCGGGCCGUCGCUGGUUGGGGCGGCGGGUCGGUCUUGGCUCCCUGCGCCUUCCGUGUCUUGAUUGGCCGAGCGGGGCGGUCGAGCCCCAACCCCGUUCCUUUAUAAAGAGCGGGAGGGGGGAUGGCGUCCCGCAUUCUUCCAUCUUCUUCCUCCUUCAGCUUAUGCUCCUCUCUUCCAUUCGUCAUGGAGAGAGGAAAUCCCGGUCCUUCAACGGUGGCGGCGAGGGUCGCCGCUCGACAACGCGUCCCUCCUUCUCCUGCGCCUGUGGUGGUAGAGCCGGCCGCGAGGGGAAGGGGGAGGGGCUAGGCCGUGGGCGAGGCCGGGGCGCUCGGGGAAGAGGAGGACGGGGUGGCACGCCGGCCUCGCCCCCGCCAGCAGCUCCUCCUCUAAUGGAGGGCCAUGUUGGGGAUGACCCUUGUGAGUUCUUCGUCAGGUUGCGCCGGCCGCCGCGCCGUCGCCUUUGUCUCCUGACUCCAUUUGCGCAGGAGAUGGAGUUGGAUCCGCCGGAGUCAUUGCGGCUGCACAUGAGGGGCUGCGGGAUCAGUGGCACGCGGGUCCGUGUCGACUUCCCUGCUCCUCAUGUGAUGUAUCUUCGUUGGAUUCCCUGCUCCUCAUGUGAUGUAUCUUCGUUGGGGAUGGAAGACGUUUUCUCAUAUCCACAGCUUGACGGAGGGGCUCACUCUCCAUUUUAAGCUGAUGGAGGGUAGCCUUCUCUCCGUCAAGGUCUUCGGGCACUUUGGGACUCGUACAAGGUGCUGCGUGGAGAGCUCUUCUGAUAGUGAAGAUUCCUCCUCGAGCGAGAGUGACGAGGAGGACAGCGGCAGCGACGACGAGGGCGGUAGGCAGCAGGAUGACGGGUCCGACUAGGUGUCGGGCGCCACUCCGUGUGGCACCGGCAACCCCAUCAUCCGUGUCGCCGGCUCCUUGAACUUCUCGGGGUAGUCUCCUUGGGCGUCUGGCGUUGGGAGGCUGCAGAAGAGGAAGAGGGCGGGCGGCAAGGCCGUCAAGUCGGAGUACACGGGCACCGACGCCUUCGACGCAUACUGACGUCCUGCCGCCUCGUCUUUGAGCUCUGCUUCCAGCACCGCCAUCACCAUCCAGCCUUUGGACGGCCACCAAGAUGUUCUCUCGGUGUCUUCUGCCACUCGUAGCUCGCCUAGGCGCUCCUUUUGCCCUUUUUGCCUCCUUGACCUGCCUCCUGAGGAGAGGGACAAGAAAGGGAUUACGGGCACCUUAUCUCUUUUUAAUUUGUAAGCCUUUGGGCCUUUGUUGAAUUUAAAACCCGUAAUCCUCUCAUUCAUGUUUUUCAUUCCCUAUGGACUGUACCUGACUGGAAUGUUUUUAAUGAAAAAGGGAUGUUUGCCGGGUCAUUUGUUUGUGGGUGAAACCCACGACAAGGAAUAAAUCCUUGAUAUCUUUAAGAUAAACAUUUCCUUGCCCGGCAACAUGCCUCGCCAUCUCCCCACUUCGCUCGAUCUUCCUCACGCUUUCGGCGGAGGCCGGGAUGAAGUGGGUUUAGGCUCCUCGUCCUAUCCUUUUGCUGUCGCGACUACGACCAAACUCGGUCCUAGGAACGGGCCCUAGGGCCUAGAGUUAGGGGAGCACGGUAGUUUGAGGGUAAAAUGAGGUUUCACAUACCUCAGUCCGUAAGGAAAUGCAUGAUAAGGGAUAAAAAACUUAUCUGAAUCCGCAGCCCCGGGCAACCCUGGUUUGCCAUGGGUGAAUCUUUGCUCUUGCAGCCCCCGGCAAUACUGGCUUGCCGGGGCCUAGAUGCCGGUCUGUUCCUUUUUUUCUCCCCAAGUGGUUUGGCAAGGAUAUCUAUGUGUCCUGCGAACCAAAGAAGAUAAAAGAAAGACAAAGAGAUGCAAACUCGACCUCUAAGCUAGGGGUUAGCCGCCGCUAAGCACUAUCAACCCUAACCAAGGAUGAGACUCGACCUAGCAUGCAUGCUAUAACUUAGGGCGCCAGCGCUUCAUUUAUUUAUGCUCAGGGUCUGUGCCUGGCUUUGUACAAAGGGUUACAUGCGUCAUCGGCAAGGCUUGUACAAAAGGUGGCUUGCCGGGGGGCCCGGCAAGCCGCGCCUCACGGGUAAAACUUGCGAAGAUGAUCAAUGUUCUAGGAGUUACUCACCGGCACGGCAUCUUCGGUCUCCAGGCGGACUGCGCCGGGCCUGGUGACUCGUAUUACCCGAUAAGGGCCUUCCCACUUUGGCGUCAACUUGUUGGAAUUCUUGGCCGAUUGAACGCGCCGAAGAACAAGGUCGCCUUCCUCAAAGCUUCGGGCACGAACCUUGCGGCUAUGGUAGCGGCGCAAGGCUUGCUGGUAGCGCGCUGCUCUCACAGCCGCCCGAAGACGAUCUUCCUCAAGGAGCGUUGCGUCAUCUUGCCGCAAUUGCUCUUUCUCAAGCUCGUCAUAAGCGAGUACUCGAGGUGACCCGUAUAUGAGUUCUGUGGGGAGAACUGCUUCUGCCCCGUAUACCAGGGCAAAGGGUGUCUGGCCGGUGGCUCAAUUUGGUGUCGUUCUGAUUGACCAAAGAACUGCCAACAAUUCAUCAAUCCAGCACCUUCCACUCUUGCGCAGUCUGCCAAAGGUCUUUGUCCUCAGGCCUCGCAGUACUUCAGCAUUCGCCCUCUCAGCUUGACCAUUGCUUUGUGGGUGAGCAACGGAAGCGAAACAGACCUUGCUGUCGAGGUCUUGAAUAUAUUGCAUGAAGGUGUGACUUGUGAACUGAGUGCCGUUGUCGAUGAUGACCCUAUUGGGUACACUAAAACGGCACACCAGUCCUUUGAAGAACUUGACGGCUGACUGUGUUGUGACCUUCCUCACUACUUCCACUUCUAGCCACUUUGUGAACUUGUCGAUUGCAACGUACAAGAACUCAAAGCCCCCGAUAGCGCGGGGGAAAGGGCCCAGUAUGUCGAGCCCCCAGACCGAGAAAGGCCAGGAGAGAGGAAUGGUUUGAAGGGCUUGAGCUGGCUGAUGAAGCUUCUUCGAAUGGAACUGACACGCUUCACACCUGGUGACUAGUGUCAUCGCAUCCUGGAGGGCGGUGGGCCAGAAGAAGCCUUGCCGAAACGCUUUGCCGGCAAGGGCCGUCGACCCUAUGUGGGAUCCACAUAUGCCUCCAUGUAUCUCCGCCAACAGCCCCAGUCCUUCCUCUCGAGGGAUACACUUCAAUUUCACACCGUUCGGCCUCUUUCUGUACAGGACGUCAUUGACGAACUGGUACAUAGUAGAGUGACGGGCUACUUUUUCCGCUUCUUCCUGCUCCUCAGGAAGUUCCCCUGUUUGGAGGAAUCGGAUGAUAUAUUGUGCCCACGCUGGAGCCUGGGGCUCGACGGCGAGGACUAAAGGCAUUUCCUCCGCUAUAGGAGCGGCUGUCUCCACGGCAAGAGCUUGAUGCUCCAUCGGAGCUAGCCGUCCCGUGGCGGGCUCAGUGUCUCCGGAAACAUCCUUGUCGGCGGCUUCGGGGAGCUCGGCGGGAAAGUACUUGCCGGGCCCUGAUUUUCUCCUCUUGUUUUGUUCUGUUGAUGGAUCAACGGAUGGCUGAGUUAGCUGAAGCACAAAGGUACCUGGUUCCACAGGUAGCUUGAGGGUGGCGCGUUUUGACAGGUAAUUGGUGAUGUCGUUCUCUGCUCGGGGAACGUGCUCUGCCUGUAUACCGUCAAAAUGCUCUUCCAGCUUCCUCACUUCAUCUAGGUAGGCCUUCAUCAACGGGCUCUGGUAGUCCUUGUUGACUUGUUUGACGACAAGUUGCGAGUCGCCCCUGACAAUGAGUUUCUUGAUUCCGAGGUCUGCCGCGAUCCUAAGACCAGCAAGCAGCCCCUCGUACUCAGCAGUAUUGUUUGUCGACACCUCCCUGGGGAAGUGCAUCUGGACCACGUACUUGAGGUGCUCCCCGGUGGGCGCGACAAGCAGUACGCCAACCCCGGCGCCCUGUAAGGAGAAAGCCCCAUCAAAGUACAUGACCCAGUCGCAACUUGCCUCUUUGCUGGGGAGAACAGUCUCCUGGGUUUCUUCAUCAGGCGUCGCGGUCCGUUCUGCAACGAACUCCGCCAGGACUCGGGUUUGAAUCGUCGAGGUACUCUCAAACUUGAGGCCAAAGCUAGACAGCUCCAGUGCCCAUUCUACAAUUCUUCCUGUUGCGUCUAGAUUGUGCAAUAUCCGUUGCAGAGGGAGGCGAGUAACGACGGUGAUCUCGUGCGCCUGGAAGUAGUGAUGCAGCUUCCUCGAGGCCAUAAGAACGCUGAAGAGCAGUUUCUGCACACCGGAGUACCUUAAUCUAGCCCCCUGCAGGAGGGAGCUAACAAAGUAGACCGGGUGCUGCAUCAUUUUCUUCCUUGGCGGCACUCCAACCGGCUGUGUCAUCUCUGCACCAACGGCAUCAGGCUCUGUCGCUGCUAUCACCUCGUCAUCAAUUUCUCUCUGCGCCACUAGCGCGAUGCUGACCACCUGGUUCGUUGCCGCCAGGUAUAGUAGCAACGAUUAUUGUGGCCUAGGCGCAACUAGUACUGGCGUGGAGGAGAGAUACCUCUUCAAAUCUUACAAUGCUACUUCGGCUUCUGGCGUCCAUUACAUCGGGCCCGCCUUUUUCAAGACCUUGAAAAAGGGAAGGGCGCGCUCGGCAGACUUGGAAAUGAACCUGCUCAUGGCGGCAACGCAACCAGCAAGCUGACGUACAUCCUUGACCCGCUUGGGCGCUUCAAUCUGUUCUAUAGCUUUGAUCUUGUCCGGAUUGGCCUCUAUCCCACGCUGUGACACAAAGAACGCGAGAAGCUUGCCGGACGGGACACCGAAGACGCACUUCUCAGGGUUCAGCUUGAGAUUGAUCUUGCGUAGGUUUGCAAAUGUUUCUUGUAAAUCCGGUAUAAGGGUUGCCCUGUUCUUGGUUUUGACCACUAUAUCAUCCAUAUAAGCGUCCAUAUUUCUAUGGAGCUGGGGUUCAAAACCAAUCUGGACCGCCCUUGCAAAUGUUGAACCAGCACUCUUCAACCCGAAAGGCAUCCGUAUGAAACAAUAUGUACCACAUGGGGUGAUGAAUGCCGUUUUCUCUUCGUCUUCUCUUGUCAUGAAGAUCUGGUGGUAGUCGGAGUAGGCAUCGAGGAAUGAUAACAGAUCACACCCAGCCGUGGAGUCAACAAUCUGGUCGAUGCGCGGCAACGGGAAGGGGUCUUUGGGACAAGCCUUAUUGAUAUCUGUGUAAUCAAUACACAGCAUCCACUUCCCAUUUGCCUUACGCACUACCACUGGAUUGGCCAACCACAUUGGAUGGAGCACUCCUCUUACCAAACCCGCUGCUUCCAGUUUUCGGAUCUCCUCUGUGAUGAACUCUUGUCGUUCCAAAGCUUGCUUUCUUACCUUUUGCUUGACGGGCCGCGCAUGAGGACAGACAGCAAGGUGGUGCUCAAUCACCUCCCUGGGAACGUAGGGGAUGUCGGAUGCUUGCCAUGCAAACACAUCGACAUUCGCCCGUAGGAAGGUGACGAGCGUGUCUUCCUAUUUGUCGUCAAGGGCGGAGCUUAUGGUGAAAGCCCCUCCCGUGCCAUCCUCCUUGACAGAAACCUUCUUGGUUCCCGGCGGUGUGGCCCUGAACUUCUUGUUUCUGCCGGUGGAGCUUUCUGGCACGUCCUCGACGGGAGCACUACACUCCGAAGAGGUGCGCUUGCCGGAGUGGGUGCCUGAGGUCUCGCCGGUCUUCUUCUUUUUCCUUCCCGGGGCUCCAGCGGCAGGAGCAAGCGCCUUAGCAGUGGCAGCUGCUACAACUGCUUGUUGGUAGAGUUGGUUAGCACAAAUUAGCGCGUCCUUCUUGUCCGAUGGGACGGUGAUGAUCGUCAUAGGCCCCGGCAUCUUCAGGGUGUUGUAGGCGUAAUGUGACGCCGCCAUGAACUUGGCCAGCGCUGGGCGGCCAAGGAUCCCGUUGUAAGGCAAGGGGAUCUUGGCAACGCCGAACACAAUCUUUUUUGUCCGGUAGUUCAGAUCACUCCCAAAAGUCACGGGCAACGUGACCUUUCCCUUUGGUUGACUUCUUCCCGGGUUGACCCCCUGAAAUGUGCCCGUCUCUUCGAGAUCUCCAUUAGGAAUCUACAGUUUCUCGAUCACGGUAGGCGAGAUUAAGUUCAGACCGGCUCCGCCAUCGACUAGCAUCUUUGUCACCUUGAGGUUGCGUAUUGUUGGUGAAACCAACAAUGGCAAGCACCCGACUGCAGUGGUGCAAUCAGGGUGAUCCUCAGUGUCAAAAAUGAUAGGUGUGCUGGACCACUUCAGCGGCCUUUGGGCAUCAAACGAUGGCUCUGCCGCUGUAAUCUCACGCGCCCACUGUUUAAGCUGGCGAUGACAGGUAUGCAGCAAGGCGCCGCCAUCAACGCACAUGGCCUCUGUAGCUUUCUGAAAUUCUUGGUCACCAGACUCAUCAUCCUCUUCGUGAUCAUCGUCUUCUGGCUUUUUGUCACGGCCCCGGGCGGGCCUCUCCUGUUGUUUAUCCUUGCCGUGAUGGCCCGCCUGGCCGUCACGCUUCUUGCCGGACCCCUCAGCACCGUCCUGGCCCUUCUCCUUGUCCCGCCUCUCAUAUUCAGCCCUCUGCUUCUCGGCAAGGAGCUCAACCUGUCGGCAGUUCUGGAGAUCAUGGCCCUUGGUGGGAUGGAUCUUGCAGUAUUGCUUGUCGGAGUUUCCUGGCUUCUCGGCAGCCGCCAAGGCCCGGCAUGCGACACAUCUGGAAAUUUCCUUGCUAGGGUCAUCUGCCUUGGUUUUCUUGGCGGAGCCGGCGUCAUCAGAUCCCUCGACGGCAAGCACGGCUUUACCUUUGCGCUUCCUGUUGCGGCGCCGGCCUUUCUUUGCCGGGGUGGCAGUAUCCUCAUCUGAAGAGUCGGUUUCCACGCCGGCAUCUUCGCCGGGGUACUUCCUUCCCUCUUCCGCCCAGGCACAUCUGUCAGCAAGAACAUAGAGUUUUGCCACGUCUUUCACCUUGUUCAUUGCCAGCUCUUCGCGCAUCUUGCGGUUACGCACGUUCUGAUGAAACGCGCUGAUGAUGGUGGCAGGGUGAACAUCAGGGAUAUUGUACUGUACCCGGUUGAACCUCUGUAUAUAUUUGCACAGACUCUCGCCUCCCUUCUAGGGAAUGACGUGCAGGUCGCUUGCUUGGCCAUGGGCUUGGUGACCUCCAGUAAAGGCGCCAACAAACUCAUGGCACAAAUCCGACCAGGAGGAAAUAGAGUCUAUCGGCAAGUGCAUCAACCACGACAUGGCGUUGGGUUUAAGAGCCAAUGGAAAGUAAUUCGCAAGCACCUUAUCGUCGCGGGCUCCGGCAGCUUGCAUCGCGAUGGUGUAGAUGCUGAGGAACUCAGACGGGUGGGUCUUGUCGUUGUACUUCUCGCCAACGUCAGGUUUGAAGGUGCAGUGAGUGGGCCACUAGAACUGCCGCAGCUCACAGGUAAAAGCCGGACAGCCUACCUCGUAAGGUAGGCCUCCAGGGAUCUCCGAGGCCGGGUGGUUCGCAGCAGGCCCUGCUCGCCUGUCCGACUGGUGGCGCGCUCCGCGCCGGCGCUCGAUAGUGGUUCGAGCAUCUUCAUUGGCUCGUUCCCGAAGAACUUGGCGCUGGUCACAGCGGGUACGUGGGUCGGACAACGCUAUGGAGAUGUCGUCGCCCGUGACGUCGCGACAAGCCGGCGUCCGCGGUACCGGAUGGGGAGGAGGUGAAUGCACCGUGGUCGCGGUGCCGCCGGCUUUUCUGCCACUGGUGCGUGGGACUCCAUUGGAGCGUCGACCCGGGGGCUCCACCGGGCUUGGUUCGUCUUUGUUGGACACCGCAACAAGGCUUUGGAUAGUGGCUCUCCAUUCGUCGAGUUUCCCCGUGGUGGGGGGAAAGUCGAGGAGCAACUGCGCGCGCGCCAGGGCCUCUGCUGGCGUCGGCGGCAGUGGAACCUGCACGGAUCGCGACGCGCUUCGACUUCUGACCAUGUCAGAAGGAGCCCUAUCACGAACCCGCGGUCGCGUGCCGUUUUCACCAAGGCUUCGGUGAGCGGGAAGGUUUUCUACGUCCCGGGAGUGGCGCUCGGGGCUCUUCCCGCGGCAACGCCUAGGAUCUUCGGCGUGACGACGCAAUUCAUCGCGUGCUGCCUGGGAGGAGCGCGCUGUUGGCGCCGGCGUGGGAGUCUUGGAGGCCCUUGUGUCGCCUUCGGGUGGGGCGGCGGUGACCUUGGAAGGCCCCGCUCCACCCGCGGAGGGCCUGGCUCCGCCUUUGGAUUUGGCGAUGUGUGGCCCGUUACUAGGCGCACAAACAUCACCGCCUCCCAAACUCCGGCUGCUGGGACGGUGCUGGUGUUCGCGAGCAGCGCCCCGGGUCCUUUCUGCGACCGGUCCGCUGCUCGCCCGCGUCGGGACGGGCUGUCCGGCUUCCGACUGGCCAACCGCCACCGUCGUCUUCUUCUUGGGCGCCAUGAUGAUGAAGAAGCGUCGAACUAACUGCUAAAGCCGAUUCUCACAACCGCGCCCCCUACCUGGCGCGCCAAAGAUGUCGGUGGGAACGACACCUAUGGGAUCACAAGAAUCCCUACUACGGCAGGCGGGGCGCGGGGUCGUGAGAAGAGCAGAUCAAACAGAUAGUACAAAGUUUGUUUAUCCAGGUUCGGGCUGUGAUGAUGCGUAAAACCCUACUCCUGCUUUGGUGGAUGUAUAUUCCUGUUCUUGAGCUAGCUCUGGGGCGUUAGGAGCUCCAAAAAGCCGAAUCCUUCUCCUGGUCGCCUCGGGCCUCCUUUUAUAGAAAAAGGGGUCGCCACAGUGGCAUACAGGAGGUGGAAAGGGUACAGUGAUGCGAGGUUAUCCCUCGCAUUACAUGACAAGGCGCAUUUAAUGCGUCUGCUUAUGUGUCCUUGCUUUAUCGGGGACGGGGGAGAAAUCCGUCUCGUCCGUCGCCGCUCCUUCUUGUGUUGACACGCGCCCUGGCCAGCGAUGCCUGCGAUGCCAUGUAGGUAGGCAGGCAGCUGAGGUGGCGCAGUGGUGGGUCUUCACGAAGAUCUGCAUGCCGCCACGCAGGUGCCUGCCUAGCUGGUUGGGUCGGCAGCUGCAUGCGUACGGCGGUGGAGGUUUAGUCGACGUGGGCCUGAUGGCGGCCCUGCGGAUGUCCUUGGCAAGGGCCUUGCCGGGGCCCCGGCAAGGGUCUUGCCAAGGCGUCUGUUGUCAUCCCCGGCAAGGCGCUUGCCGGGGAUCUCGUGGUCUUCCCUGGCUGGUAUCUCGCCAAAGGUCGUCGUCUUCUUAGUGCGUAUCUGAUCUUGAAUGUCUUCACAAAGAUCUGCAUGCCACCACAGGGAUGUGUCCCGAAUCCUUGCCCCUUGGGGGCAGUGGACUCAAGGGUAAUUUGCUCCGUAGGCGUGGGGCGAGUCGCCACGGCAAGGGUCUUGCCGGGGUAGCUAAAACUGUCUCCCGGCAAGGAUCUUGCCGGGGGAGUCCGCUUCGUCCUUUUUGCUCUUCGUGGUCUUGGUCUUGGCGUCGUUCUAGUUCCCUUGAGCUUCGGUCUUACCCUGGCUCACCCCCCUUGCCUUGCUUGGUGUGGUGGUGCCCGUGGCUCAGACUGCCCGUGCACAGUUAUAGGGGUACAAAAAGUGUACCCCUCUUUUUGUACACCGACACCCUGAGUCUUCACAAUGCUGAUAAUCAAAGCUUCUCACAAAAUAUUGAAGGAGUUCAAGCUGUCACUCGUGUUUAUCCUCUGGCUGGUAUUACGCGUGCUCCUCAUCGUGCCCUCACUGAAGCCACUGAAAGCACCAUUGCACAACGGCCCAAGAAGCGAUCUCGUGUUCUCAAUGACCGAGAGCUUCUAGUUGCCCUUCAUCAGAAACAUGAUAAGCAUCAUGAUUGGCUGAAGUGUCAAAUAAAAAGCCUCUUGGUGGACGUCAACAGGAUUCGCAACCUUGCCACCAAAAAUGCCUUUGUCGCCCAUGAAACUUGUCGGCGUACAUGGAAAGGGCUGACGCUUAUGUGUUCUGAAGAUGAUCUUCAAGAUGAUGGCUUCUCUGAACGUUUCAAGUUUGACACAACACCUCUGAGAAGGAUUGUGCUGCGCGCACUCCAUCUCUUGAAGACUCUGAGUUCUCCUCUUCUGCUGCAACAGUGGAUGCCCAUGUCAUUAAUGAUGAAUAUGAUGCUACUUCACCACCUUCUGCACGAAUCAACACUGCACCAAGUUCGUCUGCACCGCCAAACAACACCGACGACCCUGCUGCUUCACCUACUCCUCAUGGGAACGAGUAGAGGCUCUAUGUCUUCAAACCUUUUUGGUCCUUACUGACAAAAGGGGGAGAAGCAUAUGAGUUUGAUAGUCUUCAAGCGGGUUCAUAUGUGCGGUUGCAUUAUAUUUUGCCUAGUGUUUACAACUCUUGCUUUUUGAUAUAUUUGGUUCUUUGAGUUGUAACACUUAAACUCGAUGGUCGUCUGCUACUUAUUUGCUAUUCGGUGAUGCGAUGAUAAAUUCCGCAUGUGCGAUGAUAACUUCCGCACUUAAGUCAUUCUGCAGACAUCCAUUUUUCAUUAUGCAUGUCAUUAUCUUCGUUAUAUCAAAUCAUGCAUGAUGAAUUAUCUUCAUAAGUUGAAGAGGAUCUCCACAAGUACAACCUGCCAUGUGCAUUUGCAUUCCAAAAGCAAAUUACUUAUAUGCACAUCUUCAGGGGGAGCCCUUACCACUUAUGAAGACAAUUCCUAAAUCCUUUACAUUUCACAUACUUUAUCCCUGUUAAAAACUUCAACCAGUUUGUCAUCAAUCACCAAAAAGGGGGAGAUUGUAAGUGCAUCUAGUGCCACCCCUAGUUGGUUUUGGAGUAUUGACGACAAAUCUGGUUGAGGGACUAAUGUGUUUGUGAGAAUUGCAGGAUAACACAGGUAGUAGUCCCUCAUUGAUUCGGUUUACCUACCGGAGAUGACCCCUAAAAAUGUAUGAAGACAUUGACGACAAUGGUGGUAUGUGAAGAUAUUCAUAUUGAAGACUAUGACAUGAGAAGACAUUGAGUGAAGAUUAUGGAGCGCGAAGACUUAGUCGUUUCGUUGUUUCCUUUUCUUCUUUGUUGAGUCAUAGGAACCACCGUACUGUUAAGUGGGUUCCAAGUGAACAAAGUCAGAGUGACUGAAGUGAUGCUCAACCCAAAUCCUAUAUCUUCGAGCGAAGACAAUGAGAGCAAAUCUUAUCCAGAGCUGGAUGAGUCAGCUUUGCUUGUAGCCCAAGUAAAGUUGCCGUGUGUGUUUGAAAUCUGACCGUUGGAACACGUGUCAGUUCCUUAGUGACCUAGGGUCAUUUCGGACAUAUCAGGUCGGGUUGCCUAGUGGCUAUAAAUAGCCCACCCCCUACACCAUAAAUUGGUGGCUGCUCAGAGUUGGUGCAUGGCUUUUGUCGUAUUGAGAGCAACCCACCUCGAAGCCUUUGAGAGAGAGAAAUCCUUGCGAGGACAAAGCCCAAACACCCAGAGCCAAAGAGUGUUAGGCAUCACUGAAGUCUUUCUGUCUGCGUGACCUGAAGACUUAUUACACUUGAGGAUUGUGAAUCCUCCAGCCGGUUAGGCGUCGCGUUCUGAGCAUCCAAGAGUCAUUGUGGAUCGCCGGUGAACGAAGUCUGUGAAAGUUUAGAAGUCUACCUUGAAGACUUACCAGAGUAAUUGGGUGAGGACUGGGUGUCCUUAGCUCAAGGGGAAUAAGGUGAAGACGUGGUCUUCUGAGUUGAAUCUCAGCCUCCCUAACCAGACGUACAGUUGUCACAGCAACUGGAACUGGUCCAACAAAUCAUGUGUCCUCAACAAGUGACUGGUUCUAUCCUCUCCCUAUCUUUAUUUAGAGUUUGUCUUCGUGAAGUCAUUGCUUGUUUGCUUUACCUAUUUGUCUUCACUGUCUGACUAUUUUCAUAGUUUGGCUUCAUGCCAUCUUCCAUCCUGAUCCUUACUACCUAGCUGUUGUUAGUCGUUGUACUUUCACAUUAUUGCAUACUUGACUAUGGCUUGCUUAGUGUAGUUUAUCUUCCGCUGCAUAUCAAUAGGGUCAUUUCUAUUGUUUGUCUUCGAAACUUCCAUGUUUUGAAGACUUUCAUAAAAAUCGCCUAUUCACCCCCCCCCCCUCUAGUCAAUAACUAGCACUUUCAGUCUUCAAUUAAGGACUGAGUUUGAGUCAUUUCCGUGUCCAACAGGUCAUCGCUUUUGUCUAACAACUUUUGAAUAUGCUCCAUAGCAGUUUGUUGUUUUGUAGCAAUUUUAGCAAGUGUGUUGUAGCUAGGUUUAGAUUCACAUUCAGAGUCAUCUUCACUGGAUGUUUGAAAGUAAGCAUCACAUGAGUUUACCUUGGCACCAUGUGCCAUGAAGCAGUAGGUAGGAGCAGAGUCAUCCUCAUCAUUAGCAUCAGCGUUGGGGACGAGACCAUUGUCUUCGGUGUUGAAGAUGGACUUGGCGAUAUACGCUGAAGCCAGAGCCAACCUUGCCACACCUGAAUCAGACUCCUCCUCAAACUCCACCUCCGCCUCCUCAGAAGCAGACUCCUCCUCUGAAUCCAUCUCCUUGCCAACAAACGCACGAGCCUUGCUUGAUGAGUUCUUCUUGAGAAAUGAAGACUUCGAUGAAGACUUUGAGGAUUUCUUCUUCUUGUUGUCAUCAUAAUCAUAAUCCUUGCUCUUCUUCUUCUUCUUGGUCUCAUUGUCCCAUUGUGGACACUCGGAGAUGUAGUGACCAGGUUUCUUGCAUUUGUGGCAUGUUCUCUUCUUGUGGUCACGAGUGGAAGCUUCAUCAUUUCUUCAGGUGGAUCUUGAAGACUUUCUGAAGCCUUUCUUCUUGGUAAACUUCUGGAACUUCUUCACGAGCAUAGCUAGCUCCUUUCCAAUGUCUUUGGGAUCCCCAGAACUAUAGUCAGAUUCUUCUUCAGAUGAGGAAACAACCUUUGCCUUCAAAGUGUGAGUUCAACCAUAGUUGGGACCAUAGAUGUCUCUCUUCUUAGAUAACUGGAACUCAUGUGUGUUGAGCCUCUCAAGUAUGUCAGACGGAUCGAGAGUCUUGAAGUCAGGAUGUUCUUGAAUCAUCAGGGUCAGGGUGUCGAAAGAGCUGUCAAGUGAUCUCAGAAGCUUCUUGACGAUUUCGUGCUUGGUGAUCUCAGUGGCACCAAGUGCGCGAAGCUCAUUUGUGAUAUCAGUGAGGCGAUCAAACGUGAGCUGUACAUUCUCAUUGUCGUUUCUCUUGAAGCAGUUGACUGGGAGCAUAUCAGGUCUUGCUAGAAAGUGACUGGGAGCUCUGUAGAUUUUCUGAUAUUAUAUGUGGAUGACAUAUUGUUGAUCGGAAAUGAUACUGAAUUUCUGAAUAGCAUAAAAGGAUACUUGAAUAAGAAUUUUUCAAUGAAAGACCUCGGAGAAGCUGCUUAUAUAUUGGGCAUCAAGAUCUAUAGAGAUAGAUCAAGACGCUUAAUUGGACUUUCACAAAGCACAUACAUUGAUAAAGUUUUGAAGAAGUUCAAAAUGGAUCAGUGAAAGAAAGGGUUCUUGCCUGUGUUACAAAGUGUGAAAUUGAGUCAGACUCAAUGCCCGACCACUACAUAAGAUAGAGAGAAAAUGAAAGUCAUUACCUAUGCCUCAGCCAUAGGUUCUAUCAUGUAUGCAAUGUUGUGUACCAGACCUGAUGUGUGCCUUGCUAUUAGUUUAGCAGGGAGGUACCAAAGUAAUCCAGGAGUGGAUCACUGGACAACGGUCAAGAACAUCCUGAAAUACCUGAAAAGCUAAGGAUAUGUUUCUCGUUUAUGGAGGUGACAAAGAGCUUGUCGUAAACGGUUACGUCGAUGCAAGCUUUGACACUGAUCCGGAUGACUCUAAGUCACAAACUGGAUACGUAUUUAUAUUGAAUGGUGGAGCUGUCAGUUGGUGCAGUUCCAAACAGAGCGUCGUGGCGGGAUCUACGUGUGAAGUGGAGUACAUAACUGCUUCAGAAGCAGAAAAUGAAGGAGUCUGGAUGAAGGAGUUCAUAUGCGAUCUAGGUGUCAUACCUAGUGCAUCGGUCCAAUGAAAAUCUUUUGUGACAAUACUGGAGCAAUAGCCUUGGCGAAGGAAUCCAAAAUUCACAAGAGAACCAAACACAUUAAGAGACGCUUCAAUUCCAUCCGCGAUCAAGUCAAGGAGGGAGACAUAUAAAUUUGCAAAAUACAUACGGAACUGAAUAUUGAAGACCCAUUGACUAAGCCUCUCACGAGCAAAACAUGAUCAGCACCAAGACUCCAUGGGCGUUAGAAUCAUUACUAUGUAAUCUAGAUUAUUGACUCUGCAAGUGGGAGACUAAAGGAAAUAUGCCCUAGAGGCAAUAAUAAAGUUGUUGUUUAUAUUUCUUUAUAUCAUGAUAAAUGUUUAUUAUUCAUGCUAGAAUUGUAUUAACUGGAAACUUAGUACAUGUGUGAAUACAUAGACAAACAGAGUGUCCCUAGUAUGCCUCUACUUGACUAGCUUGUUAAUCAAAGAUGGUUAAGUUUCCUGACCAUGGACAUGUGUUGUCAUUUGAUGAAUGGGAUCACAUCAUUAGAGAAUGAUAUGAUAGCUUAGCAUAAUGAUCGUUUAGUUUUAUUUCUAUUGCUUUCUUCAUGACUUAUACAUGUUCCUCUGACUAUGCGAUUAUGCAACUCCCGAAUACCGGAGGAACACCUUGUGUGCUAUCAAAUGUCACAACGUAACUGGGUGAUUAUAAAGAUGCUCUACAGGUGUCUCCGAUGGUGUUUGUUGAGUUGGCAUAGAUCGAGAUUAGGAUUUGUCACUUCGUGUAUCAGAGAGGUAUCUCUGGGACCUCUCGGUAAUGAACAUCACUGCGAGCCUUGCAAGCAAUGUGUCUAAUGAGUUAGUCACGGGAUGAUGCAUUACGAAACGAGUAAAGAGACUUGCUGGUAACAAGAUUGAACUAGGUAUGGUGAUACCGACGAUCGAAUCUCGGGCAAGUAACAUACCGACGACAAAGGAAAUAACAUAUGUUGUUAUGCGGUUUUGACCGAUAAAGAUCUUCGUAGAAUAUGUAGAAGCUAAUAUGAGCAUCCAGUUUCCGCUAUUGGUUAUUGACCGAAGAUGUGUCUCGGUCAUGCCUACAUAGUACUCGAACCCGUAGGGUCCGCACGCUUAGCGUUCGAUGACGAUUUGUAUUAUGAGUUAUGUGAUUUGAUGACCAAAGAUUGUUCGGAGUCCCGGAUGAGAUCACAGACAUGACGAGGAGUCUCAAAAUGGUUGAGACAUAAAGAUUGAUAUAUUGGACGAUGUUAUUCGGACACCGGAUGAGUUCCGAGAGGUACCGGAUACCUAUCGGAGUGCCGAAGGGUUAUCAGAACCCCCCAGGGGAACUAAUGGGCCUUGAUGGGCCUUAGUGGGAAGAGAGGAAGGGCCACAAGGGGCUGGCCGCGCCCCCCCCCCCCCUUGGGUCCGAAUUGGACUAGGGGAAGGGGGCGGCACCCCCCUUUCCUUCCCUUCCCCCUCUUCCUUCCUUCUUCCCCCUCUUCCUUAGGUGGAAUCCUACUAGGACUUGGAGUCCUAGUAGGACUCCCCUCUCCUAGCGCGCCCUAGGAGGGACGUCCGGCCUCCCCUCCCCUCCUUUAUAUACGGGGGCAGGGGGCACCCUAGAACACACAAGUUUCUCUUAACCGUGUGCGGUGCCCCCCUCCACAGUUACACACCUCAGUCAUAUCGUCGUAGUGCUUAGGAAAAGCCCUGCACCGGUAACUUCAUCAUCACCGUCACCACGCCAUUGUGCUAAUGGAACUCUCCCUCGGCCUCAACUGGAUCAAGAGUUCGAGGGAUGUCAUUGAGCUGAACGUGUGCUGAACGCGGAGGUGCCGUACGUUCGGUGCUUUGGAUCGGUUGGAUCGCGAAAACGUUCGACUACAUCAACCGCGUUACUAAACGCUUCCGCUUUUGGUCUACGAGGGUACGUGGACACAAUCUCCCCGCUCGUUGCUAUGCAUCUCCUAGAUAGUUCUUGCAUGAUUGUAGGUAAAUGUUUUGAAAUACUAUGUUUCCCAACAUAAACCGAAUCACACAGAACAAGGGAGAACCUUACUCUGAUACCAAUUGAAAGUGCUAGUUAUCGACUAGGGGGGGUGAAUAGGCGAUUUUUAUGUAAGUCUUCAAAACAUGGGGGCUUUGAAGACGAACAGUAGAAAUGAACCUAUUGGUAUGCAGCAGAAGGUAGACUACACUAGACAAGCCAUAGUCAAGUAAGCAAUGAAGUGAAAGCACGAAGACUAUCAGCAACUAGGUAGUAUAGAUCAGGAUGGAAGAUGGUAUGAAGCCAAACGGUAAAUAGUCUUCACACAGUGAAGACAAUCAUAUCAUGCAAGCAGACAAUGACUUCACGAAGACAGACUAAAAGUAAAGGGAAGUGAAGGAUAGAACCAGUAGCUUCUUGAAGGCAAGGAUUUGGUAGACCAGUUCCAGUUGCUGCGACAACUGUACAUCUGGUUAAGGAGGCUGAGAUUUAACUCAUAAGACCACGUCUUCACCUUAUUCCCCUUGAGCUAAGAACACUUAGUCCUCGCCCAAUCACUCUGGUAAGUCUUCAAGGUAGACUUCCAAACCUUCACAGACUUCGUUCACUGGUAAUCCACAAUGGCUCUUGGAUGCUCAGAACGUGACACCUAAUUGGCUGGAGGAUUCACAGUCCUCAAGUGUAACAAGUCUUCAGAUCACGCGGACAGAAAGACUUUAGUGAUGCCUAACACUCUUUAGCUCUGGGUGUUUUGGGCUUUGUCCUUGCAAGGAUCUCUCUCUCAAAUGCUUCGGAGGUGCGUUUCUCUCAAACGACAAAAGCCGUGCACAAACUCUGAGCAGCCCCCAAUUUAUGGUGUAGGUGAAGGAAAUAUGCCCUAGAGGCAAUAAUAAAGUUAUUAUUUAUUUCCUUAUAUCACGAUAAAUGUUUAUAAUUCAUGCUAGAAUUGUAUUAACCGGAAACAUAAUACAUGUGUGAGUACAUAGACAAACAGAGUGUCACUAGAAUGCCUCUACUUGACUAGCUCGUUGAUCAAAGAUGGUUAUGUUUCCUAGCCAUAGACAUGAGUUGUCAUUUGGUUAAUGGGAUCACAUCAUUAGGAGAAUGAUGUGAUUGACAUGACCCAUUCCGUUAACUUAGCACACGAUCUUUUAGUAUGUUGCUAUUGCUUUCUUCAUGACUUAUACAUGUUCCUAUGACUAUGAGAUUAUGCAACUCCCGUUUACCAGAGGAACACUUUGUGUGCUACCAAACGUCACAACGUAACUGGGUGAUUAUAAAGGUGCUCUACAGGUGUCUCCGAAGGUACUUGUUGGGUUGGCGUAUUUCGUGAUUAGGAUUUGUCACUCCGAUUGUCGGAGAGGUAUCUCUGGGCCCUCUCGGUAAUGCACAUCACUUAAGCCUUGCAAGCAUUGCAACUAAUGAGUUAGUUGCGGGAUGAUGUAUUACGGAAUGAGUAAAGAUACUUGCCGGUAAUGAGAUUGAACUAGGUAUUGAGAUACCGACGAUCGAAUCUCAGGCAAGUAACAUACCAAUGACAAAGGGAACAAUGUAUGUGGUUAUGCGGUCUGACCGAUAAAGAUCUUCGUAGAAUAUGUGGGAGCCAAUAUGAGCAUCCAGGUUCCGCUAUUGGUUAUUGACCGGAGACGUGUCUCGGUCAUGUCUACAUAGUUCUCGAACCCAUAGGGUCCGCACGCUUAACGUUUCGAUGAUAGUUAUAUUAUGAGUUUAUAUGUUUUGAUGUACCGAAGGUUGUUUGGAGUCCCGGAUGUGAUCACGGACAUGACGAGGAGUCUCGAAAUGGUCGAGACAUGAAGAUUGAUAUAUUGGAAGCCUAUGUUUGGAUAUCGGAAGUGUUCCGGGUGAAAUCGGGAUUUUACCGGAGUACCAGGAGGUUACCGGAACCCCCCGGGGGGUUAAUGGGCCAUAGUGGGCCUUAGUGGAGAAGAGGAGAGGCAGCCAGGGCAAGGGCCGCGCGCCCUUCCCCCCUAGUCCGAAUAGGACAAGGAGAGGGGGGCGGCACCCCCCUUCCUUCUUCUCCUCCACCUCUUCCCCCCCAAGUCCUAAUCCAACUAGGAAAGGGGGGAGUCCUACUCCCGGUGGGAGUAGGACUCCUCUUGGCGCGCCCCCCUUGGCCGGCCGCACCUCCCCCCCUUGCUCCUUUAUAUACGGGGGCAGGGGGCACCCUAGACACAACAAUUGAUCGUUUGAUAUUUUAGCCAUGUGCGGUGCCCCCCCUCCACCAUAGUCCACCUCGAUAAAACUGUAGCGGUGCUUAGGCGAAGCCCUGCGUCGGUAGAACGUCAUCAUCGUCACCACACCGUCGUGCUAAUGAAACUCUCCCUCAAAACUCGGCUGGAUCGGAGUUCGAGGGACGUCAUCAGGCUGAACAUGUGCUGAAGUCGGAGGUGCCAUGCGUUCGGUACUUGAUCGGUCAGAUCGUGAAGACAUACGACUACAUCAACCACGUUGUGCUAACGCUUCCGCUUUUGGUCUAUGAGGGUACGUGGACAACGCUCUCCCCUCUUGUUGCUAUGCAUCACCAUGAUCUUGCGUGUGCGUAGGAUUUUUUUUGAAAUUACUACGUUCCCCAACAGUGGCAUUCGAGCCAGGUUUUAUGUGUAGAUGUCAAAUGCAUGAGUAGAACACAAGUGAGUUGUGGGCGAUAUAAGUCAUACUGCUUACCAGCAUGUCAUACUUUGGUUCGGCGGUAUUUUUGGAUGAAGCGGCCCGGACCGACAUUACGCGUACGCUUACGCGAGACUGGUUCUACCGACGUGCUUUGCACAUAGGUGGCUGGCGGGUGUCAGUUUAUCCAACUUUAGUUGAACCGAGUGUGGCUACGCCCGGUCCCUACGAAGGUUAAAACAUCACCAACUUGACAAACUAUCGUUGUGGUUUUGAUGUGUAGGUAAGAACGGUUCUUGCUAAGCCCGUAGCAGCCACGUAAAACUUGCAACAACAAAGUAGAGGACGUCUAACUUUUUUUUGCGGGGCAUGUUGUGAUGUGAUAUGGUCAAGACAUGAUGCUAAAUUUUAUUGUAUGAAAUAAUCAUGUUUUGUAACCGAGUUAUCGGCAACUGGCAGGAGCCAUAUGGUUGUCGCUUUAUUGUAUGCAAUGCAAUCGCCCUGUAAUGCUUUACUUUAUCAUUAAGCGAUAGCGAUAGUCAUAGAAGCAUAAGAUUGGUGAGAAGACAACGAUGCUACGAUGGAUAUCAAGGUGUCGCGCCGGUGACGAUGGUGAUCAUGGAGGUGCUUCAGAGAUGGAGAUCACAAGCACAAGAUGAUGAUGGCCAUAUCAUAUCACUUAUAUUGAUUGCAUGUGAUGUUUAUCUUUUAUGCAUCUUAUCUUGCUUUGAUUAACAAUAGCAUUAUAAGAUGAUCUCUCACUAAAUUUCAAGAUAAAAGUGUUCUCCCUGAGUAUGCACCGUUGCCAAAGUUCGUCGUGCCCAGACACCACGUGAUGAUCGGGUGUGAUAAGCUCUACGUCCAUCUACAACGGGUGCAAGCCAGUUUUGCAAACGCAUAAUACUUGGGUUAAACUUGACGAGCCUAGCAUAUGCAGAUAUCGCCUCGGAACACUGAGACCGAAAGGUUGAGCGUGAAUCAUAUAGUAGAUAUGAUCAACAUAGUGAUGUUCACCAUUGAAAACUACUCCAUUUCACAUGAUGAUCGGUUAUGGUUUAGUUGAUUUGGAUCACGUGAUCACUUAGAAGAUUAGAGGGAUGUCUAUCUAAGUGGGAGUUCUUAAGUAAUAUGAUUAAUUGAACUUAAAUUUAUCAUGAACUUAGUACCUGAUAGUAUCUUGCUUGUCUAUGUUGAUUGUAGAUAGAUAGCUCGUGCUGUUGUUCUGUUGAAUUUUAAUGCGUUCCUUGAGAAAGCAAAGUUGAAAGAUGAUGGUAGCAAUUACACGGACUGGGUCCGUAACUUGAGGAUUAUCCUCAUUGCUGCACAGAAGAAUUACGUGAUGGAAGCACCGCUAGGUGUACCACCUGCGCCGGCAACUGCAGACAUUGUGAACGCCUGGCAGUCACGUGUUGAUGACUACUUGAUAGUUCAGUGUGCCAUGCUUUACAGCUUAGAACCGGGACUUCAAUGACGUUUUGAACGUCAUGGAGCAUAUGAGAUGUUACAAGAGUUGAAGUUAAUAUGUCAAAAGAAUGCCCGGAUUGAGAGAUAUGAAGUCUCCAAUAAGUUCUACAGCUGCAAGAUGGAGGAGAAUAGUUCUGUCAGUGAGCAUAUACUCAAGAUGUCUGGGUAUAAUAAUCACAUGAUUCAACUAGGAGUUAAUCUUCCGGAUGAUAGCGUCAUUGACAGAAUUCUCCAGUCACUUCCACCAAGCUACAAGAGCUUCGUGAUGAACUAUAACAUGCAAGGGAUGGAUAAGACGAUUCCCGAGCUCUUCGCAAUGCUAAAGGCUGCGGAGGUAGAAAUCAAAAAGAAGCAUCAAGUGUUGAUUGUCAAUAAGACCACUAGUUUCAAGAAAAAGGGCAAAGGGAAGAAGAAGGGGAACUUCAAGAAGAACAUCAAGCAAGUUGCUGCUCAGGAGAAGAAACCCAAGUCUGGACCUAAGCCUGAAACUGAGUGCUUCUACUGCAAGCAGACUGGUCACUGGAAGCGGAACUGCCCCAAGUAUUUGGCGGAUAAGAAGGAUGGCAAGGUGAACAAAGGUAUAUGUGAUAUACAUGUUAUUGAUGUGUACCUUACUAGAGCUUGCAGUAGCACCUGGGUAUUUGAUACUGGUUCUGUUGCUAAUAUUUGCAACUCGAAACAGGGACUACGGAUUAAGCGAACACUGGCCAAGGACGAGGUGACGAUGCGCGUGGGAAAUGGUUCCAAAGUCGAUGUGAUCGCGGUCGGCACGCUACCUCUACAUCUACCUUCGGGAUUAGUUUUAGACCUAAAUAAUUGUUAUUUGGUGCCAGCAUUGAGCAUGAACAUUAUAUCUGGAUCUUGUUUGAUGCGAGACAGUUAUUCAUUUCAAUCAGAGAAUAAUGGUUGUUCUAUUUAUAUGAGUAAUAUCUUUUAUAGUCAUGCACCCUUGAAGAGUGGUCUAUUUUUGAUGAAUCUCGAUAGUAGUGAUACACAUAUUCGUAAUGUUGAAACCAAAAGAUGCAGAGUUGAUAAUGAUAGUGCAACUUAUUUGUGGCACUGCCGUUUAGGUCAUAUCGGUGUAAAGCGCAUGAAGAAACCCCAUACCGAUGGACUUUUGGAACCACUUGAUUAUGAAUCACUUGGUACUUGCGAACCGUGCCUUAUGGGCAAGAUGACUAAAACGCCGUUCUCCGGUACUAUGGAGAGAGCAACAGAUUUGUUGGAAAUCAUACAUACAGAUGUAUGUGGUCCGAUGAAUGUUGAGGCUCAUGGCGGGUAUCGUUAUUUUCUCACCUUCACAGAUGAUUUAAGCAGAUAUGGGUAUAUCUACUUAAUGAAACAUAAGUCUGAAACGUUUGAAAAGUUCAAAGAAUUUCAGAGUGAAGUUGAAAAUCAUCGUAACAAGAAAAUAAAGUUUCUACGAUCUGAUCGUGGAGGAGAAUAUUUGAGUUACGAGUUUGGUCUACAUUUGAAACAAUGCGGAAUAGUUUCGCAACUCACGCCACCCGGAACACCACAGCGUAAUGGUGUGUCCGAACGUCGUAGUCGUACUUUACUAGAUAUGGUGCGAUCUAUGAUGUCUCUUACUGAUUUACUGCUAUCGUUUUGGGGUUAUGCUUUAGAGACGGUUGCAUUCAUGUUAAAUAGGGCACCAUCAAAAUCCGUUGAGACGACGCCUUAUGAACUGUGGUUUGGCAAGAAACCAAAGUUGUCGUUUCUUAAAGUUUGGGGCUGCGAUGCUUAUGUGAAAAAGCUUCAACCUGAUAAGCUCGAACCCAAAUCAGAAAAAUGUGUCUUCAUAGGAUACCCAAAGGAGACUGUUGGGUACACCUUCUACCAUAGAUCCGAAGGCAAGACAUUUGUUGUUAAGAAUGGAUCCUUUCUAGAGAAGGAGUUUCUCUCGAAAGAAGUGAGUGGGAGGAAAGUAGAACUUGAUGAGGUAACUGUACCUGCUCCCUUAUUGGAAAGUAGCUCAUCAUAGAAAUCUAUUCAUGUGACACCUACACCAAUUAGUGGGGAAGUUAAUGAUGAUGAUCAUGGAACUUCAGAUCAAGUUGUUACUGAACCUCGUAGAUCAACCAGAGUAAGAUCCGCACCAGAGUGGUACGGUAAUCCUGUUCUGGAAGUCAUGUUACUCGACCAUGAUGAACCUACGAACUAUGAAGAAGCGAUAGUGAGCCCAGAUUCUGCAAAAUGGCUUGAGGCCAUGAAAUCUGAGAUGGGAUCCAUGUAUGAGAACAAAGUGUGGACUUUGGUUGACUUGCCCGAUGAUCGGCAAGCAAUUGAGAAUAAAUGGAUCUUCAAGAAGAAGACUGACGCUGACGGUAAUGUUACUGUCUACAAAGCUCGACUUGUUGCGAAAGGUUUUCGACAAGUUCAAGGGAUUGACUACAUGAGACCUUCUCACCCAUAGCGAUGCUUAAGUCUGUCCAAAUCAUGUUAGCAAUUGCCGCAUUUUAUGAUUAUGAAAUUUGGCAGAUGGAUGUCAAAACUGCAUUCCUGAAUGGAUUUCUGGAAGAAGAGUUGUAUAUGAUGCAACCAAAAGGUUUUGUCGAUCCAAAAGAGGCUAACAAAGUGUGCAAGCUCCAGCAAUCCAUUUAUGGACUGGUGCAAGCCUCUCGGAGUUGGAAUAAACGCUUUGAUAGUGUGAUCAAAGCAUUUGGUUUUGUACAAACUUUUGGAGAAGCCUGUAUUUACAAGAAAGUGAGUGGGAGCUAUGUAGCAUUUCUGAUAUUAUAUGUGGAUGACAUAUUGCUGAUUGGAAAUGAUAUAGAAUUUAUGGAUAGCAUAAAGGGAUACUUGAAUAAGAGUUUUUCAAUGAAAGACCUCGGUGAAGCUGCUUAUAUAUUGGGCAUUAAGAUCUAUAGAGAUAGAUCAAGACGCUUAAUUGGACUUUCACAAAGCACAUACCUUGACAAAGUUCUGAAUAAGUUCAAAAUGGAUCAAGCAAAGAAAGGGUUCUUGCCUAUGUUACAAGGUGUGAAGUUGAGUAAGACUCAAUGCCCGACCACUGCAGAAGAUAGAGAGAAAAUGAAAGAUGUUCCCUAUGCUUCAGCCAUAGGCUCUAUCAUGUAUGCAAUGCUGUGUACCAGACCUGAUGUGUGCCUUGCUAUAAGUCUGGCAGGGAGGUACCAAAGUAAUCUAGGAGUGGAUCACUGGACAGCGGUCAAGAACAUCCUGAAAUACCUGAAAAGGACUAAGGAUAUGUUUCUCGUUUAUGGAGGUGACAAAGAGCUCAUCGUAAGUGGUUACAUUGAUGCAAAUUUUGACACUGAUCCGGACGAUUCUAAAUCACAAACCAGAUAUGUGUUUACAUUGAACGGUGGAGCUGUCAGUUGGUGCAGUUCUAAACAAAGCAUCAUGGCGGGAUCUAUGUGUGAAGCGGAGUACAUAGCUGCUUCGGAAGCAGCAAAUGAAGGAGUCUGGAUGAAGGAGUUCAUAUCCGAUCUAGGUGUCAUACCUAGUGCAUCGGGUCCAAUGAAAAUCUUUUGUGACAAUACUGGUGCAAUUGCCUUGGCGAAGGAAUCCAGAUUUCACAAGAGAGCCAAGCACAUCAAGAGACGCUUCAAUUCCAUCCGGGAUCUAGUCCAGGUGGGAGACAUAGAAAUUUGUAAGAUACAUACGGAUCUGAAUGUUGCAGACCCAUUGACUAAGCCUCUUCCACAAGCAAAACAUGAUCAGCACCAAGACUCCAUGGGUGUUAGGAUCAUUACUAUGUAAUCUAGAUUAUUGACUCUAGUGCAAGUGGGAGACUGAAGGAAAUAUGCCCUAGAGGCAAUAAUAAAUUUAUUAUUUAUUUCCUUGUAUCAUGAUAAAUGUUUAUUAUUCAUGCUAGAAUUGUAUUAACCGGAAACAUAAUACAUGUGUGAAUACAUAGACAAACAGAGUGUCACUAGUAUGCCUCUACUUGACUAGCUCGUUGAUUAAAGAUGGUUAUGUUUCCUAGCCAUAGACAUGAGUUGUCAUUUGGUUAACGGGAUCACAUCAUUAGGAGAAUGAUGUGAUUGACAUGACCCAUUCCGUUAGCUUAGCACCCGAUCGUUUAGUAUGUUGCUAUUGCUUUCUUCAUGACUUAUACAUGUUCCUAUGACUAUGAGAUUAUGCAACUCCCAUUUACCGGAGGAACACUUUGUGUGCUACCAAACAUCACAACGUAACUGGGUGAUUAUAAAGGUGCUCUACAGGUGUCUCCGAAGGUACUUGUUGGGUUGGCGUAUUUCGAGAUUAGGAUUUGUCACUCCGAUUGUCGGAGAGGUAUCUCUGGGCCCUCUCGGUAAUGCACAUCACUUAAGCCUUGCAAGCAUUGCAACUAAUGAGUUAGUUGCGGGAUGAUGUAUUACGGAACGAGUAAAGAGACUUGCCGGUAACGAGAUUGAACUAGGUAUUGAGAUACCGACGAUCGAAUCUCGAGCAAGUAACAUACCGACGACAAAGGGAACAACGUAUGUUGUUAUGCGGUCUGACCGAUAAAGAUCUUCGUAGAAUAUGUGGGAGCCAAUAUGAGUAUCCAGGUUCCGCUAUUGGUUAUUGACCGGAGACGUGUCUCGGUCAUGUCUACAUAGUUCUCGAACCCGUAGGGUCCGCACGCUUAACAUUUCGAUGAUAGUUAUAUUAUGAGUUUAUAUGUUUUGAUUUACCGAAGGUUGUUCGGAGUCCCGGAUGUGAUCACAGACAUGACGAGGAGUCUCGAAAUGGUCAAGACAUGAAGAUUGAUAUAUUGGAAGCCUAUGUUUGGAUAUCGGAAGUGUUCCGGGUGAAAUCGGGAUUUACCGGAGAACCGGGAGGUCACCAGAACCCCCCGGGGGGUUAAUGGGCCAUAGUGGGCCUUAGUGGAGAAGAGGAGAGGCGGCCAGGGCAAGGGCCGCGCGCCCGUCCCCCCUUGUCCGAAUAGGACAAGGAGAGGGGGGCGGCGCCCNNNNNNNNNNNNNNNNNNNNNNNNNNNNNNNNNNNNNNNNNNNNNNNNNNNNNNNNNNNNNNNNNNNNNNNNNNNNNNNNNNNNNNNNNNNNNNNNNNNNNNNNNNNNNNNNNNNNNNNNNNNNNNNNNNNNNNNNNNNNNNNNNNNNNNNNNNNNNNNNNNNNNNNNNNNNNNNNNNNNNNNNNNNNNNNNNNNNNNNNNNNNNNNNNNNNNNNNNNNNNNNNUUCUCCUCCACCUCUCCCCCCAAGUCCUAAUCCAACUAGGAAAUGGGGGAAUCCUACUCCCGGCGCACCCCCCUUGGCCGGCCACACCUGCCCCCUUGCUCCUUUAUAUACGGGGGCAGGGGGGCACCCUAGACACAACAAUUGAUCGUUUGAUCUUUUAGCCGUGUGCGGUGCCCCCCUCCACCAUAGUCACCUCGAUAAUACUGUAGCGGUGCUUAGGCGAAGCCCUGCGUCGGCAGAACAUCAUCAUCACCACGUCGUCGUGCUGACGAAACUCUCCCUCAACACUCGGCUGGAUCGGAGUUCGAGGGACGUCAUUGGGCUGAACGUGUGCUGAACUCGGAGGUGCCGUGCAUUCGGUACUUGAUCGGUCGGAUUGUGAAGACGUACGACUACAUCAACCGCAUUGUGCUAACGCUUCCGCUUUCGAUCUACGAGGGUACGUGGACAACACUCUCCCCUCUCGUUGCUAUGCAUCACCAUGAUCUUGCGUGUGCGUAGGAAUUUUUUUUGAAAUUACUACGUUCCCCAACAGUAGGGGGUGGGCUAUUUAUAGCCAGGAGGCAACCCGACCUGAUUUCUCCGAACUGACCCUGGGUCGCUAAGGAACCGACACGUGUCCAACGGUCGGAUUUCAGACACACGCGGCAGCUUGACUUCGGCUACAAGUAAAGCUGACUCAUCCAGCUCUGGAUAAGAUUUGCUCUCAUUGUCUUCGCUCAAAGACAUAGGAUUUGGUUGAGCAUCACAUCAGUCACUCUGACUUUGUUCACUUGGAACCCACUUAGCAGUACGGUGGUUCCUGUGACUCAACAAAGAAGAAAAGGAAACUACGGAACAACUAUGUCGUCGCAUUCCAUAGUCUUCACGUGAAUGUCAUCUCAUGUCAUAAUCUUCACUGUGAAUAUCUUCACAAACCACCAUUGUCUUCAAUGUCUUCAUACAUUUUUAGGGGUCAUCUUUGGUAGGUAAACCGAAUCAAUAAGGGACUACUACUUGUGUUAUCCUGCAGUUCUCACAAACACAUUAGUCCCUCAACCAAGUUUGUCGUCAAUACUCCAAAACCAACUAGGGGUUGCACUUGAUGCACUUACAGAUUUUUAGGAAGUCGUGCAACAAACUAAUCUAGACAUCCGAUUGCUACAACAACCUCCAAAUAGCCCUGAGUUUAAUUGUUUGGACCUCUGCUUUCAUAACUCCCUCCAGUAUCUAACCGACUGCAAGUCACCUACAAACAUCCAGGAACUGGUACAGGGUGUGGAAGAGGAAUUCGAGAACUAUGAUCCCCACAAGUUGUACAGAAGCUUUAUCACAUUAGAAGCAGUUAUGUUUGAAGUUAUGAAAGACAAAGGAGGAAAUUGUCACACCCUGAUUUUCAUGCCACAACACUUAAGCUAAUAAAUCAUGAUAAAAUGUGGUUUGACAAAAACUUUUGAGUGUUUUGGAGCUUACCUUGAUUGGAUUUUGUAUGUUGUUUGCAAGUGCUCUAAAAAUCAAAUAAAUCCUCCAACUCCUAUACUUCAUCUCCUUUCUCCAAACUCUUGAAACAAUGAUCAUGCUAUGUGUAUAGAACAUAAAAAUAAUUUCUUACAAAAAUAAUUUGGCCAAAAAGUAUUUUCUAAAAUUAGUUUUCCAAAAAACCCUUGAAUUGAGAUUUGCACUGCAAGUACUUGAUUUGAGGUGUGAAAAAUAUUUCAAAAGGUAUAUUUGAAACCUAUUAGAUAUAGGAUUCCCAGAAACCACAAAAAUAUAAUUUUAAAAGUUAUUUUCCUAUUUUAUUUAAAAGCUUUUUCUUAAGGCCAGAAAUGGUCUUUAAUAGGGAAAAAUUAUUUUAUUGUUUCAAAAAUAUUUGACAAAAUCAGGGAAACUCAGGGGGCAUAUAUUUCCCAUAUAUAAGAGUUUCAACACAUGGUCAUGUUCAAAAUAUUGGUCAAAUCCCUCAAAAACCCUUUCUGGAUAUUUCAAGCUUUUGAAAUAUUUACAAAGGAAAUAUUCCCCAAAAAUUCCAAGAAAAUUCUAUCAUGUCUCAUAUGACAUGUUUGAUGAGCUUGCCAAGCCUCAUGUCAUGGAGAAUAGUAUAACCCCAUGGGAUCCCCUCAAAACCAUUUCUGCCCAUUUCAAGGAUUUGAAAUAUUUCUACAGGAAAUAUUUUCAUAAAAAUCCAAGAAAAAUCCAGCAAGUCAAAAAUGCAUAUUGUGAUCACCCUGCGAAGCCUCAUGUCAAUCAAGGUCAUUUUGGUUCACCAAAAUGCCCCAAAACCCUCUCUGACCAGAAUCAAGUUUGAACAAGUUUGUACUACCAACUUUCUCUCCUUGACCUCAACUUUUGUGAGCAUGUUCAUAUGCCCAAAUGAGGCCACUACACCAAGUAGUGCAUCAAGGAGAAGUGUUAUGCUCAACUAGAUCUACACAAGUCUAUUUCUGCUCAUUCCUAGGGUUUACAAAAGUUGCAUUGGCAACUUUGCCCAAAUAAGCUCCAAAUUGGUGGAAGGCCCUAAUUUUAUGUGUCAUUUCACCCUGUGGAGUCUCAUGGCAAUUGGAAAUCAUUUGCUUGCCAAAACCUUUAUCAAACACCUUCUGCCACUUAUCAAAAAUCACCAUUUUGACCACUAAAACUAUUCUCCUUGAGCUCCACUUUUUACCACAGCUCCUCCUAGACCUCUUCUACCUCCAGUAGCAAUGGCUGCAGCUCAGGUCAAUAAUUGAGGGGUGAAACCACCUCUUUUACCUCUCUGAACAGCCCUUGCACCCCUCUUCCUCACCUCCCUCCUCACUCCAGUGGCCACCCAAGGCAUCCAAGGCUUUCCCCACAUUCUUUACUCCUCCCUAGAGCUACCAGACACACUUUGCCGUGCCCACUUUGCCAAAAAAUGGCAUGCCGGCCAUUUGCACGCUCUGGAGCAUGCUACAGUGCGCUCCCGCACUGUAGCUGCCCCCUGCCAACCGCCUCCGGCCACCUCGGGCCUCCCCAGCGUGUCUCACGAGGCCGCCUCGACGUCUGGGACAUGGCAAGCUGCCGGGCCCCUCCUAAACCUCUCCCCUCUCUCCUCCAUGGAGCUCGCCCGAGUGCGACGUAGGCCGCGUCCACGGUGCACCAUGGCCCCUCUAUUUAGAGGCCCUCCCGAGCUCUCCUACGGCUUCUUCCCGCUCUCCCUCUUCCCCAGCAAUCUCCCAGACAAGACACCUCUACCCCUCGCGCCCUCCUGCCCCCUCCAUGGCUGCCAUGGUCGCCGUCGGCCUCCACCCGGCUCUGGCGAACCACUUCGGUGAUGAACAUGCGAGCUAGGACGCUUCCCAGUCAGAAUGCCUAUAGGGUUAAGGCAGAUGGCAUGGGUCCAAGUUGUCAAUGAAGAUUUCCGCUGCGAUGCUAUACUCAAGACUUGACCAUAAUGGCCCUACUUGUGUAAUACGGUAUGUAUGGAUGUAAGACUCUUGUUAUUCAGAUUCUGUGUGUUCAGUGAGCAUUGAUCUCUGGGAUCACUGUACACAUGCAUUCGGUGAUCACGACUAAUGAGUCGGGGUCCCCACAGAAAUCAAUAUAAGUUACCACACUUGCACAAGGAUCGUAUUCAGAAUGCUAGCAGGAAAAUAAUCAGUGUAUAUUGCGACAGUCAGGUAGUUGUUGAUACCAGGGCCAUUAUAUAAGAAAUUGAAAUUGCAAUAGGAAAAGAAAAGGGAAGUAAAGAAGUAGUUGUAGAAGGGAAAAGAAGGAAAAGUAAAGGGAAUGGAAGAAGUAGCAAUUGAAGGGAAAAGCAAGAAACAUGAAGAGAAGGGAAGUGAAGUGUAUGUCUUGUGAAUGUCAUGUGUAUUGGAUUAUUGUAAUUAUUUGAAUCUAUUGGAUUUAUUUCAAUUAUCUAGAUUUAUUUGAAUUAUUUCAACUUAUUUGAAUUUAUUUGUUGCUCGUCUACCCGUACUAGUAUUAGUCCUACCAGUCACCUGUUGUGCAGAGGGUGACUACACUUUUUGUUUAAUAUGGACAUGUGUAGGGUGCUUGCUUGCAUCAGGACAUCAGAAAAGAACAUACUCUCUUGUCUCUCUUGGGAGAGAUUAACUUUAAUUAAGCCAUUUCUCUUGCGAAGCAAGUGCCCUGUUUUACUGACUGUCAAAAAGCCAUAGUACCCCAAAAUAACUUCUGCUUAGUGCUAGAGCAGAUCUUCUCAGCUAAGAUCCUAAUUACUCCUACUAAUGAUGAUAUCUCCUUGGGGCCAAGUGGUUGGCAGUAUUACUCCUACUAGUAUUUUCAUGAUUCAGCGCCAUGCAAAUGUAUUCCAUCAAAAACAGAAUCAAAGACAUAAUGUGGGAGUAGUAGUGGAUAUUUAUUGCCCAUGCUGAUUAUUCACUUCACAAGGUUACCUAGUACUCCAUCAAAAACAGAAUCAAAGAUGGCAUGGCAUGCUUGACGUGAUGUAACUAAUCUUAGUGCCAUAAUCUUUCCCAUUUUAGAAAUGCACUAAUCUUUGCCAUGGAGUACUAUAGAUAUAGAUUGAGUAACUAACGGUGUUACUAAUCUUUGCCAUGGAGUAUUUCUAAAAUGCAUGAAGGUUAUGUAUAGUGAAGUGAAACUACAAUUUUGUCAUGGAUUGGUGAUGGUACUGAAAUUUGUUGGUAAAUCCUUCUGAUUUGGCAGGAUCCACUACUCACCAAGGCUUUUACUACCCUUCAGGAAGCCAGCUGCUUUCCAGAUCAUCAUUAAACAGGGGAGGAGGACACAGGAUAGUGGUUGCCCAGUGCUUUAUCAUCAACACAGCUGGUGCCAGAUCAUCUACUUUCCAUGGCAAUCCGUGAUGGGAAAACCAUUUUAGUAAGUUCAAGAGAAUAAAUAAGUUACAGAUUUCAUGCACAAAGUGCUAGACAGUAGACAUAUGGAGUGAGUUUUUUGCUCGUAAAUCUGCUCUUGCUUAAGCAAGUUUUUGACUGAAACACCUUCAGUAGUGUAACGCCCCGGACACACCCGUCGGUGGUCGUUACUCCUGGCGGGAUUUAGACUGGCCCCACAGAUCAAUACUAGUCUUUUCUACGCACUUUGUCAUCACUCGUGCGCACCCGGGAGCAACUUCCCGGUCGGUCACCCAUCCUGAAACUACUCCAAGCUGAGCACGCUUAACUUUGGAGUUCUGUCCGAAUGGGCUCCCAAAAAAAGGAGGAAUUCCUUAUUGAUAUGAGUAGUCUAUCAUCCCUAAUAAGCCAGGCUAUCACAUACACCCCCACUCAGAGGAACCAACGUCCUCGUCGAGCCACGGGAACGUUCCCUCUUGGCACAUACGUCUGUGCAUCCAGUCCGGUACAUGUACCAUGCCAUGUGCCACGACGGGUCAAAAACGUCAUGAACAACAUGACCGCGCACCUGUCCGCAAACAUCUGUGUAACCGCGAGGGUCGGCUCUGAUACCAACUUGUAACGCCCCGGACACACCCGCCGGUGUCCUUACUCCUAGCGGGAUUUAGACUGGCCCCAUAGAUUAAUACUAGUCUUUUCUACGGACUUUUGUCCUCAUUCGUGCGCACUCGGGAGCAACUUCCCGGUCAGUCACCCAUCCUGAAACUACUCCAAGCUGAGCACGCUUAACUUUGGAUUUAUGUCCGAAUGGGCUCCCGAAAAAGAAGGAAUUCCUUAUUGAUAUGAGUAGUCUAUCAUCCCUAAUAAGCCAGGCUAUCACAAGUAGACACCACAAAUCAUGGCCUCACCUUUGCUUGUUGGUGCAUUUCGAGCAUCCUGCGGCAGUCCAGCCUUGCGACAGGGGCAACCAAUGAUAGCCGAUACCCUCGAAACAGCCUCACUGACAGCUAUUUCCACUCUUUCCUUGCGGAAAACCUUGACGAUGUCUUCUUCCUCGUCUUGGUCGAUUGGCAUCAUCCUGCCAUUGAUUCGUCGCAGACCAACGCCUUUUCGGGACCACCUCAGCAUAAUAUUCUCAAGGAUGCCAACACUUUGAAGUAACUUCUUGUACUUGUUUCUUUCUUGGUGAGCUCUGAACCAUGCCUAUCAGAAUAAACAGGUGGACUUGCUUAUGGACUGAACAAAAUCCUCAAAACAUUAAGGAUGCACUAGUACACAUCACAUAAUUACUCCACGCGUAAUACAAUGUUCUGUUCUGACACAAAGAUUAGUUACUAAAUCUAGCAUUUUAGAAUUAGUGUCAUUUUAGCAUUUUAGAAUUAGUGUAUAUUUAAAAUGCUGUUGAGAUAGUACUAAUUUCAGAGUUCAUAGUUCAUGACUGAAUUUAGAGACAGUAAAAAUCUUACUAAAAACAAAAUUGUUCAGAGAUCGAAUGCUUGCAAAAUUGUUCAGUUAACUGUGCAAAAUUGUUCAGUUAAUUGUGCAAAAUACUCCAAAAUCUAAACUAGCAGAACUAGUGCAAAUAUUCAGUAAAUUUAGUAAAUAUGGAGUAGAGAAGGGAGGUUGACCCAGGCUGUAGGACUUAGGGUUGAUCUGCAGCAGUGCAGAAAACUUGUAGCCGCCGCUGCUGCUGCCAAGUGAGCAGGCACAACCCACUGGACAGCCCAGCCGUGGUGUUGCAGGCGCAGGUCUUCCACCAGAGAAACAACGAAGAAGACCCAGCCGCCAUCGUAUUCCUCGUGGAGUUGUCGUCGCCGUCUUCCACACUCGCAAAUCCACGACCUUUAGCUUGCCGUUGUCGUCGGGCUCGUCAGCAUUUAGCUUGCUGCAUCUCCUGUCGUCGUUGGGCUCGUCGGCCUCUAUGUUGUUGUUGGUGGUCCGGAUCCAGCGCCUCCGGGAUCUCCGAUGGCGGUUCCGACGCAGCCGGAGUAGAGCGCGGCGGUAGCUGGGGAAAUCCAAGAUUCUUUUGAGGAAGGAGGGUGCUUGGGCAGGCAGGCGAGCGGUAGCUGCGGCGGCGGAGCAGGAGGCAACCGCGGCAGGAGAGCGGGGGAGCAGGGGAGCUGCGGCGGCGGGGAGAAGGGCAGCUGCUGCUUCUAUCGGAGGAGGACGACGAGGAGCGUGGGUUUGGUCGGGAGAAACCAGAUGUGUUUUUUGCAAAAUUGCCCUCACGACAAGAAUUACAGGAUGGAGGGAGUGUACUAGAGUAACAAUUUUUGUACAUUUCAUUAACAUAUUUCAAAAUUAUGGGUUUUAAAAUCAUAAUUAAAUUAUGUUUUAAAUAUAUGUAUUAAUUUUAAGCAUUUUUGAAAUUUAAUCAGGUCUACAAAAGGAACAAAGUGCAUUCUUUCGUUUUUAAGGUUCUUUUGAAAGGCUUAAUUCUUCAUUCACAGCCUACUGCGGGCCUCUGGUCUCAAAUUUAGCCCAGGGGAUCGAAAUUUAUUCCAAGCGGUAUAGAAACUUAGAGCCCACUAGCCCAGCAAACCCUAUUAUCCCGUAUAUAACCCCUCCCCCCAGCCGGCCCCCAGUCACGCCAGCCCCUCACCCUCUCCUCUACACGCGGCAAACCCUAAUCCAGCCCCGUCGCCCAAAGCCCCAAACCCUAACCCAGCUGCGGCGGGCGACGGUCAAAUCUCCCAGCUUGCCGCGCAUCCGGUCGAUCUCCCACCUCUCGACACCUCGUGUGCGUCCACGGCGGCGCGAACAAGGCGUCGGCAGCGAAGCGAAGGCAAGGGCGCCCAUCGAGCGACGGUCGGAUCUCCCGGCUCACCGCGCAUCCCGUUGACCUCCCACCUCUCGGCACCUCGCGUCCACGGCGGCACGAACAAGGCGGCGGCAGCUAAGCGAAGUCAAGGGCGCCCAUCGGGCGACGCUCGGAUCUCCCAUCUUUCCGCGCAUCUGGUCGAUCUCAUACCUCUCGACACCUCGCGUCCACGGCGGCGCAAACAGACGCUGGCAGCGAAGCGAGUGCAAGGGGGGCGGCGGCGGAGCUCUCAGCCGUUCCCACAUAUCCGACCUGAACCACCCUCCUUGGCUCUCCAGCAUUUCAUCUCAUCCGACUCAGUCCACGACGUCGGGGUAUGCUAUUUUAUCCUCAUUCCUCAUUAUAUCAAUCGCUGUCCUCUGAUGUAUAAUUUGUAACGUGAUGGGCAAAUGCCUACAAGCAAUUCCUUAGAUUGAUUUAGUAUCUUUUAGUCCUUCUAAUUUGUUAUAUGAGCCUCUCUAUGUAUUUGUAUGUUGAGUUGUUGACAGAAUGGAUGAUUGUAUGUGUGCUUUACUUCUGUUAAGUGCAAACUAUGAUAUGAUUAAGUAAUCUGUUAUGAGGCCAUUCUAUGCAUAGUUCCAGAGCUAUGGCUUCACAAAUUAAAGUAAGUUAAUCGAAAGUAAAUGGUACUCCCUCCGUACAGAAAUACUUGUCAUAGAAAUGGAUACAAAUGUGUGUAUCCAGAACUAAAAUACAUCUAGAUACAUCCAUUCCUUGGACAAGUAUUUCCGGACGGAGGGAGUAUUUAUGAAAAAAUCAGGUGUGCAUUUGGUAGUCCUUUCGCUCAGAAAACGUUAUCUGUUGGGUGAGCACUUGUAUGCGCCUAUGUGCUUAAGUUGUUUUUUUCUAUGAUUAUGCAAGUUUCUGUACAUGUUGACAUGAUGAAAGUAACUUGGUUAAUUUCAUAUACUUAGUAACAGUAUUGUCCUGGUUCAUUUUAUUCUUGUCCACAAAUAGUACUAGAUGUAGGUGUUAUACUGCGGCAUUAUCAACAACCUUAUCCUGGUAAUUGCUGUUAAGCUGUGUUUUUCCCCAUGGACUAUCAAAUCUUGAAUUGCUGCUUUAAUAUGUGGUAUACUUUAGCUGUAGUUUACAGCUUUUUUAGUUUGUUCUAAUUCUGGCUUUUGAGUAUAUUUUGAUACUAAUUGGAAAAUUUGUGUUGAUUGUUUGAUUUCAAAUAUGUGCUGACUGUCAAUGUGUGCUGAUUGUUUUAUUUAAAAUAAGUGUUGUCUGCCUGCAUUCGGGUUACUUGUUUUUUUGCUUAUGUCUGAUAAUAUAAGAAUAACAUUCCGUUUUUUGCUUUUAAGGAAUGGAUCAAGCCCAAGCCUUGUUCUUCUUGCAAUGGAUCGGCGCCCACCGGACCCAAAUCGGCGCCCACCGGACCCAAUUGACUGAAUUUUUUGAUCUUUACUUUGGAGAUGCUGCUGUCAUAUGCAGCAACAAUGGUCGCAACUAUCUGAAGAGUGCCUACCAGUUUGUCAUUGAUACAUUCAAUCGAGGGUAUUGCUGGCAUGGAUCAUUUUCUGUACGCAAUUUCCUGGUCGCUGGUGAAUUAUUUAUGAUGGGCAUACCUGCACUCCACAAGACUCUUGGUUUUCAUGACCUCCUUAUUGAUCUUAGAGCCUUGAGCAAUGCUUUGCUGCCAUACUACUGUGAAGGAAACCAACCUAGAAACGUGCAUGCACUAUUCACAGACCAUCUUCAUUAUAUUACCACUAAUGUCCCAUUAGGAAUUGGACCAUCAAUUGUGUUCCACUCUAGGUUCAUUCGUCUGAUAUACCAUCACUUCUCGUUCUCAUUGCUGGAUCAUACGUAUUCGCUGUUUUCAGCACUUGCAACAGCAAAAAAUCAUCUUGGGCAGGAUGAUGUACGCGCAUUUAAUACUCUCCUUCGACAAGCUUGGAAUGAUUUACUGAUGGACCAGAUUGCAGUAGUUGGUCAAAAUUGGCCUGAUCAAGCCGAACAAAAUCCGAUCUUUUAUGAAAUUAUGUGGUGGCAGAGCAGGCAGGCAGGGGUACCUCCAAGGAGAGGAUAUACAGGUACACCUGAGUCAUUAUACAAUUUUGGAAGAAACAACAGAGUUCAUGCACCUGAAAAAACAAAGGUAUACAUAUUACUAUGUUUGUUGUAAAAAAAUGUCACAUUUGGGCUGGAGACAAAGCAACGUUGUAAAUUUUACCUCUUCUGUCAUUUUAGGGGCCAAGGGGAGCUCUGCUAGGGGAGAUUCAGCAAGUGCCACCCCAUGGUGCAGGGCGUUGGCGAUGGAUGAUCAUUACUCCUGAGGGGGAAUGGGGCUAGGUGUGGCAGCCUGCUCAAGGGCAGUGGUUCUGGCCGACGGUUCCAGGUGAUACCCAGUGGCGAAUGACCAAGUGGCCAAAUGCUGCACCAGUGCUGCCUCUACUACCAUUAUCUGCCCAGGUAGUGUGAUGAGAUCCCUUGGUUUCAUGGAUACAUAAAAUUUGAGGCAUAUACAUUAAACAGUGUCUUUACAUGCAAACUACACAGGACCAGAAAAUGGAUAAUCCAGAGAAUGUGGGCCAUAUGGUAGGGAAGAAGUUUGGGAUGUUCUUUGCUCAUGCCACGACCUUUGUCCUCCUAUUCUUACAGUGUGGAACUCCAGAGUAGUAAGUUUUUUCUUCAUAUUUGUUCAAAUUUGGCAAAGAAAGUGCAUAGAAAAUAAUCAAAAUUUCUUCUGAAUACAGUAUUGAUCAGCCUCAUCAGAGAUACGAAGAGGCAAUGGAUAGUUAACUGCAGAGUAAGUACCUUGUACACACUUGUAUUUUCCGACCAGUGAAGCUUGAUGUUAUGGUCUGAUGCCAUUUUUUACACUUGUACAUGUGAACAUAAAUCACAUAUGUAUUUUACAUCAUGGAUUUAUAUUCAUGUCAUUCAAUCUGCUAGAGCCAAUUUUUAGUUGCAAAACAGGCCUGAGAUAAUGUCCUAUUUUAUGUGAGUUUGAAUAGGGAACAUGAAGUUGACUAGCACACAAUUACUAGAGUUUAAAGUGUAUUGUCAGGUCUAUGCUUCUCUCGGUGUUAGUUUUUUUGUUAGCUAAAGCUUGCCAUUCUGAUGGAACUUUGUACGGCACAUAUAUUUUGAGUAAAUUACUUGAAUUACAGACUCAAUGUACAUACUAUACCUCACUUACCACUACGAGCUACUAUUUAGGGAGAAUUUGUGUUGCUGAAAUUCCACGUGUAAAGACAUGUUUCGUAGAUCUACAUGUCUAGAUUCUCUUUGUUUUUAAAAAGUGCAGUUUUAUGUUGCACUUCUUUAUUGAAUCCAGGCCUGCAUAGCAUACCCCGAAAGUCUUAAAUCUGCAGCUAUGUGGAAUUGGCUCUUAAUUUCGUAGCUCUGCAAUUUUUGUACUUAAACAAGUACUCCCUCCUUAAACUAAUAUAAGAGCAUUUAGAUUAGUACUUUAGUGAUCUAAACACACUUAUAUUAGUUUACAGAGGGAGGAGUUUGGUAAUGCUUUGUACUUUGGGGAUGGGGACACAUUUCACAUGAUACAUGUAGGGAUCCAAGUUACGGUCCCGCUAGAACCUGCUUUAUUUCCUUUCAUCACGCUAAUCCUUUGUUAAGAAAGUUUGAUCUUAACAUUUUCCUUUUAGGCUCUGUUUUAGGGUGUUCUCCUUUUUGGGAAUAUGCAAACUAGGCUGCCCAAGCAGUUUGGGUAUAGAUGGGACCUUGGAAAGGGUGAUUCAAUGUUUUGGGAGGAUAAAUGGAUAACUAACUAUCAUUUAUGCACCACUUAUUUGAAUCUUUAUAAUAUCUGUAAUGAGAAGAACCAUUCAACUUGUCUAUGAUGAACAAUUUCUCUUUGGAUAAUGGUUUCUGCUGUUGGUUCACAUUUCUCUUUGGAUAAUGAUCCCCCCAGGAGGAUGUUGCAUUCUGCUGGGGUGUAUAUUGUGCAAUUUAUUUAGAAGAAAUAGUUUGGCUUGUCGUUUAUAACCCAUCUGCUCUACAGGUCAUGCUGUUUUCUCCCAUUGCCGAGGCACAGCUGAGAGGAGUUUCGAUGUUCCAAUGCUGGCAAGAUUUAAGUUGAAGGCUGCGGCUACGAGCUUGUGGGCUGAUUCGCAAUGCGUUCCAGUUUGAUCAAAUUCUCCAAAAGUUGCACUGAUGAGCCAAUGCAUUGCUGAGUGAAUCUUUUUGUAAUUUUCUGUUGCUUAGGUCUACUUACUGAAUCAGUGAAUCUUAUUGAUUCAUGUUGCUCAUUACUUCCUUGUAAAAAAUUAACA
rnacentral:lncRNA from 1 species